rnacentral:lncRNA from 1 species
GCCAGCUCACCUCUAGAGGAGCGCACAAUUCGUGUGCAAGCCCUUGCAGCCCCGUCAGCUAAUUCGGUUCCCUGCUAAUCGCCAGAGGAUGUCAUCAUCGAUCUUAUCCUUGGGCUCUUAUGGGACCGAAGUCGGGCGCCUAUCUAAGGACGCCCUCGAGUUCUAUGAGCACUCCAUCCUCCUCCAUGGACCCUCAGCUAGCUCCCCAACGCCACAACUCGACCAAGGCCGCCCGCCCUGCUCGCCUCCGAUUGCACCGCCGCCGUCAACUUUCCGGUCAAUUGCAGCAACCCGAGCCCCUCCUGCUCCACCUUAGCCACCAUUAGCUCAACCACGGCCCCUAGUAUCCACCCCAUGCUAAAUCGCAUUGGUAAUGAACCGUUGGCAGAAGCCAGUGCGCCGGAGCCUCCCUUCCGCCAUGGUCUGUGGUGUGCUCACUCUCGAGCUCUCUGCGACUCCUAAUGCUCCUAUACGAUGAGGCCCUUCCCCAUGAGCAUGCUGGUGUGCCCUGCUCCGGGAAUUGUACUUCCUAGCACCAGCAAUCGCCGUCGGCAUCAUCCCUCCCCUCUACCCAUGUGCGCGAGGGGAAGAAGACGAACCCCAUAGGUGGGUUCCCCUGUCCGCGAGCCAGCCUCGACACCGAUGGAGCAGAUCCCGUGGUGCAUUUUCUCUUUAGAGAUGUGUGUGAUCUGGAGUGUAUUUUCCCUUUCCCGAAAACAUAUUUGUUUUCGAAAAUGUUUUCUUCUCUAUUUUAUUAAAAAACAAAAUUUGGACGAAACUUUGACUGCUUAUAACUUUUAAACUACAACUGCAAACGAGUUGGUUCUUUUUCUGUUGUGUCUCAAAUUUCACCUAAUUUAUUGUCAUAUUUAUUUCAAAAACUUUCAAACAACUUUUAUACACUAUUUUGGAAAUGUGUGUUGAUUCCGAUAAUUUCAAAAAUAGAAAAAAUUGGAGGGAAGAAAUUUUCAAGAUUUUUGGGGUGCACACCACCCUUCUUCGGACCAAAGGCAAGCAUCUUGAACCCAAAUUUGUCUUAAGUGUGUGAUGGCUUGUUGUGGUGAAUGGAUGCAUGGUUAUGCUACUUAGAUAAAAACUCUCCAUAGCAACAUAUUUUGCGCCAAAGCAUGUGAUGGGUACUUAUUUGCUGUUGAGCAUAUAAUACUAGUGAUGAGUGCGUACUACCUGAUGCCAUGUAUCUCAUGUGGGUUUGGACAACAUCGUAGGAAGGUUUGUCAUGGUAAACAUGUGACUGUGAAACCGAUAUCUCGUGGCAACGAUAAUGAUCUGUGAGUGCAUAUCAAGGUGUGAUGGUGGUAACCCAAUUGAAUAACAUUCAGGAAUUUUGUGGUGCUAACACUUGCAUGCAAACUUAAUCCCCCGAGUAGAACGUAGAUCGGGUCUUGUGCCACUAACCUUCAUAUUGAUUUGUGCUACUACUUGUCCGUACGACAGGUAGGGUGUGGUUGAGUAAUUUGUCGACCCCUUUCCUUGCACACACCAUACAGACAGGCCAUAGUGGAAGAUACCAGUUGCAACUGGUAGGCAUGCCACUUGGUCCGGCGGCAUGGGUGUUUCCGGCCUGGGGAUUAGAGGGGGCACCCCUUAGUAGCACGUGGUAUAAAUGUGAUCCCCUUCUAAGUGGAGAUUGUGAUCUUCCCACUGAAAGUCUUACUUAACGAGUGACAUGGGUAAUCCCACGCAUCGGGAAGUUAAACUAGUGUCUGCAGGUCAGGUGUGUUUUCAACUCAAAGACCGUAAUCAGAAUUAGUUGACAUCUCUUGUUGACUAAAGAAAUCCGUUACUCAUGGGUAAAGAGUACACCCUCUUCAGAGUUAAAUAUCUAUUCGAAUAGCCAUGUCCGUGGGUAAGGACUACAUUUUGGGAUGGAUCAAAUUCUGUCGAAGUGUCGGUGUUCGGAGGAAUUAAUUGAAACAUGAUGAUGAUCAUGAACGAGUAUGAUAACCAUAAUGAUUAUGAAUUUUGAUGUGGACUACUCAUUUCUGGUAUAUGAAUUUUUGAGUAUCCUUCGGACGGUUCUACCUCCUAGAUAAUCUAUGUUAUUAUUAUCAUAUAAGUCCUUUAUGUGGUGUCGCUUAGACACCUGACUGUGGCAACUAUUAUUUUUAUCAUAUAAGCCCUUUAUGUGGUGUCACUUAGACGCCAACUGUGGCAACUAUUAUGAUUGUGUCAUUUUGUUGUUAUUGUUUUUUGCAUGUCAAGUAUACGUUCCUAUGACCAUGAGAUCAUGUAACUCGUUGACACCGGAGGAAUUCCUUGUGUGUAUCAAACGUUGCAUCAUUAUUGGGUGAUUAUAAAGGUACUCUACAGGAAUCUCCGAAGGUGUCCUUUGAGUUAGCACGGAUCAAGACUCGGAUUUAUCACUCCGUGUGACGUAGAGGUAUCUCGGGGCCCACUCGGUAAUACAACAUCACAAACAAGCCUUGCAAGCAAUGUGACUAAAGAGUUAGCCAUGAGAUAUUGUAUUAUAGAACGAGUAAAGAGACUUGUUGGUAAUGAGAUUGAAAUAGGUAUGGUUAUACCAACGAUCGAAUCNNNNNNNNNNNNNNNNNNNNNNNNNNNNNNNNNNNNNNNNNNNNNNNNNNNNNNNNNNNNNNNNNNNNNNNNNNNNNNNNNNNNNNNNNNNNNNNNNNNNNNNNNNNNNNNNNNNNNNNNNNNNNNNNNNNNNNNNNNNNNNNNNNNNNNNNNNNNNNNNNNNNNNNNNNNNNNNNNNNNNNNNNNNNNNNNNNNNNNNNNNNNNNNNNNNNNNNNNNNNNNNNNNNNNNCGAUAAGAUCUUCGUAGAAUAUGUAGGAUCCAAUAUGGACAUCUAGGUCCCGCUAUUGGAUAUUGAUUGGAGAGUGUCUCGGUCAUGUCUACAUAGUUCUCGAACCCGCAGGGUGUACACACUUAAGGUUAGGUGACGUUUUCGGUAUAGGUGAAUUAUUGAUGUUGGUAACUGAAUAUUGUUCAGAGUCCCGGAUGAGAUCCGUGACGUCACGAGUGUCUCCGAAAUGGUCCAGAAACAAAGAUUGAUAUAGACGAUUGUUGCAUUUGGCUUCCGAAAAUAUUUCGGGAACUACAGGUAAAGUAUCGAGAGUGACAAAUGGGUUCUAGGGUUUUACCGGAAGGGGCCACCCACCCGAGAGAGGACCUAACAGGCCCAUGGUUAGUGCACCAAACUUUAGUGGGCUGGUGAGGCCAGUCCAAUAAGCCUAUUUCGGCCAAUGCAAAAAUAAAGAGGGAAAAAAGAAGGAAGGAGGUGGACAAGAUGGGAAGGAGUCCUCCACCAAACCGAAUUGGAGGAGGACUCCUCCCUCGUUGCCUCAGCCGAAGCCUCCUCCUUGGAGUACGAGGCAAGCCACCCUCACCUUGGUUCCUCCUAUAUAUAGUGGAGGUUUGAGAGGGUUUUGGAACUUCAAGCCUUUGUGCAGCCCUCUCUCCCUGCACUACUUCGUGACACCUCAUAGAUAGAUCGUUACGGCACGACAAAUCCCUGCCGGAGUAGAUUCACCAUCAUCACCGCCACACCGUCGUGUUGCCGAAGAAUUCAGCUACCUCUACAUCUCUCUUGCUGGAUCAAGAAGGCGGAGAGCGUCAUCGAGCUGGACGUGUGCUGAACACGGAGGUGUCGUCCGUUCGGCGCUAGAUCGGGACGAAUCAUGGGAUGGUGGCGAUUUGGAUCGCGAAAACGUUCCACUACAUCAACCGCGUUUCUUAGUGCUCCCCGCUUAGCGAUAUACAAGGGUAUGUGGAUAUGAUAUCCCUCUCAUAGAUGAUCAUCACCAUGAUAGGUCUUUGAGUGCGUUGGGAAAUUUUGUUUCCCAUGCAACGUUCCCCAAUAGUGGCAUCACGAGCUAGGUUCAUGCGUAGAUGAUAUCUCGAGUAGAACACAAAAGAGUUUGUGGGCGUUGAUAUUCAAUUUGUUGCCCUCCUUAGUAUUUUCUUGAUCCAACGACAUUGUUGGAUUGAAGCGGCCCGGACCAACUUUACUCAUACGCUUAUGAGAGACCAGUUUCAUCGACUUACAUGCAACUUGUUGCAUAAAGAUGACUGGCGGGUGUGUGCUUCUUCAACGUUAGUUGAAUCGGAUUUGACCGAGGCGGUCCUUGGAGAAGGUUUAAUAGCAAUUCGCAUAUCACCGCUGUGGCUUUGCGUAAGUAAGAUGCGAUCAUACUAGAUACCCAUAGGAGCCAUGUAAAACAUGCAACAACAAAUUAGAGGAUGUCUAACUUGUUUUUGCAGNNNNNNNNNNNNNNNNNNNNNNNNNNNNNNNNNNNNNNNNNNNNNNNNNNNNNNNNNNNNNNNNNNNNNNNNNNNNNNNNNNNNNNNNNNNNNNNNNNNNCAGAACACUCGGGUUAAACUUGACGAGCCUAGCUAGCAUGUACAUACAUGGCCUUGAAACACAAGAGACCAAAAGGUAGAGCAUGAAUCAUAUAGUUGAUAUGAUCAACAUGCAGAUGUUCACCACUGAAACUAUACUCAACUCACGUGAUGAUCGGACUUGAGUUAGUGAAUUUUGAUCAUGCGACACUCAAAUGACUAGAGGGAUGUCUAUUUGAGUAGGAGUUUAUUAGUAAUAUGAUUAGCUAAACUCAAUUGUAUUGAACAUAGUCUAAGUAAUCUUUGCAAAAUUUUAUGUUGUAUAUCAAUGGGUCGCACAGUAGCAACCCUGAAUUUUAAUACGUUCCUAGAGAAAGCUAAGCUGAAAGAUGAUGGAAGCAACUUUGUUGACUGGGCUCGAAAUUUGAGGCUUAUCCUCAAGCUGGCCAAAAGCAAUAUGUGCUUGAUGCCGCGCUAGGUGAUGCACCACCCACUACGGCAACCCAAGAUGUUUUGAACGCUUGGCAAGUGUGUAAGGAUGACUACUCACUAGUUCAGUGUGUAGUUUUGUAUGGCUUAGAACCGGGACUUCAAAGACGUUUUGAACGUCAAGGAGCAUAUGAGAUGUUCCAGGAGUUGAAGUUUAUCUUUGAGAAGAAUGCCCGGAUCGAGAGGUAUGAGACCUCCGAUAAGUUAUAUGCUUGCAAAAUGGAGGAGAAUUCAUCUGUCCGUGAACACAUGCUCAUAAUGUCUGGGUACUCUAACCGACUAUGUGAACCGGGGAUUGAACUCUCGUAAGAAGCUAGCACUCAUCGAAUUCUUCAGUCACUGCCACCUAGCUAUAAGAGCUUCGUGUUGAACUAUAACACACAAGGGAUGAGUAAUUCACCCGACGAGUUAUUUGCGAUGCUGAAAGUCACUGAGUCACAAAUCCGGAAAGAACAUCAAGUGUUGAUGGUCAAUCAGACCAGUAGUUUCAAGAAAAACGGCAAAGGCAAGAAGGGUAACUCCAAGAAGAGUGGCAAAGCUGUUGCCCCUCCGACGAAGAAACCCAAGGCUGGACCUAAGCUAAAAACUGUGUGCUAUUAUUGCAAGCAGACCGGUCACUAGAAGUGCAACUGCCCCAAGUAUCUAGCCGAUAAGAAGGCGGCUAACACCAAACAAGGUAUAUUUGAUAUACAUGGUAUUGAUGUGUACCUCACCAACUCUCGUAGUAGUGCCUGCGUAUUUGAUACCGGUUCUGUUGCUCACAUUUGCAACUCGAAAUAGGAACUGCUGAAUAAACGAAGGCUAGCGAAGGAUGAAAUGACAAUGUGCGUGGGAAAUGGUUCCAAGGUUGAUGCGAUCGCCGUCGGCACGGUCUCAAUUCAAUUACCAUCGGGAUUAGUGAUGAACUUAAAUAAUUGUUAUUUAGUGCCUGCGUUGAGCAUGAACAUUAUAUCUGGAUCUUGUUUAUUGCGAGACGAUUACCCAUUUAAGUCAGAGAAUAAUGGUUGUUCUAUUUAUAUGAGUAAUAUAUUUUAUUGUCAUGCACCCAAUGUAAGGGUUUGUUCGUAACAUUGAGACAAAAAGAUGUAGAGUUAACAAUGAUAGUGCCACUUUCUUGUGGCACUGCCGCUUUGGUCAUAUUGGUGUCAAGCGCAGGAAGAAACUCCAUGCUGAUGGACUUUCGGAGUCACUUGAUUUUGAAUCACUUGACACAUGCGAACCAUGUCUCAUAUGCAAGAUGACUAAGACUCCGUUCUCUGGAACAAUGCAGCGUUCAAGUGACUUGUGGGAGAUCAUACAUACUGAUCUGUGCGGACCAAUGAGCAUAGAGGCGCGCAGCGGAAUCGUUAUUUUCUCACCUUCACUCACGAUUUGAGUAGGUAUGGCUAUAUCUACUUGAUGAAGCACAGCUCUGAAACGUUUGAAAAGUUCCAACAAUUUCAGAGUGAAGUUGAAAAUCAUCGUAGCAAGAAGAUCAAGUUCCUACGAUCUGAUUGAGGAGGUGAAUAUGUGAGUUACGAGUUUGGUGCCCACUUAAGACAAUGUGGAAUUGUUUCACAGUUAACACCACCUGGCACACCACAGCGUAAUUGUGUGUCCGAACGUCGUAAUCGUACUUUAUUGUAUAUGAUGCGUUCUAUGAUGUCUCUUACCGAUUUGCCAUUAUCAUUUUGGGGCUGUGCAUUGGAGAUAGAUGCAUUCACUUUAAAUAGGGCACCAUCAAAAUCUGUUGAGAUGACGCCAUAUGAGCUGUGGUAUGGCAAGAAGCCAAAGUUGUCAUUUCUUAAAGUUUGAGAAUGUGAUGCUUAUGUCAAAAAGCUUCAGCCUAAANNNNNNNNNNNNNNNNNNNNNNNNNNNNNNNNNNNNNNNNNNNNNNNNNNNNNNNNNNNNNNNNNNNNNNNNNNNNNNNNNNNNNNNNNNNNNNNNNNNNUGACAUAUUGCUGAUUGGAAACAAUAUAGAGUUUUUGUAAACGUAAAGGCUUACUUGAAUAAAAGUUUUUCAUUGAAAGAUCUAGGAGAAGCUUUUUACAUAUUGGGCAUAAAGAUCUAUAGAGAUAGGUCAAGGAGCCUAAUAGCUCUUUCAUAAAUCACAUACCUUGAUAAAGUUUUGAAGAAGUUCAAAAUGGAACAAUCCAAGAAGGGGUUCUUGCCUGUGUUACAAGGUAUAAAGUUGAGUAAGACUCAAUGUCAAGUAACUGCAGAAGAUAGAGAAAAGAUGAGUGUCGUCCCUUAUGCUUCAGCCAUAGGGUCUAUCAUGUAUGCAAUGUUGUGCACAAGACCGGAUGUCAGCCUAGACAUAAGUAUGACAGGCAGGUUUCAAAGUGAUCCAGGAGUGGAACACUGGGAGGCGGUCAAGAAUAUUCUGAAGUACCUGAAAAGGACUAAGGAAAUGUUUCUCGUUUAUGGAGGUGACAAAGAGCUCGUCGUAAAGGGUUACGUCGAUGCAAGCUUUGACACUGAUCCGGAUGACUCUAAGUCUCAAACUGGAUACGUAUUUAUUCUUAACGGGGGUGUGGGAAGCUGGUGAAGUUCCAAGCAAAGCGUCGUAGCUGAUUCUGCAUGCGAAGUGGAGUACAUAGCUGCCUCAGAGGCGGCUAAGGAGGGUGUCUCGAUGAAGCAGUUCAUGUCGCAUCUUGGAGUAGUGCCCAGUACACUGGAACCAAUCAAUCUGUUCUAUGACAAAACUCGUGCCAUUGCUCUAGCCAAGGAACCAAGGUUUCACAAGAGGACCAUACACAUAAAGCGAUUCUUCAAUGCCAUCUGCGAUUACAUCAAGGAGGAGGACAUAAAUAUUUUCAAAGUGCAGACAGAUCAGAAUGUUGCAGAUCCGCUGACUAAACCUCUUCCACGAACAAAGCAUGAUAAACACCAGAACUGUAUGGGUGUUAGAUACAUUACAUUCUAAAUCACAUAGAGAUGUGAAGCUAGAUUAUUGACUCUAGUUCAAGUGGGAGACUAUUGGAAAUAUGCCCUUGAAACAAUAAUAAAAUAGUUAUUAUUAUAUUUCCUAUUUCAAGAUAAUCGUUUAUUGUGCAUGCUAUAAUUGUAUUGAAUGGAAACAUAAAUGCAUGUGUGGAUAUAUAGACAAAACAAUGUCCCUAGUGAGCCUCUAGUUGAAUAGCCUAUUGGUCAAGGAUGGUUAAGGUUUCCUAGCCAUAGACAAGUUUUCUCACUUGAUGACGAGAUCACAUCAUUAGGAGAAUGAUGUGAUGGACAAGACCCAAACUAUAAACGUAGCAUAUGAUCAUGUCAUUUUGUUGCUAUUGUUUUCAGCAUGUCAAGUAUACAUUCCUAUGACCAUGAGAUCAUGUAACUCACUAACACCGGAGGAAUGCCUUGUGUGUAUCAAACGUUGCAACAUUACUUGGUAAAGGUACUCUACAAGCAUCUCCGAAGGUGUGUGCUGCGUUAUCAAGGAUCAAGACUGGGAUUUGUCACUACUUGUGACGAGGAGGUAUCUCAGGGCCCAGUCGGUAAUACAACAUCACAAACAAGCCUUGCAAGCAAUGUGACUAAAGAGUUAGUCACGGGAUCUUGUAUUACGGAACGAGUAAAGAGAUUUGCGGAUAACGAGACUGAAAUAGGUAUGGCGAUACCGAUGAUCGAAUCUCGGGAAAGUAACAUACCGAAGGACAAAGGGAAUGAUAUACGUGAUUGUGUGAAUCCUUGACAUAGAGGUUUAGCCGAUAAGAUCUUCUUAUAAUAUGUGGGAUCCAAUAUGGACGUCUAGUUACUGCUAUUGGAUAUUGACCGGAGAGUGUCUCAGUCAUGUCUACAUAGUUCUCGAACCCGCAGGAUCUGCACACUUAAGGUUAGGUGACGUUUUCGGUAUAGUUGAAUUAUUGAUGUUGGUAACUGAAUGUUGUUUGGAGUCCCGGAUGAGAUCCCAGAUGUCACGAGUGUCUCCAAAAUGGUCCAGAAAUGAAGAUUGAUAUAUAGGAUUGUUGCAUUUGGCUUCCGGAAAGAUUUCGGGCANNNNNNNNNNNNNNNNNNNNNNNNNNNNNNNNNNNNNNNNNNNNNNNNNNNNNNNNNNNNNNNNNNNNNNNNNNNNNNNNNNNNNNNNNNNNNNNNNNNNGGUAUGCUUGUGAUGUGAUAUGGCCAAAGACAUGAUAUGGUGUAUUGGAUGUAUGAGAUGAUCAUGUUGUAAUAGUUAAAUAUCGACUUGCAUGUCGAUGCUACGGCAACCGGCAGGAGCCAUAGGGUUGUUUAUAAAUUUAUUUUCCGCUUGCAGAUGCUCUCGCUAUAUUGCUAGGCAGUAGCUUUAGUAGUAAUAGCAUAGAUAGAGUGACAACCAUGAUGGUAGCACAAUGAUGGAGAUCAUGGUGUGGCACCGGUGACGAUGGAGAUCAUGCCGGUGCUUUGGUGAUGGAGAUCAAGAAGGACGAUUUCAUGGCCAUAUCAUGUCACUGAUGAUUUGCAUGUGAUGUUAAUCCUUUUAUGCACCUUAUUUUGCUUGGAACGACGGUAGCAUUAUAAGGUGAUCCCUCACUAAUAUUUCAAGAUAAAAUUGUGUUUUCCUCAACUGUGCACCAUUGAUCGGGUGUGAUGGACUCAACGUUCACAUACAACGGGUACAAAACAGUUGCACACGUAGAACACCCGGGUUAAACUUGACGAGCCUAGCUAGCAUGUACAUACAUGGCCUUGAAACACAAGAGACCAAAAGGUCGAGCGUGAAUCAUAUAGUUGAUAUGAUCAACAUGCAGAUGUUCACCACUGAAACUAUACUCAACUCACGUGAUGAUCGGACUUGAGUUAGUGAAUUAUGAUCAUGCGACACUCGAAUGACUAGAGGGAUGUCUAUUUGAGUAGGAGUUUAUUAGUAAUAUGAUUAGCUAAACUCAAUUGUAUUGAACAUAAUCUAAGUAAUCUUUGCAAAAUUUUAUGUUGUAUAUCAAUGGUCGCACAGUAGCAACCCUGAAUUUUAAUACGUUCCUAGAGAAAGCUAAGCUGAAAGAUGAUGGAAGCAACUUUGUUGACUGGGCUCAAAAUUUGAGGCUUAUCCUCCAAGCUGGCCAAAAGCAAUAUGUGCUUGAUGCUGCGCUAGGUGAUGCACCACCCACUACGGCAACCCAAGAUGUUUUAAACGCUUGGCAAGUGUGUAAGGAUGACUACUCACUAGUUCAAUGUGUAGUUUUGUAUGGCUUAGAACCGGGACUUCAAAGACGUUUUGAACGUCAAGGAGCAUAUGAGAUGUUCCAGGAGUUGAAGUUUAUCUUUGAGCAGAAUGCCCGGAUCGAGAGGUAUGAGACCUCCGAUAAGUUAUAUGCUUGCAAAAUGGAGGAGAAUUCAUCUGUCCGUGAACACAUGCUCAUAAUGUCUGGGUACUCUAACCGACUAUGUGAACCGGGGAUUGAACUCUCGUAAGAAGCUAGCACUCACCGAAUUCUUCAGUCACUGCCACCUAGCUAUAAGAGCUUCGUGUUGAACUAUAACACACAAGGGAUGAGUAAUUCACCCGACGAGUUAUUUGCGAUGCUGAAAGUCACUGAGUCACAAAUCCGGAAAGAACAUCAAGUGUUGAUGGUCAAUCAGACCAGUAGUUUCAAGAAAAACGGCAAAGGCAAGAAGGGUAACUCCAAGAAGAGUGGCAAAGCUGUUGCCCCUCCGACGAAGAAACCCAAGGCUGGACCUAAGCUAAAAACUGUGUGCUAUUAUUGCAAGCAGACCGGUCACUAGAAGUGCAACUGCCCCAAGUAUCUAGCCGAUAAGAAGGCGGCUAACGCCAAACAAGGUAUAUUUGAUAUACAUGGUAUUGAUGUGUACCUCACCAACUCUCGUAGUAGUGCCUGCGUAUUUGAUACCGGUUCUGUUGCUCACAUUUGCAACUCGAAAUAGGAACUGCUGAAUAAACGAAGGCUAGCGAAGGAUGAAGUGACGAUGCGCGUGGGAAAUGGUUCCAAGGUUGAUGAUCGCCGUCGGCACGGUCUCAAUUCAAUUACCAUCGGGAUUAGUGAUGAACUUAAAUAAUUGUUAUUUAGUGCCUGCGUUGAGCAUGAACAUUAUAUCUGGAUCUUGUUUAUUGCGAGACGAUUACCCAUUUAAGUCAGAGAAUAAUGGUUGUUCUAUUUAUAUGANNNNNNNNNNNNNNNNNNNNNNNNNNNNNNNNNNNNNNNNNNNNNNNNNNNNNNNNNNNNNNNNNNNNNNNNNNNNNNNNNNNNNNNNNNNNNNNNNNNNCCACACCCUUGUUGUUGAGAAUCCUUGGAUUUUCCCUGGUAGACCAUUGUUGCCAGACCAGUGAGGGCACAUUCUCUAAACUCCUCCAAGGUGGAGGAGAGUAUUUCCCCCUUUAUGGGGAUAUUUCCUCCGAGUCCCAUCACUCAUGUCUUAUUGACACCACGUAAGUGUACGUUAGUCCAGCAUCAUAUUUUCAUGAUGCUAUAUGAGUGACCGUGUGCUAUAUGAUUGUCUUGAUUGCACGUGCAUAUGAGUGACCUUGUUCCAUAUUUUCACCCCAUCUUUAUUUUUUUUCCUAAGGAAAUCUUGGGGACAAGAUUUAUUUUUAAGGGGGGUAGUGUUUGUGACGCCCCAAAAAUUUAACCAUAUUUGUACUAAUUAAAAUAUUGCCUCAAACAAAACUUUUGAAAAUGAAUUACUUCUUUGCUUAUUUGAGAACAUCUUCUCUAAAACUUUUCCCUCCAAGUAGACUUUUGAAAAGCAUUAUCGAUUUGUGUAUUGGUAUAAAUUCAUUCUAUUUCAUUUUUGGGGGGGGGGNNNNNNNNNNNNNNNNNNNNNNNNNNNNNNNNNNNNNNNNNNNNNNNNNNNNNNNNNNNNNNNNNNNNNNNNNNNNNNNNNNNNNNNNNNNNNNNNNNNNUUAGUUCAUGAUAAUCGUUUAUUAUCCAUGCUAUAAUUGUAUUGAUUGGAAACACAAUACUUGUGUGGAUACAUAGACAAAACACUGUCCCUAGUAAGCCUCUAGUUGACCAGCUCGUUGAUCAAGGAUGGUCAAGGUUUCUUGGCCAUAGGCAAGUGUUGUCACUUGAUAACGGGAUCACAUCAUUAGGAGAAUCAUGUGAUGGACUAGACCCAAACUAAUAGACAUAGCAUGUUGAUCGUGUCAUUUUGUUGCUACUGUUUUCUGCNNNNNNNNNNNNNNNNNNNNNNNNNNNNNNNNNNNNNNNNNNNNNNNNNNNNNNNNNNNNNNNNNNNNNNNNNNNNNNNNNNNNNNNNNNNNNNNNNNNNNNNNNNNNNNNNNNNNNNNNNNNNNNNNNNNNNNNNNNNNNNNNNNNNNNNNNNNNNNNNNNNNNNNNNNNNNNNNNNNNNNNNNNNNNNNNNNNNNNNNNNNNNNNNNNNNNNNNNNNNNNNNNNNNNNNNNNNNGUAACUGGGUGACUAUAAAGAUGCUCUACAGGUAUCUCCGAAGGUGUUCGUUGAGUUAGUAUGGAUCGAGACUGGGAUUUGUCACUCCGUGUGACGGAGAGGUAUCUCGGGGCCCACUCGGUAAUACAACAUCACACACAAGCCUUGCAAGCAAUGUGACUUAGUGUAAGUUGCGGGAUCUUGUAUUACGGAACGAGUAAAGAGACUUGCCGGUAAACGAGAUUGAAAUAGGUAUGCGGAUACUGACGAUCGAAUCUCGGGCAAGUAACAUACCGAAGGACAAAGGGAAUGACAUACGGGAUUAUAUGAAUCCUUGGCACUGAGGUUCAACCGAUAAAGAUCUUCGGAAUAUGUAGGAUCCAAUAUGGGCAUCCAGGUCCCGCUAUUGGAUAUUGACCGAGGAGUCCCUCGGGUCAUGUCUACAUAGUUCUCGAACCCGCAGGGUCUGCACACUUAAGGUUCGACGUUGUUUUAUGUGUAUUUGAGUUAUAUGGUUGGUUACCGAAUGUUGUUCGGAGUCCCGGAUGAGAUCACGGACGUCAUGAGGGUUUCCGGAAUGGUCCGGAAACGAAGAUUGAUAUAUAGGAUGACCUCAUUUGGUUACCGGAAGGUUUUUGUGCAUUACCGGAAAAGUUUCGGGCUCAUCGGUAGUGUACUGGGAGUGCCGGGAGGGGUGCCGGGGACCAUCAGGAGGGGUGUCACGCCCCAAGGGGUCUCAUGGGCUAUGGUAAGAGAUAAACCAGCCCCUAGUGGGCUGGAAUAAGUUCCCACUAAGGCCCAUAAGGUUUGAGAAGGAAAAAACACAAGGUGGAAAGAGUUUCCAUGUGGGAAGGUGGAAUCCUACUCCAAGUAGGAUUGGAGUAGGACUCCUCCACCUCCAAUUUUGGCCAAACCUUUAGGUUUUGAGGCUGCCCCCUCCCCUCCCUCCCUCCUAUAUAUACUGAGGUAUUAGGGCUGAUUUGAGACAACUUUUGCCACGGCGGCCCGACCACAUACCUCCACGGUUCUACCUCUAGAUCGCGUUUCUGCGGAGCUCGGGCGGAGCCCUGCUGAGAUUAGAUCACCACCAACCUCCGGAGCGCCGUCACGCUGCCGGAGAACUCAUCUACCUCUCCAUCUCUCUUGUUGGAUCAAGAAGGCCGAGAUCAUCGUCGAGCUGUACGUGUGCUGAACGCGGAGGUGCCGUCCGUUCGGCACUAGAUCGUGGGACUGUUCGCGGGAUGGUUCGCGGGGCGGAUCGAGGGACGUGAGGACGUUCCACUACAUCAACCGCGUUCACUAACGCUUCCGCUGUGUGAUCUACAAGGGUACGUAGAUCGGAAAUCCCCUCUCGUAGAUGAACAUCACCAUGAUAGGUCUUCGUGCGCGUAGGAAAAUUUUUGUUUCCCAUGCGACGUUCCCCAACAGUGGCAUCAUGAGCUAGGUUCAUGCGUAGAUGUCUUCUCGAGUUGAACACAAAAGUUUUUGUGGCCGGUGAUGUGCGUUUUUCUGCCCUCCUUAGUCUUUUCUUGAUUCUGCGGUAUUGUUGGAUCGAAGCGGCUCGAACCGACAUUACUCGUACGCUUACGAGAGACUGGUUUCAUCGCUACGAGUAACUCCGUUGCUCAAAGAUGACUGGUGGGUGUCAGUUUCUCCAACUUUAGUUGAAUCGGAUUUGACCGAGGAGGUCCUUGGAUGAGGUUAAAUAGCAACUCAUAUAUCUCCGUUGUGGUGUUUUCGUAAGUAAGAUGCGAUCCUACUAGAUACCCAUGGUCACCACGUAAAACAUGCAACAACAAAAUUAGAGGACGUCUAACUUGUUUUUGCAGGGUAUGCUUGUGAUGCGAUAUGGCCAACGAUGUGAUGUGAUAUAUUGGAUGUAUGAGAUGAUCAUGUUGUAAUAGUUAAUAUUGACUUUCACGUCGAUGGUACGGCAACCGGCAGGAGCCAUAGGGUUGUCUUUAAACUAACGUUUGUGCUUGCAGAUGCGUUUACUAUAUUUCUAGGACGUAGCUUUAGUAGUAAUAGCAUGAGUAGCAUGACAACCCCGAUGGAGACACGUUGAUGGAGAUCAUGAUGAUGGAGAUCAUGGUGUGACGCCGGUGACAAGAAGAUCGUGCCGGUGCUUUGGUGAUGGAGAUCAAGAAGCACAUGAUGAUGGCCAUAUCAUGUCACUUAUGAAUUGCAUGUGAUGUUAAUCCUUUAUGCACCUUAUCUUGCUUAGAACGACGGUAGCAUUAUGAGGUGAUCUCNNNNNNNNNNNNNNNNNNNNNNNNNNNNNNNNNNNNNNNNNNNNNNNNNNNNNNNNNNNNNNNNNNNNNNNNNNNNNNNNNNNNNNNNNNNNNNNNNNNNGCAGGGUCUGCACACUUUAGGUUCGACGUUGUUUUAUGCGUAUUUGAGUUAUAUGGUUGGUUACAGAAUGUUGUUCGGAGCCCCGGAUGAGAUCACGGACGUCACGAGGGUUUCCGGAAUGGUCCGGAAACGAAGAUUGAUAUAUAGGAUGACCUCAUUUGGUUACCGGAAGGUUUUCGUGCAUUACCGGAAAAGUUUCGGGCUCAUCGGUAGUGUACUGGGAGUGCCGGGAGGGGUGCCGGGGACCAUCAGGAGGGGUGUCACGCCCCAAGGGGUCUCAUGGGCUAUGGUAAGAGAUAAACCAGCCCCUAGUGGGCUGGAAUAAGUUCCCACUAAGGCCCAUAAGGUUUGAGAAAGAAAAAACACAAGGUGGAAAGAGUUUCCAAGUGGGAAGGUGGAAUCCUACUCCAAGUAGGAUUGGAGUAGGACUCCUCCACCUCCAAUUUCGGCCAAACCUUUAGAUUUUGAGGCUGCCCCCUCCCCUCCCUCCCUCCUAUAUAUACUGAGGUAUUAGGGCUGAUUUGAGACAACUUUUGCCACGGCGGGCCGACCACAUACCUCCACGGUUCUACCUCUAGAUCGCGUUUCUGCGAAGCUCGGGCGGAGCCCUGCUGAGAUUAGAUCACCACCAACCUCCGGAGCGCCGUCACGCUGCCGGAGAACUCAUCUACCUCUCCGUAUCUCUUGUUGGAUCAAGAAGGCCGAGAUCAUCGUCGAGCUGUACGUGUGCUGAACGCGGAGGUGCCGUCCGUUCAGCACUAGAUCGUGGGACUGUUCGCGGGACGGUUCGCGGGGCGGAUCGAGGGACGUGAGGACGUUCCACUACAUNNNNNNNNNNNNNNNNNNNNNNNNNNNNNNNNNNNNNNNNNNNNNNNNNNNNNNNNNNNNNNNNNNNNNNNNNNNNNNNNNNNNNNNNNNNNNNNNNNNNUAAAAACCUUUGUGUUCUUGAGAGUGAGAGUGAGGCGAGCCCACCUCGGCCUCACCCUUCUCUCCCGCCCAGCCGCAACAGCCCAGCAGCCCGACCUACGGUAGCUCGCAGCCCCGCAGCCCACCAGCCCGCUAGCGACAGGAGCUUCAUUCUCCUUUCCACGACACCCCAUCCAGAAGAGCCACGACAGCCAUGCCUUGAUUUGAUGGACUCAGCUCGCCCUAGCUGCCUAUAUAGGUUUCCUGGUGCCCUAGGUCCUCCCCACAACCCAUUCCUCCCUUCUCCUUGCCUUGCCGCCACUGGUAGGUCUUCUCCAAGCAUCGCCAUCGCCCUACUCGCCAUGAAUCGACCGAGCUUCUUCUCGAGCCCGGUGUAGUUCAUCGCUGCCACGUCCGGCCCUCCUGUCACCAUGGAUUGAACCACAGAGGCAGGCCCUUCGUCCCCGAGAACAAGCCGCGGCCUGCAGCCCCUGGAGCGCCCUCCCCUUGCCGUCUUCCUCCUCUGCGUUUCGGGUUGAGGAGCGCGCCGGAGUUCGCCGACAUGUAGCACCGUCUUCAUCACGCCCCAUCCAUCUUCUUCGUGUCGUUGGUAAGGAAGGCAUUCUCUAUGUUCCAUUCAGUCCUUCCCCGCCUCCGUUCAUGUCGCGCAGGUGCCAAAUCAUUCGUGCCAAGAUCGUGCUCUCCGUGCUCGGGCUGAAGCUGCCAUUUUUUUGUUCUCGCGUGUAUGUGUGUGGUGCGUAGUUCCAAAUUAGCCCGCGUGCACUGUGCCUUGCUUCCCUAGUGGUCUCACCGCCAUUUUGUGGUAGCCGCCACUUGCCGCAUCGCCUCGCUUGCCGCUGCCGCUAGCCCGUGCCGCGGCCAUGCCCGAGCUCGAUCUCGAGCUCGAGGUCCUUGCCGUGUGGGCCUCUCGCCCCACUUCUCAUCCUCAAGGGGCCCUGGUGUCAUUGCCAGUGGGACUCUCUGUUUUAUUUUUAUUAUUUAUGUUUAUUUUAUCUCUUUAUUCCAUUUUUGGAAGAUUCCAAAUAGGGAAUUGUCCAAAUGUGGAUCUGUCCAAAUCUGGAAUAUGCCAAAUCUGGCAUAUAAUUUAUUACACCUAGUUUGUGAAAAUUUCGUUUUAGUUUUGUGUGUGAAUUUCCUAUAGAAAUAUAUGAGUAUGAUAUAUGAAAUUGGGGUAGAAUUUUCUUGUGAAUAAAAUGGUGGUAUUAGUUUUGUCUUUUGGGAAAGUUUGCAGAAAUGUUAUUUUUUGAUGAGGUGGAAUUUUGUGAAUUUUGUGUGGUUUAAUUCCUGCAUGCUAUGAUGAACUUGUCAACAUGGAAGUGCUAGUGUUUUGUGGGCACUAGGCGCUGCUAUUUUCCUUUGCUAGGAUAAGCUAGUAGUUUAGUAUAUUUCUUGUUGUAAAGUAACUAAGAAAAUGUUGCUGGUUUCACAUGCUAAAUAUUUCUAAGUGUUGAAAUCAGUUAUUUUCUUACCACAUUGUGUUCAUGAUUCCCAUGAAUACAUUACUCCUUUGUGUUUGUUCAAAUGCCAUGAAUUGUUGUGCCUGUUAACCUCUAUCAAANNNNNNNNNNNNNNNNNNNNNNNNNNNNNNNNNNNNNNNNNNNNNNNNNNNNNNNNNNNNNNNNNNNNNNNNNNNNNNNNNNNNNNNNNNNNNNNNNNNNCCACACCCUUGUUGUUGAGAAUCCUUGGAUUUUCCCUGGUAGACCAUUGUUGCCAGACCAGUGAGGGCACAUUCUCUAAACUCCUCCAAGGUGGAGGAGAGUAUUUCCCCCUUUAUGGGGAUAUUUCCUCCGAGUCCCAUCACUCAUGUCUUAUUGACACCACGUAAGUGUACGUUAGUCCAGCAUCAUAUUUUCAUGAUGCUAUAUGAGUGACCGUGUGCUAUAUGAUUGUCUUGAUUGCACGUGCAUAUGAGUGACCUUGUUCCAUAUUUUCACCCCGUCUUUAUUUUUUUUCCUAAGGAAAUCUUGGGGACAAGAUUUAUUUUUAAGGGGGGUAGUGUUUGUGACGCCCCAAAAAUUUAACCAUAUUUGUACUAAUUAAAAUAUUGCCUCAAACAAAACUUUUGAAAAUGAAUUACUUCUUUGCUUAUUUGAGAACAUCUUCUCUAAAACUUUUCCCUCCAAGUAGACUUUUGAAAAGCAUUAUCGAUUUGUGUAUUGGUAUAAAUUCAUUCUAUUUCAUUUUUAUAAAAAAAUGUGAAUUUAAAAUCUUUUAAAGGAUUUUUCAUCNNNNNNNNNNNNNNNNNNNNNNNNNNNNNNNNNNNNNNNNNNNNNNNNNNNNNNNNNNNNNNNNNNNNNNNNNNNNNNNNNNNNNNNNNNNNNNNNNNNNGAACACAAAGGUUUUUAUUUUUUAUAAAACCACGUAUUUUUCCCUAAAUCAUACAGAAAAAUAGAGGAGGUUUUUGGGGAGAAAUAAAAUAUGUCUGAACUCACAAAAUAAACCCUAUUUGAAAAAUUGACUUUGGCAUAUUUAGAGCAAUAAAAUAAAACCCAUAUUUUAAUUAUAACAAUAUGUUUUUGCAAAGAUGUCAAAGCAAAAUACUUCAACAUGGUUAGAACUAAUUUUUAUGAGCAUAACAGAAUAUUUAUGGAAGUGCAACAUUUAUUAUAUGUACUAGGGCAAGUAAAAAUCACCGCAUUUGCAUUAUUAGAGAAGAGAGGUGGCAUAAUUUUUUAUGGAAGUUGAAGAGAGGGGUUUUAAUCAAAGAAUAUUACUAGUUUGCAAGCAGUCAUACCACACACACACUCAUAACAACAUCACCACAUAAAACAAGCAUGAGGCAAAACAUGAAUUAUGACAUGAUGAUUAUGAUGCCAUGAUGCAACAUCCCAUGAAGAAAAAUUAUUGUAACUCAAACCACAUAAUGGCAAUAAGAAGGUUCACACAUGACACAUUACAAAUAAAGGACGGGGUGCAGUUGGGCUGUUACAACUCUCCCACACUACAAGAGGAUCUCGACCCGAAAUCUAGCGCUGAAAGAACUCUGGAUAUUCGGAACAGAGAAAGUCAUCACGUUCCCAAGUGGCUGCUUUAUCGAAAUGGUGUGACCAUUUAAAUUUGAGGAACUUGGUAGACUUGUUUCGAGUCUUACGCUCGGUCUCUUUGAGAAUGGCAAUNNNNNNNNNNNNNNNNNNNNNNNNNNNNNNNNNNNNNNNNNNNNNNNNNNNNNNNNNNNNNNNNNNNNNNNNNNNNNNNNNNNNNNNNNNNNNNNNNNNNUCUUUGAAGAUUAAUUGAAACAUGAUGAUGAUCAUGAAGUGGGAUAUAACCAUAAUUAUUAUGAAUUUUUUUGUGGACUAAUCAUUUCUGGUAUAUGAAUUUUUGAGUAUCCCUGGGACGGUUCUACCUCCUCGAUACUCGAUUUUAUUAUUAUCAUAUAAUCCCUUUUUGUGGUGUCGCUUAGACGCCCGACUGUGGCAACUGCUAUUAUUAUCAUAUAAGCCCUUUAUGUGGUGUCGCUUAGUCGCCCGAGUGUGGCAACUGUUAUUACUUUUAUAUUAGCCUUUUUUGUGGUGCCUCUCAGACACCGGACUAUAGCACAAAUACUAUUACUUAUUCAUCGUUAUUACAUUCUUAUAAGCCCUUUUUGUGGUGUCUCUCCAGACGCCCAACUGCGGCACACAUAUUAAUAUUUAAUUAUAAUACAAUUUUGCAGUGUCGCCCCAGACACCCGACUAUGGCAUUACUUUAUUUAUGCUAAUAUAAGUCCCUUUAUGUGGCGUCGCUUAGACACGUGACUGUGGCUUAUAUUGCUUGUCCUUUUGAGGUGUCGCCUGAGAGGCCCAAUCGACAAAUUGAAAUUGAUUGUUACUCUCUACCUUGUUUGCUUAUACAUCACGAGUAGGAAUGAUUUAUCUGCAUGACUGCAUCCGUGAAUUAAAUCCUAUGGCAUUUGAGGUGGUAUUAAAUUUUUUGUGCAUGCAUCUCACCUGCUUUAACUUAUAUUUUUUCAUGAUGUUUGCGAGUACAUUCAAAGUACUCAAUGGCUUGUCCCCGACCAUUGUCUUGGCCAGAUUUCAUAUUUGGAGAGGAACACGAUGAUAUCAAUCCCAGAACCUAGGAGUUUGGGAUCGCAGGCUUGCGAGAUAGGAGGUAUCCAGGUAAGCUAUUCGUGUGGAAAUGGAAUCCCAUGGACGUUGGAGAUCCGCGAGUCUCUUCCGUCGUCAGCGUUCAGACCUUUUGUUCAACCCCAUGGACCUUCAUGGUCUUGUAACCCAAAUUUUGUAUUUUCUUGGAAUUUCUAUAUCAAGUGGGCGUCCACCAGCUAACAGUAAUCAUUGGGCUGGUGAACACAAGGCUUGUUUUCUAGGAAUUAUAUAUUCUGGAAAACCGGUCGCUACAACCUUGGUAUUAGAGCCAGGCUGACCAUUGGCUAAUCAUAUCUUAGCCAUGUCUCUAUUCCUAGCCCGGGUAUUUAUAUAACCACCACCCAGCCUAGCCUAUGCAAUAGCCAACCACAACGGCCAUCCGACCCUUUGUGGCAGUCGGUGCCCAACCUGGUAGCUAGCCCAUAGGCCACGUGUGUGUGACUGACACAGGAGAUGUGGCAUCCCCUAGCAUGCGACGGAAGAAUCCCUUAACCUAUAAAGGAAAGCAUUUCCUCAACCCAGCAACCCGCAACCUUGAGCCCCACCACAAUAACCCCAAACCAACAAGAUGCCUAGCCAUGUUAUUUUCAACGAGACAACUUCAUCUGAGCCGGUAGACUUCGUAGCCGACCUCACCCGCCAAAUUUUUGGCAUAGAAGAGCCCCAAUGUAUGUUGUGCAUGAGGAACCUGCGAGUGAUGNNNNNNNNNNNNNNNNNNNNNNNNNNNNNNNNNNNNNNNNNNNNNNNNNNNNNNNNNNNNNNNNNNNNNNNNNNNNNNNNNNNNNNNNNNNNNNNNNNNNCUAAUAUUAUAUGUGGAUGACAUAUUGCUGAUUGGAAACAAUAUAGAGUUUUUGUAAACGUAAAGGCUUACUUGAAUAAAAGUUUUUCAUUGAAAGAUCUAGGAGAAGCUUUUUACAUAUUGGGCAUAAAGAUCUAUAGAGAUAGGUCAAGGAGCCUAAUAGCUCUUUCAUAAAUCACAUACCUUGAUAAAGUUUUGAAGAAGUUCAAAAUGGAACAAUCCAAGAAGGGGUUCUUGCCUGUGUUACAAGGUAUAAAGUUGAGUAAGACUCAAUGUCAAGUAACUGCAGAAGAUAGAGAAAAGAUGAGUGUCGUCCCUUAUGCUUCAGCCAUAGGGUCUAUCAUGUAUGCAAUGUUGUGCACAAGACCGGAUGUCAGCCUAGACAUAAGUAUGACAGGCAGGUUUCAAAGUGAUCCAGGAGUGGAACACUGGGAGGCGGUCAAGAAUAUUCUGAAGUACCUGAAAAGGACUAAGGAAAUGUUUCUCGUUUAUGGAGGUGACAAAGAGCUCGUCGUAAAGGGUUACGUCGAUGCAAGCUUUGACACUGAUCCGGAUGACUCUAAGUCUCAAACUGGAUACGUAUUUAUUCUUAACGGGGGUGUGGGAAGCUGGUGAAGUUCCAAGCAAAGCGUCGUAGCUGAUUCUGCAUGCGAAGUGGAGUACAUAGCUGCCUCAGAGGCGGCUAAGGAGGGUGUCUGGAUGAAGCAGGUCACAUCGCAUCUUGGAGUAAUGUCAAGUACACUGGAACCAAUCAAUCUGUUCUAUGACAAAACUCGUGCCAUUGCUCUAGCCAAGGAACCAAGGUUUCACAAGAGGACCAUACACAUAAAGCGAUUCUUCAAUGCCAUCUGCGAUUACAUCAAGGAGGAGGACAUAAAUAUUUUCAAAGUGCAGACAGAUCAGAAUGUUGCAGAUCCGCUGACUAAACCUCUUCCACGAACAAAGCAUGAUAAACACUAGAACUGUAUGGGUGUUAGAUACAUUACAUUCUAAAUCACAUAGAGAUGUGAAGCUAGAUUAUUGACUCUAGUUCAAGUGGGAGACUAUUGGAAAUAUGCCCUUGAGACAAUAAUAAAAUAGUUAUUAUUAUAUUUCCUGUUUCAAUAUAAUCGUUUAUUGUGCAUGCUAUAAUUGUAUUGAAUGGAAACAUAAAUGCAUGUGUGGAUAUAUAGACAAAACAAUGUCCCUAGUGAGCCUCUAGUUGAAUAGCCUAUUGGUCAAGGAUGGUUAAGGUUUCCUAGCCAUAGACAAGUUUUCUCACUUGAUGACGAGAUCACAUCAUUAGGAGAAUGAUGUGAUGGACAAGACCCAAACUAUAAACGUAGCAUAUGAUCAUGUCAUUUUGUUGCUAUUGUUUUCAGCAUGUCAAGUAUACAUUCCUAUGACCAUGAGAUCAUGUAACUCACUNNNNNNNNNNNNNNNNNNNNNNNNNNNNNNNNNNNNNNNNNNNNNNNNNNNNNNNNNNNNNNNNNNNNNNNNNNNNNNNNNNNNNNNNNNNNNNNNNNNNGAUCUGGUAUCUUCCGUUUAUUAGUCACGAUAUCUUUCAUGUACUUGGCAUACGGACAUAUCUUGAGUAUAUCAGUUAACCGCAUCUGCAGAAAGAUGGGUCUUAUCAUCUCAACAAAGCGCUCAAAAUCCUCAUCAUCCUUUUUCUUGGAUGGCUUAGGAGGAAAGGGUAUAGAUCUCUUAACCCAUGGCUCCCUUUCUUUACCAUGCUUCCUAGCAGUAAAGUCAUUCUUGUCGUAUCUCUUAGGUUGUGGGUUAUCAGGAUUAACCGUAGGUUCGAUCUCGACAUCCUCAUUAUUGCUAGGUUGAGCAUUAUUAUGAACAUCACUGUCCAUAUUGUCACCAGGUUCAUGUUCAUCACCAGAUUGUGUUUCUGCAUCAGACGCAGAAAUAUCAUUAGGUUCUUCAGGUGUGACAGUAAUUGGUGAACUGGCAUGUAGGUUUCUAUCAUCCUUGUUCUUCUCCUUAGGAUGACUGGGUGUAUCAGCAUUAAUUCCUUGAGAAUCUUGAUCAAUUCUCUUAGGAUGACCUUCAGGAUACAAAGGUUCCUGAGUCAUUUUGCCUCCUCUAGUAAUGACUCUGACAGAGUUGUCAUUUAAUUCAUUGAGCAGGUCAUUCUGAGCUUUAAAUACUUGUUCUACCUGAGUAGUAAUCAUAGAGGCAUGUUUACUCAGAAGCUUCAGAUCAUUGAAAUUUCUGUCUAAUCAAGCACUUGGAUGGCUAAGCAUACGAGUACUUUGUUCCAAAUGUCUGCUAACGUAAUCAUUGAAACUCUGUUGUUUGGCAACAAAGUUGUCAAAUUCAUCAAAGCAUAGGCUAGCAGUUUUGUCAAAAGGAAUAUCACUCUCAUCAAACCUACGCAGAGAAUUCACUUCUACUACUUGUAUCGGGUUAUCGAGACCAUGGAUCUCUUCGAUAGGUGGUAGAUUUUUGACAUCUUCAGAUCUAAUGCCUUUCUCUUGCAUAGAUUUCUUGGCUUCUUGCAUAUCUUCGGGACUNNNNNNNNNNNNNNNNNNNNNNNNNNNNNNNNNNNNNNNNNNNNNNNNNNNNNNNNNNNNNNNNNNNNNNNNNNNNNNNNNNNNNNNNNNNNNNNNNNNNUGCCCGAAAUCUUUCCGGAAGCCAAAUGCAACAAUCCUAUAUAUCAAUCUUCAUUUCUGGACCAUUUUGGAGACACUCGUGACAUCUGGGAUCUCAUCCGGGACUCCAAACAACAUUCAGUUACCAACAUCAAUAAUUCAACUAUACCGAAAACGUCACCUAACCUUAAGUGUGCAGAUCCUGCGGGUUCGAGAACUAUGUAGACAUGACCGAGACACUCUCCGGUCAAUAUCCAAUAGCAGUACCUAGACGUCCAUAUUGGAUCCCACAUAUUAUAAGAAGAUCUUAUCGGCUAAACCUCUAUGUCAAGGAUUCACACAAUCCCGUAUAUCAUUCCCUUUGUCCUUCGGUAUGUUACUUUCCCGAGAUUCGAUCAUCGGUAUCGCCAUACCUAUUUCAGUCUCGUUAUCCGCAAAUCUCUUUACUCGUUCCGUAAUACAAGAUCCCGUGACUAACUCUUUAGUCACAUUGCUUGCAAGGCUUGUUUGUGAUGUUGUAUUACCGACUGGGCCCUGAGAUACCUCCUCGUCACAAGUAGUGACAAAUCCCAGUCUUGAUCCUUGAUAACGCAGCACACACCUUCGGAGAUGCUUGUAGAGUACCUUUACCAAGUAAUGUUGCAACGUUUGAUACACACAAGGCAUUCCUCCGGUGUUAGUGAGUUACAUGAUCUCAUGGUCAUAGGAAUGUAUACUUGACAUGCUGAAAACAAUAGCAACAAAAUGACAUGAUCAUAUGCUACGUUUAUAGUCUGGGUCUUGCCCAUCACAUCAUUCUCCUAAUGAUGUGAUCUCGUCAUCAAGUGAGAAAACUUGUCUAUGGCUAGGAAACCUUAACCAUCCUUGACCAAUAGGCUAUUCAACUAGAGGCUCACUAGGGACAUUGUUUUGUCUAUAUAUCCACACAUGCAUUUAUGUUUCCAUUCAAUACAAUUAUAGCAUGCACAAUAAACGAUUAUCUUGAAAUAGGAAAUAUAAUAAUAACUAUUUUAUUAUUGUUUCAAGGGCAUAUUUCCAAUAGUCUCCCACUUGAACUAGAGUCAAUAAUCUAGCUUCACAUCUCUAUGUGAUUUAGAAUGUAAUGUAUCUAACACCCAUACAGUUCUGGUGUUUAUCAUGCUUUGUUCGUGGAAGAGGUUUAGUCAGCGGAUCUGCAACAUUCUGAUCUGUCUGCACUUUGAAAAUAUUUAUGUCCUCCUCCUUGAUGUAAUCGCAGAUGGCAUUGAAGAAUCGCUUUAUGUGUAUGGUCCUCUUGUGAAACCUUGGUUCCUUGGCUAGAGCAAUGGCACGAGUUUUGUCAUAGAACAGAUUGAUUGGUUCCAGUGUACUGGGCACUACUCCAAGAUGCGACAUGAACUGCUUCAUCGAGACACCCUCCUUAGCCGCCUCUGAGGCAGCUAUGUACUCCACUUCGCAUGCAGAAUCAGCUACGACGCUUUGCUUGGAACUUCACCAGCUUCCCACACCCCCGUUAAGAAUAAAUACAUAUCCAGUUUGAGACUUAGAGUCAUCCGGAUCAGUGUCAAAGCUUGCAUCGACGUAACCCUUUACGACGAGCUCUUUGUCACCUCCAUAAACGAGAAACAUUUCCUUAGUCCUUUUCAGGUACUUCAGAAUAUUCUUGACCGCCUCCCAGUGUUCCACUCCUGGAUCACUUUGAAACCUGCCUGUCAUACUUAUGUCUAGGCUGACAUCCGGUCUUGUGCACAACAUUGCAUACAUGAUAGACCCUAUGGCUGAAGCAUAAGGGACGACACUCAUCUUUUCUCUAUCUUCUGCAGUUACUUGACAUUGAGUCUUACUCAACUUUAUACCUUGUAACACAGGCAAGAACCCCUUCUUGGAUUGUUCCAUUUUGAACUUCUUCAAAACUUUAUCAAGGUAUGUGAUUUAUGAAAGAGCUAUUAGGCUCCUUGACCUAUCUCUAUAGAUCUUUAUGCCCAAUAUGUAAAAAGCUUCUCCUAGAUCUUUCAAUGAAAAACUUUUAUUCAAGUAAGCCUUUACGUUUACAAAAACUCUAUAUUGUUUCCAAUCAGCAAUAUGUCAUCCACAUAUAAUAUUAGAAACUCUAUAGAGCUCUCACUCACUUUCUUGUAAAUACAAGAUUCUCCAAAAACUUGUAUAAACCCAAACGCCUUGAUCACCUCAUCAAAGCGUUGAUUCCCACUCCGAGAUGCUUGCGCCGGUCCAUAGAUGGAUUGCUGGAGCUUGCAUACUUUGUCAACAUUCUCUGGAUUCACAAAACCUUCGGGUUGCAUCAUAUACAAUUCUUCCUUAAGAAACCCGUUAGGCAACGCUGUUUUGACAUCCAUCUCCCAGAUUUCAUAAUAAAAAAAUGCAGCUAUUGCUAAUGAUUCGAACGGACUUAAGCAUCGCUACGGGUGAGAAUGUCUCAUCGUAGUCAACUCCUUGAAUUUGUGAAAAAACCUUUGCCACAAGUCAAGCUUUAUAAAUGGUCACGUUAUCGUUUGCGUGUGUCUUGUUCUUAAAGAUCCAUUUGUUCCGAAUAGCCUUUCGACCUUCAGGUAAUACUUACAAAAUCCAUAAUUUGUUUUCAUACAUAGAUCCUAUCUCAGAUUUCAUGGCUCCUAACCAUAUAUUGGAAUCUGGGCUCACCAUUGCUUCCCCAUAAUUCGCAGGCUCUUUGUUUUCCAACAACAUGAUUUACAAUAUAGGAUACUCGUACCACUCAGUAAAAGUACAUGCUCUUGUCGACCUGCAUGGUCCGACAGAAACUUGAUCUGAAGCUUCAUGAUCACCAUCAUUAGCUUCCUCUUCAACUGGUGUUGACUCGACAGAAAUUUCUUUCUGCCAUGCACCACCAUCUUGCUAAAGUAGAGGUUCCGCAACCUCAUCAAGUUCUAUCUUCCUCCCACUCAAUUCUUUCAAGAUAAACUCUUUCUCAAGAAAAGCUCCGUUCUUAGCGACAAACACUUUGCCCUCGGAUCUGAGAUAGAAGGAAUAACCAACUGUCUCUUUUAAGUAACCUAUGAAGACGCUUUUCUGCUUUGGGUUCCAGCUUUUUAGGCUGAAGCUUUUUGACAUAAGCAUCACAUUCUCAAACUUUAAGAAAUGACAACUUUGGCUUCUUGCCAUACCACAGCUCAUAUGGCGUCAUCUCAACAGAUUUUGAUGGUGCCCUAUUUAAAGUGAAUGCAUCUAUCUCCAAUGCACAGCCCCAAAAUGAUAAUGGCAAAUCGGUAAGAGACAUCAUAGAACGCAUCAUAUACAAUAAAGUACGAUUACGACGUUCGGACACACAAUUACGCUGUGGUGUGCCAGGUGGUGUUAACUGUGAAACAAUUCCACAUUGUCUUAAGUGGGCACCAAACUCGUAACUCACAUAUUCACCUCCUCAAUCAGAUCGUAGGAACUUGAUCUUCUUGCUACGAUGAUUUUCAACUUCACUCUGAAAUUGUUGGAACUUUUCAAACGUUUCAGAGCUGUGCUUCAUCAAGUAGAUAUAGCCAUACCUACUCAAAUCGUGAGUGAAGGUGAGAAAAUAACGAUUCCGCUGCGCGCCUCUAUGCUCAUUGGUCCGCACAGAUCAGUAUGUAUGAUCUCCCACAAGUCACUUGAACGCUGCAUUGUUCCAGAGAACGGAGUCUUAGUCAUCUUGCAUAUGAGACAUGGUUCGCAUGUGUCAAGUGAUUCAAAAUCAAGUGACUCCGAAAGUCCAUCAGCAUGGAGUUUCUUCCUGCGCUUGACACCAAUAUGACCAAAGCGGCAGUGCCACAAGAAAGUGGCACUAUCAUUGUUAACUCUACAUCUUUUUGUCUCAAUGUUACGAACAAACCCUUACAUUGGGUGCAUGACAAUAAAAUAUAUUACUCAUAUAAAUAGAACAACCAUUAUUCUCUGACUUAAAUGGGUAAUCGUCUCGCAAUAAACAAGAUCCAGAUAUAAUGUUCAUGCUCAACGCAGGCACUAAAUAACAAUUAUUUAAGUUCAUCACUAAUCCCGAUGGUAAUUGAAUUGAGACCGUGCCGACGGCGAUCGCAUCAACCUUGGAACCAUUUCCCACGCACAUUGUCAUUUCAUCCUUCGCUAGCCUUCGUUUAUUCAGCAGUUCCUAUUUCGAGUUGCAAAUGUGAGCAACAGAACCGGUAUCAAAUACGCAGGCACUACUACGAGAGUUGGUGAGGUACACAUCAAUACCAUGUAUAUCAAAUAUACCUUGUUUGGUGUUAGCCGCCUUCUUAUCGGCCAGAUACUUGGGGCAGUUGCANNNNNNNNNNNNNNNNNNNNNNNNNNNNNNNNNNNNNNNNNNNNNNNNNNNNNNNNNNNNNNNNNNNNNNNNNNNNNNNNNNNNNNNNNNNNNNNNNNNNCUCAUAUAAAUAGAACAACCAUUAUUCUCUGACUUAAAUGGGUAAUCGUCUCGCAAUAAACAAGAUCCAGAUAUAAUGUUCAUGCUCAACGCAGGCACUAAAUAACAAUUAUUUAAGUUCAUCACUAAUCCCGAUGGUAAUUGAAUUGAGACCGUGCCGACGGCGAUCGCAUCAACCUUGGAACCAUUUCCCACGCACAUUGUCAUUUCAUCCUUCGCUAGCCUUCGUUUAUUCAGCAGUUCCUAUUUCGAGUUGCAAAUGUGAGCAACAGAACCGGUAUCAAAUACGCAGGCACUACUACGAGAGUUGGUGAGGUACACAUCAAUACCAUGUAUAUCAAAUAUACCUUGUUUGGUGUUAGCCGCCUUCUUAUCGGCCAGAUACUUGGGGCAGUUGCACUUCUAGUGACCGGUCUGCUUGCAAUAAUAGCACACAGUUUUUAGCUUAGGUCCAGCCUUGGGUUUCUUCGUCGGAGGGGCAACAGCUUUGCCACUCUUCUUGGAGUUACCCUUCUUGCCUUUGCCGUUUUUCUUGAAACUACUGGUCUGAUUGACCAUCAACACUUGAUGUUCUUUCCGGAUUUGUGACUCAGUGACUUUCAGCAUCGCAAAUAACUCGUCGGGUGAAUUACUCAUCCCUUGUGUGUUAUAGUUCAACACGAAGCUCUUAUAGCUAGGUGGCAGUGACUGAAGAAUUCGAUGAGUGCUAGCUUCUUACGAGAGUUCAAUCCCCGGUUCACAUAGUCGGUUAGAGUACCCAGACAUUAUGAGCAUGUGUUCACGGACAGAUGAAUUCUCCUCCAUUUUGCAAGCAUAUAACUUAUCGGAGGUCUCAUACCUCUCGAUCCGGGCAUUCUGCUCAAAGAUAAACUUCAACUCCUGGAACAUCUCAUAUGCUCCUUGACGUUCAAAACGUCUUUGAAGUCCCGGUUCUAAGCCAUACAAAACUACACACUGAACUAGUGAGUAGUCAUCCUUACACACUUGCCAAGCGUUCAAAACAUCUUGGGUUGCCGUAGUGGGUGGUGCAUCACCUAGCGCGGCAUCAAGCACAUAUUGCUUUUGGCCAGCUUGAGGAUAAGCCUCAAAUUUCGAGCCCAGUCAACAAAGUUGCUUCCAUCAUCUUUCAGCUUAGCUUUCUCUAGGAACGUAUUAAAAUUCAGGGUUGCUACUGUGCGACCCAUUGAUAUACAACAUAAAAUUUUGCAAAGAUUACUUAGACUAUGUUCAAUACAAUUGAGUUUAGCUAAUCAUAUUACUAAUAAACUCCUACUCAAAUAGACAUCCCUCUAGUCAUUUGAGUGUCGCAUGAUCAAAAUUCACUAACUCAAGUCCGAUCAUCACGUGAGUUGAGUAUAGUUUCAGUGGUGAACAUCUGCAUGUUGAUCAUAUCAACUAUAUGAUUCAUGCUCUACCUUUUGGUCUCUUGUGUUUCAAGGCCAUGUAUGUACAUGCUAGCUAGGCUCGUCAAGUUUAACCCGAGUGUUCUACGUGUGCAACUGUUUUGUACCCGUUGUAUGUGAACGUUGAGUCCAUCACACCCGAUCAAUGGUGCACAGUUGGGGAAAACACAAUUUUAUCUUGAAAUAUUAGUGAGGGAUCACCUUAUAAUGCUACCGUUGUUCUAAGCAAAAUAAGGUGCAUAAAAGGAUUAACAUCACAUGCAAAUCAUCAGUGACAUGAUAUGGCCAUGAACUUGUCCUUCUUGAUCUCCAUCACCAAAGCACCGGCAUGAUCUCCAUCGUCACCGGUGCCACACCAUGAUCUCCAUCAUUGUGCUACCAUCAUGGUUGUCACUCUAUCUAUGCUAUUACUACUAAAGCUACUGCCUAGCAAUAUAGCGAGAGCAUCUGCAAGCGGAAAAUAAAUUUAUAAACAACCCUAUGGCUCCUGCCGGUUGCCGUAGCAUCGACAUGCAAGUCGAUAUUUAACUAUUACAACAUGAUCAUCUCAUACAUCCAAUACACCAUAUCAUGUCUUUGGCCAUAUCACAUCACAAGCAUACCCUGCAAAAACAAGUUAGACAUCCUCUAAUUUGUUGUUGCAUGUUUUACAUGGCUCCUAUGGGUAUCUAGUAUGAUCGCAUCUUACUUACGCAAAGCCACAGCGGUGAUAUGCGAAUUGCUAUUAAACCUUCUCCAAGGACCGCCUCGGUCAAAUCCGAUUCAACUAACGUUGAAGAAGCACACACCCGCCAGUCAUCUUUAUGCAACAAGUUGCAUGUAAGUCGAUGAAACUGGUCUCUCGUAAGCGUAUGAGUAAAGUUGGUCCGGGCCGCUUCAAUCCAACAAUGUCGUUGGAUCAAGAAAAUACUAAGGAGGGCAACAAAUUGAAUAUCAACGCCCACAAACUCUUUUGUGUUCUACUCGAGAUAUCAUCUACGCAUGAACCUAGCUCGUGAUGCCACUAUUGGGGAACGUUGCAUGGGAAACAAAAUUUCCCAACGCACUCAAAGACCUAUCAUGGUGAUGAUCAUCUAUGAGAGGGAUAUCAUAUCCACAUACCCUUGUAUAUCGCUAAGCGGGGAGCACUAAGAAACGCGGUUGAUGUAGUGGAACGUUUUCGCGAUCCAAAUCGCCACCAUCCCAUGAUUCGUCCCGAUCUAGCGCCGAACGGACGGCACCUCCGUGUUCAGCACACGUCCAGCUCGACGACGAUCUCCGCCUUCUUGAUCCAGCAAGGGAGAUGUAGAGGUAGCUGAAUUCUUCGGCAGCACGACGAUGUGGCGGUGAUGAUGGUGAAUCUACUCCGGCAGGGCUUUGUCGUGCCGUAACGAUCUAUCUAUGAGGUGUCAUGAAGUAGUGCAGGGAGAGAGGGCUGCACAAAGGCUUGAAGUUCCAAAACCCUCUCAAACUUCCACUAUAUAUAGGAGGAACCAAGGUGAGGGUGGCUUGCCUCCUACUCCAAGGAGGAGGCUUCGGCUGAGGCAACGAGGGAGGAGUCCUCCUCCAAUUCGGUUUGGUGGAGGACUCCUUCCCAUCUUGUCCACCUCCUUCCUUCUUUUUUCCCUCUUUAUUUUUGCAUUGGCCGAAAUAGGCUUAUUGGACUGGCCUCACCAGCCCACUAAAGUUUGGUGCACUAACCAUGGGCCUGUUAGGUCCUCUCUCGGGUGGGUGGCCCCUUCCGGUAAAACCCUAGAACCCAUUUGUCACUCUCGAUACUUUACCUGUAGUUCCCGAAAUAUUUUCGGAAGCCAAAUGCAACAAUCGUCUAUAUCAAUCUUUGUUUCUGGACCAUUUCGGAGACACUCGUGACGUCACGGAUCUCAUCCGGGACUCUGAACAAUAUUCAGUUACCAACAUCAAUAAUUCACCUAUACCGAAAACGUCACCUAACCUUAAGUGUGUAGACCCUGCGGGUUCGAGAACUAUGUAGACAUGACCGAGACACUCUCCAGUCAAUAUCCAAUAGCAGGACCUAGAUGUCCAUAUUGGAUCCUACAUAUGCUACGAAGAUCUUAUCGGUUGAACCUCUAUGUCAAGGAUUCACACAAUCCCGUAUAUCAUCCCCUUUAUCCUUCGGUAUGUUACUUGCCCGAGAUUCGAUCGUUGGUAUAACCAUACCUAUUUCAAUCUCAUUACCAACAAGUCUCUUUACUCGUUCUAUAAUACAAUAUCUCAUGGCUAACUCUUUAGUCACAUUGCUUGCAAGGCUUGUUUGUGAUGUUGUAUUACCGAGUGGGCCCCGAGAUACCUCUACGUCACACGGAGUGAUAAAUCCGAGUCUUGAUCCGUGCUAACUCAAAGGACACCUUCGGAGAUUCCUGUAGAGUACCUUUAUAAUCACCCAAUAAUGAUGCAACGUUUGAUACACACAAGGAAUUCCUCCGGUGUCAACGAGUUACAUGAUCUCAUGGUCAUAGGAACGUAUACUUGACAUGCAAAAAACAAUAACAACAAAAUGACACAAUCAUAAUAGUUGCCACAGUUGGCGUCUAAGUGACACCACAUAAAGGGCUUAUAUGAUAAAAAUAAUAGUUGCCACAGUCAGGUGUCUAAGCGACACCACAUAAAGGACUUAUAUNNNNNNNNNNNNNNNNNNNNNNNNNNNNNNNNNNNNNNNNNNNNNNNNNNNNNNNNNNNNNNNNNNNNNNNNNNNNNNNNNNNNNNNNNNNNNNNNNNNNCAAGUUAAUUCUGUUUUGUAAAAUAUUUACUUGCUCCUAAAUUCUUGUUUCUAUUUUUAUUAAAUAGGUCUUGAUUUUUCAUGUCGAGGGAUGUGUUAGUGUUAUUUUUAGCACUUGUAGAUUUCCCUGUGCAUUUCUUUCUUUCUUUGCUUUUAUUCUGUAAAUAGGAUAGCCACGGGAAUUCUUUUCCCCUAUGUUGCGCCACCUGUGGGCUUACUCCCACAGGCCGGCCCAUCUCUUCCCUCUUCCCGUGCGCUAAGCCCAGUCCAUACGACAUCCCUUCUUCCACCUGACGGUGUCCACCUCUCUGCCCCCUUUCCAUCAAGCCAACAGAGAGAAGAAGUUGCCGCCGUGAGGGCACGACCGUCGAGGUCCCCCCUAUAUUUUGGCGUCCGUGCCUCUCCCCACUCCUAGGGUUUCCCUCUCUCCCAUCCACCGCCGCCGCUCCAUUCCCCAUCUCCCUCCUCUCUGUUUCUCCCCCAAAGGUAAUUCUCUGUAGCCAGGUUCAGAGAGAGGAGAGAAGCCCCGCCACCGUCUACCCCCACCUCCGUCGACGUCCGACGCUACCGCCAUGUACAGGGGCACGGGGGAGGUGCCCGCGCCCCAUUCCCGACCUAGAUGAGGCCUGGGAACAUCGACAUCGACGACCAGGAGCUCGCCAUCGCCUCGACCACGGAGCUCCCCUUCCUCUACGUCUAUCUGCUGCCAGGGAUUCCUCCGAUCGUCUUCUUCCCCUCCGAUCCGGUCUCAUCCACCGUACGACGUCUCCUCUACCUUCCCUAGGUGAGGAACAUCACCCCCUUCCUUCCCCCUCCUUCUCUUCGACCAGAUCGGCUAGUGUCGCCGGAGUUCUUCUCUGUGAGAGUAGAUCGUGCGUGUUUGUGUGUUGCUGUGCUUGGGUGCGUGUUGCGUAAUAGUAAUAGCAUGGCGUGGUGUAGCAGUUGUGCAGUACCAGUAGGGUGUAGCCCCUCGUAGCGCAGUAGCAGAAGCAGGACACCCCGGCGUCCUUCCUGUCGCCAGCGACCUCUGCGUGCCAAGCAGAGUACAAGGUGCUUGGCCAUUUUAUCUUGUUUUAUUCUUUCCCUCUAUCAGGCAACGUUUCAUAGCGAAGUGGUAACAGUGUUGGUGUGAUCUCGUGGGCUCGUGGGUUCGAGACCCACGGGAUGCACUCCCCCCUUUUUUUGUUGGUUUUAUUUCGGUACAAGUGGUUGCCGCAGCAGGACAGCUUAUCCUGCUAGAUGCUCCUGUUCUGUCAAACAGGGCCUCUUUAGCAGACUCGUAGAGGAGUAGUAUGUACCUCCAGAGGUACAGGGUUCGACUCCUUGCUCCUCCUUUUUAUUUUUUCCUUCGAGUUGUGCAUUUAUUUCUUGUGUUGUUGCAUCCUGGCUUGAGUGGUUGUUGUUGUGGUGUGCAUCACACCAUGGAGGUGAUUUAAACUUCCCUCACAACAGCAUUGUUUGCAUAACAGUUUGUUGGUUGUGUGUAGUAGCCCAUAUAAAGGAGUUGAACCUUGUGUAUAUUUGUAGUGUGUAGACAUAUGUAAUGAGAUGUGGAGUUUUAGUGUGCACUAGCCUAGAUGGAUGUAUGUGUGUGUGGGUUUCCCACCAUCCACCUGUGAUGCAAGUGAGUGUAUUGUGGUGUAGUGUUGAGUGUGUUUGUGAGUGUGUAGGUGUGUGGAUGGGAUUCCCCCUCUCCACAUAGCUUGUGUAAAUUUGUGCAUAGGAGUUUAUCUUGGUUUGUCUGUGGUUGCAUUAGUAGCGCAUGGUAGAUUUAUCAUGUGUAUGUGUUCUAGUGGAUAAGAGAGCAUGUGUAGAUGAUGUGGUGUGAUGGAACUCAUGCAAAUGGUGCUUUGUGGUGCAUGUGUGAGUGUGCACCAUCACAUGCCCAUAUGCGAGGGUGUGCAUACUCUCUUUGUAAGUGUAGGCGUUAUAUCUAUGUUGUGCUUGUCUCAUGUGGUGAUGUGUUGGUGUGCCAAGGCAUAUAGGCAUGAGGUCUACCCCUCAUGUGCACCAUUGAUAUUGUGGUCACGUAUAUAUGCUUAUGUAGGUUUUGUUCUAGUGAAUAGCACAUGUGAUGAUGCACUAUUCACUAGAUAUGAUUCCUUGUAGAUUUUCUUCCCUAGUUUGUGCCCACUUGUUCCAAGCAAGUGCAUAGGAAUUUUAUAUGUUUUUUUGGUAGAAAGGUCCCAGGAAUCCGUUGGUGAAAUCAUUUUUGCCAUUGGAACAUUUUCUGGAGAUGACAUAUUUUAGAUUUGUCCCAUGUUUAGAGCUUGGUUCCAUGUGAUGUGGUGGGCCCAAGGGUUUGUUUCUUUGUUGUGGUAGAAGAGGGUGACCCCCUAUACCAUAUGUUGGUUUCAUUUCAUGUUUAGGAAUCCAUAUGUGCAAGUUGUGCCCAAUCAAAGUAGGCUUAUGGCUGAAAUUCCAGAUUAGUGAAAAUCUGAGAUUUUCACCAAGUCUGAGAAUCUGUUUAUAUUUUCUUGUCCUGUAGAUGAGCUUGUGCAGGUCAAUGUGUUGUGAUCUAGCCUUAGUUUUCAACUGGAAAGUUGAAUCUGAUAUGUUUGUCUAGCUCCCUGUAAAUUUUCAUUCCAUUUGGAUUCCUGUAGAUAUUGUUUUGGCUGCUGUCAAAAUGCUUCAGAGCAUAAACAGAAAGUGAGAAUCUGGAAUUUUCACAAAGUCCCUGAAAUCUGAUAUUUUUGGGCAAGUUUGCAGCAGUGUAACUUUCUGUGUUUAACUCCUUUGUGUGAUAUUCUUGCUAGUGCUUGUAGCAAUCUUGGAUAGCUACAGCCACAUAUCUUAUUUGGCAUGUUUAGGUGGCUGUAGGUGCUUUGCAUGUAGCUCACAAAGUGCUAUGAUGCAGUUUAUGGCAGAUUGUGUAGUUUUGGCAUUUUGAUGAUUGUGAGUGCUUAGUUGAUGAUGUGGUGUUCUUCUUUGCUCCACCCCAUCCAUGUUGGUUUGUUUUAUGUCUUGGCUACCUGGAAAUACCAGAUUUGAGCCAUUGGAGUGUGUUGUGGUGGAUUUGUCACUUAGCACCUCAUAUCUUGUUUCGUUGAUUCCCGUUGAUCCGUAGCUCUGAUUGUAAUGUUCUUUAUAUGGUUUUGCAUUGUUUCUAUGAGACGAAUCGGAUCAUGUCAUUCUCAUGCAUGUCAAGAUAGAUUAGGAUGGAGUUUUGUCCAGGAACAUGUAUUUACUUCUCAUGCUUGUGUUAGUGAUAGAAAUAGUGAUGCAUGCUCAUAUUCAUCUCAUGCAUCAUGUGCUUGUUGCAUCUUGAGGUGUUGUUGUUCAUUGGAUGUUAUUCUUAUGUUGGGUAGCACCGAGAUCGGAGAACGAGUACGUGGAUUCGGGAGAGUACGUGCAGGAUGAACAAGAACCAUUCCAAGCUGAGGAUAUCACAGGCAACAUGAUAUGACCUUGAUUGCAUCUCUAGACUUGUUAUGCUAGAUUACAUUUGUUCCAUCUUAUUCUCGCUACCUACCACUGAAAUAAAUUGCCUCCUGAUAUUCCAUGAAACAAAACACUUAUCCCUUCCUAGCAAAUCUUGAAUGGCUAAGUAGGCUUUGCUCGGCUACUAAUGUUAGCGUUGCUAGAUGCAGGUGCUUUGCCUCAUGUGAUAACAUGAGCUUGAUAUCAUUAUCUUAAUUCUGUUAUUUAAUUAAUGCACCUAUAUACUUGGUAAAUAACAGAAGGCCUAGCCUUUUGCCGGGUGCUUUGUUCCGUUAUUGCCGCCAUAGUUACCGGCUACCGGUGUUUGAUUCCAUAAUGAUCGCUCCUAACACGUUCGGGGUUGUUAUGGGGACCCCUCGGUAAAUCGCGAAGUAUUAAGGCUUGUCCGACAGGACCCAACAUUGGUGUUAAUUUGCUAAUCACUUAAUAAUAAACUGCAUAGGGAAUGGCCUACCCGAGGAACUUAAUCAACAACCUGGGCCAGUGCUCCUCAUGAGUGUUGGCCCAAACUAGAGCACCGUGCGGGGCCAUCCCGGGGCAACUCGCGAGAUUUCUCUGGCCACUAUACGCUUCGCUUAUCCGGCGUCGCCUGAGACUGAGAUACGGGGCUCUUAUAUGGGUCGUCGACACGUAGGGAGGUCCUGCUAGUCUUGUCUUACCUAAGCGAUAUAUCUUGCGUAUAGGAAUCCCGGUGAAGCUUUGGUUCUCCCCAGAGUUGAGGUUUUCCUCUAAGGAAUCCGACGAGAUCACAAGAUUCGUGAUAGAGGAUUACUUUGCGUCCCGUGUACGUUUGUGAUGGACUAUUUGGAGCACCCCUGCAGGGUUUAAUCUUUCGAAAAGCCGUGCCCACGGUCAUGUGGCAACUUGGAAUACUUUCUUAACAUCCGGUAAUAGAUAACUUAAACAUAAGCUAAUAAAAUUGCCAACUGUGUGCGUAACCGUGACUGUCCCCUUCGAAGAUCUCUCUUCGAUCGGGAACACGGUGGGGUUCUGAUUGACGCAGGUAGGUGUUCAGGAUCACUUAGUGAUCAUCAAUUAUCGACCGCUAGUAUAGACCGACUUCAUUUGAAGUUAUACGUAAGUUAGCCACCAUAUAAAGCUUAGGAUGCUUCAACCUAAAUACUCCACCUAUCCAACUUAAUAACUUGACUAGUUCUGGCACCGAGGUCAUAGAUUGCUGAGUCCCCAUGGAUCACAGAUUCCUUCACAACGCCAAUAGGUUUAGGUACCCCCGAGACAGGUGAUCCCGACGGCACGCAGCUGACGUGGGAUUAUGAUGAGGAGAACGAAAGCCUGUACGUGAACUAUCUAGAAGAUUGAGGCGUGGUCGUGAUCGUGGGCCAGCAGGUAGGGCAGCUUAGUCAUUUCCCAUGUUUUGUCGUUCGUAGCGGAACUACCUUGACUGUAUGCGUGAUGUACUCUGAUAUAUUUAUGAGAUGGCAAUUGAAUCCCUUAUUGUCAUUCUGUUGAUAUUAUGUAUGUGUUAUGUUACCAUGUUUGCAAAACGCUUAGAUGCGCUCCUUACCAAUUCGAGGCCUCAUUCCCCAGAUCAGAAAGGACCGCAUCUUAGUCGUUACAAGUUGGUAAUCAGAGCCUUACGACCAUCGGAGCCUUUGUGUGAUCGUACUUGGCCCAGUCGAGUGUAGUAAAAUGUUUUGAGUCUUAGUUAUAUCGGAGAGUAGGAUUCUUUUUUCUCCUCUUCCAUGCUCUGGUGAGGUUCCCGACUUAGGAAAUCUUAAAUUAUACUCCUUUUCUCGCUCAAAUUUUUUUUGGAUCAUGCGGGUAUUUGUGAAAUCUAUAUGAUUUCGAUGUGACGGAGUUCUGUCUUGGUGCCUCCUGUCUGCCUUGAUUUCUUCCGGGGAGUUGAGCUCUAGGGGAUUCUUGCGCACAUAUCCAUCAUUCAGAUUUGUGAGUAUCUAAGAACGAAGGAUGUUCGUUAUUGCUUCAAUACUGGUAGUGGCGAGAUAACCCCGAUGUCCCCAGUACUGGUGCAGAUUGUUCGGGAGUACUGCCAUACUUUGUAUCGUUGUGAUCACGAGGGUCUGUUGUAGAUGAAGGUCCGAGAUGCUGGUUGUGUGUUGACGGAUGUGAUACAGGUGACGGGUUAGUAUAGGAGUUGUGUGAUAUUACUCCUUGUAUCCGUGUACCAGAUUGCAUGACCAGUUAUUUCGGGAAUUCAUUGGUGGGAUAUCAAGUAGUAUCUCAUAGGACUAUCUUCCUAGAGAUGCAUGACUGAGGUUGGGAUUAGAUGUUCAGUGGGUGCGUUUGUUCACGGUCGUCUUACAGCGGUUCUCGUUGUGUCUUAAAGAGUCCUUGUAGCUCGCUAUGACUUGGGGAUACUUCGUAUGUCGUGUGCACUGCCUUGCACAGGAUGGCUACUGUAAAUUCGAGCCCGUGUGAUCUUAUCCACGAAGAUAUCAGAUGAAAUCUCGAUCAUAUGUUUGUUCCGAGCAAUUCUAGCUCAUACUUGUUUGUAGUGGUCUUAAUCAGAAUUUUGUCGACCGUCACUUUGAGGAAGCAUUCUUACUGUUUUGUUCGAGUGCAAUUGAUUAUUCCUGUUUAGAUAUUCCUGUUAUUUUGAUUCAGCAAUAUCUUCAAUUUAUUCUGUGGCCUAAUGUGUUGUCCGUCUUCAGGAUGGCUCCACCAACGCGUCAGAACCCAGGGCGUGAGGAUAUGCCGCCACCACCUCCUCCUCCGGAGAAUCCUCCGCCGCCGCCACCUCCUCCUGCAGAGGCCUGGCAUGCAAUGAUGGCUGCUACUAAUGCAAACACCCAGAUGCUGCUAUAGUUGUUGCAAGAGAGAGCUAAUCAGCAGCAAGGCAAUUUCCAGCAUGGUGGCAAUCAAUUUUCUAGUCUGAGUCAGUUCCUGUCGAAUCAGCCAAAGAGCCAUUUGAUGCCGAGGAUUGGAUCCGUGAUAUGAAUAAGCAUUUCGAGUGUCGCAAUGUUUGUCCUGAGGAUUUUGUCAAAUUUGCAACAUUCCAGUUGAAGGGGCAGGCUUCUAUCUGGUGGCCACAGCUGAAGGACUCCACACGCGCUAGGGGGAUCUCUUGGGAUAAGUUCUGUCGUGACUUCAGGUCCCACUACAUUCCUUCCAGCUUUGUGGAGGAGAUGCGUGAGAAGUUCAGGCGUUUGAAGAAGGGUGGCAAUUCCGUGUACAAGUACACCGUUGAGUUCAACGAGCUAGCCCGAUACGCCUUGCAGGAUAUCCCUGAUCAGAAGAGCAAGAUUUAUCAGUUCAGAGGUGGCUUGAAAGAAGAUUUGUUGCUAGCUCUUGCUUUGCACGAUCCUGAGGAGUUCGACAAGUUCUACAACUUAGCUCUCAAAGUAGAGGUAGCCUUGCUCAGGGUGGAGAAUUCUAAGAAGCGCUUCAGAGAUUCCAGCUCUUCCUCUACUCACGUGGUUAAGAAGCAACAUAAGUUUUGGGUGUCUCCUCCUCCUCCUCGGCACUCGCAGCAGCUUAAGCACUCUGUUGGUCAUGGUUCGUCCCACCCACCCAACCCUGUCUUCCAACAGAGAUUCCAGCAUCAGAAGCAAGGGCCUCCUCAGACACAGUACCGGAAGCCAGCAGAGGUGACUUGUCACAAGUGUGGUCAGAAGGGUCAUUAUGCCAACAAGUGUAUUAUUCAGCUCCGACUGCCGCCUCCUCCUCCAGGCAAACCUCCAAGUAAUUCUCUUGUCAAGUUCAACCCCAGAUCAGCUCGAGUCAACAUGGUGAACGCAGCUGAAGCAGACAAGUCCUCUGAUGUGAUCAUGGGUAAUCUUUAAGUCAAUGAUUUUCCUGCUAAAGUCUUGUUCGAUUCUGGUGCUUUGCAUUGCUUUAUGUCAAAGUCAUUUUUUCAUCAAGCAUGAUUUUCCCUCCACAAGUUUGCAUACACCUUUGGGUGUUGUUUCUCCGGGUGCUCAGAUGAGGUCAAAUUCUAUAGUUCAUGAUGUCAAUGUCAAGAUAGGAAGCUAUUCUUUUCUGGCUUCUCCGUAUGUCUUGGGCAAUUCCGACAUCGACUUGAUCCUUGGUAUGGACUGGCUGGCCAUGAACAAGGCAUCAACUGAUUGUGAAGCUAAAGAAGUGAAGCUUACCCACUCUUCGGAGGACGUGAUUAUAUUCGCGGCGCGCGAUGAUACAAUCCGUCUGUUCUCUUUGAAAGAAAAGGGUGAGAUCAAUCCUAUUUUGCAAGUCCCAGUGGUCUGCGAAUAUGAAGAUGUGUUUCCAGAAGAGCUGCCAGGCAUGCCUCCGCACAGAUAAGUUGAGUUUGUGAUUGAGCUUGAGCCAGGCACCGAGCCGGUGUGCAAACGAUCGUACAAGUUGGGUCUAGAAGAAUUGAAAGAACUUAAGAGGCAACUCGAUGAGCAGGAACGUUUGGGUCUGAUCAGACCGAGCUCACCUCCGUGGGGUUGUGGAGUUCUGUUUGUCAAGAAGAAGGAUGGCACGGACCAACUGUGUGUCGAUUACCGUCCAUUGAACAAGAAGACAAUCACGAACAAAUAUCCACUUCCGAACAUAACUGAGUUGUUCGAACAGUUGAAAGGUGCUAAGGUCUUCUCCAAGCUUGAUCUCAGAAUGGGCUAUCAUCAAAUUCGCAUUCGCGAAGAAGAUAUUCCGAAGACUGCCUUCAGGACUAGUUUUGGCUCGUAUGAGUAUACGGUCAUGUCUUUUAGUCUGGCUAAUGCUCCUCUGACAUUCUGUCGAUUGAUGAACUACAUAUUCUCUCCGUUCAAGAAUGACUUUGUCUUGCUCUAUCCCGACGACAUUUUGGUCUUUUCUGAAACUGAGGAAGAACAUGAAGAUCAUCUCAGAUUGGUGCUUGAUAAGCUGAGAGAGUACAAGUUGUAUGCCAAGUUUUCCAAGUGUGAGUUCUGGCUGAAAGAGGUCGUCUAUCUUGGUCACAUUAUCUCUGCCGAGGGCAUUAAAGUUGAUCCAUCCAAGGUUCAGGACAUUGUUGAAUGGGAGCCUCCGCAGAAUGUGAAGGAGCUUCGAAGCUUUCUUGGGCUUGCAGGCUAUUGCAGAAGGUUCGUUGAGAACUUCUCCAAGAUCGCCAUGCCGCUCUCAAGUCUUCUUCAGGAAGGUGUGAAAUAUGCUUGGUCUCCAGAGUGUCAGUUGGCCUUCGACACACUCAAAGAGAACCUCACCUCCACUCCAGUCUUGGUUCCUCCGGAUGAUUCCAAGCCUUACCAGGUCUUAUGUCAUGCUUCUCUCAAGGGUCUUGGUGCAGUCCUGCUGCAAGACAAGAAAGUCGUUGCUUAUACCUCUAGGCAGUUGAAGCAAGCGGAGAAGAACUAUCAUGUGCAUGAUCUUGAGCUAGCAGCUGUGGUACACGCUCUGAUGACUUGGAGACACCUCUUGUUGGAACGUAAGGUUGAAGUUUUCACCGAUCACAAGAGUCUCAAGUACAUCUUCACUCAGCCUAACCUGAAUCUUCGACAAACACGUUGGGUGGAAAUGCUCCAAGAUUUUAAUCCGAGUGUUGAGUACACGCCAGGCAAAGCUAAUGUCGUGGCGGAUGCAUUGAGCAGGAAAGCGUACUGCAACAGUCUGAUUCUGCAACCUCUCCAGCCUGGUCUUCGUGAGUCUUUCAGGAAGCUCAACCUUCAGCUAGUACCUCAGGGAUUUCUUGCAAACCUUCAGAUCUCUCCUACCUUGGAAGAUCAGGUCCGAGCAGCACAUCUUCUUGACGCUAUGGUGAAGAAAGUCAAGAUUGGCGUGGCAAAGAGUCUUCCCAAGUAUAAGUGCCUUACUAUUGAUGCCAGAGACACGUUGUUCUUCGAGGAUCGCCUUGUCGUCCCGAAAGGUGAUCUCAGAAAGGUAAUCAUGGAGGAAGCUCAUAACUCUCUGCUCUCUAUUCAUCCUGGAAGCUCCAAGAUGUACAACGACUUGAAACAGACCUUCUGGUGGACUCGUAUGAAGCGUGAGAUUGCUCAGUUCGUAAACGAAUGUGAUGUAUGUCGAAGGGUGAAAGUAGAGCAACAACGUCCAGCAGGUCUUUUGCAUCCAUUGCCCAUUUCCGAGUGGAAGUUCGAUCACAUUGAGAUGGAUUUCAUCACCGGGUUUCCGAAGUCCUAGAAGGGUAAUGAUGUUAUCUUCGUCGUCAUCGACAAGUUGAGUAAAGUGGCUCAUUUUCUUCCUGUCAAGGAAUCCAUUUCCGCAGCUCAGUUUGCAGAGUUGUACACCUCCAGGAUUGUGUCCUUGCACGGUGUGCCUAUGAUGAUCUCUUCGGAUCGCGGAAGUAUCUUCACUUCCAAGUUCUGGGACUCUUUUCAGUCUGUUAUGGGCACGAAGAUCCGCUUCACCACAACGUUCCAACCUCAGACUAGUGGUCAAGUGGAGCGAGUGAAUCAAGUUCUUGAGGAUAUGCUCAGAGCCUGUGUUAUCUCUUUUGGUAUGAAGUGGGAGGAUUGUAUGCCUUUUGCGGAGUUCUGGUAUAGCAACAGUUAUCAAGCUAGUUCUGGCAAGGCUCUAUUUGAAAUUCUCUAUGGCAGGAAGUGUGGUACCUCGCUCAACUGUUCCGAGACCGGCGAGCGUCAGGUCCUUGGGAAUGAUUUGAUAGAAGAAGCUGAGGAGAUGUGUCGGGUCAUUCGCGACAACCUCAGAGCAGCUCAGUUCCGUCAGAAGAGCUAUUAUGAUAGCAAGCACCGUGACAUGUAUUAUGAACUUGAUGACUUCGUCUAUCUCAAGGUGUCGCCUAUGAAGGGUAUGUAGUGCUUUGACAUCAAAGGCAAGCUUGCGCCUCGUUUCGUUGGUCCGUUCAGACUGGUUGGCAAGAGAGGCGACCUUGCGUACUAGCUUGAGCUCCCAUCAAACUUUACAAAUGUGCAUGAUGUCUUCCAUGUUUCUCAGCUUCGGAGGUGCUUCAAGACCCCCGAGCGCACUGUUCAUCUUCAAGACAUCGACCUUCAGCCUGACCUUUCUUAUCGUGAGCAUCCAGUUGCGGCUCUCGAGGCUAAUGAACGCAAGACCCGCAACAAGACCGUCAAAUUUCUCAAAGUGCAGUGGUCACACCAUUCCGAUAAAGAGGCUACUUGGGAACGCGAGGAUCACCUACGUUCUGAAUUUCCGGAAUUUUUUCAGGCGUAGAUCUCGGGGCGAGAUCUUUUUGUAGUGUGGGAGAGUUCGUAACGCCCCAAGUGUGUAAACUUCCCUAUUUGGAUACCUUCUUCAUGUGGGUCCACCUUGUCAAUGCUAUGAGAGAGAUCAUGCUCAUGAUUUCAUGUGAUGUCCCUUGUUUUUCUUCCUUGCAUGCAUGCAUAACAUAUCAUAUCAUGCCCAUGUCUUUGUGAUGUUGCAAUGUNNNNNNNNNNNNNNNNNNNNNNNNNNNNNNNNNNNNNNNNNNNNNNNNNNNNNNNNNNNNNNNNNNNNNNNNNNNNNNNNNNNNNNNNNNNNNNNNNNNNUAAUGCACCUAUAUACUUGGUAAAUAACAGAAGGCCUAGCCUUUUGCCGGGUGCUUUGUUCCGUUAUUGCCGCCAUAGUUACCGGCUACCGGUGUUUGAUUCCAUAAUGAUCGCUCCUAACACGUUCGGGGUUGUUAUGGGGACCCCUCGGUAAAUCGCGAAGUAUUAAGGCUUGUCCGACAGGACCCAACAUUGGUGUUAAUUUGCUAAUCACUUAAUAAUAAACUGCAUAGGGAAUGGCAUACCCGAGGAACUUAAUCAACAACCCGGGCGAGUGCUCCUCAUGAGUGUUGGUACAAACUAGAGCACCGUGCGGGGCCAUCCCGUGGCUACUUGGGAGAUUUCUUUGGCCACUGUACACUUCGCUUAUCCGGCGUGUCCUGAGACUGGGAUAUGCGGCUCUUAUAAGGGUCGUCGACACGUCGGGAGGUCCUUCUAGUCUUGUCUUACCUUAGCGAUAUAUCUUGCGUAUAGGAAUCCCGGUGAAGCUUUGGUUCUCCCCAGAGUUGAGGUUUUCCUCUAAGGAAUCCGACGAGAUCACGAGAUCCGUGAUAGAAGAUUACUUUGCGGCCCGUGUAUGUUUGUGAUGGACUAGUUGGAGCACCCCUGCAGGGUUUAAUCUUUCGGAAAGCCGUGCCCGCGGUUAUGUGGCAACUUGGAAUACUUUGUUAACAUCCGGUAAUAGAUAACUUAAACAUAAGCUAAUAAAAUUGCCAACUGUGUGCGUAACCAUGACUGUCCCCUUUGAAGAUCUCUCUUGGAUCGGGAACACAGUGGGGUUAUGAUUGAUGCAGGUAGGUGUUCAGGAUCACUUAGUGAUCAUCAAUUAUCGACCGCUAGUAUAGACCACCUUCAUUUCAAGUUAUACAUAAGUUAGCCACCAUAUAAAGCUUAGGAUGCUGCAACCUAAAUACUCCACCUAUCCAACCUAAUAACUUGACUAGUUCUGGCACCGAGGUCAUAGAUUGCUGAGUCCCCGUGGCUCACAGAUUCCUUCACAACACCAAUAGGUUCAGGUACCCCCGAGAUAGGUGAUCCCGACGGCACGCGGCUGGCGUGGCAGUAUGAUGAGNNNNNNNNNNNNNNNNNNNNNNNNNNNNNNNNNNNNNNNNNNNNNNNNNNNNNNNNNNNNNNNNNNNNNNNNNNNNNNNNNNNNNNNNNNNNNNNNNNNNCCACACCCUUGUUGUUGAGAAUCCUUGGAUUUUCCCUGGUAGACCAUUGUUGCCAGACCAGUGAGGGCACAUUCUCUAAACUCCUCCAAGGUGGAGGAGAGUAUUUCCCCCUUUAUGGGGAUAUUUCCUCCGAGUCCCAUCACUCAUGUCUUAUUGACACCACGUAAGUGUACGUUAGUCCAGCAUCAUAUUUUCAUGAUGCUAUAUGAGUGACCGUGUGCUAUAUGAUUGUCUUGAUUGCACGUGCAUAUGAGUGACCUUGUUCCAUAUUUUCACCCCAUCUUUAUUUUUUUUCCUAAGGAAAUCUUGGGGACAAGAUUUAUUUUUAAGGGGGGUAGUGUUUGUGACGCCCCAAAAAUUUAACCAUAUUUGUACUAAUUAAAAUAUUGCCUCAAACAAAACUUUUGAAAAUGAAUUACUUCUUUGCUUAUUUGAGAACAUCUUUUCUAAAACGUUUCCCUCCAAGUAGACUUUUGAAAAGCAUUAUCGAUUUGAGUAUUGGUAUAAAUUAAUUUAUUUCGUUCUUAGAAAUUCAGUGUGGAAUUAUUUUUAUCAAAAAAUGUGAAUUUAAAAUGUUUUAAAGGAUUUUUCAUCCUUUUAAGAGCAUGUGUUGCAUCGCAACCAUUUUUUAAAGUCAUUUAGAAAUUCCAAAAACAAUAGGAGGUGUCAAGGGAUGCAUGUGAUUCACUUUUACGCAAAAACUUAUUUGUGUUCUUUGGAAAAUUGGAGCAAAGCAACCCUUUUUUAUUCUGGCCUAGUUUUGCAAUUUGAAAUACAACCCUAUUUAACUUGCCCUUUUGGCAAUGAUUUUUUUCCUGCUUGAAGCCCAUCCUACCAAACCGUUAAGUCCAUAAGUUUAUCCCCAUUGAGAUUGUUAAGUGCAUGAUUUAAUAGCCUAAAAUUUCUGACAAUAACUGUUUUUCUCAAAAAGUUGCAUGGACAAGUUUUUCCUUUUUCAAAUCUAACCCCACCAUCUUUCUUAGUGUCGAGAGAGACAUUAACGUGGAAAGUUUGAAUACCAGAAAAAUCUUUUAGAUACCUCUGGCAUUUCAUCAAUGUCCUAGAGUGCAUGGCAAGAUUUGGCAUGGUUUUUGUUUUGCAUUACCAAGUUGAUCCCGUGGCCUAAAUAACAUGUCUAGGAGGCUUGUUUUAACCCUUAACCUAACCCUGGUAGGUUUGAAGUGAAUUGGAGACAUUUAGGAGUGCCCAACAAUUUGUCGAGCACAUGGCGUGCGUGCUCUGGGCGCGGCCAAAGCGCAGGUAUUUUUCAUAUUUUCCAAAAAUAAACUCCGUAAAUUUUCAGGACGUUCUGAGAACUUUGAUUUCUGCACAAAAAACAACACCAAGGCAAUUUUGCUGAAAACAACGUCAGUCCAGGUUAGUUCCGUUCAAAUCAUGCAAAUUAGAGUCCAAAACAAGGGCAAAAGAGUUUGGAAAAGUAGAUACGAUGGAGACGUAUCAACUCCCCCAAGCUUAAAACCUUGCUUGUCCUCAAGCAACUCAGUUCACAAACUGAGAGAGAAAGAAAAACUUUGACAAACUCUGUUUGAUCUUGUUGUUGCAACUAUGUCUAACUCAUAACCAGAAUUUCAGCAAGAUCACAAGUUAACCACAUAAGCAAGUAACACAAAGGUCUCACGGUAAACUAAUAUCAAUGGCAUAAUCAGCUAACGACCAAAUAAUAAUGAGUUUCAAAUACCAACACUUCAAUCAAAACAAGCAUGAAGCAAUAUGAAUAGGUGGUAUCUCGCUAGCUCUUUCUGAGACCGCAAAACAUAAAUGCAGAGCACUUUCAAAGAUCAAGGGCUGAUUAAACAUUGUAAUUCAUAGCAACGAAGAUCCAGUCAUAGUCAUACUCAAAAUCAAUCAAAAGCAAAGCACCAAAAUGACAGAGGUGCUCUCUAAUUGGCACUUAUAUAAGAAGAGGAUGACUCGACAGGAAAAUAAAUAGAUAGGCCCUUCGCAGAGGGAAGCAUUGAUUUGCAGAGGUGCCAGAGCUCAAGCUUUGAAAACAGAGAUAAUAAUUUUGGGUGGCAUGCUUUCAUUGUCAACGCAAUGACCAAGAGUUCUCAAUAUCUUCCAUGCUACUCAUGCUAUAGGAGGUUCCCAAACAGAAAAGUAAAGUUUUAACUCCCCCACCACCAAUCAAUCAUACUCCACGGCUAGCCGAAUCCUCGGGUACCGUCCAUACUAACAUCAGUCCGGGGGGAGUCUUGUUUUACAGUUAUGUUUUCGAUUUAAGCGUGGAACUGGGCAUUCCAAUUACCGACCCCUCUCUCGUGAAUGACAGUGAAAGGACACAUGUCGAGGAUAAAACUCCUAGCAUGGAAGAUACCACUAGCCCCCUGUCACCACAUGAGCGGUUCGGGCAUGCAAAACAGAUUAUUUCUUGAAGGUUUAGAGAGUGGCACAUGCAAGUUUACUUGGAACGACGGGUAGAUACCGCAAAUAGGUAGGUAUGGUGGACUCUCAUGGAAAAACUUUUGGGUUUAUGGAAGUGGAUGCAUAAGGAGUAUUCCGCUUAGUACAAGUGAAGGCUAGCAAAAGACUGGGAAGUGACCAACUAGAGAGCGACAACAGUCAUCAAGAUGCAAUGAGUUUGACUAACAUUGAAUGCAAGCAUGAACAGGAUAUAAAUCACCAUGAACACGAACAUCAUAGAGGCUAUGUUGAUUUUGUUUCAACUACCUGCAUGAACAUGCGCCAAGUCAAGCCACUUGAAUCAUUCAAAGGAGAAUACCAUCCUAUCAUACUACAUCAUAGUCAUUUAAAAAUCUAUGCUGGCAUUCAAGACAAACCAUUAUAAGCUCCUAGCUAAAUAAGCAUGGCAUCAGAAACUAUGAUCUCUAAGUUUUCAUUGCAAAUAUGGUUCUCUCACAACAAAGCUGAAUCUGGGAUGACAAGAUAGUCAUAUUUACAAAAACAAAAUAGAUAGAGUUCAUACCAGCUUUUCAGUCUCAGUCACUUCAUCAUAUAUCAUCAUUAUUGCCUUUCAUUUGCACGAUCGAACGAUGUGAACAAUAAUAAGAGUUCUCGUGCAAUGGACUAAGUUGAAUCUGCAGGCAAACACAAAGGAGAAGACAAAGUAAUAUGGCUCUUUGAAAACUAAACAUUGUAACCAAUAUCUUCUACCUUGACCCAAAGAAAAAGAAAACUAUUUACACAGGAAAGCUCCCAACAAGCAAAAGAAGAAAGGAAAAUAUUUUUGUGUUUUCUCAAAAGGACACAAAACAAGAAAACAAGAAAAUGAAAAUAAACUAGCAUGGAUAAUACAGUGGCAAAGUGUGAACACUGGCUAACAAAGUGAAAACAUAAGCAUGAAUGUAAAGUCGGUGAGAACACAUACUCCCCCAAGCUUAGGCUUUUGGCCUAGCUUGGUCUACUCCCAAGGUGGGAAAUAACCAACUCUAGGAUACUCCGGAGCAGACUGUGGAUGCCACUGCUGUGUGAGCUCCUCUGGCUCCCACUGAUAAACUGGCGUCUGGUACUCGACUGGCGGCUCGGGCACGGGCGCCUGUGGUUGGGCCAAGCCCCAAUAUGUGUAGAUGCCCGAUGGCAUAAUAGUGUACCUGCCUACAUGAAGAUCGAACAAAGAAGGAGCAGGCAAAGUAAUAGUCUCUCGAGUACCCUGACUAAAUACCAGGUUAUAAAUCAUCCGUCUACUAGCAUCUCUAUCCAGAAAAUCAUGGCAGACCAUGCUGUCAUAAUCCAGAUAUUUCUUAGAAAGAAGCAUCUCUCCUUCCUCUCACAGUCUAAUGGGUAUCUCAAAGUGUGUGGCAAGAUGGGUAGCAUAGAUACCUCCAUAGAAGACACCCUUGGAACGGUGGGUGUUCAACCGCUGGGCCACUAUAGCACCUAGGCUAUAAGUCUUAUCGUUAUAAAGGCCUUCGCGCAAAACCGCAAGGUCUGGAGAACUAAGUGAUCCAGCCUCCCCACGGCCAAUCAAACAUUUUCCCACAAAUAGUGAGAAGUACCGAAGCACAGAAAAUGUAUGCUAGCAAUUCUAGCGCGAUUCACUCCUCUCUCCUCUCCAACAGCAAUAGUACCAAUGAAAUCCUCCAAGUCCCGUGGACGAGGGUCACAGAUAUCCCCAACAUAAGGUAAUUUGCAUACAUUGCAAAAAUCCUGUAGUGUCAUGCACUGGGAAACAUUGUAUAUCAUGAACUCAACCAUGGGAGGAUUCUUCCUCAGAUAAAAGUUGAAGCUUUGAACGAAAGUAUUGGUGAGGAGGAGGUAUUGUGAGCACUUAUCUGCAACGAACGCAGUAAGAUCUGCGUUCUCCACCAAGUAAUAAAAUUCUUCAUAAAGCCCAGCGGCGUGCAAAAAUUCAUCACUUGGCCAUUCACACGCUCGAACUUCCGUGACUCGAGGGACUACGUACUUGGGGUGGUUCUUCUCAUCCUCCUUGGGGUUACGGCUUGAGGAGCCUCUCAAGAACGUCCUCAUCUUUUCCUUUUUCUAGUUCUAAAAAAUUCUGAAAUUUUUAGAGACUUCGAAAGAAAAGUGAAUAAAGAUUAACCCAACUUGUAGCAACUACUCCUACUAGUGCCUAGAGUCCGUAUCACGCGCUAAAACUACUUGGGACCAGCUAAAAUCAACAUUUCUAGCUCAAGAACAGGGUCACCAAGGUAGCAAGAAUACGCGAAGGAUAAAGCACUAGAGCAAAAACUAAUUGGACCAAUGGAGGAGUCACUUACCAAGGAGUAAUUUCCCCAAAUUGGUUCGGAGAAUGGUGCUUUGAGCAAGGAGAUCAAAAAUCACAGCCAAAUGAGCAAGAACACGGGUUUUAGCUGCGAAACAAUUUUUUCUAGAGGUGGAAGAAGAGGAUGGGAGCUGGAAGGAAUGGAGGGGGUCCCUGUGGGCCCCACAAGCUUGCUAGCCGCCACCAGAGGGGUGGCGGUGUCAGGGCAUGUGGCCCAGUGGUCAGGCCACCAGGCCAGCUCUCGGGCCCAGUAAUUUUCAAAUAUUCCAGAAAAAAUCAUACUAAAUUUUCAGGACCAUCGGAGAACUUUUAUUUUCGGGGUAUUUUCCUCCGGGACGCUAAAACAGAAAACAUGAAAACUAAACUAAAUCUAUCAUUUUUCUUCUAAGCAACAGAAAAUGAAAGCUCAAAACAGAGGUAUGUGACUCUUUUAUUCAUCCAUUUCAUGGUCAUCGAAAUAAAUCCGUCAAUGGGGUUGAUCAAGUCCUCAUGACAAAACCUUCUCGAAUCGCAAGAGAGAACGGAGAAUUUUCGAAUAGCCACUAAGUCACCUCAAUGGGGAUAUGUAUCUCCCCAACAAGCAAAUCAUACUUCAUCUUGACACGAGGAAUAGGGCAUUCAAAGCUCCCAAUAAGAAUCGAUGAAGUAUUUUCGAUAGCAUUGAUGCAAUGUACUUGAUAUCGUUUCUUCGGAAAGUGCACUGUGUGCUCAUUACCGUUGCCAUGGAAAGUGACAUUGCCUUUGUUGCAAUCUAUAACAGCCCCUGCAGUGUUUAAAAAGGGUCUUCCGAGGAUGAUAGCCAUGGCAUCGUCCUCGGGAAUAUCCAAGAUAACAAAGUCUGUUAAGAUAGUGGUGUUAGCAACCACAACACGCACAUCCUCGCAAAUGCCGAUAGGGAAAGCAAUUGAUUUGUCAGCCAUUUGCAGAGAAAUUUCAGUGGGUGUCAACUUAUCCAAUUCAAGUCUAUGAUAAAGAGAGAGCGGCAUAACACUAACACCGGCUCCAAGGUCACAUAAGGCAGUUCUUACAUAGUUUUCUUUAAUGGAACAACGUAUAGUGGGCACUCCGGGAUCACCAAGUUUCUUAGGAGUUCCACCUUUGAAAGUGUAAUUGGCGAGCAUAGUAGAGAUCUCAAGAUCUGGUAUCUUCCGUUUAUUAGUCACGAUAUCUUUCAUGUACUUGGCAUACGGACAUAUCUUGAGUAUAUCAGUUAACCGCAUCUGCAAAAAGAUGGGUCUUAUCAUCUCAACAAAGCGCUCAAAAUCCUCAUCAUCCUUUUUCUUGGAUGGCUUAGGAGGAAAGGGUAUAGAUCUCUUAACCCAUGGCUCCCUUUCUUUACCAUGCUUCCUAGAAGUGAAGUCAUUCUUGUCGUAUCUCUUAGGUUGUGGGUUAUCAGGAUUAACCGUAGGUUCAAUCUCGACAUCCUCAUUAUUGCUAGGUUGAGCAUUAUUAUGAACAUCACUGUCCAUAUUGUCACCAGGUUCAUGUUCAUCACCAGAUUGUGUUUCUGCAUCAGACGCAGAAAUAUCAUUAGGUUCUUCAGGUGUGACAGUAUUUGGUGAACUGGCACGUAGGUUUCUAUCAUCCUUCUUCUUCUCCUUAGGAUGACUGGGUGUAUCAGCAUUAAUUCCUUGAGAAUCUUGAUCAAUUCUCUUAGGAUGACCUUCAGGAUACAAAGGUUCCUGAGUCAUUUUGCCUCCUCUAGUAAUGACUCUGACAGAGUUGUCAUUUAAUUCAUUGAGCAGGUCAUUCUGAGCUUUAAAUACUUGUUCUACCUCAGUAGUAAUCAUAGAGGCAUGUUUACUCAGAAGCUUCAGAUCAUUGAAAUUUCUGUCUAAUCAAGCACUUGGAUGGCUAAGCAUACGAGUACUUUGUUCCAAAUGUCUGCUAACGUAAUCAUUGAAACUCUGUUGUUUGGCAACAAAGUUGUCAAAUUCAUCAAAGCAUAGGCUAGCAGGUUUGUCAAAAAGAAUAUCACUCUCAUCAAACCUACGCAGAGAAUUCACUUCUACUACUUGUAUCGGGUUAUCGAGACCAUGGAUCUCUUCGAUAGGUGGUAGAUUUUUGACAUCUUCAGAUCUAAUGCCUUUCUCUUGCAUAGAUUUCUUGGCUUCUUGCAUAUCUUCGGGACUGAGGAAUAGAAUACCUCUUUUCUUUGGAGUUGGCUUAGGAGGUGGUUUGGGAAUAGUCCAAGCACUAUCGUUGAUCAAGAUGUUAUUCAGUAGGGUCUCAGCUUGUUCUACAGUUCGUUCCCUAAAAACACAACUGACACAACUAUCUAGGUGGUCUCUAGAGGCAUCGGUAAGUCCAUUAUAAAAGAUAUCAAGUAUCUCGUUCUUCUUAAGAAGGUGAUCAGGCAAAGCAUUCUAUAGCUGGAUGAGCCUCCCCAAGCUUGUGGGAGACUCUCUUCUUGGAGUUGAGCAAAGUUGUAUAUUUCCUGCAAGGCAGUUUGCUUCUUAUGGGCAGGGAAAUAUUUCUCACAGAAGUAAUAGUUCAUAUCGUGGGGACUACUCACACAUCCAGGAGCAAGAGAGGUGAACUAGGCUUUAGCGUCAUCCUUUAGAGAGAAAGGAAAUAGUUUAAGGAUAUAGUAGUGGCGGAUCUUCUCCUCACUAGUGAAAAGGGUGGCUAUAUCGUGUAGUUUGGUAAGAUGGGCUACGACCUUCUCAGACUCAUAACCGUGGAAAGGAUCAGGUUUGCCUAGAGAGAUUAUCUGAGGGUCAAUAGAGAAUUCAUAAUCCUUAUCGGUGAUAAAGAUAGGUGAAGUAGCAAACUUCGGGUCGUAUUUCAUCCUAGCUUUCACAGAUUUUUCCUACCACUUGAGAAGUAAUUUCUCAGUGUCAUAGGCAUCCUUACACGCAAGAAAAUCCUCAGCUAUCUCUCCCUCCAUAACGUAACCCUCAGGUAUAUUAGGCAAUUCAUAUCUAGGAGAGCUAGAUCUAGCAGGAGCAAAAGCAGGUUCUAUCUCAAUAGUAUCGACAAUUUCAGAAGCAUCACGAGCAUUGGCAGUAACUCUAGCAAUAUGAGCAUCAAGGNNNNNNNNNNNNNNNNNNNNNNNNNNNNNNNNNNNNNNNNNNNNNNNNNNNNNNNNNNNNNNNNNNNNNNNNNNNNNNNNNNNNNNNNNNNNNNNNNNNNGGCAGACGACAAAGGGAGCGCCCAUUAUGGGGUGGGAGGGGUGUGUGGUGCGCCGCCCCAUGCUCUUUGCCGUCUUCCCUCCUGCUCUUUGCCGUGCGCCAGCAGACGACAAAGACAAUACUCAUGGCAACGAGUAUGUUUGCCAUCACUCUGCUCUUUGCCGUUAGUUUUCGGGUGACCGACGACAAAUAGGGUCUUUGCCAUCAGCCAGCAGACGACAAAGAAGAGGCUGACGGCAAAUAAGUGAAUUCUAGUAGUGCACUUCUCUUUAGAGAGAUCAAUAUGAGCAGCAAAUGAUUCACACAAUGAAGCUACUAUCUCAGAGUCAAGUCCAUAUUUAGCGCUAAAAUCACAGAAAGUAUUUGUUUCAACAAAGGAUUUAACGCAAUCAAACUUAAGAUUCAUACCUGGCUCCUUACCUUCAUCAAACUCCCAAUCUUCAGAGUUGCGUUUAAUUCUCUCCAAUAAAUUCCAUUUGAAGUCAAUAUCUCUCUUCGUAAAAGAACCGGUACAAGAAGAGUCAAGCAUGGUGUGAUUAUCAUGAGAAAGCCGAGCAUAGAAGUUCUGAAUGAUUAUUUCUCUCGAAAGCUCAUGGUUGAGCCAUGAAUAUAACAUUGAUUUAAGCCUCCCCCAAGCUUGAGCGAUACUUUCUCUAUCACGAGGCCAAAAAUUAUAGAUAUAAUUCCGAUCACUAUGUACCACAUGCAUAGGAUAAAACUUUUGAUGAAAUUCUAACUUCAACCGGUUGUAGUUCCAUGAUCCAGUAUCAUCACAUAGCCUAUACCAUGUCAAUGCUUUAUCCCCCAAAGAUAAGGGAAAGACCUUCUUCUUGACCUCAUCCUCGGGCAAACCUGCAAGCUUAAAUAAACCACAAACUUCACCUACAUAGAUUGGAUGCAAGUUGUGAUGUGAUGUUCCAUCUGCUGUAGAAGGAUUAGCCAACCGUUUCUCUAGCAUACCCGAAGGAAUUUCAUAACAAGUAUUUUCAGUAGGUGCAUCAUGUUGAGGAGCAACUGCUUGUGCUUCCGUUCGAGGUGAAGAUACCCCGAACAGGCUCGUCAAAUGAUUAGUUUCCAUAGUGACAAGUGACAAUAAAUUUCAGCACACUAUAUAAAUGUUUCCUUACCAAAUUCCACUUAAAAAGGCGCUUCACUCCCCGGUGAUGUCAGCUGAGCUAAUGCACAAAAGUCCUUCCAAUGGCGCCAGAAACAGGUGUGUCGACGACACCAGGAAUCCUUCAGCUGCGGCUACGCCUUAAGGGACUUCCUAGGGAAGUAUGCAAAGGAUUUCCCCCGUGGCCUUGGAGCCUUGCGUUGGUGUUCCCUUGAAGCGGAAAGGGUGAUGUAGCACAGCGACGGUAAGUAUUUCUCUCAGUUUGAGAACCAAGGUAUCAAUCCGGUGGAGGAGUAUCACAGGAUCCUGCACAAACACAAAAGCUUGCUCCCAACGCUAUGAAGGGGUUGUCAAUCCCUUAUAGGUUGUUUGCCAAGUGAGAACUGAAAGCAACAAAGUAACAAAGCAAAGUAAAAGCGGAGGUGUAAACGAUGGAUGUGAAUAGGCCUGGGGGCCGUAGUGUUACUAGUGGCUUCUCUCAUGAAAGCAAGUAGACGGUGGGUGAAAAAAUUACUGUCGAGCAAUUGAUAGAACCGCGCAAAGUCGUGACGAUAUCUAUGCAAUGAUUAUAUCUAUAGGCAUCAUGUCCAAAACAAGUAGACCGAUACUUUCUGCAUCUACUACUAUUACUCCACACGUCGACCGCUAUCCAGCAUGCAUCUAGUGUAUUAAGUCCAUAAGAACAGAGUAAUGCCUUAAGGAAGAUGACAUGAUGUAGAGGGAUAAUCUCAAACCAAUGAUAAAAACCCCAUCUUUUUACCCUUGAUGGCAACUACUUGAUGUGUGCCUUGCUGCCCCUACUAUCACUGGGAAAGAUCACCACAUGGUAGAACCCAAAACCAAGCACUUCUCCCAUUGCAAGAAUCAUAGAUCUAGUUGGCCAAACAAAACCCAAGACUCGGAGAGACUUACAAGGAUAUCAAAUCAUGCAUACAAGAAAUCAACAAAGACUCAAAUAUAUAUAAUAGAUAAUCUGAUCACAAAUCCACAAUUCAUCGGAUCUCGACAAACACAUCGCCAAAGAAGAUUACAUCGGAUAGAUCUCCAUGAAGAUCAUGCAGAACUUUUUAUUGAAGAUCCAAGAGAGAGAAGAAACCAUCUAGAUACUUACUACGGACCCGUAGGUGUGAAGUGAACUACUCACGAGUCAUUGGAGGUGCGAUGAUGAUGAUGAAGAAGCCCUCCAACUCCAAUGUCCCCUCCGACAGGUCGCCGGGAAGGGUCUCUAGAUGAGAUCUCGCGGAAACGGAAGCUUGCGGCGGCAGAAAAGUAUUUUCGAGGCUCCCCUGAUUUUUUGCGGAAUAUUUGGGAAUUUAUAGGCCAAAGACCUAGGUCAGGGGGCGGCUAGGGAGGCCACAAUCCUGCCCACCACCGCCUCCCCCCUGGUGGUGGAGUGGGGGCUUGUGGGCUCCCUGGAGCCCACCUGGCUUGGCCCAAAAGCCCCCUGGUCUUCUUACGUUCGGGAAAAAAUCAUUUCGGGGUUUUUCUUCUGUUUGGACUCCGUUCCAAAAUCAGAUCUGAAAAGAGUCAAAAACACACAAAAAACACGAACUGGCACUUGGCACUUGGCACUUAAUUAAUAAGUUAUUCCCAAAAAAGAUAUAAAAGGUACAUAAAACAACCAAAGAAGACAAGAUAACAGCGUGAAACCAUCAAAAAUUAUAGAUACAUUUGAGACGUAUCAAGAAUCCCCAAGCUUAACUCCUGCUCGUCCUCGAGUAGGGAAGUGAUAAGAAUGAAUUUUUGAUGCUUUCAUGCUACCUAGCAUAGGUGUCCUUUGUAAUUCCUCUUAUAUGACGUGAAUGUUCAGAUCCAUUAGAUUCAAAACAAUAGUUUGCUAUUGACAUGGAAACAAUAAUAAUUCAAGCAAACUAGCAAAGUAAUCAUGAACUUUCAAAAUAACAAGGCCAAAAGAAAGUUAUCCCUACAAAAGCUUAUAGUCUGGCUAUGCUCUAUUAUCAUUGCCCAACGAAUUUAAAUCAUGCACAACCCCGGUAUUGGCCAACUAAUUGUUUCACACCUUUACUUUCUCAAACCUUUUCAACUCUCACGCAAUACAUGAGCGUGAGCCAUGGUUAUAGCACUAUAGAUGGUGUGGAAUGUGGUGGAGGUUGCAAGAAAAAAAAGGAGAAGAUAGUCACAUUAACUAGGCAUAUCAAUGAGCUGUGGAGAUGCUCACGAAUAGAUAUCAAUGUGAAUGAGUAGGUAUUGCCAUACAAAUGAUGCACUAGAGCUGCGAGUAUGUGAAAGCUCUUAAAGAAAACUAGUGGGUGUGCAUCUAACUUGCUUGCUCACCAAGACCUAAGGCAAUUUUGAGGAAGCCUAUCAUUGGAAUAUACAAGCCAAGUUAUAUAAUGAAGAUUUUCCCACUAGCUAUAUGGUGGUGACAAAAGGAGAGACUCUCAAUCUUGAAGAUCAUGGUGCUCAAUAUGCACAAGUGUGGAAAAAGUGGUAAUAUUGUCCCUUCUCCCUUUUUCUCUCAUUUUUUUUGUUUGGUGGGCUCUUUGGCCUUCUUUUUUUGUGGGCUUCUUUGGCCUCUUUUAUUUCCUCACAUGGGACAAUGCUCCAUUAAUGAUGAUCAUCACACUUUCAACUCAAAACUUAGAGCAAUGAUGACUCUAUCUGAAAUGCCUUCGGUAGUAUACCGUGGCAAUGAUCUAGCAUGGCAUAGACAUCAAUGGAAACAUCAUGCUAGCUAUCUUAUGAUCAUGCAAUGGCAAUGUAGACGUGGUGGCACAUGUCAUGGUGGUAGUUGCAUGAUAAUAUAUCUCGGAAUGACUUUGAAAAAGCCAUAGUAUGUAGGUAUGGUGGCUGUUUUGAGGGAGGCUAAUGGUGGGUUUUGAGGGAGGCGAAAGUUGCACGGUACUAAGAAGAUANUAAACCAUCGCGCGAUCCCGACCGCCACGCAAAGGAUGACAAUCAAUAUACUAAUCAUGCUCAGAUUUCAUCACAUAGUGGUUCACCAUACGUGCAUGCUACGGGAAUCACUAACUUCAACUCAAGUGUUUCUAGAUCCACAACACCUUAGUAGCAUGACUUCAAUAUUACCAUAGCCACAACUCAAAACUAAUUGAGAUGAAUCAAACUUCUCUAACUAUUCAAUGCACAUGAAGGUGGAAGUUUUCGUAUCCCUUUGGAUAACUACCCCUUUUGAGACUACCUUCAAAGCAUAGAUCAACUACCAAGCCACGCACCGCUGUGCUCUAAAAGAUAUAAGUGAAGUACAUAGAGCAAAAGUAUCUAGCACAAAAGAUAUAAGUGAAGCACAUGUGAGCUGAAUUGUCUACCAAAAGAUAUAAGUGAAGCUCGACAAAAUCACGGUGUGUGCAUGUCUCUCUCUCUAGGUGUGAAGCAAGGAUGAUUGUAACACAACAAAAAUAAAAGACUCCUACGAUAAAAGACGCCCCAAGCAAAAACACAUAACAUGUGGUGAAUAAAAAUAUAGCCCCAAGUAACGUUACCGAAGGAUUGAAGACAAGAGAGGGGAUGCCUUCUCGGGGCAUCCCCAAGCUUAGGCUUUUAUGGCAUCCUGUAAUCUCUUGGGGUGCCUUGGGCAUCCCCAAGCUUGAGCUCUUGCCACUCUUUAUCUCUUUGUCCAUAAGAACUUCACCCAAAACUUGAAAACUUCACAACACGAAACUUAAACAGAAACUCGUGAUAACAUUAGUACAAGAAAGCAAACCACCACUUCCUCAGGUAUUGUAGCAAACUUAAAUUCUACUUGUGCUGAUGUUGGGUUACUGUAAUUUCAAUUUUCUAUGGCUAAUACCCCCCGAUACAAUCCAUUGUUUCAUCAAAAUAAGCAACCAACACAACAAAAACAGAAUCUGUUAACAGCAGACCAGUCUGUAGCAAUCUGUAUAUUUCAUAUACCUCUAGUACUUCACAAAUUCUGAAAGAUUACUAUGGUCUGAAGAAUUUGCGUAACAAUCAGUAGAAAAAAGAAUAAACUCAAAAGCUCUUACAGAAAAAAACUGAAAAUUCUUUUCGUGAGCAGAAAGUUUCUGUCUUUUCCAGCAUGACCAAACGAUCAUCCCCAAGACUAAUCAUAACGGUUUUGCUUGGCACAAACGCAAAAAAGAAACACAAAAACACAAUCAUAACAGAAUUAUGAAAGUGUGGAAAACACAAAAUAGAAAGAAAAAGGAUAGAUUCUUUGUGUUGCCUCCCAACAAGCGCUUUUGUUUAAUGCCCUUAGCUAGGCGAAAGGUGAUGAAAUCAUGUAUAGUCAUCUUUGGUGCUCAAACCAUAGGUAGCCCUCAUCAUGGAUACAUAAGGCAAACUUAUUUUAUUUCUAGGAAAGUUCUCCAUGCCCUUCUUUAAAGGAAAUUGAAAUCUAAUAUUCCCUUCCUUCAUAUCGAUGAUAGUACCAAUAGUCCUUAGGAAAGGUCUACCAAGAAUAAUGGGACAUGAAGGAUUGCAAUCUAUGUCAAGUACAAUGAAAUCCACGGGUAGAUAGUUCUUAUUUGCAAUAAUAAGAACAUCAUCGAUCCUCCCCGUGGUUUUCUUGACAGUAGUUUCCGCAAGAUGCAAAUUAAGAGAACACUCUUCAAUCUCAUGAAAACCAAGAAUAUCACAUAAAGACUUUGGAAUCGCGGAAACACUAGCACCCAAAUCACACAAAGCAUUGCACUCAUAGUUUUUGAUCUUGAUUUUGAUAGUAGGUUGCCACUCAUCAUGAAGUUUUCUAGGUAUAGAGACUUCUAGUUCGAGCUUCUCUUCAAGAGAUUUCAUCAUAGCAUCUACGAUAUGCGCGGUAAAGGCUUUGCUUUGGUUAUAAGCAUGUGGAGAGUUUGCAAUGGAUUGCAUCAAAGAAAUGCAUUCAAACAAGGAGAAACUAUCAUAAUUGAAUUCCUUGAAAUCCAAAGUGGGAGUUUCAUUACUACCCAAAAUUUUGACUUCUUCUACUCCACUCUCGACACCUUUAUCAUCAAGAUAGGUGGACUCCGAAUCAUUGGGGCAUUUUUCAACCAAAGUGGAUUCAUAUCCAGCCCCUCCAUAAGUACAUUUGACACGAGAAAACAAAGAUUCAAGAGGAGACACACCAAGCACUUUAAGAUCGUGAUUUUCAUCACUAGAACGCACCCUUUUAAACCAUUCAUGUCUAGCGCGAAUUUGGGUGGUUCUUUCUUUGCUCUCAUUCAUGGAGAUACACAUAGCUUUCAAAGUUUCAUCCAAGUUGACCUUGGGAGGAGCGCAUCUAACUUUCAAAGCAUCAAUAUCACAAGACAUUCCAUCAACGCUCUUAGCCAAAUCGUCUAUUUUGAGUAGUUUUUCCUCUAUGGACGCAUUGAAAAUCUUUUGAGAGUUGAUGAACUCUUUGAUAUUACUCUCUAGAUCACAGGGUUAUUUGUUGUGAUUUCCAUAAGUGUUGCCGUAGGAAUUGCCAUAAUUGUUAGAGUUACUAGGAAAAGGCCUAGGAACAUAGUUUCCUCUAAAAGCAUUGUUGUUGCCAAAAUUGUUCCUACCAACAAAAUUCACGUCCAAAAUAGCGUUGCUACUCUCAAUCAAAGAAGAUAGUGGCAUGUCAUUAGGAUCUACGGUAGCGUUUAUACUAGCAACCAAAUUCAUCAACUCGUCCAUCUUAGCACUAAGCGAGUUAAUUUCUUCUAUAGCGUGCACCUUUUUGCUAGCAGGCGACCUUUCAGUGUGCCACUUAGAGUAGUUGGUCAUGAUAUUGUCUAGGAGUUUUGUAGCGUCUCCUAACGUGAUUUCCAUGAACGUUCCACCUGAGGCGGAGUCCAAGAUAUUGCGAGAAGUGAAAUUCAAGCCAACGUGAAAGAUUUGUAUAAUCAUCCACAAACUGAAGCCAUGAGCGGGACAAUUUCUAAUCAUAAGCUUCAUCCUCUCUCAAGAUUGUGCAACGUGUUCAUGAUCAAGUUGCUUGAAAUUCAUGAUAUCGUUACGUAAGGAGAUGAAAAUACUUGGAUAUGUAAGCAUCUUUGCACUUAUCCCAAGAAUCGAUACUAUUUUUAGGCAAAGAAGAAAACCAAGUUUUUGCGCGAUCUCGCAACAAGAAAGGAAAAAGUUUCAACUUAAUCAUGUCAUUAUCCACAUCUCUUUUCUUUUGCAUAUCACAAAGCUCAAUGAAGGUAUUGAGAUGGGAUGUGUCAUCUUCACUAGGAAGGCCAGAGAAUUGCUCUUUCAUAACAAGAUUCAGCAAAGCUGCGUUGAUUUCAUACGAUUCCACACUAGUGGCGGGAGCAAUCGGAGUACUAAUAAAAUCAUUAUUAUUAGUGCUCGAGAAGUCGCAAAGUUUGGUGUUUUCAGACAUGAUGUCUUCAACAAACAAACAAGCACACAAGAAAGCAAGAGAACCAGCAAAGGAAAGAGAAAACGGCGAAGGCGAAAGGCGAAUGAAAACGGCAAAUGUGAAGUGGGGGAGAGGAAAACGAGAGGCAACUGGCAACAAAAGUAAAUGCAAGAGAAGAGUUUGUGAGACCUACUUGGAUAGAUCUUGAUUUCUCCUCCCCGGCAACGGCACCAGAAAUGCUUUUGAUGUCAGCUAAGCUAAUGCACAAAAGUCCUUCCAAUGGUGCCAGAAACAGGUGUGUCGAUGGCACUAGGAAUCCUUCAGUUGCGUCUACGCCUUAAGGGACUUCCUAGGCAAGUAUGCAAAGGAUUUCCCCUGUGGCCUUGGACCCUUGCGUUGGUGUUCCCUUGAACCGGAAAGGGUGAUGUAGCACAACGACGGUAAGUAUUUCCCUUAGUUUGAGAACCAAGGUUUCAAUCCGGUGGAGGAGUAUCACAAGAUCCUGCACAAACACAAAAGCUUGCUCCCAACGCUAUGAAGGGGUUAUCAAUCCCUUAUAGAUUGUUUGCCAAGUGAGAACUGAAAGCAACAAAGUAACAAAGCAAAGGAAAAGCGGAGGUGUAAACGAUGGAUGUGAAUAGACCCGGGGGCCGUAGUGUUUACUAGUGGCUUCUCUCAUGAAAGCAAGUAGACGGUGGGUGAAUAAAUUACUGUCGAGCAAUUCAUAGAACCGCGCAAAGUCGUGAUAAUAUCUAUGCAAUGAUUAUAUCUAUAGGCAUCAUGUCCAAAACAAGCAGACCGAUACUUUCUGCAUCUACUACUAUUACUCCACACGUCGACCGCUAUCCAGCAUGCAUAUAGUGUAUUAAGCCGAUAAGAACAGAGUAACGCCUUAAGCAAGAUGACAUGAUGUAGAGGGAUAAUCUCAAACCAAUGAUAAANUUUUUACCCUUGAUGGCAACUACUUGAUGUGUGCCUUGCUGCCCCUACCGUCACUCGGAAAGGUCACCACAUGGUAGAACCCAAAACCAAGCACUUCUCCCAUUGCAAGAAUCAUUGAGAUGGUGCUGAUGAAGAUGUUGAUGGUGAUGAGUCCUCUCCGAUGAGAGGAGUGUUGGUGAUGACGAUGGCGAUGAUUUCCCACUCUGGGAAGGAAGUUUCCCCGGCAGGACGGCCCUGCCAGAGCUGUAGAUUGGUUCUGCUCAAGAUUCGCCUCGUGACGGCGGCAACUCCUCCCGAAAGCCUCCUCUUGAUUUUUUAUGGAAUGAAACCCUCCUUAUAGCAAAAGAGGGGAUCUAGAGCGCCAACAGGGAGCCCACGCCCCCCCCCCCCCCCCUAGGCGCGGCCUGGGGGGUAGGCCGCGCCUAGCAGGCUUGUGGCCUCCUGGUGGCUCCCCUGUGGUACUUCUUCCGCCCAGUAUUUUUUUAUAAAUUCCAAAAUAAUUCCUCGUUGAUUUUCACUGCUUUUGGAGUUGCGCAGAAUAGGCAUCUCAAACUUGCUCCUUUUUUAGGCCAGAAUUCCAGCUGCUGGCAUUCUCCCUCUUCAUGUAAACCUUGUAAAAUAAGAGAGAAAAGACAUAAGUAGUGUACCGUGAAGUGUAAUAACAGCCCAUAAAGCGAUAAAUAUCAACAUGAAAGCAUAACGCAAAAUGGACGUAUCAGGUGCUAGCGGCUAUUUGCAGGUUUUGAAGAAGCAGACGAGGAGUGUCAAAAAAUAAGAGUGGGAGUGCUAAGAAAAAACCCUUGAUUCCUUUGAAAAUUUAGGAGAGAUGAGAAGAUACACGUUUUGCAAGUAGUUUUGAAGGGUCUCGAAAGCAGUUUUAUCCUAACUAACAUCCGUGCUAACUAAGGGCUUCCUAUAGUCAGGAUGGCUGUGAUACCAGCUCUGUGGGGACCCCGACUUACGAGUCGAGAUCGUCGAACGAACGUGCUCAGUGAUCCCAGAGAUCAAUGCUCACAGAACACACAGAAACUGAAUCACAAGAGUCUUACAUCCAUACAUACCGUUUGAUACAAUAAAUGUCCAUUGUGGUCAAGUCUUACAUAUAUAGGGCCUUGAGGGCCAACACACCAAACUGGACAAAUAGCAGAAAUAUUGGUCGAAAGUGUGAACCCAUGCCAUCAGCCUUAACCUACAGGCAUUCUCACUCGGAAGCCUCCUAGCUCGGAAGAACGUCACCGAGUUACUCUUCACCAUAUCCUGUUCUCUCAGACCUGGUGAAUGAAAUAACCAGUGGCAAGCCAAUGAGUAGCUUGAUUGUACUCGCAAACAGCCCAUGAUAUGAUAAUGCAGUUGGUACGGUAACAAGUAAUAUGCAGUAUUGGUGGAUAGCGGCUUGACUGUAAAUAACAUGAUCAUAGAUGGAUGUGCAACAUAAGCUAGAUGCUGUUUAGAAGAACGGGUUACAGAUAUCAAUAUAUCUGCCAAGGGCUGAACGCUCCGGGUUCACCCAAUAUGCCAAGUCACCAAACUUGGUCAUAUCAAUUCUUUCAUAUUAACACCAUUAAACACACACACACUUGGUUUAUGCGGAAACGACUAGACGUAGUUUAAGCAGCACCACCCAACUUUCCUAGACCGUGCACAUGGCUAUUCGAAUAGUUUGACACUGUGCAGAGGUUGUACGCUAUACCCACGAGAUUCGGGAAACUUCCAUGUCAUCCACGACUCACGGUAUAUAACAUACCCGAGUUAAGUACCCGAUCAAUGCCUUUCCACUGACGAUACUAGACAAAUAGGUCCACUCGAUUGGUACCCAGCCCACAUGAUGCACGUCUUACGAGCACUCACUCUGGACAGUAUCAUCCAUGCGGGGACCAACAGUGUGCCCGGAACACGUAAAAACGGCCUAGUCGCUCUACCUGGCACGACCCCAUCACGAGAGUGACCACACAUCACUCCCGUCAAUAGUAAUGUGGCUCUUUGCUAGCACCGACCAGAGUAAUCAACAAAGCCCCGUCCCAUAAAGGGGUAACGUGGUCGCACAUGUAAGGUUGGGACGGUCGACACACCAUAAAUCCAAUCCCAUUUCCAAAACCACUCACACCAAAAUACACCUGGUGCACCACUUCUCCAAAAGAGGCCACCAAUCUCAUCAUCACCCUCAUGCAUUAGUGGCACCCGACGGGGUUUUCAUAAAUCUUUGAUAUUUACCAUCAGCAUGCUCAUGCUUCUACUAUGCUUAGCCCUACUUGUCAACAGGUAUUAGCGUGACCCUGAUAGGUGGUAGGAUCUUGCUCAAAAUGCAAGUGCUCCGGAGGAGCCAUCGGUAACAUCAGUUCGAUGAUUUACCGAAUACUUAUGAUCGUAUGCAACGGGAAUAAUUUCUCUACUAGCAUGCAAUAUAGUAUUUUCUCAGACUUGGUCAAAGGGCUGCUUGCCUUUGCUCACAAGUCCUCGGGGUCUUCGAGGUCUUCUGGUUCAACUUCGAGUACUCUGUUUAGUCCAUCAACUUACGUCGAAAACAACACAGUAAGACACGCAACAAGCAGAAAUAGAAGUUCUACAUAAAUAGGAGUUAUGUUUUUCUUGGACCUCUCUAGUCAUAUGAAAAAUACCUGAAUCUUGCCAUAGGAGACCGGGAUCAUCAGAAAAUUUUGAGUGAACAAAAAGAGGAAUAUGUGAUCUUAAUGGGAGUCUACAGAAAGUAUCAUGAUAAAAAAGAGUGGAGGCACUCAUUUAAUAGAGCAUAAUUUUAGAAAUAUUUAGGAAGUUGUUUCACUGGAUUUGGAGUUGGUAUGAAUAUUCUAUGGAUUUUCUAAUAUGGGAUAAAUAGCAAAAGGGAGCUAUAUAUUUAUUGCAACAGAAAUAUGCCAUACAAAAAUGUUGACCAAGGCUCUAAAAAUAGAGCAUGAUAUUAGAAGGCUCUCGAAUUUGGAAUCACUCCAUUUGGAGUGGAUUUGAAUCCUCUAGGAUUUUUGAAAGGGGGCUAGAAGCACUCAAUUCUUUAUUUAAAUAGAAAUAUAGUAUACAAGUGGUUUGUAAAAAUGUGCAAAGCACACUUCUUGAUAGAUCUUGAUUUUAUGGACCUGCAGAAAUUUGAAUCAUUAAAUUUGGAGCUCAAAUGAUUUUAUAAUGAAUUUUUGAAGUUUUCUGCAAAAAAAUUUGAUAAAAGCUCAGCCACAUGGCUAUCCGGCGCUCAGGCGCCGGAGAGGGAAGUGUGCCGGCUUAGCAGCUUCGGCCUGGGCGGUUGGUGGCCACGCAUAAGGUGGAAUCCACCCAAUGCACCUUAGCCUCGGGGAGGCGGGCUUGAGUGUGACGCCUCAACUUGAACGAGUGGCCCCGGGCCUCUGUCUCACCGACACGCGGGCCCCGGACAUCGGACCUAUCUUCCUCCACCUACUCGAUCUGAGAGCAGGCAGGGAGGCAGGGCAGGGCAACAACUGCUGCAUGCGCCGGUGGCUCUGGCAGCCCCCGGCGAUGGCCGGUGGUCCUGAUGAGCCAAGGGCUGCGUUGCGCCCAUCUCAGUGCCUGGCGAGCGCGGCGGAGGGCCGGAACGGCUUUAGCCGAAUUGGCUGCAGUGAGGGCGGCGAUGGUGGACGUGGGGAGCGGUGUUCCGGCCACCAGAAGGGAAGAGGAAGGAGGGGGAGCUGCGGAGAGGAGGGAGGCCUCUCGACGCAUCCUCAGGGAGGGAAGAGCUCGGGGGAGCCCGAGUUGAAGAAGGGGCCACUGGUGGCUUUGGCCAUUAGAGGAAGAGGAGAGCUCAGGGCUCGAAGGAAAAGGAUGGGAGGUCCAGGAGGUUGCAGGAGAAAGGAGGGAGUGAGGGAGAGCCCGAGAGACCUUGGGGUGAGGAGAUAAGAGAGCCCCCCCCCCCCGCUCUCAGGGCACGGAGCAUACACGCGUCUUUGGGAACUUUGGAGGCGAGCUGGGGUUGGGGAGGGCUUGGACCGGUCAAGGGGAGUGCCCUGGCGCGCUGGGACACGCGACCAUCGAUGGACCCGAGUUGUAGCAAAAGUAAAGGAUGCAGAGCACCGUUGUUGCAUGCUGCCAGGUAGGUCACCAUGGCCACUCGUGUCCACAGGGCUGCUGUGACCAGUCAAACAUGUCCAACACGUAGGGAACACAUGCAGGAAGGAGACUCUGGAGUAUGGUUGCACUUGGGGCUGGUUGGAAUUUGUUUUGGCUGUGGUUAAGAUUCCAGCUGGAAACUUGGGGCUGGCAAAGGUGGAUUUCAGAGGGGGAAACUUGGGGUGAAACUAUGUCUACACCACUGCAAAGUUUCAACUCAAGAAAGGGAGGGUAGCUAGUACUUGCUGUACAAAGCUACAUUUCAGCCACAAUUCAACUUGCAGAUGAGCAUACCAUAACUUGGUUUCUAAUGAUGCCUUGGGAUGCUAGGGACCCUCUGGAAAGAGGUGGGGGCUUUGGCUUAAGCAGAAGUGGGACAAGAGACGUAAAAAUGGUGAUCCAAGGGUAAAAAUGAGAAGUAGUUACAUGGAGCCUCUCUCGAUAAUUGAUCAGUAGCCAUGGAAAUGCUACUGGAGUAAAAAGGUAACUAGGGGAGGUUGUGGUAGAAAGUUGAGCUCAAGGGUUUGAUGAUUGUCAGGGCAACGAGAUGAACCUCAAUGGAUAUGAAACUUGACAUGAUCAAAUAAUAGAUGAAAAUCAGCUUGGAAACCAAAUUUUGGAUUGGGUGGAGAAGGUUCCCUAUGUAGACUUGGAAAACCCAUGAAAUGGGCAGACAUGGCUUUCUGCUUACAAAACUAUUCAAGUCAAUUCCCACAAAUCCAAUAUUUGGUGUGGGGCAUUAUUUGAGCAUUAAAGCCUGCCCAAAAAGUUUGGGGUCAAUUGGAGAAACUUUAUAAUGUAAAGUUUCCCAAAGUUAGAAAUCCACACACAGGGUUUUGAGGGGACUGGGACAAUUUCUUCUAUUCUCCUGGAUGCACCACUUGGUGUGGCUGCAUUAUUGGAGUAUCGGAACAUGUCUACCAAAUUUGAGUACAAUUGGAGACACUUGACAAUGUAGAGUUGCUCAAAUUUGGAUUUGGACAGAUAGGGGUUUAGAAUAAUUAGGGGAGUCAAUUCAACUUGAAUUGAGAUGAAACUUGGCAAGUUCAUCACGUAUAUCAUAUGUGAUAUGCUAGAAUUUACAGGAUUUUAUUGAGAAUAUUUUAUUAUAGAAAUAUUCGAAAAGCUUGAAAUAGGCAGGAAGGGUUUUGGAGGGGGUUGCCCAAUAUUUUGAACAUGACCAUGGGUUGAUACUCAUAUAUAUGUAAUAUAUAUGUCCACUGAGUUUCCCUAAAUUUUCUUAAUAUUUUGAAAGCAAUAAAGAUAACUUUCCUUCAUAAGAGACCAUUUCUAGCCUCACAGGAAGGCAUUUAAAUAAAAUAGUAAAAUAACUUUUAGAAUAACAAUAUUGUGGUUUCGGGUAGCCAUUUUUAUAAUGGGUUUUAAAUAAAAUAAUUGGUGCAAAAUAAAUUCCCUAAUUUGAGGACUUGUAGUAUAAAUCCCAUCUCACAGGUUUUGAAAGCUUAAUUCAAAGAAAUGAUUUUUGGUGAAAAUAAUAUUUGGUAAAAAUAGUUUCUGGUCAUAAACACAUGGCAUGAUAAUAACGCAAGGGUUUGGGUCAAGGUGGUGACUCUCAAGAGUAGAAGGAGUCAUUGAGAAUCAAACACAGGCAUACAAGCAAGCAAGCAAUAGUCACUUCAAGCAUCACAAGCAUUCACAAAAAAUUAAUUGGUCCUAAUUUUGGAAAUAAGUUAAUUAUUCAGGAAAGCUAAACACAUGGUGUUACACUGUGUCAAGAACUAUACCAGGAGUCAGUUGUAGCGUCUACUAAUAAGGCACUCACCACUGUUGGCGAAACUCCCAGGGGGAAGAGGAAGAGCAAGAAAUCAGGCAAGGUCUCUCACAAGGACUUUGUGGAGCGCACCCCACGGUGAUGUAUGCACAUCAAGGAUUCUCUUGAGACUACCACCCCAAGGAGAAAUAAGAACAAAGUGACCAUCCCCAAGAUUAGGCUAGUGGACACGCGGGAAGUCACUGAGGGUGGCACUUUCACCAUAAGUGCCACCCACGACAACAAAUAUGUAAGCACGCUUGUCUGCUUCCGGCAGGUGAACAUCAAUAUGUUUGCGUCGGAACCAUAUGAUAUCCCCGAUGUUCCUAGGGAGGUUAUCGAUCACCACCUUGCCAUUUGCCCCCCCAUUCAAGCAGAAGGUCCGAAAGAAAGCACUCGACCAAUAGGAGUUCAUUGCCGAAUAGAUCAAGAUGCUGGAAGCAGUAGGCCUGGUCAGAGGCGUCCUUCUCCCAACAUGGUUGGCGAAAGCUGUGGUAGUGUACAAGGUGAAUGGUAAGUGGAUGCUUUGCACUGACUUCACCGAUGUCAACAAGUCUUGCCUAAAGGAUCCCUUCCCUUUGCCAUGCAUCAACCAGAUAGUGCACUCGACCGCUGGCGGCAUUCGUCUAUUCUUCCUUGAAGCCUACUCAGGUUACCACCAUAUUUUCAUGGACAACGAAGAUGAAGAGAAUACAACAUUCAUCACACCAUGUGGUACGUAUGUUUCAAGCGCAUGCCAUUUGGACUGAAGAUUGCAUGAUCAACUUUCACGAGGGAUGUAAAGAUCGGUCUCAGUCCAUAGCUACACAGGAAUGUAGAAGCCUACAUGGAUGACAUUGUGGUCAAGACCAAGGCCGAAGCCACGUUGGUUCAUGACCUUGAAUAAACCUUUGACAAUUUGCGCAAGAUCAACUUGAAGCUCAACCCAAAGAACUGCAUAUUCAAAGUCCCAUCCGGCAAGCUCCUCGGUUUCUUUGUGUCAUGGUGCGGGAUAGAAGCAAACCCCACCUUGAUUAAAUCCAUUGAACAUUUGGAAGCUUCGAAGCGUGUCAAGGAUGUACACCGAUUAGCGGGCUGCAUCACCGUCCUCACCAGGUUCAUCUCCAAGUCUGCAGAACACGUCCUCCCAUUUUUCAAGAUCUUGAAAAAGGCAGGUCCUAUGAAAUGGAUCUUGGAGGCAGAGGCCGCGUUGCAUGUCUUGAAAAGGUACUUGUAUUCUCCGCCAACCCUAGUCGCACCCAGUCCCGAGGAACCAUUGCUGCUAAUGGAGGCAACAAACCAAGUGGUUUGCACUGCACUAGUGGCAGAGAGGGUAGCUGAGGAAGACGAGGCAACAUCCCCUGAGUUGGCAAACGACAAACCAGUGUCAUCCCCGGCAAGCCAAGAAGUUGACGACAAGGAUGCAACGCAAGAGGGUGGACGACAGGUUGUGCAAAAGAAGAAAAGGUGCAGCAAACAGUGUACUUUGUUAGCUCUCUCCUGUAGGGGGCUAGAUCAAGGUACUCUAUGAUACAAAAAACUACUCUUUAGCCUCAUCAUGGUCGCCCCGAGUUGCACCGCUACUACCAAGCACACCACAUAAANNNNNNNNNNNNNNNNNNNNNNNNNNNNNNNNNNNNNNNNNNNNNNNNNNNNNNNNNNNNNNNNNNNNNNNNNNNNNNNNNNNNNNNNNNNNNNNNNNNNAGCACCAGCAAUCGCCGUCGGCAUCAUCCCUCCCCUCUACCCAUGUGCGCGAGGGGAAGAAGACGAACCCCAUAGGUGGGUUCCCCUGUCCGCGAGCCAGCCUCGACACCGAUGGAGCAGAUCCCGUGGUGCAUUUUCUCUUUAGAGAUGUGUGUGAUCUGGAGUGUAUUUUCCCUUUCCCGAAAACAUAUUUGUUUUCGAAAAUGUUUUCUUCUCUAUUUUAUUAAAAAACAAAAUUUGGACGAAACUUUGACUGCUUAUAACUUUUAAACUACAACUGCAAACGAGUUGGUUCUUUUUCUGUUGUGUCUCAAAUUUCACCUAAUUUAUUGUCAUAUUUAUUUCAAAAACUUUGAAACAACUUUUAUACACUAUUUUGGAAAUGUGUGUUGAUUCCGAUAAUUUCAAAAAUAGAAAAAAUUGGAGGGAAGAAUUUUUCAAGAUUUUUGGGGUGCACACCACCCUUCUUCAGACCAAACGCAAGCAUCUUGAACCCAAAUUUGUCUUAAGUGUGUGAUGGCUUGUUGUGGUGAAUGGAUGCAUGGUUAUGCUACUUAGAUAAAAACUCUCCAUAGCAACAUAUUUUGCGCCAAAGCAUGUGAUGGGUACUUAUUUGCUGUUGAGCAUAUAAUACUAGUGAUGAGUGNNNNNNNNNNNNNNNNNNNNNNNNNNNNNNNNNNNNNNNNNNNNNNNNNNNNNNNNNNNNNNNNNNNNNNNNNNNNNNNNNNNNNNNNNNNNNNNNNNNNUCCAUCAUACACUUAAGACAAAUUGGGGUUCAAUAUGCUUGCCUUAGGUAUGAAGAAGGGUGGUCUGCACACCAAAAAUCCUGAAGAAUUCUUCCCUCCAAUAUUUCCUAUUUUUUAAAUUAUCGGAAUCAAACACAAUUCCAAAACAGUGUAUAAAAGUUGUUUGGAAUAUUUUGAAAUAAAUAGACCAUAAAGUAGGUGAAAUUUGAGAAACAACAAAAAAAGAACCAACUCAUUUGGAGUUGUAGUUUAAAAGUUAUCAGCAGUCAAAGUUUGGUGAAAAUCUAUUUUUAAAUAAAUCAAAGAAGAAAACGUUUUUGAAAACAAAUACCUUCUCGGCAAAGGGAAACCACACUCCAUAGCACACGCCAUUGUGAAGAACAAACGCGCCAGGGGAUCUGCGCCAUCCGGGCCGAGGUUGGCUCGCCGACAGGUGGAACCCACGUGUCGGGUUUGUCUUCUUCCCCCUUGCUCGCACAGGUAGAGGGGAGGGUUCACGCCGACGGUGAUCGUUGGCGCCAGGAAUGGUGGGCACAACAUCGUGCUCGGGGGGAGGUCCUCAACCUUUGGGGGGCACGGGAUUCACCGGAGAGGUCGGAACUGAGCACUCCUCCAUCCAUGGCGGAAGGGAGGCUCCGGCGCACUGGCGUCUUCCUACGGUUCGCUACCAAUGUGAUUUGGCAUGGGGAUGGAUCCUAGGGGCCGUGGUUGAGAUAAUGGUGGNNNNNNNNNNNNNNNNNNNNNNNNNNNNNNNNNNNNNNNNNNNNNNNNNNNNNNNNNNNNNNNNNNNNNNNNNNNNNNNNNNNNNNNNNNNNNNNNNNNNACCUUGGUUCCUUGGCUAGAGCAAUGGCACGAGUUUUGUCAUAGAACAGAUUGAUUGGUUCCAGUGUACUUGACAUUACUCCAAGAUGCGAUGUGACCUGCUUCAUCCAGACACCCUCCUUAGCCGCCUCUGAGGCAGCUAUGUACUCCGCUUCGCAUGCAGAAUCAGCUACGACGCUUUGCUUGGAACUUCACCAGCUUACCACACCCCCGUUAAGAAUAAAUACAUAUCCAGUUUGAGACUUAGAGUCAUCCGGAUCAGUGUCAAAGCUUGCAUCGACGUAACCCUUUACGACGAGCUCUUUGUCACCUCCAUAAACGAGAAACAUUUCCUUAGUCCUUUUCAGGUACUUCAGAAUAUUCUUGACCGCCUCCCAGUGUUCCACUCCUGGAUCACUUUGAAACCUGCCUGUCAUACUUAUGUCUAGGCUGACAUCCGGUCUUGUGCACAACAUUGCAUACAUGAUAGACCCUAUGGCUGAAGCAUAAGGGACGACACUCAUCUUUUCUCUAUCUUCUGCAGUUACUUGACAUUGAGUCUUACUCAACUUUAUACCUUGUAACACAGGCAAGAACCCCUUCUUGGAUUGUUCCAUUUUGAACUUCUUCAAAACUUUAUCAAGGUAUGUGAUUUAUGAAAGAGCUAUUAGGCGCCUUGACCUAUCUCUAUAGAUCUUUAUGCCCAAUAUGUAAAAAGCNUUCUCCUAGAUCUUUCAAUGAAAAACUUUUAUUCAAGUAAGCCUUUACGUUUACAAAAACUCUAUAUUGUUUCCAAUCAGCAAUAUGUCANNNNNNNNNNNNNNNNNNNNNNNNNNNNNNNNNNNNNNNNNNNNNNNNNNNNNNNNNNNNNNNNNNNNNNNNNNNNNNNNNNNNNNNNNNNNNNNNNNNNCUUUUCAUUUCUCCUCUUCUCCUCUUCUUGGAGCUAAAUUAGCUAAGUAUGUCUUUUUGGAGCUAAAUGGGAUAAUUAUGUCAUUUUAGAGGAAAACAAGCUAAAUAAAUAAUAUUCAUGAGCUAACCAAGGUACUUAUGCCAUUAUGAGCUUAUUAUGUCAUUUUGGAGCUAAAUUAGUCAUUUAAAUGAGGUAACCAAGGUUCUUAUGAUGUUUUUACCUAACUAAGCUAAUUAUGUCAUUUUGGAGGAUAAUUAGCUAAGUAUGUCUAUGUUGGGGAAAAUAAGCUACGUAGAAGAAGAAAGAGAAGAAGAGGAGAAGAAAUAAGUAAGUUUCAUAUCCAUUGAAGUUCAUCUGGUUGCCCUGACACUCAUCAAACACCUUUUGUGCACUCACUUUAAUGUCUACUUUGGCACCUUCCACUUUAACCCUUGAGCUCAACUUUCUACCACAGCCUCCCCUAGUUGCCUUUUUACUCGAGUAGCAUUUCCAUGGCCACUGGUCNUUAUCUGAGUAUAGGUCAUGUUUUAUUAAACAGACCAUUUUGGACCUAACUAAGCUAAUUAUGUCAUUUAGGUGGAAGCCUAGCUAACUAUAGGUCAUUUCGAAGCUAACCUGGGUAAAAUAUGUCAUUCUGGAGCAAACUAUGCUUAUUAAGCCAUNGGUCAUUUUGGAGCUAACUAAGCUAAUUAUGUCAUUUAGGUGGAAGCCAAGCUAACUAUAUGUCGUUUUGGAGCUAACUUGGGUUAAAUAUGUCAUUUUGGACCUAACUAUGCGUAUUAAGCCAUAUUGGAGCUAAAUUGGCUAAUUAUAUCAUUUAGGUGGAAGCCAAGCUAAGUAUAUAAUAUUCAUGAGCUAACCAAGGUUCUUAUGCCAUUUUGAGCUUAUUAUUUCAUUUUUGAGCUAAAUUGGUCAUUUUAAUGAGCUAACCAAGGUUCUUAUGAUGUUUUCACCUAACUAAGCUAAUUAUGUCAUUUUGUAGGAUAAUUAGCCAAUUUAGUCUUUGUUGGAUGAGUCUAAGCUACGUAGAAGAAGAGAGAGAGAAGAAGCAAGAAGACAAGAAGAAGGAGAAGUAAAAGAAGAAGAAGUAGGAGGANNNNNNNNNNNNNNNNNNNNNNNNNNNNNNNNNNNNNNNNNNNNNNNNNNNNNNNNNNNNNNNNNNNNNNNNNNNNNNNNNNNNNNNNNNNNNNNNNNNNGGAAAAAGAAAACGGCGAAGGCGAAAGGCGAAUGAAAACGGCAAAUGUGAAGUGGGGGAGAGGAAAACGAGAGGCAACUGGCAACAAAAGUAAAUGCAAGAGAAGAGUUUGUGAGACCUACUUGGAUAGAUCUUGAUUUCUCCUCCCCGGCAACGGCACCAGAAAUGCUUUUGAUGUCAGCUAAGCUAAUGCACAAAAGUCCUUCCAAUGGUGCCAGAAACAGGUGUGUCGAUGGCACUAGGAAUCCUUCAGUUGCGUCUACGCCUUAAGGGACUUCCUAGGCAAGUAUGCAAAGGAUUUCCCCUGUGGCCUUGGACCCUUGCGUUGGUGUUCCCUUGAACCGGAAAGGGUGAUGUAGCACAACGACGGUAAGUAUUUCCCUUAGUUUGAGAACCAAGGUUUCAAUCCGGUGGAGGAGUAUCACAAGAUCCUGCACAAACACAAAAGCUUGCUCCCAACGCUAUGAAGGGGUUAUCAAUCCCUUAUAGAUUGUUUGCCAAGUGAGAACUGAAAGCAACAAAGUAACAAAGCAAAGGAAAAGCGGAGGUGUAAACGAUGGAUGUGAAUAGACCCGGGGGCCGUAGUGUUUACUAGUGGCUUCUCUCAUGAAAGCAAGUAGACGGUGGGUGAAUAAAUUACUGUCGAGCAAUUCAUAGAACCGCGCAAAGUCGUGAUAAUAUCUAUGCAAUGAUUAUAUCUAUAGGCAUCAUGUCCAAAACAAGCAGACCGAUACUUUCUGCAUCUACUACUAUUACUCCACACGUCGACCGCUAUCCAGCAUGCAUAUAGUGUAUUAAGCCGAUAAGAACAGAGUAACGCCUUAAGCAAGAUGACAUGAUGUAGAUGGAUAAUCUCAAACAUAUGAUAAAAAAACCCAUCUUUUUACCCUUGAUGGCAACUACUUGAUGUGUGCCUUGCUGCCCCUACCGUCACUCGGAAAGGUCACCACAUGGUAGAACCCAAAACCAAGCACUUCUCCCAUUGCAAGAAUCAUUGAGAUGGUGCUGAUGAAGAUGUUGAUGGUGAUGAGUCCUCUCCGAUGAGAGGAGUGUUGGUGAUGACGAUGGCGAUGAUUUCCCACUCUGGGAAGGAAGUUUCCCCGGCAGGACGGCCCUGCCAGAGCUGUAGAUUGGUUCUGCUCAAGAUUCGCCUCGUGACGGCGGCAACUCCUCCCGAAAGCCUCCUCUUGAUUUUUUAUGGAAUGAAACCCUCCUUAUAGCAAAAGAGGGGAUCUAGAGCGCCAACAGGGAGCCCACGAGCCCCCUAGGCGCGGCCUGGGGGGUAGGCCGCGCCUAGCAGGCUUGUGGCCUCCUGGUGGCUCCCCUGUGGUACUUCUUCCGCCCAGUAUUUUUUUAUAAAUUCCAAAAUAAUUCCUCGUUGAUUUUCACUGCUUUUGGAGUUGCGCAGAAUAGGCAUCUCAAACUUGCUCCUUUUUUAGGCCAGAAUUCCAGCUGCUGGCAUUCUCCCUCUUCAUGUAAACCUUGUAAAAUAAGAGAGAAAAGACAUAAGUAGUGUACCGUGAAGUGUAAUAACAGCCCAUAAAGCGAUAAAUAUCAACAUGAAAGCAUAACGCAAAAUGGACGUAUCAGGUGCUAGCGGCUAUUUGCAGGUUUUGAAGAAGCAGACGAGGAGUGUCAAAAAAUAAGAGUGGGAGUGCUAAGAAAAAACCCUUGAUUCCUUUGAAAAUUUAGGAGAGAUGAGAAGAUACACGUUUUGCAAGUAGUUUUGAAGGGUCUCGAAAGCAGUUUUAUCCUAACUAACAUCCGUGCUAACUAAGGGCUUCCUAUAGUCAGGAUGGCUGUGAUACCAGCUCUGUGGGGACCCCGACUUACGAGUCGAGAUCGUCGAACGAACGUGCUCAGUGAUCCCAGAGAUCAAUGCUCACAGAACACACAGAAACUGAAUCACAAGAGUCUUACAUCCAUACAUACCGUUUGAUACAAUAAAUGUCCAUUGUGGUCAAGUCUUACAUAUAUAGGGCCUUGAGGGCCAACACACCAAACUGGACAAAUAGCAGAAAUAUUGGUCGAAAGUGUGAACCCAUGCCAUCAGCCUUAACCUACAGGCAUUCUCACUCGGAAGCCUCCUAGCUCGGAAGAACGUCACCGAGUUACUCUUCACCAUAUCCUGUUCUCUCAGACCUGGUGAAUGAAAUAACCAGUGGCAAGCCAAUGAGUAGCUUGAUUGUACUCGCAAACAGCCCAUGAUAUGAUAAUGCAGUUGGUACGGUAACAAGUAAUAUGCAGUAUUGGUGGAUAGCGGCUUGACUGUAAAUAACAUGAUCAUAGAUGGAUGUGCAACAUAAGCUAGAUGCUGUUUAGAAGAACGGGUUACAGAUAUCAAUAUAUCUGCCAAGGGCUGAACGCUCCGGGUUCACCCAAUAUGCCAAGUCACCAAACUUGGUCAUAUCAAUUCUUUCAUAUUAACACCAUUAAACACACACACACUUGGUUUAUGCGGAAACGACUGGUCGUAGUUUAAGCAANNNNNNNNNNNNNNNNNNNNNNNNNNNNNNNNNNNNNNNNNNNNNNNNNNNNNNNNNNNNNNNNNNNNNNNNNNNNNNNNNNNNNNNNNNNNNNNNNNNNAGUGAAAAGAAUCCACGCGUNUUGUGCAAGUCUCACGGGGGAGGGUGAUGGCAAGGAAAACUACAUACGUAGGGACAACCACCUUGCGGCAAGGGAGCAGCAAAAGAAAAGGCUACGUAUGAAUUUCUCAAAAAUGCCCCGCAACCCGGUUAACACUCAUGUGAAAAGAGUUGCAUGUGGAGGACCUUCGUCAAAAUUGUUGCGUGCUUGAGUGUUUUCCAGGUUACUCAACACACUAAGCAACCGCGACAAGGACGAUGAAGGUGUCCUGCUAUCGACGGUGUAACCGCUGGGAUACUAAGGAUUCAAUCCCUCUCACGGUGAAUACGCACGUCGGCAAGCAACGUGUAGGGACCUUGACGAAAAUGUUGCACACUUGGAUGUCUUAGCUAAACACUCCAAGUAGUCACGACAAGGAUGAUAUGACGAUCUUGCCGGAAACAUGCCGGCAAGUAUUCCGGCAAAACGUAACGAAUAAAUAUGCACGAGUGCGGGUUCACGAUAGAUAGGAGAAAGAGAAAGAAAGGGUAGACUUUCAUCAAGACACAACAUGAAUUUACCACUUAACAUGGUAGAACCGUAUGUCUUGUUUUUGUGAUCCUCGCGCGGCUACAUUCAACACAGUACAAACGCAAAAGGACAUCUACCACUACGAUGUGGUGAUUAAACUAGAAACGAAAUCCCCUGGAUGGAGCCUUGUUCCCGCGUAAAUCGCCCCAUCUCCGAAGUCCUUGCUUCGGCACCAGGCGGAGCUAAUCAGAGUCCUCCUGCUUGAUGCCGAAGAUGCUAACGUUGUUGUUGCUAUCGAUGGAGGAGUCGAAGUCACUACCGCUAGAACUCUCCGUGCAACACUCCAGGCGAACAUCGGAGGCCCCAAAGAACUUCAUAGUGAGAGUGGUGGCACCGUCGAACCUGCACUAAAGGAGAUACCCGGAACCAAGACCCCGGGAACGGGGAACGAUUUCCACCCCCGCAUUAGGAACAUAGAGCUCCCAGGGGUGAGAGUGACAGCCACCCAAACAAGUCCGUUGUGGCAGACGUCCGCCCGGAGUUAUAGUCCUUGGGGUCGAGUGUCUUCCAUACCCCACGCAUAGGGGUUAGGGAGGCGCAACCAGCUCCGAUGCCAAUGAGGUAGCGCCACAACGAACUCAUGCACUUCCUACCCCGCAUAGAUCCUUGCGUGAGGCUGCAGGAGAGGUGCAUCGCCGCGGUACGUCGGAGCCGCCCUUCAUAGACCCCUGUAUGUCGCCCUUCCGCUGGAAUUGAAGCCAACCCCCGCCGCUGUCACCACAAUUCACAACGGUCUCUCGGGGUGCCCCUCUCUGGGGCACGGGAACCACGAGCGCGACCGCGAACCCUUACCAUCCCAAGGACGGCGGAUGAAGAAAAUAGCAAGGAAAAGAAGAGGACACCGGUCCUUGUAUUGGCAAGGGGGAACACGACUGAGUAGUGCCUCCAUCGACCCCCUUAUUUAUAGGGUGAGGGAGAGGAAGGGGGAUGGCUCCUCAUAACCCGAGGCGGGCGCAUACUGGCGCACACUCACCACUAGCGAUUGUCCUUCCCAGCCAAUACAAGACCACUCAUGCGACAUGAGUCAUCAGAAGUAUGACAGAAGAUCGAAGAGUACAAGACAUAACUUAGUGGCGAGGUGUGAAUGGCCGCCACCCCGCCAUUUUCUCUCUCCCCUUUAAGGGACCUCGGGACACGACCGUUCAUUGUAAAGAGUACGGAUUUGGACGAUCGCCCUUCUCCCGCAAUGGAACACAGCAUUUAGGGCGUCACUCCUCGAAACAACCGCCUUGCUCCACCCCUCCCACGACCCAUAGUAUAUGUGCGUCGUGGGAAAGCAGUAACAAUCAUCAUAACCUCAUGGAAUUGCGGCUGCGUGUGCCUGUGCACUAUUUUUGGGCGUAUCCUAAUAAACGUGAUGAACGCUUUUGUGGACUAGGUCUGAUGGCUACUGUCGGUGUAGUGAAAUAUGGUUACUUUAGUACCCAGACUUGUACACAGGAAGCCGCAACCUCCGGCCCGGCAAGACCGUGUCGGCCAACACCGACCUUCGAACUAGAAAGAGCAAAGACCAAAAACAAGGCCCCAACAAGCCACUUUGCUAGGAGGAAGAGAACGUGACACCAACCAUGCCCAGCUGGACCUCUCCACAUCUCUGAUACAUUCAUUUUGCAUCAUGCUUUUAUAUCAAUAUUUCUUGCAUUAUGGGCUGUUAAUACACAUUACGGUACAAUACUUAGCAUUUUCUCUCUUAUUUUAGAAGCUUUACAUGAAGAGGAAGACUGCCGGCAGCUGGAAUUCUGGACUGUAAAAGGAGCAAAUCUCAGAGAUCUAUUCUGCAUAGCUCCCAAACUCGUGAGAAGUUACGGAGAAUUGUUUUGGAAUAUAUAAACAAUAAUGCACGAAAGAAGUACCGGGGGACCCACCAGGNNNNNNNNNNNNNNNNNNNNNNNNNNNNNNNNNNNNNNNNNNNNNNNNNNNNNNNNNNNNNNNNNNNNNNNNNNNNNNNNNNNNNNNNNNNNNNNNNNNNUCCAUGGGCUGGCUCCGGCGGCUCCAGCCUUCUCCGGCGGCGCGCCGGCAAGUAAGGGCUCGGGGCAAGGCCUCCCGCGCCCGAGGAGGAGCCAUCUCCACAAGGGGAGCCUCGGAGCGAUGGAGCUCUCUGCCAUGGCGGAGACCGACGACAACCACUGCGGUGGGGCGUCGCGUCGGCCAUUUAGAGGAAAUAAUGUGCACAGGGUAACUGCGGAGAGGAGGGAGACCUCUCGGCGCAGCCUCAUGGAGGGAAGAGCUCGGGGAAGCCCGAGUUGAAGAAGGGGGCUCCGGUGGCUUUGGCCAUUAGAGGAGGAGAGCCCAGGGCUCGAAGGGAGAGGUGGGGAGGUGCAGGAGGUUGCAGGAGAAAGAAGGGAGUGAGGGAGAGCCAGAGAGAGCUUGGGCGAGGAGAUAAGAGAGUGAAAUAGAGAGAGAGCUCAGGAGCUCUCUGGAGCUUCCUGGUGCAUGGAUGCCACGCACAGCACAUGGAGCUUGGAAGCUAGCUGGUGGGAGGAAGUGCUUGGAACGGUCAAAUGGAAGGGCUGAGACAUGCAGAGACAUGGAGUAGCUGCCUGAUUCGAGCUGUGGGGAAAGGUUAAGGCGCAGAGCACCAGUUUUGCAUGCCAGGGUGGUGGUCACCAUGGACACCUACGCCUAGACCAGGAGUUUGACCUAUCAAAGGUGUGUGGGAUGUGGGGCAUACUAUCAGGAGGGUGAGUGAGGAGUUCGGUCUCUAUUGGAGUUGGUUUGAAUGGCCUUUGACUGAGGGUAAGUUUGUAACAGCAAACUUAGAGCUAAUGAAUGUGGGCCUCAAAUGGGGAGUCUUGGGGAAAAAUUAUGUCUGGCAGUGUUAGCUAUGCAAGGACUACAACACUCCCAAGUUUGAGCUCAAGCAAUGAAGGGUAGCUAGUACUUGUUGUACAAAGCUACAAUUCAUCCAGAAAUCAAUUUGUAGAUGUGCUGCUCAUUUUUCCUACAUGAGCAUGCCAUCUAUUUGUUUGAAAUGAUGCCUUGGGAUGCUAGGGACCCUUCGGAAAGAGAUGGGGGCUUUGGCUUAAACAGAAGUGGGACAAGUGGGGUAAAAAUGGUGAUCCAAGGGUAAAAACGAGGAAUAGUUACAUGGCGUCUCUCUCCAAUAAUUGACCAGAGGCCAUGGCAAAGCUACUGGAGGUAAAAUGUAACUAUAUAGAGCUGCGGUAGAAAGUUGAGCUCAAGGGUAAAAGUGUAAGGGGGCAAAGUAGCCAAUUUGGUGAGUGAACACAAGGUGUUUGAUGAGUGUCAGGGCAACCAGAUGAACUUCAAUUGNNNNNNNNNNUAACAAGAUCAAAUAAUAGAUGAAAAUAAGCCUGGACACCAAAUUUGGGAUUUGGUGGAGAAGUUUUCCGAUGUAGACUUGGAAAACCCAUGAGAUGGGAAGAAAUGGCUUUCUUCUUACAAAACUAUUCAAAUCAAUUCCCACAAAUCUAAUAUUUGGUGUGGGGGCAUUAUUUGAGCAUUAAGGAAUGCCCAAAAAGUUUGGGGUCAAUUGGAGAAACUUUAUAAUGUAAAGUUUCCCAAAGUUAUAAAUGAACAGUGAGGGUUAUGAGGGGCUUGGCCCAAGUUCUUCUAUUCUCCUUGAUGCACCACUUGGCGUGGAUGCAUUAUUGGAGUAUAAGAACAUGUCUACCAAAUUUGAGCACAAUUGGAGUCAAUUGACAAUGUAGAGUUGCUCAAAUUUUGAUCUGGCCAGAUAAGGUUUUAGAAUAAUUAGGGGAGUCAAAUCAAGUGGAAUUGAGAUGAAACUUGGCAAGAUCAUCUCAUAUAUCAUAUGUGGCAUGCUAGAAUUUUACAGGAAUUUAUUGAGCAUAUUUCUUAUAGAAAUGUCCCAAAAGCUUUAUAUAGGCACGGAGGGUUUUGAAGGGGUUUGCCCAAUAUUUUGAACAUGACCAUGUGUUGAAACUCAUAUAUAUGGAAUAUAUAGGUCCAUCGAGUUUCCCUAAUUUUUCAAAAAUAUUUUGAAAGCAAUAAUAAUAACUUUCGUUCAUAAGAGACCAUUUCUGGCCUCACAGGAAGGCAUUUAAAUAAAAUAGUAAAAUAACUUUUAAAUAAAAAUAUUGUGGUUUUGGGAAGUCACUUUGAUAAAGUUUUUUGAAUAAAAUAAAUAGAGCAAAAUAAAUUCCCUAAUUUGAGGACUUGUAGUACAAAUCCCAUCUUAGGGGUUUUGAAAGCUUAAUUCAAAGAAAUGCUUUCUGGUGAAAAUAGUAUUUGGUAAAAAUAGUUUUUAAUCCUAAACNNNNNNNNNNCACGACUUUUGGGCUAAGGUGGUGAGUCUGGAGAGUAGCAUAAUUCAUUGAGAACCCAACAUAAGCAUACGAGCAAGCAAGCAAACAAUAGUCACUUGAAGCAUCACAAGCAUUCACAAAAAAAUUAAUUGGUCCUAAUUUUUGAAAUAAGCUAAUUAGUCAGGAAAGCUAAAUAGAGGGUCUUACACACAGUGUAUGUUAGGAGCGUUGAGGAAAGCAACCUUUUUCUUCGAAGGAUUUAAUGCAUGAAGGGAUCCAACAAGUUGACGCCAAAGUGGGAAGGGACCUACUGGGUAGUACAAGUCACCAGGCCUGGCGCUGUCUGGCUGGAGACUGAAGAUGGCACCCCGAUGGUGAACUCAUGGAAUAUCGAGAAUCUUAGAAAGUUUUACCCAUGAGGCGUGGUUGUUGGUCCUCUCGGCAACCACUUUUGUACUAGUCUCACAUCAAAGCAUGCAAUCCUUUGUACAAAGCCACGUGAUGACCCUGUGCAUAGUAAACAAAGCUAAGUAUUCCCCAACUUUUUGUCAAAGUACAUAUUUAUGUUAUGUAUUCUUGCAUAAACUGUUGUGGUCGCUCAUCACUUAUACAAGGUGGAUACAUGACCGCCAAGGUUCCUAGCCUCCUCUAUUUUCUCUUCUUUCUUUUUCUCAAAGGGAAAAGAAGCUCCCUUGUGCAAGUCUCACGGGGGAGGGUGAUGGCAAGGAAAACUACAUACGUAGGGACAACCACCUUGCGGCAAGGGAGCAGCAAAAGAAAAGGCUACGUAUGAAUUUCUCAAAAAUGCCCCGCAACCCGGUUAACACUCAUGUGAAAAGAGUUGCAUGUGGAGGACCUUCGUCAAAAUUGUUGCGUGCUUGAGUGUUUUCCAGGUUACUCAACACACUAAGCAACCGCGACAAGGACGAUGAAGGUGUCCUGCUAUCGACGGUGUAACCGCUGGGAUACUAAGGAUUCAAUCCCUCUCACGGUGAAUACGCACGUCGGCAAGCAACGUGUAGGGACCUUGACGAAAAUGUUGCACACUUGGAUGUCUUAGCUAAACACUCCAAGUAGUCACGACAAGGAUGAUAUGACGAUCUUGCCGGAAACAUGCCGGCAAGUAUUCCGGCAAAACGUAACGAAUAAAUAUGCACGAGUGCGGGUUCACGAUAGAUAGGAGAAAGAGAAAGAAAGGGUAGACUUUCAUCAAGACACAACAUGAAUUUAAAACACUUAACAUGGUAGAACCGUAUGUCUUGUUUUUGUGAUCCUCGCGCGGCUACAUUCAACACAGUACAAACGCAAAAGGACAUCUACCACUACGAUGUGGUGAUUAAACUAGAAACGAAAUCCCCUGGAUGGAGCCUUGUUCCCGCGUAAAUCGCCCCAUCUCCGAAGUCCUUGCUUCGGCACCAGGCGGAGCUAAUCAGAGUCCUCCUGCUUGAUGCCGAAGAUGCUAACGUUGUUGUUGCUAUCGAUGGAGGAGUCGAAGUCACUACCGCUAGAACUCUCCGUGCAACACUCCAGGCGAACAUCGGAGGCCCCAAAGAACUUCAUAGUGAGAGUGGUGGCACCGUCGAACCUGCACUAAAGGAGAUACCCGGAACCAAGACCCCGGGAACGGGGAACGAUUUCCACCCCCGCAUUAGGAACAUAGAGCUCCCAGGGGUGAGAGUGACAGCCACCCAAACAAGUCCGUUGUGGCAGACGUCCGCCCGGAGUUAUAGUCCUUGGGGUCGAGUGUCUUCCAUACCCCACGCAUAGGGGUUAGGGAGGCGCAACCAGCUCCGAUGCCAAUGAGGUAGCGCCACAACGAACUCAUGCACUUCCUACCCCGCAUAGAUCCUUGCGUGAGGCUGCAGGAGAGGUGCAUCGCCGCGGUACGUCGGAGCCGCCCUUCAUAGACCCCUGUAUGUCGCCCUUCCGCUGGAAUUGAAGCCAACCCCCGCCGCUGUCACCACAAUUCACAACGGUCUCUCGGGGUGCCCCUCUCUGGGGCACGGGAACCACGAGCGCGACCGCGAACCCUUACCAUCCCAAGGACGGCGGAUGAAGAAAAUAGCAAGGAAAAGAAGAGGACACCGGUCCUUGUAUUGGCAAGGGGGAACACGACUGAGUAGUGCCUCCAUCGACCCCCUUAUUUAUAGGGUGAGGGAGAGGAAGGGGGAUGGCUCCUCAUAACCCGAGGCGGGCGCAUACUGGCGCACACUCACCACUAGCGAUUGUCCUUCCCAGCCAAUACAAGACCACUCAUGCGACAUGAGUCAUCAGAAGUAUGACAGAAGAUCGAAGAGUACAAGACAUAACUUAGUGGCGAGGUGUGAAUGGCCGCCACCCCGCCAUUUUCUCUCUCCCCUUUAAGGGACCUCGGGACACGACCGUUCAUUGUAAAGAGUACGGAUUUGGACGAUCGCCCUUCUCCCGCAAUGGAACACAGCAUUUAGGGCGUCACUCCUCGAAACAACCGCCUUGCUCCACCCCUCCCACGACCCAUAGUAUAUGUGCGUCGUGGGAAAGCAGUAACAAUCAUCAUAACCUCAUGGAAUUGCGGCUGCGUGUGCCUGUGCACUAUUUUUGGGCGUAUCCUAAUAAACGUGAUGAACGCUUUUGUGGACUAGGUCUGAUGGCUACUGUCGGUGUAGUGAAAUAUGGUUACUUUAGUACCCAGACUUGUACACAGGAAGCCGCAACCUCCGGCCCGGCAAGACCGUGUCGGCCAACACCGACCUUCGAACAAGAAAGAGCAAAGACCAAAAACAAGGCCCCAACAAGCCACUUUGCUAGGAGGAAGAGAACGUGACACCAACCAUGCCCAGCUGGACCUCUCCACAUCUCUGAUACAUUCAUUUUGCAUCAUGCUUUUAUAUCAAUAUUUCUUGCAUUAUGGGCUGUUAAUACACAUUACGGUACAAUACUUAGCAUUUUCUCUCUUAUUUUAGAAGCUUUACAUGAAGAGGAAGACUGCCGGCAGCUGGAAUUCUGGACUGUAAAAGGAGCAAAUCUCAGAGAUCUAUUCUGCAUAGCUCCCAAACUCGUGAGAAGUUACGGAGAAUUGUUUUGGAAUAUAUAAACAAUAAUGCACGAAAGAAGUACCGGGGGACCCACCAGGUGUCCACAAGCCAGAGGGCGUGGCUUCCCCCCCCCCCCCCNNNNNNNNNNNNNNNNNNNNNNNNNNNNNNNNNNNNNNNNNNNNNNNNNNNNNNNNNNNNNNNNNNNNNNNNNNNNNNNNNNNNNNNNNNNNNNNNNNNNGUUGAAAAAGUUUUGGACUCUGUUUUCUUACAGAAUCACAUAACUCUUCGUUUUCGGAGUCCGAAACAGGCUGAUAAAUGUUCCUUAGGUAUUCUUCCGGAGUUAUGGUAUUGAUGAUAUUGAUUUCAACAUUUAUGGGAGUACCUGAGAUAUGAAGCUUGAUUCUCUGCCCAUUUACCACUCUCGGACAAUUACCUUCCGUGUUUUUGAUCUUGAUAGCACCGGAACGAUAUACUUCCUCAACAACAUAGGGACCUUCCCAUUUAGAGAGAAGCUUGCCUGCAAAGAAUCUUAAACGAGAGUUAUAUAGCAAGACAUAAUCACCUACAUUGAACUCACACUUUUGUAUCCUCUUAUCAUGCCACCUCUUAACCUUCUCAUUGAACAUGCUUUACCGUACACCAUUUUGUACGGAAACAUCCCCAUGGGAUUNNNNNNNNNNGCUUUUGUAUCCUCUUAUCAUGCCACCUCUUAACCUUCUCUUUGAACAGCUUGGCAUUCUCAUAUGCCUGAGUUCUCCACUCAUCAAGCGAGCUAAUAUCAAAUAACCUCUUCUCACCGGCAAGUUUGAAAUCAAAGUUGGGCUCUUUGAUUGCCCAAUAAGCUUUAUGCUCUAGCUCAAGAGGUAAAUGACAUGCUUUACCGUACACCAUUUUGUACGGAAACAUCCCCAUGGGAUUCUUAUAGGCAGCUCUAUAGCCCACAGUGAAUUGUGUUUGCUUGGCUCCGAAAAAUGUUAUAUGAUUAGGGAUCCCUUAGCAUGUGACGAUUGCCUCCACCUCAUAUUAGCCAAAACUCCCGCACUAAGUAGAGAUACUACUUGUGCAUCCAUAAACCAUCAACCUAGUUUUUCCAUGAGUGUCCACCAUACCUACCUAUGGAUUGAAUAAGAUCCCUCAAGUAAGUUGUCAUCGGUGCAAGCAAUAAAAAUUGCUCUCUAAUAUGUAUGAUCUAUUAGUGUGUGGAAAAUAAGCUUUAUACGAACCUGUGAUGAGGAAGACAUAAAAGCGACACACUGCAUAAUACAUUUCUUUAUCACAGGAGGCAAUAUAAAGUGACGUUCCUCCGCACUAAGAGGACACACAUCCAAACCUCAAAAGCGCAUGACAACCUCUGCUUCCCUCUACGAAGAGCCUAUCUUUUACCUUUACUUUUUGCCCUUGAAAGAGUCAUGGUGAUCUUCACUAAUUCCUUAUUUCGCCUUUGUCUUGGAUAACGUCAUAUGCUUGGGAAAGAUCUAUAUUCAUAUGUCAACUUGGAGGUAAGUAUUCAUGAAUUAUUAUCGUUGACAUUGCCCUUGAGGUAAGCAGUUGGGAGGCAAAACUAUAAGCCCCUAUCUUUCUUUGUGUCCAGCUGAAACUUUGAUCUCAUGAGUACCACGUGAGUUGUAGCAAUUGUAGAGAAUGAAAGAAUAACUGAGUAUGUGGAUUUGCUUUACAAGCUCUUAUUUGACUCUUUCUGAUGUUGUGAUAAAUUGCAAUUGCUUCAAUGACUAAAGGCUAUCGGUUGUCACUUCUCGGUAAGGUUCUUGAUCCAUGCUUUACUUUGUGAAGGAAUUGUCACUUUAGCAUGAGAGAUUAUAUGUUGGUAUUGCUGUUCUGAUUAUGAUCAUGAUGCAUGCAUGUUCGUAUCUUGUUUUGUCCACACCUCUCUCCCUAAACAUGUGGACAUACUUAUUGAGCUAGGCUUUCGCUUGAAAACAAGCGUGGUCUAAGCUUGGGGGAGUUGAUACGUCCAUUUUGCAUCAUGUUUUCAUGUUGAUAUUUAUCGCUUNNNNNNNNNNCGGGCUGUUAUUUCACUUCAUGGUACAAUUCUUAUGCCUUUCCUCUCUUAUUUUGCAAGGUUUACAGGAAGAGGGAGAAUGCCGGCAGCUAGAAUUCUGGCCUGAAAGUGGAGCAAAGUUGAGAUACCUAUUUUGCGCAACUCCAAACACCGUAAAAAUAAACGAGGAUUUUUUUCCGGAUUUAUAAAAAAUACUAGGCCAAAGAAGUGACAGAGGGGCGCGUGUAGGUGGCCACAAGCCUGCACGGCGCAGCCACCCCCCAGGCCGCGCCAUGAGGGCUUGUGGGCAGCCUGCUGGACCACUGGCCCCCCUGUUCUUCUAUAUGAAGGGUUUCAUACAGAAAAAAAUGAGGGAGGAGCUUUUUCAUGGAUUCGCCGCCGCCAUGAGGCAGAUCUUCAGCAGAACCUAUCUAGGGCUCCGGCAGGACGAUCCUGUCGAGGAAACUUCCCUCUUGGAGGGGGAAAUCGUCGCCAUCGUCAUCACCAACACUCCUCUCAUCGGAGAUGACUCGUCACCAUCAACAUCUUCAUCAGCACCAUCUCAUCUCCAAACCCUAGUUCAUCACCUGUAACCAAUCUCCGUCUCGCGACUCCGAUUGGUACUUGUAAGGUUGCUAGUAGUGUUGAUUACUCUUUGUAGUUGAUGCUAGUUAGAUUGUUUGGUGGAAGAGUUUAUGUUCAGAUCCUUGAUGCUACUCAUUACCUCUCUGGUCAUGAAUAUGAUUAUGCUUUGUGAGUAGUUACUUUUGUUCCUCAUGACAUGGGAUAAGUCAUGUAAUAGUAGUCCUGUGAAUUUGGUAUUCGUUCGGUAAUUUGAUAUGUUGUAUGUUGUUUUUCCUCUAGUGGUGUUAUGUGAACGUCGACUACAUANNNNNNNNNNAUUCACCAUUAUUUGGGCCUAGAGGAAGGCACUGGGAAGUAGUAAGUAGAUGAUGGGUUGCUAGAGUGACAGAAGCUUAAACCCUAGUUUAUGCGUUGCUUCGUAAGGGGCUGAUUUGGAUCCACUAGAUUAAUGCUAUGGUUAGACUUUGUCUUAAUUCUACUUUCGUAGUUGCGGAUGCUUGCGAGAGGGGUUAAUCAUAAGUGGGAUGCUUGUCCAAGUAAGGACAGUACCCAAGCGCCGGUCCACCCACAUAUCAAACUAUCAAAGUAACGAACGCGAAUCAUAUGAACAUGAUGAAAACUAGCAUGACAGAAAUUCUCGUGUGUCCUCGGGAGCGUUUUUCCUCUUAUAAGACUUUGUCCAGGCUUGUCCCUUGCUACAAAAGGUAUUGGGCCACUUUUCUGCACUGUUGCUACUUUUGUUACUUGUUGCUUGCUACGAAUCAUCUCACCACACAACCACUUGUUACCGACAAUUUCAGUGCCUGCAGACUUUACCUUGCUGAAAACAACUUGUCAGAUCCUUCUGCUCCUCGUUGGCUUCGACACUCUUACUUAUCGAAAGGGCUACGAUUGAUCCCCUAUACUUGUGGGAAAUCAUACCCUAACCAUGGUUAGGGGCAGGUGCCACUAGCAAAGCUGAAAGAAACAAGAGAAGACAAGGCGAUAGGCGCGGAAGGCUUUGAGAGUAAGAUGGGAGGGAAAAACCCUAAUUUAUAGUGCAAACACCCUAAUUUAUAGGGCAAAUCUCAGAGGCCACCCUCCUCGCUCUAGAAGCCACCGCCCCUCUCGCCCAAUCGCCCUCAAGUCACGAGCGAAACAUGGAACCACCCUGAUGUGCCAAUGCAUGCAGGGGCGGGUCCAUCCACACCCGCGACUUUUGAGGCCACGAUCGCCACGUGUAGGACAUGCGCAGCGGCGUUCGAGCAAGUUCAAUGCGCGAUGUGGGGAAAGAAAGCCUGAACGGCUCGAUUCCGAUAAGCCUAAUGCCCGUGAGUCCGCGCACCACUUUGGGCCUGGCCCAACAACGCCUCGCAUGCGUGUGUGGCCCAGGCCCGGUGGCUCCUAUCAGUUCACUAAAGACCGGGGUCUCGAGUGCCCCAGACUAGUGCGCAGACACCAGGAGCCCCUCCACAACGGCAAAGCGCGUCAAUGGAGCUUAGGGCGGAAGCAAGACUUAGAAGCCACUAAGUACAGAUUGUAAGCCCCUGGCAAGCACUCGCUUGCUGGGAAGGAAGAACAGACCCCGGCAGCAGCUCCCUGCCGGGGAAAUAGAAAAUGCCAGGGCGAGACCCUCCUACCGAGGAAGGAGGACUAAGCCCCGGCAAGCCACCCUUGCCGGCAAGAUUGACAAGGCCUAGGUCGGCCAUCGCCUCCGUGCCGAGAGGAACAAGAAGAGCCCCGGCAAGGUAACCCUGCAGGGAAGUGAUACGUCUCCGUCCUAUCUACUUUUCCGAAUUCUUUUGCCCUUGUUUUGGACUCUAAUUUGCAUGAUUUGAAUGGAACUAACCCGGACUAAAGCUGUUUUCAGCAGAUUUGCCAUGGUGUUGUUUUUGUGCAGAAAUAAAAGUUCUCGGAAUGACCUGAAAAUUUACGGAGAUUUUUUUUGGAAUUAAUGAAAUAUACUUGCGCAAAGAUCCACCGGAGGAGGUGUGCCAGUGGACCAAAAGCCCCUGGGCCGCGGCCACCACCCCUGGUCGCGCCGUGAGGGCUUGUGGGGCCCACGUGGCUCCACCGCNNNNNNNNNNNNNNNNNNNNNNNNNNNNNNNNNNNNNNNNNNNNNNNNNNNNNNNNNNNNNNNNNNNNNNNNNNNNNNNNNNNNNNNNNNNNNNNNNNNNCUAAUAUCUUUUAUUGUCAUGCACCCAAUGUAAGGGUUUGUUCGUAACAUUGAGACAAAAAGAUGUAGAGUUAACAAUGAUAGUGCUACUUUCUUGUGGCACUACCGCUUAGGUCAUAUUGGUGUCAAGCGCAUGAAGAAACUCCAUGCUGAUGGACUUUCAGAGUCACUUUAUUUUGAAUCACUUGACACAUGCGAACCAUGUCUCAUAUGCAAGAUGACUAAGACUCCGUUCUAUGGAACAAUGGAGCGUUCAAGUGACUUGUGGGAGAUCAUACAUACUGAUGUGUGUGGCCCAAUGAGCAUAGAGGCGCGCAGCGGAAUCGUUAUUUUAUCACCUUUACUCACGAUUUGAGUAGGUAUGGCUAUAUCUACUUGAUGAAGCACAGCUCUAAAACGUUUGAAAAGUUCAAACAAUUUCAGAGUGAAGUUGAAAAUCAUCGUAGCAAGAAGAUCAAGUUCCUACGAUCUGAUUGAGGAGGUGAAUAUGUGAGUUACGAGUUUGGUGCCCACUUAAGACAAUGUGGAAUUGUUUCACAGUUAACACCGCCUGGCACACCACAGCGUAAUGGUGUGUCCGAACGUCGUAAUCGUACUUUAUUAUAUAUGAUGCGUUCUAUGAUGUCUCUUACCUAUUUGCCAUUAUCAUUUUGGGGCUAUGCAUUGGAGAUAGAUGCAUUCACUUUAAAUAGGGCACCAUCAAAAUCUGUUGAGAUGACGCCAUAUGAGCUGUGGUAUGGCAAGAAGCCAAAGUUGUCAUUUCUUAAAGUUUGAGAAUGUGAUGCUUAUGUCAAAAAGCUUCAGCCUAAAAAGCUGGAACCCAAAGCGGAAAAGCGCGUCUUCAUAGGUUACUUAAAAGAGACAGUUGGGUAUUCCUUCUAUCUCAGAUCCGAGGGCAAAGUGUUUGUCGCUAAGAACGAAGCAUUUCUUGAGAAAGUGUUUCUCUUGAAAGAAUUGAGUGGGAGGAAGAUAGAACUUGAUGAGGUUGCGGAACCUCUGCUUUAGCAAGAUGGUGGUGCAUGGCAGAAAGAAAUUUCUGUCGAGGCAACACCAGUUGAAGAGGAAGCUAAUGAUGGUGAUCAUGAAGCUUCAGAUCAAGUUUCUGUCGGACCAUGCAGGUCGACAAGAGCAUGUACUUUUACUGAGUGGUACGAGUAUCCUAUAUUGUAAAUCAUGUUGUUGGAAAACAAAGAGCCUGCGAAUUAUGGGGAAGCAAUGGUGAGCCCAGAUUCCAAUAUAUGGUUAGGAGCCAUGAAAUCUGAGAUAGGAUCUAUGUAUGAAAACAAAUUAUGGAUUUUGUAAGUAUUACCUGAAGGUCGAAAGGCUAUUCGGAACAAAUGGAUCUUUAAGAACAAGACACACGCAAACGAUAACGUGACCAUUUAUAAAGCUUGACUUGUGGCAAAGGUUUUUUCACAAAUUCAAGGAGUUGACUACGAUGAGACAUUCUCACCCGUAGCGAUGCUUAAGUCCGUUCGAAUCAUUAGCAAUAGCUGCAUUUUUUUAUUAUGAAAUCUGGGAGAUGGAUGUCAAAACAGCGUUGCCUAACGGGUUUCUUAAGGAAGAAUUGUAUAUGAUGCAACCCGAAGGUUUUGUGAAUCCAGAGAAUGUUGACAAAGUAUGCAAGCUCCAGCAAUCCAUCUAUGGACCGGCGCAAGCAUCUCGGAGUGGGAAUCAACGCUUUGAUGAGGUGAUCAAGGCGUUUGGGUUUAUACAAGUUUUUGGAGAAUCUUGUAUUUACAAGAAAGUGAGUGGGAGCUCUAUAGAGUUCCUAAUAUUAUAUGUGGAUGACAUAUUGCUGAUUGGAAACAAUAUAGAGUUUUUGUAAACGUAAAGGCUUACUUGAAUAAAAGUUUUUCAUUGAAAGACCUAGGAGAAGCUUUUUACAUAUUGGGCAUAAAGAUCUAUAGAGAUAGGUCAAGGCGCCUAAUAGCUCUUUCAUAAAUCACAUACCUUGAUAAAGUUUUGAAGAAGUUCAAAAUGGAACAAUCCAAGAAGGGGUUCUUGCCUGUGUUACAAGGUAUAAAGUUGAGUAAGACUCAAUGUCAAGUAACUGCAGAAGAUAGAGAAAAGAUGAGUGUCGUCCCUUAUGCUUCAGCCAUAGGGUCUAUCAUGUAUGCAAUGUUGUGCACAAGACCGGAUGUCAGCCUAGACAUAAGUAUGACAGGCAGGUUUCAAAGUGAUCCAGGAGUGGAACACUGGGAGGCGGUCAAGAAUAUUCUGAAGUACCUGAAAAGGACUAAGGAAAUGUUUCUCGUUUAUGGAGGUGACAAAGAGCUCGUCGUAAAGGGUUACGUCGAUGCAAGCUUUGACACUGAUCCGGAUGACUCUAAGUCUCAAACUGGAUAUGUAUUUAUUCUUAACGGGGGUGUGGUAAGCUGGUGAAGUUCCAAGCAAAGCGUCGUAGCUGAUUCUGCAUGCGAAGCGGAGUACAUAGCUGCCUCAGAGGCGGCUAAGGAGGGUGUCUGGAUGAAGCAGGUCACAUCGCAUCUUGGAGUAAUGUCAAGUACACUGGAACCAAUCAAUCUGUUCUAUGACAAAACUCGUGCCAUUGCUCUAGCCAAGGAACCAAGGUUUCACAAGAGGACCAGACACAUAAAGCGAUGCUUCAAUGCCAUGUGCGAUUACAUCAAGGAGGAGGACAUAAAUAUUUUCAAAGUGCACACAGAUCAGAAUGUUGCAGAUCCGCUGACUAAACCUCUUCCACGAACAAAGCAUGAUAAACACUAGAACUGUAUGGGUGUUAGAUACAUUACAUUCUAAAUCACAUAGAGAUGUGAAGCUAGAUUAUUGACUCUAGUUCAAGUGGGAGACUAUUGGAAAUAUGCCCUUGAGACAAUAAUAAAAUAGUUAUUAUUAUAUUUCCUGUUUCAAUAUAAUCGUUUAUUGUGCAUGCUAUAAUUGUAUUGAAUGGAAACAUAAAUGCAUGUGUGGAUAUAUAGACAAAACAAUGUCCCUCGUGAGCCUCUAGUUGACUAGCGUAUUGGUCAAGGAUGGUUAAGGUUUCCUAGCCAUAGACAAGUUUUCUCACUUGAUGACGAGAUCACAUCAUUAGGAGAAUGAUGUGAUGGGCAAGACCCAGACUAUAAACGUAGCAUAUGAUCAUGUCAUUUUGUUGCUAUUGUUUUCAGCAUGUCAAGUAUACAUUCCUAUGACCAUGAGAUCAUGUAACUCACUGACACCGGAGGAAUGCCUUGUGUGUAUCAAACGUUGCAACAUUACUUGGUGACUAUAAAGGUACUCUACAAGCAUCUCCGAAGGUGUGUGUUGCGUUAUCAAGGAUCAAGACUGGGAUUUGUCACUACGUGUGACGCAGAGGUAUCUCAGGGCCCAGUCGGUAAUACAACAUCACAAACAAGCCUUGCAAGCAAUGUGACUAAAGAUUUAGUCACGGGAUCUUGUAUUACGGAACGAGUAAAGAGAUUUGCCGGUAACGAGACUAAAAUAGGUAUGGCGAUACCGAUGAUCGAAUCUUGGGAAAGUAACAUACCGAAGGACAAAGGGAAUGAUAUACGGGAUUGUGUGAAUCCUUGACAUAGAGGUUUAGCCGAUAAGAUCUUCUUAUAAUAUGUGGGAUCCAAUAUGGACGUCUAGGUACUGCUAUUGGAUAUUGACCGGAGAGUGUCUCGGUCAUGUCUACAUAGUUCUCGAACCCGCAGGAUCUGCACACUUAAGGUUAGGUGACGUUUUCGGUAUAGUUGAAUUAUUGAUGUUGGUAACUGAAUGUUGUUUGGAGUCCCGGAUGAGAUCCCAUAUGUCACGAGUGUCUCCGAAAUGGUCCAGAAAUGAAGAUUGAUAUAUAGGAUUGUUGCAUUUGGCUUCCGGAAAGAUUUCGGGCAUUACCGGUGAAGUACCAGGAGUGACGAAUGGGUUCUGGGGUUUUACCGGGAGGGGCCACCCACCCGGGAGAGGACCUAAUAGGCCCAUGGGUGGUGCACCAGCCCUUAGCGAGCUGGUGAGGCCAGCCCAAUAAUCCUAUUUCGGCCAAGGAAAAAAAGGGGAAAAAAGAAGGAAGGAGGUGGACAAGAUGGGAAGGAGUCGUCCACCAAACCGAAUUGGAGGAGGACUCCUCCCUCCUUGCCUCGGCCUAAGCCUCCUCCUUGGAGUAGGAGGCAAGCCACACUCCCCUUAGUUCCUCCUAUAUAUAGUGGAGGUUUGAGAGGGUUUUUGCACCUCAAGUCUUUGUGUAGCCCUCUCUCCCUCCACUACUUCGUGACACCACGUAGCUAGAUCGGUACGGCAUGACAAAGCCCUGCCGGAGUAGCUUCACCAGCAUCACUGUCACACCGUCAUGCUGCCGGAGAAUUCAACUACCUCUUCGUCUCUCUUACUGGAUCAAGAAGGCGGAUAUCGUCAUCGAGCUGUACAUGUGUUGAACGUGUAGGUGUCGUCCGUUCAUCGCUAGAUCGGGACGGAUCAUGGGACGGCGGCAAUUUGGAUCGCGAAGACGUUCCACUACAUAACCGCGUUUCUUAACGCUUACCGCUUAGAGAUCUACAAGGGUAUGUGGAUCCGAUCUCCCUCUCGUAGAUGAUCAUAUCAAUGAUAGGUCUUUGUGUGCGUAGGAAUUUUUUUUGUUUCCCAUGCAACGUUCCCCAACACUACACUUCCAAGUUCUGGGAUUUCUUUCGGACUCCAAUGGGCACGAAGGUCCGUUUCAAUACUACCUUCCAUCCUCAGACUAGUGGUCAAGUGGAGAGAGUCAAUCAAAUUCUUGAAGAUACACUCACAGUUUGUGUGAUUUCUUUUGGCAUGAAGUGGGAAGACUGCCUCCCACUUGCCGAGUUCUCAUACAACAACGACUUUGAGGCAAGUUCAGGCAAGGCCGCUUUUGAGAUUUUGUAUGACACAAAGUGCCAUACCCUGCUCAACUGGUUCGAGAUUAGUGAGUGCUAGAUUCUUGGGAAUGACAUGAUCGCUGAAUUAGAAGAAAUGUGCCGUGUCAUUUGGGCUAAUCUCAAAGCAGCUCAGUCCCGUCACAAGAGCUAUUAUGAUAGCAAACAUCGUUACAUGCCUUUUCAGAUCAAUGAUUUUGCUUAUCUCAAAGUGUCCCCCAUGAAGGGCACUCGACGCUUUGGCAUCAAAGGUAAGCUUUCUCCUCGCUUUGUGGGUCCUUUCGAGAUUGUUGGCAAAAGAGGUGACCUUGCUUUUCAGUUAGAGAUUCCAUCUAAUUUCUCAAAUGUGCAUGAUGUGUUUGAAGUCUCUCAGCUCCGGACAUGCUUCAAGAAUCCCGAGUGCACAAUUGACCUCCAAGACAUUGAUCUCCAGCCAGACCUAUCCUAUCAUGAGCAUCCAAUUGCCAUUCUCAAAGAUACCGAGCGCAAGACUCGAAACAAGUCUACCAAGUUCCUCAAAUUUAAAUGGUCACACCAUUCCGAUAAAGCAGCCACUUGGGAACGCGAUUACCUUCUCCGUUCCGAAUAUCCAGAGUUCUAGCGCUAGAUUUCGGGUCGAGAUCCUCUUGUAGUGUGGGAGAGUUGUAACAGCCCAACUCCACCCCGUCCUUUAUUUGUAAUGUGUCAUGUGUGAACCUUCUUAUUGCCAUUAUGUGGUUUGAGUUAUAAUCAUUUUUCUUCAUGGGAUGUUGCAUCAUGGCAUCAUAAUCAUCAUGUCAUAAUUCAUGUUUUGCCUCAUGCUUGUUUUAUGUGGUGAUGUUGUUAUGAGUGUGUGUGUGUGGUAUGACUGCUUGCAAACUAGUAAUAUUCUUUGAUUAAAACCCCUCUCUUCAACUUCCAUAAAAAAUUAUGCCACCUCUCUUCUCUAAUAAUGCAAAUGCGGUGAUUUUUACUUGCCCUAGUACAUAUAAUAAAUGUUGCACUUCCAUAAAUAUUCUGUUAUGCUCAUAAAAAUUAGUUCUAACCAUGUUGAAGUAUUUUGCUUUGACAUCUUUGCAAAAACAUAUUGUUAUAAUUAAAAUAUGGGUUUUAUUUUAUUGCUGUAAAUAUGCCAAAGUCAAUUUUUCAAAUAGGGUUUAUUUUGUGAGUUCAGACAUAUUUUAUUUCUCCCCAAAAACCUCCUCUAUUUUUCUGUAUGAUUUAGGGAAAAAUACGUGGUUUUAUAAAAAAUAAAAACCUUUGUGUUCUUGAGAGUGAGAGUGAGGCGAGCCCACCUCGGCCUCACCCUUCUCUCCCGCCCAGCCGCAACAGCCCAGCAGCCCGACCUACGGUAGCUCGCAGCCCCGCAGCCCACCAGCCCGCUAGCGACAGGAGCUUCAUUCUCCUUUCCACGACACCCCAUCCAGAAGAGCCACGACAGCCAUGCCUUGAUUUGAUGGACUCAGCUCGCCCUAGCUGCCUAUAUAGGUUUCCUGGUGCCCUAGGUCCUCCCCACAACCCAUUCCUCCCUUCUCCUUGCCUUGCCGCCACUGGUAGGUCUUCUCCAAGCAUCGCCAUCGCCCUACUCGCCAUGAAUCGACCGAGCUUCUUCUCGAGCCCGGUGUAGUUCAUCGCUGCCACGUCCGGCCCUCCUGUCACCAUGGAUUGAACCACAGAGGCAGGCCCUUCGUCCCCGAGAACAAGCCGCGGCCUGCAGCCCCUGGAGCGCCCUCCCCUUGCCGUCUUCCUCCUCUGCGUUUCGGGUUGAGGAGCGCGCCGGAGUUCGCCGACAUGUAGCACCGUCUUCAUCACGCCCCAUCCAUCUUCUUCGUGUCGUUGGUAAGGAAGGCAUUCUCUAUGUUCCAUUCAGUCCUUCCCCGCCUCCGUUCAUGUCGCGCAGGUGCCAAAUCAUUCGUGCCAAGAUCGUGCUCUCCGUGCUCGGGCUGAAGCUGCCAUUUUUUUGUUCUCGCGUGUAUGUGUGUGGUGCGUAGUUCCAAAUUAGCCCGCGUGCACUGUGCCUUGCUUCCCUAGUGGUCUCACCGCCAUUUUGUGGUAGCCGCCACUUGCCGCAUCGCCUCGCUUGCCGCUGCCGCUAGCCCGUGCCGCGGCCAUGCCCGAGCUCGAUCUCGAGCUCGAGGUCCUUGCCGUGUGGGCCUCUCGCCCCACUUCUCAUCCUCAAGGGGCCCUGGUGUCAUUGCCAGUGGGACUCUCUGUUUUAUUNNNNNNNNNNNNNNNNNNNNAUUUUAUCUCUUUAUUCCAUUUUUGGAAGAUUCCAAAUAGGGAAUUGUCCAAAUGUGGAUCUGUCCAAAUCUGGAAUAUGCCAAAUCUGGCAUAUAAUUUAUUACACCUAGUUUGUGAAAAUUUCGUUUUAGUUUUGUGUGUGAAUUUCCUAUAGAAAUAUAUGAGUAUGAUAUAUGAAAUUGGGGUAGAAUUUUCUUGUGAAUAAAAUGGUGGUAUUAGUUUUGUCUUUUGGGAAAGUUUGCAGAAAUGUUAUUUUUUGAUGAGGUGGAAUUUUGUGAAUUUUGUGUGGUUUAAUUCCUGCAUGCUAUGAUGAACUUGUCAACAUGGAAGUGCUAGUGUUUUGUGGGCACUAGGCGCUGCUAUUUUCCUUUGCUAGGAUAAGCUAGUAGUUUAGUAUAUUUCUUGUUGUAAAGUAACUAAGAAAAUGUUGCUGGUUUCACAUGCUAAAUAUUUCUAAGUGUUGAAAUCAGUUAUUUUCUUACCACAUUGUGUUCAUGAUUCCCAUGAAUACAUUACUCCUUUGUGUUUGUUCAAAUGCCAUGAAUUGUUGUGCCUGUUAACCUCUAUCAAAUGGUGCCACAACCUUGCCAAAUAGGUUUUGCAUCUUAGAGUUAUUCCCUGUCAAUGUUGCUAUCAUGUUAUAAAGUGCUACAAUUUCCCCUUGUGCAUUUGACCAAGUGUGGAAAUCUCUACUUAUUUUCAUGCCAUGUUUAAUUGAUGCUAGCAUGUAUGCUGUGAUAUAUUAGCUCAUGCUCAAUGCUAGUGUAUUCUAGUAGAUGCCGCCCUCUAUCACCUUGCUAAAUUUCAUGUCAUGAAACUCGAUGUAGUAUAGUGUUUUGUUGCUGUCAACAUGCCACCAGAUUAAAUACUACAAGUGCAAACUGAGAUUUUCACUAAGUCCUAAUAUGUAAUAUUUCUUGCCAUGUUUCGAGCUUGAUUUCCAUUGUUUCAUGAACCUAUAAAUAUUGCUCUUAGUUAUAGAUUGUUGUGAUCUUUGAUAGCUUCAUACCCAUGUAUUGGUUGAACUCAUUGAGUGCUUGUAGCUAUGAGUUUGCACAUGUCCAGAGUGGUAUCUGGCUGUUUGUGGACAGAUUGGUUGUUGUUUUGUUUUGUGCAUUGUGUGAGUUGUGCUCAUUUGUUUUGCAUGAAAUUUAGGUCUAUUGGACCUAGAAUUCUGUGCAUGUCCAUUGGCAUACCUGCAAUGCCAAGAAAAUGCCCAUAGCCUCUCUUAUAUUGCUGGUUGUCAUCGUUGUCGUCCGUAUCUUAUUUUCUGAUUUUCGAGAGAUUCGUAGGUCGGUUUGCGAUGUUCUUUAUAUGUUUUUGCACCAUUUUCUCUGGAUGCAUUCAUUUUUUCCAUAUUCAUGCAUGCCUAAAUUAAUAAACUUGAGGUUCUGUCCAGAAUACUAACAAUUUAAUAAAGGCAUUAGAAACUUGACUAGCUAGCAUUGUCAUGCUCUUUUCUUUCACACACUCAUGCAUCAUGUUGUUUGAAGCAUUGCACCAUGCGUGUGUUCAUUGGAUGUGUAUUUUCUUUGGGUAGAAACGGGAGCUGAGAACGAGUGCGAGGAUCAUUUCUGAUUUAAUUUAAAAUCCAGGGAAAUACUUAUCUUACAUGGUGUUAAGUCAAAGUUGACUCAGCUAGUCAAACGUGACAUAUGGGUCCCCUAGGUUUAACUCCAAUCUAACUUGGGAUAUAACCCAUGGGGCCCACCUAUCAUACACUCGGGAUGGGAAUAAUGCAGCACCUAAUCAACCCUAACCAUGGGACCCAUUCGUUAGUGGCACAUACUGGCAAGGAUCAACUUAGACAUCCAAAGCACACGUCAAAGGCCUCUCGGGAAGGCACGCCGAUGAUGACUAAGACCACCAAGUGCAUAUUGGGACAACUUAAUAAAUACAUGAGAAACUUGACUUGUUAGCAUUGUCAUGCUCGUUUCUUUCACACACUCAUGCAUCAUGUUGUUUGAAGCAUUGCACCAUGUGUGUGUUCAUUGGAUGUGUAUUUUAUUUGGGUAGCAACUACAGCUGAGAACGAGUGCGAGGAUCACGCUGACACAUUGGGGUUAUGACUGAAUUAAGUAGGUGUUCAGGAUCACUUACUGAUCAUUUUUUGUCUAUGACCGUCAUGGUUAGUCCACUCACCUUAAUUCAUGUUCCAUAAGUUAUCCACCCUAUAUGUUUGGUGCUGCUGUAACCUAAACACUUACCCUUCCAUACCAAACAACUUGAUUAGUUCCAGUAUCAUGGUUGCAAGAUGGCUAGGUCCUUGUGGCUCACAGAUUACUACAACCCCACAGGUACAGGUACCGCAGAUCCAGAGGGUUUUGGUGCUAUGCAGUUGUAGUGGGAGUUCGACGAAGGUAGUGGCCGUAUGUACGUGACAUACCUUAAUGAUUAGAGGACCUUGGUCGUCUCCUGGCAGAGCGGGACAGAUCAUUUCCAUUUUUUCGUUUAUCUUAUCCAUAGACGAACCCUGUCUUUUGGGAUGAUUUGAAAUAAAUUGUUGAGUGAAUUAUACUUUAACUUGUGGUGAGUGUAAGCCAUUCCGUAUACUCAUCUCUUUUUGUAUGUAUUGCGAUGAUUCUUGUGCUUGCAAAACGCUAAGAUGCAUCUCUUUCCUUAUUGGGGCAUCGCCCCAAAUAUGGAAAGUGUCGCAUCUUGGACGUUACACCUAACCAGCAUGUGUAGGAGGCUUGUUUUAACCCUUAACCUAACACUGGUAGGUUUGAAGAGAAUUGGAGACAUUUAGUAGUGCCCCACAUUCUGGCGAGCACAUGGCGUGCGUGCUCUGGGCGCGGCGAGAGCACACGUUUUGCACGGUGCUCCACUGAGCCACCGCAUCCACCAAACCCCGCGCGCCUUGCCCCUAUGCUGGCCACACAGCCUCGCCACAUCGAGCCAAGCCUCGACAGAAUUUCUCCCCUGCCAUGUGCCGCUUAGAGGAACCGCCAUGGCAACCUUGGUGGCUAGCUGGUGUUUGCGUUCACUUAUACCGUGACCUGCACCGCCCAGCCCCUCCCCGCUUGCCAGCUCACCUACGGAGUAGCGCAAAAUUCGUCCAUAAGCUUGUGCAGCCUCACCAGCUAGGUGUGCUCCCCUGCCCGUCGCCACACGAUGUUGUCUUCGAUCUUAUCCUCGGGCUCCGACAAGACUGACAUCGAGCACCUAUAUAAGGAGGCCCCCGAGCUCUCUGAGCACCCCAUCCUCCUCAUUGGACCCGCAGCUAGCUCCCAAGCGCCCUAAUUCGACCAAAGUAGCCCAUCCUGCUCGCCUCGAAUCGCACCGCUGCCCUUAAUUAUCUAGUCAAUUCCGAUAACCCUGAGCAGCUCCUGCUCCACCUUCGCCACCAUUAUCUCAACCACGGCCCCUAGGAUCCAUCCCCAUGCCAAAUCACAUUGGUAGCGAACCGUAGGAAGACGCCAGUGCGCCGGAGCCUCCCUUCCGCCAUGGAUGGAGGAGUGCUCAGUUCCGACCUCUCCGGUGAAUCCCGUGCCCCCCAAAGGUUGAGGACCUCCCCCCGAGCACGAUGUUGUGCCCACCAUUCCUGGCGCCAACGAUCACCGUCGGCGUGAACCCUCCCCUCUACCUGUGCGAGCAAGGGGGAAGAAGACAAACCCGACACGUGGGUUCCACCUGUCGGCGAGCCAACCUCGGCCCCGAUGGCGCAGAUCCCCUGGCGCGUUUUUUCUUCACAGUGGCGUGUGCUAUGGAGUGUGCUUUCCCUUUCCCGAGAAGGUAUUUGUUUUCAAAAACGUUUUCUUCUUUGAUUUAUUUAAAAAUAGAUUUUCACCAAACUUUGACUGCUGAUAACUUUUAAACUACAACUCCAAAUGAGUUGGUUCUUUUUUUGUUGUUUCUCAAAUUUCACCUACUUUAUGGUCUAUUUAUUUCAAAAUAUUCCAAACAACUUUUAUACACUGUUUUGGAAUUGUGUUUGAUUCCGAUAAUUUAAAAAAUAGGAAAUAUUGGAGGGAAGAAUUCUUCAGGAUUUUUGGUGUGCAGACCACCCUUCUUCAUACCUAAGGCAAGCAUAUUGAACCCCAAUUUGUCUUAAGUGUAUGAUGGAUUUCUACGAUGAAUUGAUGCAUGGUUAUGCUACUUAGAUAAAAACUCUCCAUCGCAACAUUUUUGCAUGAAACCAUGUGAUGGGCACUUAUUUGUUGUCGAGCAUAUAAUGCUAGUGAUGAGUGGGUAGUGCCUCAUGCCACGUAUUCCAUGCGGGUCUGGACAACCUCAGAGGAAGGUUUGUCAUGGUAACAUGUUACCGUGAAAAUGAUAUCUCAUGGCGACGAGAGUGAUUAGUGAGGGAAUAUCUAGGUGUGAUGGUGGUAACCCAAUUGAAUAAAUUCAUGAAUUUUGUGGUGCCAACUCUUGCAAGAAAACUAAAACCUCGUGAGUCGACCGUAGAUUAUGUCUUGUGCAAGUAACCUCCAUACUCUAUUUGUGCUACCACUUGUCCCUGCUAGAGGUAGGGUGCUGUUAAGUAAGUCGUCGACCCCUUUCCUUGCACACACCGUACAAAGAGGCCAUAGUGGAAGAUACCAGUUGCAACUGGUAGGAUGCAACUUGGUCUGGGGUAUGGAUGUUUUCGGCCUGGGGUCGAGAGGGGGCACCCCUUAGUAGCGCACGGUAUAAAUUUGAUCCCAUCCUAAGUGGAGAUUAUAAUCUUCCCACUCACAGUCUUAUUUAACGAGUGUCAUGGGUGAUCCCAGGCAUCGGGAAAUUAAACUACUGUGUGCAGGUCAGGUGUGUUUUCAACUCAAAGAUAGUAAUCAGAAUUAGUUAUCCAUGGGUAAAGAGUACACCCUAUGCAGAGUUAAAUAUCUAUUCGAAUAGCCGUGUCCACGGGUAAGGACUAUAGUCUUGGAUGGGUCAAGUGUCGAUCGAAGUUUGGGUCUUUGAAGAUUAAUUGAAACAUGAUGAUGAUCAUGAAGUGGGAUAUAACCAUAAUUAUUAUGAAUUUUUUUGUGGACUAAUCAUUUCUGGUAUAUGAAUUUUUGAGUAUCCCUGGGACGGUUCUACCUCCUCGAUACUCGAUGUUAUUAUUAUCAUAUAAUCCCUUUUCCUGGUGUCGCUUAGACGCCCGACUGUGGCAACUGCUAUUAUUAUCAUAUAAGCCCUUUAUGUGGUGUCGCUUAGUCGCCCGAGUGUGGCAACUGUUAUUACUUUUAUAUUAGCCUUUUUUGUGGUGCCUCUCAGACACCGGACUAUAGCACAAAUACUAUUACUUAUUCAUCGUUAUUACAUUCUUAUAAGCCCUUUUUGUGGUGUCUCUCCAGACGCCCAACUGCGGCACACAUAUUAAUAUUUAAUUAUAAUACAAUUUUGCAGUGUCGCCCCAGACACCCGACUAUGGCAUUACUUUAUUUAUGCUAAUAUAAGUCCCUUUAUGUGGCGUCGCUUAGACACGUGACUGUGGCUUAUAUUGCUUGUCCUUUUGAGGUGUCGCCUGAGAGGCCCAAUCGACAAAUUGAAAUUGAUUGUUACUCUCUACCUUGUUUGCUUAUACAUCACGAGUAGGAAUGAUUUAUCUGCAUGACUGCAUCCGUGAAUUAAAUCCUAUGGCAUUUGAGGUGGUAUUAAAUUUUUUGUGCAUGCAUCUCACCUGCUUUAACUUAUAUUUUUUCAUGAUGUUUGCGAGUACAUUCAAAGUACUCAAUGGCUUGUCCCCGACCAUUGUCUUGGCCAGAUUUCAUAUUUGGAGAGGAACACGAUGAUAUCAAUCCCAGAACCUAGGAGUUUGGGAUCGCAGGCUUGCGAGAUAGGAGGUAUCCAGGUAAGCUAUUCGUGUGGAAAUGGUAUCCCAUGGACGUUGGAGAUCCGCGAGUCUCUUCCGUGGUUAGCGUUUAGACCUUUUGUUCAACCCCAUGGACCUUCAUGGUCUUGUAACCCAAAUUUUGUAUUUUCUUGGAAUUUCUAUAUCAAGUGGGCGUCCACCAGCUAACAGUAAUCAUUGGGCUGGUGAACACAAGGCUUGUUUUCUAGGAAUUAUAUAUUCUGGAAAACCGGUCGCUACAACCUUGGUAUUAGAACCAGGCUGACCAUUGGCAAAUCAUAUCUUAGCCAUGUCUCUAUUCCUAGCCCAGGUAUUUAUAUAACCACCACCCAGCCUAGCCUAUGCAAUAGCCAACCACAACGGCCAUCCGACCCUUUGUGGCAGUCGGUGCCCAACCUGGUAGCUAGCCCAUAGGCCACGUGUGUGUGACUGACACAGGAGAUGUGGCAUCCCCUAGCAUGCGACGGAAGAAUCCCUUAACCUAUAAAGGAAAGCAUUUCCUCAACCCAGCAACCCGCAACCUUGAGCCCCACCACAAUAACCCCAAACCAACAAGAUGCCUAGCCAUGUUAUUUUCAACGAGACAACUGCAUCUGAGCCGGUAGACUUCGUAGCCGACCUCACCCGCCAAAUUUUUGGCAUAGAAGAGCCCCAAUGUAUGUUGUGCAUGAGGAACCUGCGAGUGAUGCUGUCCAUCACUUUUGGGUCAUGGUGCACAUCUAUGAGGGAGUUCCUCGUUGGAAUACCCUUAGCAUUUCACUCGUAUAGCAAUCGCCAGUGAAACCCAAGCGCGCCAGCUUGCAGCCCGAGAAGCUAUAGUCCACCUACGACAUUUGUUUCCAUGGAUUAAUAGCCCACCAUUCUGCUACUAUCCUAGUCUUGAAGGAUAUGGUCGACAGGCCCAAGUCACCAGCGGAGACCUUGAGAUAGACUCUGCAUUGGUGCAGGUUGUACACUAUUUGAGAGUGCAUGAGGCACUAAUCAAUUGGAUCACCUUUGACCUAGUUGUAAACUGCACGUCAUUUGCUCACCGGACCCCAGUAAGCAGUGAAGUUGCGACCGCCUCCAGCAACCAAGUAGUAUUAUUUGGAAGACCUAUUGGAUCCCUGAGGUCUGCCCCAGCCUUCCCGAUAAACAGCUCGGUCAUGACCCCGAAAGAGCUUCACCGCAGUUUGGAUGCUUACAUCAACGAAGUUGUGCCUGACUCUGUGACAGCAGACCUUCCCCUGCAAAGACACCAGAAGAAUGCUGCUAGCACUCUUCGGCAAUCAAAACUAGAAGAAUGUUGUUGACGGCCCACCAGCGCGUGGGAUCGCGACAGUUUUCCAGGGUAGAGUAUUCGACCCAAAUUAGUUGAUCGCCAGGCAGGAGGUGAGAGGAUACUCUCAAGUAUUAGCAGCUGAAUGUGUCAGAUUCAACCACACCGGAAAGAUUAGUAUCUGCAAGCAAAGUAGUAACAGCAAAGGAGUAUGAUAACAACGGUGUGAGAAACGAUCUAUUGACGGCAGAAUAUUCCUAACAAUUGUAUCAAAGGAGCCAGAAGUUGCCCGUGGACGGAAAAUAUUCUUUCCCGUCAACGGCGUGAAAAAAAGUAUUGUAGCAGGUAGGAGGAGUGUAACGAGUAAUAGUAGUGGCAAGGAACAGCAGUAGAACAAGACAAGUAACAGCAGCAGAGCAAGACAAGUAACAUCAGUAGUAGGACAAACUCGUAGGCAAUGGGUCGGUGAUUUGUUUGGAUGCUAUUCAUCAUGCAACAGUUAUAACACGGAGAGAUAUGUGGUUAGCUCCCGUGCGUCAAUGUGAUGUAGGCUUGCAUUCCGUGUGUCGUCAUACGUAUUUAGGGAAAAGAACUUGCAUGACAUCUAUUGUCCAUCCCCCUUGUGGCAGCGGGGUCCAAAAGGAAACUACGGGAUAUUAAGGUUCUCCUUUUAAUAAAGAACCGGACCAACGCAUUAGCACUUGGUGAACAUAUGAACUCCUCAAACUAUGGUCAUCACCGGGAGCGGUUUCGGUUAUUGUCACUCCGGGGUUGCCGGAUCAUAACACAUUGUAGGUAACUACAACUUGCAAGAUCGGAUCUAAAACACACAUAUAUUGGUGACAACAUAAUAAUUUCAGAUCUGAAAUCAUGGCACUCGGGCCCUAGUGACAAGCAUUAAGCAUGGCAAAGUAGUGGCAACAUCAAUCUCAGAACAUAGUGGAUACUAGGGAUCAAUCCCCAUCAAAACUAACUCGAUUACAUGAUAGAUCUCAUCCUACUCAUCACCGCCCAGCGAGCCUACGAAUAGAUUACUCACGAAUGACGAAGAGCUUCAUGGAAUUGGAGAGGAAGAAGGUUGAUGAUGACGAUGGCGACGAUUUCCCGUCUCCGGAGCCCAAAACGGACUCCAGAUCUGCCCUCCAGAUGAAGAACUGGAUGUGGCGGCACCUCCGUAUCGCAAACGCGACAAAAUCUUCUCUUUUUUAUUUUUUCUCGGACGAAAGUGAACUUAUAUAGCCACGUGGGCCCCACAAGUUUGCCCACCGCCACCAGGGGGUGGCGGCUACAGGGCUUGUGGCCCACUGGCCCAUCCCCUCAGGUGGAUCUUUGCGCAGGUAUUUUUCAUAUUUUCCAAAGAUAAACUUCGUAAAUUUUCAGGAUGUUCUGAGAACUUUGAUUUCUGCACAAAAAACAACACCAUGGCAAUUUUGCUGAAAACAUCAUCCGUUGAGGUUAGUUCCAUUCAAAUCAUGCAAAUUAGAGUCCAAAACAAGGGCAAAAGAGGUUGGAAAAGUAGAUAUGAUGGAGACGUAUGAGUGCCUAGGGCGCAUCGUUUGAGACGCCGUCGCCCCUGCAACCCCGUUUCAUGGCCCAGUCAUCUAUGGAACUAUGGCACACGGAGAAACCUCAUUGGCCGCUGAGCACCUCAGCUCAGAGGCCAACGAAGGCGGAGCGAGUCGUUGAGAAUAGUUGUCAAACUCUAGUGGCCGUGUGGCCCCGUAAUUCUGCAUUCUUGUAUUUACCGAAGUUGUAGUAAGUUCAUUUUAAAUAAAAUUGCAGGAUGCGUGCAUGUCGUUAUUUUUAAUGGUAAUUGCCGUAACUAGCAUUAGCUAGUUGACGUAUGACCUUAGAAUGAAUUUUCGAGCAUGACCACCUAACCCACCUAACUAUUUACCCGAGUGAUGUGUCACUUUGGGAAGUGAUAUCCGAGACCCCAGACCCGACAACCUAGGUCACACUAGUGCUAAAAUGUGUGCCCUCAACUAGACACUCUGUAUGAGGCCACACCGAUGACCAUCGCGAGCACUCCUCACCAGGUGCACUGCCCCACAGCCCGCUUUCCCCAUGAUUGCCAUUGGGUUUCAACUAGGAAUCCUGGAUACAAUAGAAACCCGUGUUUACUUGCAGCCCAUUGUAGAGCAGUCCGCGUGUGACCACCCUUGUCCCAUAUAUCAUCGCUAGGAGCGUUUGAGCCAGCAAAUGGUGGAUUAACUNNNNNNNNNNNNNNNNNNNNNNNNNNNNNNNNNNNNNNNNNNNNNNNNNNNNNNNNNNNNNNNNNNNNNNNNNNNNNNNNNNNNNNNNNNNNNNNNNNNNUUGAGAAAAAGAAAGAAGAGAACAUAGAGGANCUAGGAACCUUGGCGGUCAUGUAUCCACCUUGUAUAAGUGAUGAGCGACCACAACAGUUUAUGCAAGAAUACAUAACAUAAAUAUGUACUUUGACAAAAAGUUGGGGAAUACUUAGCUUUGUUUACUAUGCACAGGGUCAUCACGUGGCUUUGUACAAAGGAUUGCAUGCUUUGAUGUGAGACUAGUACAAAAGUGGUUGCCGAGAGGACCAACAACCACGCCUCAUGGGUAAAACUUUCUAAGAUUCUCGAUAUUCCAUGAGUUCACCAUCGGGGUGCCAUCUUCAGUCUCCAGCCAGACAGCGCCAGGCCUGGUGACUUGUACUACCCAGUAGGUCCCUUCCCACUUUGGCGUCAACUUGUUGGAUCCCUUCAUGCAUUAAAUCCUUCGAAGAAAAAGGUUGCUUUCCUCAACGCUCCUAACAUACACUGUGUGUAAGACCCUCUAUUUAGCUUUCCUGACUAAUUAGCUUAUUUCAAAAAUUAGGACCAAUUAAUUUUUUUGUGAAUGCUUGUGAUGCUUCAAGUGACUAUUGUUUGCUUGCUUGCUCGUAUGCUUAUGUUGGGUUCUCAAUGAAUUAUGCUACUCUCCAGACUCACCACCUUAGCCCAAAAGUCGUGGCUAAUGAUCAUGCCUUGUGUUUAGGAUUAAAAACUAUUUUUACCAAAUACUAUUUUCACCAGAAAGCAUUUCUUUGAAUUAAGCUUUCAAAACCCCUAAGAUGGGAUUUGUACUACAAGUCCUCAAAUUAGGGAAUUUAUUUUGCUCUAUUUAUUUUAUUCAAAAAACUUUAUCAAAGUGACUUCCCAAAACCACAAUAUUUUUAUUUAAAAGUUAUUUUACUAUUUUAUUUAAAUGCCUUCCUGUGAGGCCAGAAAUGGUCUCUUAUGAACGAAAGUUAUUAUUAUUGCUUUCAAAAUAUUUUUGAAAAAUUAGGGAAACUCGAUGGACCUAUAUAUUCCAUAUAUAUGAGUUUCAACACAUGGUCAUGUUCAAAAUAUUGGGCAAACCCCUUCAAAACCCUCCGUGCCUAUAUAAAGCUUUUGGGACAUUUCUAUAAGAAAUAUGCUCAAUAAAUUCCUGUAAAAUUCUAGCAUGCCACAUAUGAUAUAUGAGAUGAUCUUGCCAAGUUUCAUCUCAAUUCCACUUGAUUUGACUCCCCUAAUUAUUCUAAAACCUUAUCUGGCCAGAUCAAAAUUUGAGCAACUCUACAUUGUCAAUUGACUCCAAUUGUGCUCAAAUUUGGUAGACAUGUUCUUAUACUCCAAUAAUGCAUCCACGCCAAGUGGUGCAUCAAGGAGAAUAGAAGAACUUGGGCCAAGCCCCUCAUAACCCUCACUGUUCAUUUAUAACUUUGGGAAACUUUACAUUAUAAAGUUUCUCCAAUUGACCCCAAACUUUUUGGGCAUUCCUUAAUGCUCAAAUAAUGCCCCCACACCAAAUAUUAGAUUUGUGGGAAUUGAUUUGAAUAGUUUUGUAAGAAGAAAGCCAUUUCUUCCCAUCUCAUGGGUUUUCCAAGUCUACAUCGGAAAACUUCUCCACCAAAUCCCAAAUUUGGUGUCCAGGCUUAUUUUCAUCUAUUAUUUGAUCUUGUUAAGUUUCAUAUCAAUUGAAGUUCAUCUGGUUGCCCUGACACUCAUCAAACACCUUGUGUUCACUCACCAAAUUGGCUACUUUGCCCCCUUACACUUUUACCCUUGAGCUCAACUUUCUACCGCAGCUCUAUAUAGUUACAUUUUACCUCCAGUAGCUUUGCCAUGGCCUCUGGUCAAUUAUUGGAGAGAGACGCCAUGUAACUAUUCCUCGUUUUUACCCUUGGAUCACCAUUUUUACCCCACUUGUCCCACUUCUGUUUAAGCCAAAGCCCCCAUCUCUUUCCGAAGGGUCCCUAGCAUCCCAAGGCAUCAUUUCAAACAAAUAGAUGGCAUGCUCAUGUAGGAAAAAUGAGCAGCACAUCUACAAAUUGAUUUCUGGAUGAAUUGUAGCUUUGUACAACAAGUACUAGCUACCCUUCAUUGCUUGAGCUCAAACUUGGGAGUGUUGUAGUCCUUGCAUAGCUAACACUGCCAGACAUAAUUUUUCCCCAAGACUCCCCAUUUGAGGCCCACAUUCAUUAGCUCUAAGUUUGCUGUUACAAACUUACCCUCAGUCAAAGGCCAUUCAAACCAACUCCAAUAGAGACCGAACUCCUCACUCACCCUCCUGAUAGUAUGCCCCACAUCCCACACACCUUUGAUAGGUCAAACUCCUGGUCUAGGCGUAGGUGUCCAUGGUGACCACCACCCUGGCAUGCAAAACUGGUGCUCUGCGCCUUAACCUUUCCCCACAGCUCGAAUCAGGCAGCUACUCCAUGUCUCUGCAUGUCUCAGCCCUUCCAUUUGACCGUUCCAAGCACUUCCUCCCACCAGCUAGCUUCCAAGCUCCAUGUGCUGUGCGUGGCAUCCAUGCACCAGGAAGCUCCAGAGAGCUCCUGAGCUCUCUCUCUAUUUCACUCUCUUAUCUCCUCGCCCAAGCUCUCUCUGGCUCUCCCUCACUCCCUUCUUUCUCCUGCAACCUCCUGCACCUCCCCACCUCUCCCUUCGAGCCCUGGGCUCUCCUCCUCUAAUGGCCAAAGCCACCGGAGCCCCCUUCUUCAACUCGGGCUUCCCCGAGCUCUUCCCUCCAUGAGGCUGCGCCGAGAGGUCUCCCUCCUCUCCGCAGUUACCCUGUGCACAUUAUUUCCUCUAAAUGGCCGACGCGACGCCCCACCGCAGUGGUUGUCGUCGGUCUCCGCCAUGGCAGAGAGCUCCAUCGCUCCGAGGCUCCCCUUGUGGAGAUGGCUCCUCCUCGGGCGCGGGAGGCCUUGCCCCGAGCCCUUACUUGCCGGCGCGCCGCCGGAGAAGGCUGGAGCCGCCGGAGCCAGCCCAUGGAUCGGCCGGCCAUGCCUCCUGCGUGCUCCCAGAUCGGGCGGGAGGAAGAAGAAAGACCUGACAAGCGCCCCCCCCCCCUAAGCCUCCGUAAGCCUGGCCCCCUGUAAUAAGUGGUCGCACCCUAGCCGGUGGGCACUUCCCCGUGGAGAAGGCGUAAAGGGCGUUGGGAGCCUCCUGCAUGGCCACCCCUCGUGAGGACGAACCGACGGGCCGGCCCGAUUCCUCCCCUGCGCCGGUGGGAGAAUAUAGCCUUGUGGAUAAGCCCUCUUUUCAUUAUUCCCUUUUAUCAAAACUUCAAAAAUACAUAGUUAAAUCAUUCUAACUCCAAAAAUGUUGAUUUAAAUUUCUGCAGGGCCCAAAAAUCAAGACCUAUACGUAUUUGUGCAAUGCACAUUUUUCCAUAAGACUUUUUGUGGAAAUUAAUAUUUAAAUGCACAUUUGAAUAUUUUUAAACCCCACUUUGUAAAUUCCUAUAGCAUCCAAAUCCACUCCGAAUUGGGUGAUUCCAAAUUCCAUAGCCUUCUAAUAUCAUGCCCUAUUUUUGAAGCCAUAGCCAACAUUUUUAUCUGCCAUAUUUCUACUGCAGUAAAUAAAUAGCUCCGUUUUGCUAUUUAUCGAGUAUUGGAAAAUCCCUAGAAUAUUUACAUCAACUCCAAAAACCAGUGAAACAACUUCCUAAAUGUUUCUAAAAAUGUUAUGUGUUAAAUGAGUGCAUUCACUCAUUUUUAUCAUAAUAUUUCCUGUGGGCUUCAUAUAGGAUCCCCUAUUCAUUCUCUCAUCCAUUAAAAAAUCCAUGAUGGUCCAACUCUCCUCUAGCAAGCUUCAGGUAUUUUUCUUAUGACCAGAGAGGUCCAAGAAAAUAUAUAACUUUCAUUUUUAUAGAACUUUUGUUUCUGCUUGUUGUAUGGCUUACUGUGUUUGUUUCCGACGGUAGUGGACAGAUUAGACGGAGUACUCGGAGUUGGACCGGAAGACCUCGAAGACCCCGGGGACUUAUGUGAGCAAAGGCAAGCAACCCUUUAACCAUGUCUGGGCAUAUGUUAUAUUGCAUGCUAAGUAGAACAAAUACUUCCGUUGCAUAUGAUCAUAAUUAUCGGUAAAUCAUCAAUAUGAUGUUUCUGAUGGCUCCUCCGGAGCACUUGCAUUUUGAGCAUGAUCCUACCACCUCUAAGGGUCACGCUAAUACCAUGUUGACAAGUAGAGCUAAGCAUAGUAGAAGCAUGAGCAUGAUGAUGGUAUAAAUCAAAGGUUUGUGAAAACCCCGUAGGGUGCCACUAAUGCCCGAGCGUGAUGAUGAGUUAGGUGGCCAGUUUUCUUGAAGUGGUGCACCCGUUAUUUUGGUGUGAGUGGUUUCAGAAAUGGGAAUAGAUUUAUGAUGUGUCGACAAUCAAAACUUUACAUGUGCAACCACGUUACCCCUUUAUGGUACGGGGCUUUGUUGAUUACUCUGGUUGGUGCUAGCAAAGAACCACAUUACAAGUGGCGGCAGUUAUGUGUGGUCACUCUCGUGACGGGGUCAUGCCAUGUAGGGUGACUAUGUCAUUUUUACGUGUUCCAGGCACACCGCUCGUCCCCGCAUGGAUGAUACUGUCCAGAGUCAGUGCUCGUAAGACAUACAUCAUGUGGGUUGGGUACAAAUCGAGUGGACCUCUUUGUCUAGUAUCAUCAGGGAAAAGGCAUUGCUCGGGUACUUACCUCGGGUAUGUUAAAUACCGCGAGUCAUGGUGACACGGAAGUUUCCUGAAUCUCGUUGGUACAGCGUACAACCCCUGCAGAGUGUAAAACUAUUCGAAUAGUCGUGCCCACGGUCAAGGAUAGUUGGGUAAUCCUGCUUAAACUACAUCCAGUCGUUUUCGGGGGGGGGGGGGGGGGGGUGUGUGUGUUAAAUGGUGUUAAUAUGAAAGAGUUGAUAUGACAAUGUUUGGUGACUUGGCAUAUCGGGUGAACCCGGAGUGUUCAGCCCUUGACACAUAUGUUGAUAUCUGUAACCUGUUCUUCUAAAUACCAUUUAGCCUAUGUUGCAUAUCCAUGCAAAAGUUUAUUUACAUUUAAGCUAAUAUCCACCAAACUGCAUAUUACUUGUUUUUCUACCAAUUGCAUCGUUCAUAUCAUGGGUUGUUUGCGAGUACAUUCUAAGUACACAUUGGCUUGCCACUGGUUAUCUUAUUGACCAGACAUGGAAUGACCAGAGUUUGGAGAAGAGUACGUCUUCGGAGACGGUGCUGCGAACUAGGACGCUUCCCAGUUAGAAUGCCCGUUGGUGUAGGCUGAUGGCACGGGCACCCACUUAGCCCUAAGAUUUCCGCUACUAGUUGUAUCAGUGUGAAUUGGCCUUAUAGGCCCUACCUUGUGAACUUGACCUUAUCGGUCAUGUGUUGUAAUAAAUUCGGUACUUGGAUGUAAGACUCUUAAUAUUCAGCAUUUAUGUGAUCAGUGAGCAUUGAUCUCUGGGAUCACUGAGCACGUUCAUUCGGCGAUAUCAACUCGUAAGUCGGGGACCUCACAGAGCUGGCAUCAAAGCCAUCCUGACUAUAGGAAGCCCUUAGCUAGCUCGGACGUUAGUUAGGAGAAACUGUUUUCCAUGUGUUUAGGACCAAAAACUAUUUUUACCAAAUAUUAUUUUCACCAGAAAGCAUUUCUUUGAAUUUAGCUUUCAAAACCCCUAAGAUGGGAUUUGUACUAGAAGUCCUCAAAUUAGGGAAUUUAUUUUGCACCAAUUAUUUUAUUUAAAACCCAUUAUCAAAGUGACUUCCCAAAACCACAAUAUUAUUAUUUUAAAAGUUAAUUUACUAUUUUAUUUAAAUGCCUUUGUGUGAGGCCAGAAAUGGUCUCUUUCGAAGGAAAGUUAUUUUUAUUGCUUUCAAAAUAUUUGAGAAAAUUUAGGGAAACUCAGUGGACAUAUAUAUUCCAUAUAUAUGAGUUUCAACACAUGGUCAUGUUCAAAAUAUUGGGCAAACCCCUUGAAAACUCUCCCUUCCUAUUUCAAUCUUUUGGGAUAUUUCUAUAAGAAAUAUUCUCAAUAAAUUCCUGUAAAGUUCUAGAAUGUCACAUCUGAUAUAUGUGAUGAUUUUGCCAAGUUUUAUCUCAACCCAAGUUGAUUUGACUCCCCUAAUUAGUCUAAAACCUUAUCUGUCCAGAUCCAAAUUUGAGCAACUCUACAUUGUCAAUUGACUCCAAUUGUGGUGAAAUUUGGUAGACAUGUUUUUAUACUCCAAUAAUGCAUCCACACCAAGUGGUGCAUUAAGGAGAAUAGAAGAACUUGUCCCAAGCCCUUCAUGACCCUCUUUGUUGAUUUCUAACUUUGGGAAACUUUACAUUAUAAAGUUUCUCCAAUUGACCACAAACUUUUUAAGCUGGCCUUAAAGCUCAAAUAAUGCCCCCACACCAAAUAUUGGAUUCGUGGGAAUUGAUUUGAAUAGUUUUGUAAGCAGAAAGCCAUUUCUGCCCAUCUCUUGGGUAAUCCAAGUGUACAUCAGAAAACUUAUCCACCAAAUCCCAAAUUUGGUGUCCAAGCUUAUUUUCGUCUAUUAUUUGAUCAUGUUGAGUUUCAUAUCAAUUGAAGUUCAUCUGGUUGCCCUGACACUCAUCAAACACCUUGUGUGCACUCACCAAAUUGGUUACUUUGGCCCUUUCCAAUUUUACCCUUGAGCUCAACGUUCUACCACACAUCUAUAUAGUUACAUUUUACCUCCAGUAGCUUUGCCAUGGCCUCUAGUCAAUUAUUGGAGAGAGCAUCCUUGUAACUAUUCCUUAUUUUUACCCUUGGAUCACCAUUUUUAACCCUCUUGUCCCACUUCUGUUUAAGCCAAAGCCCCAUCUCUUUCCAGAGGGUUCGUAGCAUCCCAAGGAGUCAUUUCAAACCAAUAGAAGGCAUGCUGAAGUAGGAAAAGUCAGGAGCACAUCUACAAGUUGAUUUCUGGCUGAAUUGUAGCUUUGUAUAGCAAGUACUAGCUAACCUUCAUUGCUUGAGCUCAAACUUGGCAGUGUUGUAGUCCUUGCAUAGCUAACACUGCCAGACAUAAUUUUUCCCCAAGAUUCCCCAUUUGAGGCCCACUUUCAUGAGCUCUAAGUUUGUUGUUACAAACUUACCCUCAGUCAAAGGCCAUUCAAACCAACUCCACUAGAGACCAAACUCCUCACUCACCCUCUGUAAGUGCAUCUAGUGCCCCUUAGUGAUUUUGGUGGUUUGAAGAGUUAUAGGUUAAGUAUCUAAUGUGUUCAUGAGUGUACACAGGAUCUAUAAGUCUCUGAGGAGUUUGAAAUAUUUGAUGAAUAUCGACCCCUAAAAAUGUAUAUCUUCGGUUGAAGAAAUUGGUCUCAAGCUGAAGAAUUGAAUCGCGAAGAAUCUGCGAUGAAAUUGAUAUUCCUCAUGAAGAUAUUGAAAUUGAGGUAUUUGGUGUGUCGUGAAGAAAAACAUUCUGAAUACUUUGAAGCAUGAAGAUUUACUCUUUCUGUUUUGUUUUCUUCACACAUGAGUAAUAGGAACACCAUACUGUUAAAGGGGGUCGAGGUAACACAUUUGAAUGAAUUUCCUCAUGAUGCUCAACCCAAGCCUAAAUCUACCAAAAGCCUCAAGUGAGGAAUAUGAGUGACAUGAGGACUCUCAUAGUUGAGGGUCCCGACCGUUUCGAUAGCCAUGCCACAUCAUUGGUCUUAUCCACACCAACGUUUAUAUUAUUUAAGGGCAUUAGUGUCUAAUCAUGUCGGGAUGCUCCCUGGCUAUAAAUAGCCGUCCACACAACCAUUAGCUGGUUGGCUGCUCCGUUAGAAACUGACACUUGUCAUAAGAGAAACCCAAAUUCCUUAGAGUCUUCGAGAGUAAUUCAUCAGUGAGGAAAUACCCCAAACACCAAACCACAAACCGAGAACCAAGUGAUUGAGCAUCACUGAACAAGUUGUUCCUGUGUGGGACUGAAGCCUUUUACCUUUGAGGACUGUGCAUCCUCCAGACGGUUAGGCGUCAUGGUCUAGAGCAAUCUAGCAGUCAAUUGUGGAUCGCCGGGUGACCAAGUUUGUGAGGGUUUGGAAGUCUGCCCUGAAGACUUACCACGAGUAUUGGGCGAGGACUGUGUGUUCUUAGCUCAAGGAGAAUACGGUAGGGACUGUGUUUCCCGGGACUGUGUGUCUUUUGGUUUCAAUACCAAGCCGCUCCAAACCAGAUGUACAAGUGUCACAACAGUUGGAACUGGGUCAUCAACUACUGUCUUCGCUGUGAAACGGGUUCUAAUUCCUCAACUCUUUAUAUUCCUCAGAUUAUGUGUUGAUGACUUUCACUAUCACUGUUUGAAGAAUUUGUUGAAGACUUUCUCUCAAAUUCCUCAACCCCAAAUACUUCACGCAAGUUAAUCCUCAUCUGUUUUCUGCGUGCCUGCUUACUAUGCAAUCUGUUUUGACAUUCCUCAUACUGAAAAACUGUUGUAGUGAAACUUUGCACUCCUGAUCCUUUACUGUUUCCGUUGUGAGUUAGUCAUCAGUGAGGAAUUUCCUCAAAUGGAAUUUCCUCAGUGAUGAAAUUCUAAAAAUCUCCUAUUCACCCCCCCUCUAGUCGAUAUAACGCACUUUCAAUUGGUAUCAGAAUAAGGUACUCCCUUUUUCUGUGUGAUUUUGGUUUAACCACCUGGAGUUUUAGUUAUGUCGACUGCACGCAUGAUUAAGGUUACUGCAACAUGUCCUACUUUCGAAGGAAAGAACUUUCCCUUCUGGAAGACCAAGAUGCAGAUGCAUCUACAAGCUAUUGACAAUGAUCUCUGGUAUAUUGUGGAACGUGACGUCCCCAUUAUCUCUGCUAGUGUCUCUGCUGCUGAUGUGAAGAAAUUCAAGCAACUUGAUUCUCAAGGGAAGAAUAUCAUCUGUGGCCAUCUGAGCCCAGGCCAGUUUGGAAGAGUGGGUGCUUUGGGCUCAGCGACUCUUAUCUGGGAGAGACUGUGCAAAGUAAAUGAAGAAGUAUCAACCCAGCGUGAUUCUCGUGUUGAUGUUCUUCGCAAUCUCUUCAAUCGCUUCAAGAGGCUUGACAAUGAAAGCUGCCAAGUUACCUUUGAUCGCCUCACUGACAUAUCAAAUGAACUGCAAGCACUGGGAGCUCGAGACAUUACUGAUCACGAAGUUGUGAAGAAACUGCUAAUAUCUUUGGAUUCUUCAUUUGAUACUUUAGUCCUGAUGACUCAAGAAAGACCAGACUACAAGAUGCUUGAUCCAGCUGAUAUACUCGAAAGACUCAAUACUCAUGAAUUCCAGCAAGAAGAAAGGAAAGAUCUAUAUGGACCAAGCUAUUCUAGACCACGUGCACCGAAGGCUAGAGCAAUUUCCUCAUCUGAAGAAGAAGACUCGGAUGAUAGCAUUGGUGAUCCUGAAGAAUUUGGACAGGAGCUUGCAAUGCUCAUGAGGAAAUUCCAGAGGUUUACAUGACAUGGCUAGUUCGGUAAAUCUUCAAGAAGAGAUAUGAGGAAAUCAGAAUCUUCAUCUGAGGACUACAAGAAAAGAACUUGCCACAAAUGCAAGAAAUCAGGUCACUACAUUGCUGAUUGUCCCCAUUGGGGAAAGAAUCAAAGAAGAAGAAAUACAAGGAUGACAGUUCUGAUGAUUCGAAUAAGAAGAAGAAAUCUUCAAAAUCGUCAUCUUCAAAGCCCUCAUCGCACAAGAAGACUAGUUUCAGAAAAGCUCGGGCACUUAUUGGCAAGGAAAUGGAUUCCGAGGCAGAAUCAGAGGAAUGUGAUGAAGAAGAGGGUUCUGAUGAAGACUCAGAAUCCGGACAGGCCAUUCUCGCACUUGCAACCACUUUCGUCAGCAAGUCAAUCUUCAGCCUUGAAGAAGAUGAUAACACCAUCCACACUAAUGACUAUGCUGAUGACUUUGCUCCAACCUAUUGCUUCAUGGCAAAAGGUUCAAAGGUAUCGAAUGAUGCUUCCUCCUUUGAUUCAAGUGACUGUGAACCUUAUGAUUAUAAAAAACCCAGUUACAGUAAACUUGCUAUCAUUGCCACUAAACAACAAACUACCCUGGAAAAGCUUCAGAAACUGCUAGAUAGAAGUGAUGAUCUGUUGAAUGAUGAAAUGAAUCUUACCCAAGUCCUCACUUAAGAUGUGAAAAGUCUUCAGUCUAGAUUUGAUAAUCUUCAAGAUCGUUAUGAUACACUCCUCGCUGAUCAUGAGAAACUUUCCUAUGAAUUUCUUCAAAGAAAGCUUGAUCUAGAGAAGCUGAGGAUUUCUCAUGAUGAUCUUCGUAUGGAAAAAGAUUCAUUACUAGCUCAACAGAUCAGCGCUUCUCAAGCUGAAUUCAUCCCUCCAUGUCUGAAAUGCAUUGAACGCGAAACUGCUAAUUCUUCACCAGAAUCAUCAAAUGAUUCUAUUGCUACAAAUUCUUCAACUGUCCUGUAGUGUCAAAUUCCUCACUUGAGGAAAACACAGAUGUCACUAAUGAAAAUGCAAGGCUGAAGGAAUUGUAUGUGACAGGCAUAUACAAAAGUCUCAAAGGACAUCAAACCCUUUGUGAUGUGCUCAAAAAGCAGAUCUUGAACAGGAACCCGAGGAAGGAAUGAAUUUCCUUUGAGAGGAAAUUGAAUGCGGAUGGAUCUUAUUGGAAACCUGAGUAGUAUCCCAAAAUAUCGUGGGUUGCUGCUACUGGGCCUCCUUUUGAUCCAUUCAAUCUAACUGGCUUUUCAUGUGAAUUAUCCUAUUCCUCAGAUGAGUCAUUUGACUCCAACUAUAAACUGUUCAAAAAUCAAGCUGGUGAAGUAUUUGCUCGAUAUGUUGGAACUAACUGGAGGAAUGUCCCUCCCGUGAGGAAAAUCUGGGUUCCCAAAAGUUGUCUUGAAAAUCUUCAGGUGAAUGUCCUCAUGACACCACCAAUGAAGAAUGUGAACCCCAGAUCAAAUUCCUCAGGAGGACCAAAGUCUUCAAGAGGAUCAAAAUCCUCAACCGGUCAAAACUAUGCUCGUACCCGUGCUAAUGCUUCUAAUAUGCAGGGAGACUACAAGGAAUAUGAAUAUGAGCGUUACUCUUCAAAUCAUUAUGGUCAUAAAUCCUCAAACCAGUUCUGCACAUAUUCAUGUGAGUACUUUAACCCCCCUACUGCUAAGAGAAAUGCAUUAGCUUCAAUGCCUCCUUUCUCAUAUGGUGCUCGCAGGAUGAUGAAUGCUUUAACACCCCUUCAGAUGUGGGUGGUGAAGAAAUUGAACUAAUCACUUCUGCAGGUCAGGUCUCCAGAUGAAAAUCAUCAGCUGAAGAAGUUGCUGGAGACCAGAGGAAAUACUUGAUAGGACGCAAGCUAAUAUUGAUGAAAUAGAAAUAUUUCACACGUCCUUAUAAUUCUGUUAUGAUGAAAUUCCUAUCUGUUGAAAUUGAUAUCAUAUUCUUCAAGUUUGAAGCAUAUGAGAUGGUAAGUUGUACUAAUUCAUGUGCAGGAUGACAAACCCAAGAGUACUGAUUGGGUUCUAGAUAGUGGUUGCACACAUCACAUGACUGGUGAUAAAAGCCUGCUGAUGAAUAUGCCACUAAUUCUAUCACGUCUGAAGCAAAUCACAUAUGCUAACAAAGGUAAAAGCAAGGUAUUGGGACUUGGCAAAGUGGCUAUUUCCAAGGAUAGGCAUAUGGACAAAGUGAUGCUUGUUGAAUCCCUUGGAUUUAACCUCAUGUCAGUCUUGAUGCUUUGUGAUCUUGAUAUGAUUGUUAUCUUUGGUAGAUAUAGAUGUGUUGUGAUCAUGGAAUCUGACAAAUCCAAAGUCUUCGAAGGUGUAAGAAGAGGGGAUUUGUACAUUGUUGAUUUCUCUACAGGUCCUAAACCAGCCACUUGCUUACUAGCAAAAACCUUAGAAGGCUGGCUGUGGAACCGAAGACUAGGUCAUGCAGGCAUGAGGAAUUUGCACAUGCUCGCGAAGAAGAAGCAUGUCAUCGGCAUCGAAUCAGUCAAAUUCCUCAAGGAUCAUCUCUGUGGUGCAUGUCAAUCUGGGAAAAUGACCAGAUCCAAGCAUCCCUCGAAGAAUAUCAUGACCACUACUCUUCUCUUCAAAUUGCUUCAUAUGGAUCUAUUUGGACCUACUCACUAUGCCACACUAACAAAUGCAGCAUCUUUAUAUGGCUUCGUCAUAGUUGAUGAUUAUUCGAGAUAUACAUGGGUGCACAUCAUCUUAUAUUAAACUGAAGUGUAGUAAAUCUUCAAACGAUUUUCUUCAAGGGCCUUGACGAACUUCGGCAUCAAGAUCAAACAUAUCAGGAGUGAUAAUGGAACAGAGUUCAAAAACACUGGUCUUGAUGAUUAUUUUGAUGAACUUGGUAUUACUCACGAAUUAUCUGCUCCUUGUACUCCUCAACAGAACGGUGUCGUCGAAAGGAAGAAUAGGACUCUGGUCGAGAUGGCAAGAACCAUGCUUGAAGAAUAUCAGACUCCUCGUCGCUUUUGGCCUGAAGCAAUCAACACUGCAUGCCAAAUCGUCAACAGGGUAUAUUUUCACAAAUUCCUCAAGAAAACCUCAUAUGAACUCCUCACUGAUAAGAAACCCAAUGUAUGUUAUUUCAAAGUCUUCGGUGCAAAAUGUUGGAUUAGAGAUCCUCACCAUAGCUCAAAAUUUGCACCUAAGGCACAUGAGGGUUUUAUGCUCGGUUAUGGAAAGGACUCGCACACCUACAGAGUCUUCAACAACUAUCACAACAAAGUUGUUGAGACUGUAGAUGUGCGGUUCGAUGAAACUAAUGGCUCGCAAAGAGAGCAAUUGCCUUCUGAUCCAGAUAAGUUGUCUCCUGAGGAAGGAAUAAAGCUCAAACCUACUGAAGACAUUGUUCCCACUAAGGAAAUUGAUGAAGAAACCAUCCCCAUCACUGAUGAAAAUCAAGAAGGUGCUCCUCAGGAAAUUGCUCCAGAACCACUUCCUCAGCCCAGACGAAAUCCUCAACCAGCUCAUCCGAGGAUUGCAAAUGAAGUAGAACUUGACAAAAUAUUCAAUGACAUCAACGCGCCAGUUCCUCUCACUCGCUCAAAAGCUUCACACUUAGUUAAAUUUUGUGGGCAUUUCUCCUUUGUAUCUAUCACAGAACCCUCAAAAGUUGCUGAGGCUUUCCUGGAACCGGAGUGGAUCCAAGCUAUGCAAGAUGAAUUUCUUCAAUUCAAGUUGAAUGACGUAUGGGAGCUCGUCAAACGACCAGAUCCUCGCAAGCACAACAUCAUCGGAACCAAGUGGAUUUUCUGAAACAAGCAAGAUGAGGAUGGUCAAGUGGUGAGGAAUAAGGCACGACUUGUAGCCUAAGGCUACACCCAGGUUGAAGGAAUAGAUUUCCAUGAAAAUUUUGCAUCUGUUGCUAGACUUGAAGCUAUUCGAAUACUACUUGCUUAUGCUAAUCAUCAUAACAUCAUAUUAUAUCAAAUGGAUGUGAAAAGUUCAUUCCUCAAUGGUAAGCUUGAGGAAAAACUAUAUGUUUCUCAGCCCCCAGGUUUUGAGGAUCCAAAAAAUCCAGACAAAGUCUUCAGACUCAAAAAGGCGCUCUAUGGUCUCAAGCAAGCCCCUCGGGCAUGGUAUGAUACAUUGAAGGAAUUCCUCAUGAAGAAAGGAUUCAAACCUGGUUCACUCGAUCCAACUCUUUUCACUAAAUCCUAUGAUAAUGAGCUAUUUGUGUGCCAUAUAUAUGUCGAUGAUAUUAUAUUUGGUUGUACUGACAAACGAUACAGUGAUGAAUUUGCUUACAUGAUGAGUGAAGAAUAUCAGAUGUCUAUGAUGGGGGAGCUGAAAUUCUUCUUAGGUCUUCAAAUUAGUCAACAACGCAAUGGAAUCUUCAUAUCACAGGAGAAAUACCUCAAGGAUGUUCUGAGGAAAUUCGACAUGCAUGAAUGCAAAGGUGCCAAGACUCCAAUGCCUACCAACGGCCACCUCAGCACUGGCGAAAAUGGUAAAGAAUUCGAUCAGCAGGUAUAUCCCUCUAUGAUUGGGUCUUUAUUGUAUCCAUGUGCAUCUAGGCCAGAUAUAAUGCUUAGUGUUUGCAUGUGUGCACGUUUUCAAGCAAAACCGAAGGAAUUACACCAUAAGGGUGUGAAGCAUAUUCUUCGAUACUUAGCUCACACACCAACACUAGGAUUAUGGUAUCCCAAGGGCUCAAAUCUUCAUCUGGUAGGGUAUUCUGAUUCUGACUAUGCUGGUGACCGUGUGGAUAGCAAGUCAACAUUUGGCACAUGCCAUUUCCUCGGAAGAUCACUAGUUUGCUGGUCCUCAAAGAAGCAGAACUGCGUAUCACUCUCCACUGCCGAAGCUGAGUACAUUGUUGUUGGUUCAUGCUGUGCUCAAUUGCUGUGGAUGAAGCAAACCCUCAAGGACUACGGCAUCAACAUGAAGACUGUGCCUCUCUACUGCGACAAUGAGAGUGCAAUCAAGAUUGCAUACAACCCAGUACAUCACUCGAAGACCAAGCACAUCCAGAUUCAUCAUCAUUUUCUUCGGGACCAUGUCCUCAAAGGCAAUAUCCUCAUCGACCAUGUGAAGACUGAUGAUCAACUGGCAGAUAUCUUCACUAAGCCCUUGGAUGAUAAAAGGUUUUGCAAGUUGCAAUGUGAGCUAAAUAUCUUAGAAUCUUCAAAUGUUUUGUAAAAACAUGCACACAUCCUAACUCUUAUGCAAAAUUGAUGACUUAGAUGUGCAACACAUGAUGAAUCGAUUUUCUUCAACUGAUGAAGAAUAUCACUCUGAAUGUGAAGAAAUCAACGAAGAAAUUGAUUCUGAGGGCCCUACGAAAAUUGUACGCGGCGUGUGUAAUCAACAUUCUUAUAUGGUGGGUCACGCCACCGCCCAACGUGAAAUUCCUCAAGAUGAUUUUCUUCAAAGUUCAAUUUCCUCAAAAUUUGAUUUUCUUCAAAACAGUUGUUCUUAAAAAUCAUUUUUCUUCAAAAACUGGAUUUCAUCAUUAUGACGAUUUAUCACAAAAUCCUCAAGUUAGUCAAAUCUUAAAAACACUUGAUGAUUUUCGUUUACCUAGAUAGACUGUGAUUUCAAGUCCUCAACAACAUUCACUUAUAGCUAUUUCUUCAAGUUGAUAUUUCAUCUAAGUGAAUGUGAUCGGAACCUACUUUCCCUCUAUGCUAUUCUCAUCCAGCCUAUUCAAUUCUUCAUAUGCGUUCUACUUGAAACCUUGUUCGAAUUCCUCACUGCGUCCUUGUCAGCUAAUGAUCUUGUAACAAAAUCCUCAAAUCUUCAAAAAAAUUUAAUGAACAGUAACUGAACCCCACUUUCCUCGUUCGGAUAACCAUGAUCUCCACGAUCUCCACUGCUUUGCUCGUAAGCUACACGUGUCCUGCGGAGACGUAGAGGCACGGGCUAUUUGGUCCGAUUUCUUCGUGCCAACAGUAACUGCUCGCUAUAAAUAUGUCCCCAUCCCCCUCGGUAAACACUUCUUCGCUCCAUCGCUCUCCUGCUACAGCAAAAGCCCCGAACCCUAGAGCCACCACUGGAAGUCUCGUCGCCGGCGAAGAAGAGCUUCACUACCUCGACUUUUCCAUUGCCGAAACCACGCCGGAGUCGGACCAUCCCCUUCUGCCGCCGCCGUAGACGUCUUGUGCUGCCGGAUUAGGGGGCAUUGGACACGCACCGAAAGAGCUUCUCCCUGUUACUCUUCUCUGUUCUUCGUGCACGCCAUCUAGGGUAAAUAAAAACCCUAUUUUUACAGCAAGUUUGAUCUACUAUUUUACCUCUGUGAUGUGAAAUCUGUUUUUCCUCAAGAAUCCAUCUGUUCCUUUUCCUCACACACUGCCUAGGACCACACUAUUGAUGAACUUCACUAAGCAUCCAAGAUUUUCACGAGAUUCCUUACUUGUGCUAAUGUUCGGAUCUGUACAACUCUGGAACCCAAGAAUAGUAUGCUUAGGCAAAUUCCUCAACCACUGGUCAAAUUCCUCAACUGUCAAUUAUUUUCAAUUUCUUCAAAUCUGAGAACGCAUAUGACCUCUCAAAAUUCCUCGCAACUAUACUCUGUUCAGAGGUAUACACAUGUCAGCUGAUGAUUCUGUAGGUUCUCAUCAAAUUAACUCAUUUGCAGCAUUUCUUGAAAAAAUCUUCAAGUCUCAUCAGAGUCCUCAAGAGUUCAAUCUCAACAGCAAUAUCCUCAGCUGAAGAAAAUGGAGGAUGACUGGAAGCAAAAGGGAGGCAAGAAACUUAAACAGAAUACAGCCUUAGACAUCCCUGAGGAUAUUUACCUGGAUUACUACACCCCUGAUGAAAAUGAAACUAAGCCCAAGAGAAAGGUUCGACUUCAGAACAUUGAACGCCGAUGGGCAAAGGAGUGGAAGGAGUACAUAUUCGUCACUCCCAAAUAUUCGAAGAAAUUCGCUCUGAAGCCUCCUGGGAAACGGGCUCCACUUGAGGAUUAUCAAGAAGCACAUCCCUCAAGCCUCAAGACGCCAUUUGGCAAAGCUCAAGAAGCAGGCAGAGGCUGCUGUCAGGAAAUUCAACGAAUCAUCUGCUGCUGCUUCAACUGCACUACUUCCUCUGCUGCUGAGACUUCUGGCUCGGCAAUUCCUCAACAAAAGUCUGUGCCAUCAAAACCAAAGGCUUCAAAGACUCAAGAAAAACCAGCUCCAGCAUCAGCUCCAAAACCAUCAACGCCAAAACCCUCAGCUCCAAAAUCCUCAACACCACCUUUGGCUUCAAAAACUAAACAGAAGCCGAUAGUGAAGCCAGUGCCAGCUACCUCCAGCUCCUCACUCCCAGCUCCAACCAGCUCGGAGACAAAGUCUUCACCAACUCCUCUGAAGACUAAGCUGACUGCUGGGAGAGGAACAAGACCCAGCCCAAGCAAAAUCAUCACGGUCCCUUCUGCAUCACACUGUAGUGAUGAAUAUGAUGAUGAAACUUUGCAAGCAAUCAUCAGAAACAAGCAAGAGAGGGUAGCUCAAGCUUCUGGCAGCUCCAUUCCUAUAGCCAUGGACCCAAAAGUCCUCCUUGACUACAUCAAUAUUUGGUAUGAGGACCCCAACACUCCGUUUGAUGAUUUGAAACUUCCCCCUGGCAUCAGCCACAUGUUGGCCACAUUCAUCAACGAGGCCAAGUGGAAGGAGCAGCAAGCUAAAUAGGCCAAGGUGGCUAAGCUGAAGAACAAGAAAUUCCGGAAGCAGAAUCUCCUCAAUCUGACGCCUGGUGAUCUUGUGUCAACACAUGCAGAGUUGAAGACUUUGACAGAUAAGUACUCCAAGCUUUCUGACCGUCAAAGUCUCAAAAGCAAUUUCAUCAAACUUGCUGCUGAAGCUAUUAAAGACUACAACAAGAAAGCUGCCCCUCCAGUACCAACUCCUCAGCCUCUGAUUGAAGAACGAGCUGAUGAAACUCCUCAAGCUGAGGAAAUCCCUCAAGAAAGCCGUGUGGAUGAACAGGCAAUUGAGGAAAUCACGACUGAAAAUCCAACUGAUGAAUCUCCUACAGCUAGUGAGACAGACCCUGCUCCAGCUACUGCUUCCAAGCCAGCUGAUGAAUCUGUUCCAGCUGCUGCUUCAAAGCCAGCUGAUGACUCUGCCCCAGCUGGUUCCUCAAAGCCAGCUGAUGAAUCUGCUGAGAAAACACCUUCACCAAAAGCUUCAAUGGUGAAGAAUAUGACUCCGUCUGCAUCAGACGUGAAGAAGACAAGGGUUACUGAAAAGGAAGCCAAGAAGAGAAAGGCUUCUUCAGCAAAAGAACACACUUAGGCCAAGCGCCUGAAAGCACUUGAAGAAAAUGCUCCACUGGACCCUGUGCCUCUUAACAUCGCUCCAUCUUAUGAAAUGGUCACCUUUGAAGACCAGGAGAAAGGGCCAUAUGAGGAAAUGAAGGAUGCUGCAUCUGAGGAACAUACUAACGAAGAAAUUCGCAUUGACGACAAUCCUCAGCCCUCCAUUCCUCAUGUAGAAACUACGCAAGGAUCAGCUGCACCAGCUGAUGAAUCUGGCUCUAUCACCAGGCAAGUUGAGGAAGAACAAAGUGAAAAUCCUCAAGUUGAUGAAAUUCAGAGCCCUGAGAAAAAUCCUCAACCUCAGGAUCAGGCUGACCCAACUCCUCCUCCUGAGCAAGAUCCUCAAACUGAUGCUCAGGGUGAACCCAUUCCUCCUCUGGAGCAAAACCCUCAACAGGAUGCUCCAGUUGACGACAUUCCUCAGCCUAAGGCUCAGCCAGAUCACAUUCCUCAGCCUGAAGAUCAGCUAGAUCCUAUUCCUCAACCUGAAGCACAACAAGAGCAUGCUCCUUAGCCUGAAGCUCAAGCUGAUGAAAUUCCUCACCCUGAGGACCAUGCUGAGGAAAAUGCACCAGACCAAGACAAUGCUCAACCCAGAGUCUGCAAUUGUUGUAUCCCCUCAAGUCCAACAGCAAAAUCUUCAGCCAAUGCAGCGUCAACCAUUCUCCAAGCGUCCAAAGUUUCAAAAGGAGUCCUUCUUCGAAGAACGCAUGUUCUUCAUCAGAGAAAAUCCCUAUGACAAACCUCAAAUCAGGCAUUUGAUGUUUUGGACGAGGACACAACUCAAUUACUUUGCCUCUGUGUUGUGUGGAAGAAACAAUAUUUUCCAGCACAGGCAUAUUCCUCAUGUUGAGCUUGAAGCAAUACCAUGCCUAGCUCCAGUCCUCAACGUCCUUCAUGAAGCUGGAUUUCUCCCAAUGUGCUCAGAUAUCUGUGAUUGGAACAGUGAGCUCAUUCUUCAAUUUUAUGCCACUCUUCACAUAUCUAGGGAUCCAACAGAUAUCAACACUUGGGUGUUUGACUGGAUGACGCAAACAACACACCACAAGGCUCCUGCCAUUGAGCUGCUGCGUGAACUGCGAGUAUCAAUUCCUUCAGAACAAGCCGUGACGCUUUAUGACGAACAUGAGCUGCCCAACGGGAUGAUGGAAGUCCUCAUGAAGCCCUUGGCUAAAGGGAAACCACCGAGAAAAACCUUCCUCAUCCACGAGCUCAAAUAUGAACCAGGGACUGUUUGAAGAAGAUGUUGUAGGCCUCAUGAAGGGCCACGAUGAUGAACAAGAUGUUGUAGGCCUCAUGAAGAAUAUCCUCUUCAACAUCAUUCAUGGUAUUCCUAUCAACAUCCAUGAUUUCUUCUUGAGGACUUUGGCCGACAAUGCAAUGUGUCCUUUUAACCACAAGAUAUAUGCUCCAUGGAUCAUGAGAUUCAUGAGGAAAAGGACAGGCAUCAACUUUCACGCUGAUUGCAACAACCAUGUUGGUUACAUGCCUCCUAUCAGGGUCAACAAGAAGACUUUCGAGCUUGUUGAAGGAAAAGGCAAGUCUAUCAUUGAUGAAGGCAGUAGGCCCCUUGAUGGCCAGUUCAGAGAGCCUGAGCCAUAUUCUUCAUGGGAUGAUACCGAGACUCAUCCUCCAAGCCCUGUUGCUCCUCGCGAGCUCAAUACAAGAGAGCUUCUCCUCAGUCUUCACCAGAUGGUGGAUCGGAAUCACAAGUGGGUCAAACGCCAGUUCGGUGGCAUUGUGAAAACCCUCAAUGAAACACAAAAUGAUGUGAAGCUUAAUCAUCAUUAUCUUCAUGAGGUUUUUGAUCGCACAUGGGCUACACUUGCUCAUCUGAAGACUCGGCAGAACUUGAAGAAUUGGAGUUUGUGUGAGACUUUGAUUGGUCGUGGCCACCAAAGAAGAAGUUCAGGCCAAUUCCAGUUCCAGACCUUGAGGACAGUUCUUUUUCUUCAUUCCGCACUACUGAAUCUGAUGAAGAACAACAAGACACUGCCACCGGUCCAAGGAAGAAGACUACUCCCAAGAAUCCUCACGCGUCUUCAUCAACUGCCAAGGAGCGAAGUCUUCAUGGGCGUUAGUCCUCAGUUUGUCCCUUUUUGUCACUUGAUGACAAAGGGGAGAAACUUGAGAGUUAGUCUUCAAGCGGGAUAUUUUGGGGCUUAUGAACUAUAUUUAAGUUACAAACACUUGGCUCUUCUGAAGUGUUUAUGUAAUGAGUUGUAACUUAAGCCCGAUGGUACUCUGACGCUUUUGAACGUUUUUCUUCGCAUGCUUAUUCCUCAAAAUUUUAAUGCACGCAUGCUGGAAUUUGUCAGAUACCAUUUGUCAUCAUGCAUCUUCAAUUUCUUCAUACUAUAUGUCAUAUGUAUGCAUGAUUUACAAGACUCAGGUGGAGAUCUCCAUGAUAUAAAUCAUCAAUGUGCAAUUGCUGUGAAAAGAAAAAUCCUCAAGAUAUGCACAUCUUCAGGGGGAGUAUCUAUGAAUCUUGUUUUCAAAUUCUCAAAUGAGUAUUUACACUUCAUAUUUUUAUCCCUGUUGAAGACUUAACCUAAUUGUCAUCAACCACCAAAAAGGGGGAGAUUGUAAGUGCAUCUAGUGCCCCUUAGUGAUUUUGGUGGUUUGAAGACUUAUAGGUUAAGUAUCUAAUGUGUUCAUGAGUGUACACAGGAUCUAUAAGUCUGUGAGGAGUUUGAAAUAUUUGAUGAAUGUCGACCCCUAAAAAUGUAUAUCUUUGGUUGAAGAAAUUGGUCUGAAGCUGAAGAAUUUAAUCGCGAAGAAUCUACGAUGAAAUUGAUAUUCCUCAUGAAGAUAUUGAAAUUGAGGAAUUCGGUGUGUCAUGAAGAAAAUCAUUCUGAAGACUUUGAAGCAUGAAGAUUUACUCUUUCUAUUUUGUUUUCUUCACAAAUGAGUAAUAAGAACACCGUACUGUUAAAGGGGGUCGAGGUAACACAUUGGAAUGAAUUUCCUCAUGAUGCUCAACCCAAGCCUAAUCCUACCAAAAGCCUCAAGUGAGGAAUAUGAGUGACAUGAGGACUCUCACAGUUGAGGGUCCCGACUGUUUCGAUAGCCACGCCACAUCAUUGGUCUUAUCCACACCAACGGUCAUAUUAUUUAAGGGCAUUAGUGUCAAAUCAUGUCAAGAUGCUCCCAGGCUAUAAAUAGCCGCCCCCCACAACCAUUAGCUGGUUGGCUGCUCCGUUAGAAACUGACACUUGUCAUAAGAGGAACCCAAAUUCCUCAGAGUCUUCGAGAGUAAUUCAUCAGUGAGGAAAUACCCCAAACACCAAACCACAAACCGAGAACCAAGUGAUUGAGCAUCACUGAAGAAGUUGUUCCUGUGUGGGACUGGAGCCUUUUACCUUUGAGGACUGUGCAUCCUCCAGACGGUUAGGCGUCAUGGUCUAGAGCAAUCCAGCAGUCAAUUGUGGAUCGCCGGGUGACCAAGUUUGUGAGGGUUUGGAAGUCUGCCCUGAAGAUUUACCACGAGUGUUGGGCGAGGACUGUGUGUUCUUAGCCCAAGGAGAAUACGGUAGGGAUUGUGUGUCUUUUGGUUUCAAUACCAAGCCGCUCCAAACCAGAUGUACAACUGUCACAGCAGUUGGAACUGGGUCAUCAACUACUGUCUUCGCUCUGAAAUGGGUUCUAAUUCCUCAACUCUUUAUAUUCCUUAGAUUAUGUGUUGAUGAGUUUCGCUAUCACUGUUUGAAGAAUUUGCUGAAGACUUUCUCUGAAAUUCCUCAACUCCAAAUUCUUCAUGCAAGUUAAUCCUCAUCUGUUUUCUGCGUGCCUGCUUACUGUGCAAUCUGUUUUCACAUUCCUCAUACUGAGAAACUGUUGUAGUGAAACUUUGCACUCCUGAUCCUUUACUGUUUCCGCUGUGAGUUAGUCAUCAGUGAGGAAUUUCCUCAAAAGGAAUUUCCUCGGUGAUGAAAUUCUAAAAAUCUCCUAUUCACCACCCCCCUCUAGUCGAUAUAACGCACUUUCACCCUCCUGAUAGCAUGCCCCACAUCCUUGACACCUUUGACUGGUCAAGCUGCUGGUGCAAGCCUAGGUGGCCAUGGUGACCACCACCCUGGCAUGCAAAACUGGUGCUCUGCACCUUAACCUUGCCCCACAACUCGAAUCAGGUAGCUACUCCAUGUCUCUGCAUGUCUCAGCCCUUCCUUUUGACCGUUCCAAGCGCUACCACCUGCUAGCUAGCUUCCAAACUCCCUCUCGGGUGCGUGGCAUCCAUGCACCACGAAGCUCCAGAGAGAUCCCGAGGUCUCUCUCUAUUUCCCUCUCUUAUAUCCUCACCCCAGGCUCUCUCUGACUCUCCCCAACUCCCUUCUUUCUCCUGCAACCUCCUGCACCUCCCCACCUCUCCCUUCGAGCCCUGGGCUCUCCUCCUCCUCUAAUGGCCAAAGCCACCGGAGCCCCCUUCUUUAACUCGGGCUUCCCUGAGCUCUUCCCUUCAUGAGGUCUCCCUCCUCUCCGCAGAUGCCCCGUGCCCAUUCCUUCCUCUAAAUGGCUGAGGCGACACCCCACCGCAGUGGUUGCCGUCGGUCUCUGCCAUGGCAGAGAGCUCCCUCACCCCGAGGCUCCCCUUGUGGAGCUGGCUCCUCCUCAGGCGCGGGAGGCCUUGCCUCGAGCCCCUGCUGCCCGGUGCGCUGCCGGAGCCGGCCCUUGCAUCGGCCGGCUAUGCCUCCUGCGUGCUCCCAGAUCGGGCGGGAGGAAGAGGAAAGACCCGACAAGCGCCCCCCCCCCUGUAAGCCUCCCCGAGCCAGCCCCCCUAAAAUAAGUGUCCGCACCCUAGCCGGUGGGAACUUCCCCGCACAGAAGGCGUAAAGGGCGUUGGGCACCUCCUGCGUGGCCACGCCUCACUAGGCCGAGCCGAUGGGCCGGCCCAAUUCCUCCCCUCUCCCGGUGGGCACAAUAUAGCCCUAUGGAUAAGCCCUCUUUUCGUUAUUCCCUUUUACUAAAACAUCAAAAAUCCAUAGUUAAAUCAUUCUAAUUCCCAAAAUGUUGAUUUAAAUUUCUCGAAGUCCCAAAAAUCAAGACCUAUCCAUAUUUGUGCAAUGCAAAUUUUUCUAGAAGACUUUCUAUGGAAAUUAUUAUUCAAAUGCCCAUUUUAAUAUUUUAAACCCCACUUUGUAAGUUCCUAUAGCAUCCAAAUCAACUCCAAAUGGUGUGAUUCCAAAUUCCAGACCCUUCUAAUAUCAUGCCCUAUUUUUGAAGCGAUAGCCAACAUUUUUAUCUCGCAUAUUUCUGCUGCAAUAUAUAAGUAGCUUCCUUCUGUCAUUUAUAUAGUACUGGAAAAUCCCUAGAAUAUUCACCUCAACUCCAAAAACGUGUGAAACAACUUCCUAAAUGUUUCUAAAAUUGUUCUCUGUGAAAUGAGUGCCACCACUCAUUUUUAUCAUAAUAUUUCCUGUGGGCUUCAUAUAGGGUCCCGUAUUCCUCCUCUCAUCCAUUCCAAAAUCCAUGAUGGUACAACUCUCCUAUAGAAAGCUUUAGGUACUUUUCUUAUGACCAGACAGGUCCAAGAGAGACAUAACUUCCAUUUUUAUAGCCCUUUUGUUUCUGCUUGAUAUUUUGCUUACAGUGUUUAUUUCCGACGGUAGUGGACGGAGUAGACAGAGUACUCGGAGUUGGAUCGGAAUACCUCGAAGACCCCAGGGACUUAUGUGAGCAAAGGCAAGUAGCCUUUUGACCAUGCCUGAGCAUAUGUUAUAUUGCAUGCUAAGUAGAACAAAUAUUUCCGUUGCAUGUGAUCAUAAGUAUCGGUAAAUCAUUGGUAUGAUGUUUCCGAUGGCUCCUCCGCAGCACUUGCAUUUUGAGCAUGAUCCUACCACCUAUGAGGGUCAUGCUAAUACCAUGUAGACAAGUAGAGCUAAGUGUAGUAGAAGCAUGAGCAUGAUGAUGGUAUAAAUCAAAGGUUUAUGAAAAUCCCGUCGGGUGUCACUAAUGCCCGAAGGUCAUGAUGAGUUAGGUGGCCACUUUGGGUGAAGUGGUGCACCGGGUAUUUUGGUGUGAGUGGUUUCAAAAAUGGGAUUAGAUUUAUGAUGUGUCGACCAUCCCAACUUUACAUGUGCGACCACAUACCCCUUUAUGGGACGUGGCUUUGUUGAUUACUCUGGUCGGUGCUAGUAAAGAGCCAAAUUACUAGUGGCGGGAGUGAUGUGUGGUCACUCUCGUGAUGGGGUCAUGCCAGGUAGGGAGACUAUGCAGUUUUUACGUGUUCUGGUCACACCAUUCGUCCCCGCAUGGAUGAUACUGUCCAUAGUCGGUGCUCGUAAGAUGUACAUCAUGUGGGUUGGGUACCAAUCGAGUGGACCUCUUUGUCUAGUAUCGUCGGGGAAAAGGCAUUGAUUGGGUACUUACCUCGGGUAUGUUAAAUACCGCGAGUCAUGGAUGACACGGAAGUUUCCCUGAUCUCGUGGGUACAACGUACAACCCCUCGAGAGUGUAAAACUAUUGGAAUAGUUGUGUCCAUGAUCAAGGAUUGUUGGGUAAUCCUGCUUAAACUACGUCCAGUCAUUUCCGCAUAAACCAAGUGUGUGUGUGUUAAAUGGUGUUAAUAUGAAAGAGUUGAUAUGACCAAGUUUGGUAACUUGGUAUAUCGUGUGAACCCGGAGUGUUCAGACCUUGACAGAUAUGUUGAUAUUUGUAACCUGUUCUUCUAAAUAUCAUUUAGCCUAUGUUGCAUAUCCAUGAACAAGUUUAUUUACAUUUAAGCUGCUAUGCACCAAACUGUAUAUUACUUGUUAUUCUACCAAUUGCUUGGUUCAUAUCAUGGGCUGUUUGCGAUUACAUUCAAAGUACUCAUUGGCUUACCACUGGUUAUCUUAUUGACCAGACAUGGAAUGACCGGAGUUUGGAGAAGAGUACGUUUUCAGAGAUGGCCCUGCGAACUAGGACCAUUCCUAGUCAGAAUGCAUGUUGGUGUAGGCUGAUGGCAAGGGCACCCGCUUAGCCCUACGAUUUCCACUACUGGUUGUAUCAUUGUGACUUGGCCUUAUAGGCCCUACCUUGUGAACUUGACCUUAUCGGCCAUGUGUUGUAAUAAAUUCGGUACUUGGAUGUAAGACUCUUAAUAUUCAGCAUCUGUGUGUUUGGUGAGCAUUGAUCUCUAGGAUCAAUGAGCACGUUCAUUGGGCGAUCUCGACUCGUAAGUCGGGGUCCCCACAGUGUGCCUAUGGUAGCGGCCCAAGGCCUGUUGGUAUCAAGCGACACGUGGUGCGGCCUAGAGACGAUCUUCCUCUAGGAGUGUAGCAUCAUCUUGCCGUAGCCGCUCUUGCUAGUCCUCGUCAAGGCCAGCACUUGAGGUGACUAAUAUGUGAGUUCUCUGGGGAGCAUAGUUUCUUCCUCGUAGACGAGGGAGAAGGGUGUCUUGUCGAUAGUUCGAUUUGUGUCAUUCUAAUUGACCAAAGAACUGUUGGGAGCUCGUCAACCCAGUGCCUUCUAUUCUUGGGCAGCUUGCCGAAAGUUCUCGUCUUGAGGCCCCGCAACACUUAAGUGUUUGCCCUCUCUGCUUGGUCCUUGCUCCUUCGAUGAGCAGCUCACACAAAACAGAGCUUGGCAUUGACAUCUUAGCAAUAUUUCAAUAAGGUGUUGCUAGUGAAUUGUGUGUCGUUAUCGGUGAAGAUGUGUUGGCUACAUCGAAAUGGCAGACUAUUGAUGUGAGAAACUUGACUACUUCUAUUAUCGUUACCUUUCUCACUGGCUCCACCUCAGUCCACUUCGUGAACUUGCUAAUUGCGACGAACAAGAACUUGGAGCCCCCGGUAGCUUGGGCAAAGGGACUGCCUAUGUUGAACCCCCAAACUGAGAAUGGUGAGGAGAGCGACAUGGUUUGAAGGGCUUGUCCGGGUUGAUGUGUUUUCUUGGCGUAGUAUUGGCAUGCUUCACAUGUUGUCACCACCACUGAGGCAUGUUGGAGGGCGGUUAGCCAAUAGAAACAUUGUUGAAAUGCCUUUCUGAAAAGGACCUAGUAAUACUUGUGAUCUGCAUUGGGUUUUUUGUGAAGAGGAACGGGUUAUCGCAGUACAAUGCGGGUAAGUAUUUCCCUCAAUUAAGAAACCAAGGUUUAUCGAACCAAUAGUAAUAGCAAUCCUCAACCGCCUUCAGCGGGUGCACACAAAAGACCAAACAACUUGCACCCAACGUGGGCAAGAGGGUUGUCAAUCCCCUUGAUCUCAUUAUUUGCAAGCGAAUGAGGUGUGGAGAUAAUUGCCGAUAGUUUUGACUUGCAAAAUAAAAUAAAAGAGAAAUAAUAAAAGCGAGAAAACUAUAAGUUUUCUGAAUAUAUAAGUGAAAACACCCAGGGGCCAUAAUGUUCUAUAGUGGCAUCUCUCAUGAAAGCAACAUAUUGUUGGUAAAAAAAUUAAUAUGGGGCAGUUGAUAGAACAGCGGAUAGUUAUGCGAUUUUCAAGAUAAUGAUGUAACGACUAAGAUGCGGCAUGCUUGCCCACGAUCACGACCAAUCCUCAGUCUUCUGGUAGUUCACGUAUAGACGGUCGUUCUCCUCAUCUUACUGCCACGCCAGCUACGUGCCAUCGGGAUCACCUGUGUCGGGCGUACCUGUACCUGUUGGUGUGUUGAAGUAAUCUAUGAGCCACGGGGACUCAGCAAUCUAUGACCUCGGUGCCAGAACGAGUCAAGUUAUUAGGUAAGGAAGGUUUAGUGUUUAGGUUGCAGCAUCCUAAGGAUUUAUGGUGGCUAACUUACAUAGAACAAGUAUUGAUGGUGGUCUAAACUAGUGGGCGAAGACUAACUGAUCAAGAAGUGAUCCUGAACACCUACUUACAUCAAUCAUAACCGCGCCGUGUUCCCGAUCGAAGAGAGGUCUUCGAAGGGGAAAGUCACGGUUACGCACACAGUUGACAAUUUUAUUAGGUUAGGUUCAAAUUAUCUAUAACCGGAUGUUAACAAAUAUUCCAAGUUGCCACAUAACCGCGGGCACGGCUUUCCGAAAGAUUAAACCCUGCACGGGUGCUCCAACUAGUCCAUCACAAACGGUCACGGGCCGCAAAGUAAUCCUCUGUCAUGAAUCUUGUGAUCUCGUCGGAUUCCUUAGAGGAAAACCUCAACUCUAGGGAGAACCAAAGCUUCACCAGGAUUCCUAUACGCAAGAUAUAUUGCUAAGGUAAGACAAGACUAGCAGGACCUCCCGUCGUGUCGACGACCCCGAUAAGAGCCGCGUAUCUCAGUCUCAGGACACGACGGAUGAGCUAGACGUCGGGAUGGCUAAACCUUUGGGUGAUCAGAGGGGACCCGGAAAUCCCUCAGGUGGGACCAACACACAUGAGGAGCACUGGCCCGGGUUGUUGAUUAAUUCCUCGGGGUAGCUAUUCCCUAUGCAGAUUAUUAUUAAGUGAUUAGCAAAUUAAAACCAAUGUUGGGUCCUGUCGGAUAAGUCUUAACACUACACGAUUUAUCAAGGGGGUCCCCAUAACAACCCCAAACGUGUUAGGAGCGAUCGGUUAUGGAAUCAAACACCGGUAGCCGGAAACUAUGGCAGCAAUAACGGAACAAAACACCCGGCAAAAGGCUAGGCCUUCCGUUAUUUACCAAGUAUAUAGGUGUAUUAAAUAAAUAACAGAUUAAACAUAAUGAUAUCAAAACUCAUGUUGUCACAUGAGACAAAGCACCUGCAACUAGCAACGCUAACAUUAGUAGUUGAGCAAGCCUACUUAGCCAUUCAAGAUUUGAUAGGAGGGGAAAAGUGUUUGGGUUUCAUGGAAAUAUCAGGAGGCAUUCAUGGAAAUGACAUGAACAGAUGCGUCACACGAAAACGAUGCAAAAACAUAGAAAGAACGUUACGAACGGAGCUACGGAUCAACCGAAAACAACGAAACAAGAAAUGGAGUCCUACAUAUCAAAUCCAUCACAACACACUCCAAUGGCAUACUUCUAGUAUUCCCAGGUUGCCAAAUCACAAAACAAACAACUAUGGAUGGGGUGGUGCAACGAAUAUCACCACACCAUCAACUAUGCACUCACAAGCAUCAAAACAUAAAAACUACACAAUCUGUCCUAAACAAACAAGUAUGGACGUGGUCGACGCGUCUGCCGGAGAGGAAGUAGAGGAAGAAGGGGAAGAACCCGCGUCGGGGAAGAACGUCGGGGAGGAAGCCGCCAUCGUGGAAGUAGUGGUAGCAGUGCGGAUCUUGUCCUCCUAGCUUCGGGAAUGGGUUCCCUGGAGAUCCCGCAUGCUUGCCGAGGGGUUGGAGAGGACGCAGGUGUACAGGCGCGAUGGCGAGGACCUCCUCAGCUUGCGGCCAUGGCGGAGGAGCUCGCCCCUUACCUUAUGCCGUCGACGGAGAGGGAGGAGGAGAUGGCAAAGAGGUGGCGGCGGAAGGGGAGCAACCCUAGGCUUGCACGGACGCCAAGGGGGGUUAUAUGGAGGAGGAGGAGGCGAGGGACGCGCGCCUUGACGUCCGUGAGAUGGCGUCUGCUUGCUGGCGUGCUGUCUGUGUCUCACUGACGAACUGACGGAGGAGGAGGAAGAGGGACGCCGUCUACAGGAGAAAGGCCACGCGCGAGAGGAGCUGGGCUAGUUUGUGGGAGGAAGCCCACUAGUUGGCGCCAGAUAAGAGAGAAAUAAAACCCUCUGGUAUUUCUAAUUUAAAACAAACAGAGAAAAGAAACAAAGCAAAGGCAAAUCUGUUGGAGUUAAAAAUAAAACAAAAUACCCCUGCUCAUAAGGGAAUUAUGACCCAUUUAAAUAAAAUGCAAAAGGAUUACUUGGAGCAAAUAAAUAUUUACAAAACAGAAUUUAUUUGAUCUGUUUUGUGAAUAUUUGCACCUUUAAAAUAUGUUUCAAAACAGCAAAUUUAUAACCUCACAUCCACCACAAUACAUACUUAAACAUGGGAAUUUUUGAAUCAAAGGUGGAGCAAGAGAAUCUUGAGCUUGAGUAAAUAGAGAGGGGGGGGGGNNNNNGUUUUUGAAUCCUAUUUGAAACUAACAUAGAAGCUUUCUACUUCAAGCAACACCCACAUGAUAACAUCACAUAUCAACAUCAUAUCAACACACCUCAUCACACCACAUACAUGGAUCACAAGAACAACAAUUACAAAGAGGCAUGGAUGAAUGGAAUGGAUGCAUGGAUGCAAAGGAAAACAAGACAAGGUGACACAUAAAAUAACACAUGCAUUGAGCUCUCACUUCAAAGACAAGAUGGACCCACAUACAGAAGGUUCCAAAUAUGGCAAGUUACGUCUUUGGGCACUACAACAUUAAUGAGGAGAGAAGAGAGUUAGGAGGAAGAGAGACGAAGAGUUACAAUGGUGUAGAGAGUGGAGAGGGGAAAGGAGGCGCAGAGUGGUCAAAGUAGGGGAGAGGAGAGGGAGGGGGUAAAAAGGUGGCACCAGCCGCAACUAGCAGUAGCGCUGCAUACCAGAAAGCACUUCUGCUAUGCUAUUAGUAGUAGUGCUUGUCACAUGCGAGCGCUACUACUAAGUGGGGCCCACUAGCAGCAGCGGUGCUGCAAAACAAAGCGCUACCACUAAAAACUUAGCAGUAGUGCUGGAUUUUGGGCAACGCUGGUACUACAUCUACCGUCGGUGGCAUCGUCUGGUCCCAUAUAGUAGUAGCGCGUUUUUGAUAAGCAACGCUACUACUAAGUUGUUAGUAGUAGCGCUUAACUGGAUCAACACUACUACAAAUUAGCAGCAGCGUUUUCUUUUUUCCAGCGCUACUAGUGAGGUCCUGCCUAUAAGCAUUUCCCUAGUAGUGUAAGCGUACUAACUCCUCGCGAGUGCACUGGUUUCCCUCCAAGCUUAACGAGUGAUGUAGCACAGCAACGGUAAGUAUUACGAUUAGUUAAUAAACCAAGGUAUCAAUCCACUAGGAAGAUCCAUAAGACUAUGUAAGAAGCACAUGCACACAAAUAGCAAAUCCUCGCAAACCAAUGCAUACAGGGGUUGUCAAUCCCUCGUGGGUAAAGUAAUGAUAGAUUGAUAGAUGCGAAUAAGAGUGAUAGAAAAUAGAACUCAACAAGGUAUUUUUGGGUUUUUUGAUAAUAUAGAUCUGAAAACAAAAGAACAAAUAAAAUAGAGAAACAAAUAGCAUGAUAGAGAUUACAAAUAGAUGAUGUGAAGUAGACCCGGGGGCCAUAGGUUUCCCUAGUGGCUUCUCUCGAGAAAAUAGCAGGCGGUGGCUAGACAAAUUAUUGUUGGGAAAUUCAUAGAAAAACAAAUAAUUAUGACGGUAUUCAAGACAAUUAUCAUGUAUAUAGGCACCACGUCCAAAUUAAGUAGACUAACUUCUGCCUGCAUCUACUUCUAUUACUCCACACACCGACCGUUAUCUAGCAUGCAUCUAGUGUAUUGAGUUCAUGGAGAAACAGUGUAAUACCUUAAGAACUAUGACAUGAUGUAGACAAGAUCUAUUCAUGUAGGAAUAGACCCCAUCAUUUUAUCCUUAAUGGAGACGAUACAUGCAUGUCAUGUCUCUUUCUGUCACUGAUAUUGAGCACCGCAAGAUUGAACCCAUCACAAAGCACCUCUUCACAUUGCAAGAUAAAAGAUCAAGUUGGCGAGACAAAAACCAAUUAUUGGAGAAUAAAUACGAGGCUAUAAUAAUCAAGCAUGCAUAUGUUUUCAUAGAUCUGAUCAUAAACUCACAAUUCAUGGAAUCCCAACAAACACACCGCAAAAGAAAGAGUUACAUCAUAUGGAUGUCCAAGAGACCAUUGUAUUGAGAAAUAAAAGGAGAGGGAAAGCCAUCUAGCUACUACCUACGGACCUGUAGGUAUGAUAUGAACUACUCACGCAUCAUGGGAGGAACACCAAUAAAGAUGGUGAACCCUUCCAUGAUCAUGUUCUUCUCUUGAAAAGGCUCUAGAUUGGUUUUCGUGGCUACGGAACUUAUGGUGGCAGGAAUUGUUUUUCGUCGACUCAUCUAGGUUUUAUGGAAUAUUGGGGUUAUUUAUAGAGCUUAGAGGCAGUGCAGAAGCUUCUAGAGGGACCCACUAGACAGGAGGACGCACUAGGGGCCUCUUGCGUGUCGUGGUAUCUAGUGGUCCUCUGGGCCUUGGCUGCUGCUCAAUCUUGGCCCCCAGGUUUUCUUAUGGUCGAAAAAAUCUCCGUAAAGUUUCGUGGAAAUUGGACAUCAUCUGAUAUUGAUUUUCUGUGAAUGGAAAAAAAAAUAGCAACUCGCACUAGGCAAUAUGUCAAUAGGUUAGUCCCAAAAAAUGAUAUAAAUUGCUAUACAAUGAUUAUAAAACAUCCAAGAAUGAUACCAUAACAACAUAGAACAAUCAAAAUUUAUAGAUACGUUGGAGACGUAUCACGUACCAACGGGCUACGGAAAUGCCCAUUGGUAGAUGCCAAUGCAAGGAGUAGGGAUUGCCAUGCAAAUGAUGCAUCAGAGCUACAAGUGUAUGAAAGCUCAAAUGAAGCUAAGUAGGGUGUGCAUCCAAUUUGCUUGCUCAUGAAGACCUCGGGCAUUUGAUGAAGCCCGUCAUCAGAAUAUGCAAAUCAAUUUUAUAAUAAUGAUAAUAUGAUUACCACUAACAUACAAAAAUGACAUAUCUCGAGACUUUCUACAUGAGUAACAUGGUGUCCCUUCUCUCUUUUCUCUCAUUCAUUUUUUAAUUUUAUUAUGGUGCGCUCAUUUGGCCUCUCCAUUUUAAUUUUUUGUCUGGAGUCUCUUCCCGACUUGUGGGGGAAUCAUAGUCUCCAUCAUCAUUUCCUCAUUGAGACAAUGCUGUAAUAAUGUUGGUCAUCACACUUUUAUUUACUUACAACUCACGAAAGCUCGAUAUGGCUUAAUAGGAAUGCCUCUGGUAGUGUACCAGGAUGUGCACUGAUCUGGCAUGACAUGUAUCAGCAAUAUAACGAAUGGUGGCUUUGCCACAAAUGUUAUGUUCGCUCUAUAUGAUCAUGUAAAGCAAUAUGAUGAUGAAUGAACUAGUCAUAUGAUGUAAUGGUGGAAUUUGCAUGGCAAUAUAUCUUGGAAUGGCUAUGGAAAUGCCAUGAUAGGUAUGUAUGGUGGAUGUAUUGAGGAAGAUAAAGUGAGGUUUAUGUGUGACGGAGCAUAUCAUGCCAUGGGGUUUGGAUGCACCGGCGAAGUUCGCACCGAUCCUCGAGAUGAGAACGGGUAAUGCACGAUACCGAAGAGGCUAGCAAACUAUGAGGAGGUGAGAUUGUGUGUGUCCAUGGUUUCACAUUACUCAUGAAGAACUCAUAUACUUACUAUAAAGUUUUAUUAGUUUCACCACAAAUCAAACACUAGGUGCGUGCCCCAAGGGAGAGGGUUUGGAGGAGUUAACCAUCGCGUGACUCCGACUCUAAACAACACUAGGAUUUCAACGAAGAAUACAAAUGCUCACACAUGCCUGCCAUGCCGUCUUAAUAUUCAGAGAAACAAGGAAUUAACACUAAAAUUUACCAAUGGAGGUCGGGCUAUAGUGAGCUCAUUUUUUUGAAAUCAUAUUUAUAUAGCAUAAAAAAUUAUAUAUACACAAAUACAUGUUUAACACGUGUAGGAAAAGUUUCAGAAUGCUAUACUUUCAUAUGUGGCGUACACAAAAAAGACAAAUAUGUAGACGAAAAUGGGCCAAAUUGUUUUUUCUAUUGGGCCUACAUUUUGUCUUUUUUGCACGACAUGCAAACCAUAAUAUUUUGGAACGAAAAUUUGCAGAUCCGUCAUGAAUAUGUAUAAGUUUUCAUGGGAUUUUUUUGAUUGUUUCUGAAACUCGGAAAUAUCAUUUUCAUAGAUUUUGAAAAAGGGCUCCAUGGAGCCCCGCCUCCAAAAAUUAGCACCCGAAUUAACAACUCUUAAUACCACUACUUUUAAGAAUUAAUAAUGAUGCACUCAGACCUUUUUCAUAUUACCAUAUUAAUAUAAUUUACCCAAAAUUUCUCUUUAUGUGCUACAUGUGGUUUUUAUUAUCAUCCAUUGGAUACUUCAUAUUUUUGGAAAAGCUUUAUGACCCCUCCAAAUUACCGCUAUUGUUUAUUAACUAUCAAGUAAAUAUAAGUGAAGAACGAUAGUUCAAAUAUUUCUCUCAAAUCUACAUGCCACCGUGCUCAAAAAUAUAUAAGUGAAUUACUAGAGCAAUUGCUUAGUUCAAAACAUAUAAGUUAAGCACAAAGAGUAUUCUAACAAAUAAUCAUAGAUGUGUAUCUCUCUCAGGUUGGUGUGUAUAGAAAAAUAUCAUUGUGGCAAACUAAAAAUAAAAAGCAAAAUAAAUCAAAUGACGCAAGCAAAACUCAUACCAUGGGACAAAUCAAAAAGUAGCUUCAAGUGACAUACCGAUGGAUUGUGGCGAAAGAGGGGAUGCCUUCCGGGGCAUCCCCAAGCUUAGACGCUUGAUUCUUCCUAGAAUAUUACCUUGGGUUUCCUUGGGAAUACCAAGCUUAGGAUCUUUAUACUCCUUAUUCCAUUGUCCAUCGCGAUAACACCCAAAACAUGAAAACUUCAAUCACACCAAACUCAACAAAAUUUUGUGAGAUCCGUUAGUAUAAUAAACAUAACAAAUACUUAGGUACUGUUGUAAAUUGAUUCAUAUUUCAUUAUUUCUUAAUAGGUAUUGUAUUAUAACUUGUCCGUGGCUUAUACCCCCUGCUGCAAUCCAUAGCAUCAUCAAAACAAGCAAACUAUGCAAGCAAAAAAACAGAAUUUGUCUAAAACAAAACAGUGGGUAGUAAUAUGUAAUGAACCUAUACUUCUAUAACUCGAAAAAUUCUGAAACAUUAGGAUGGCAUGAGGAAUUUGUAGAGAAAUACUAUGUAAAACAUUGAGAUUAAAAACACGUUCCAGUAAAAUUAUAGUAAUUCUGCACUGGAUGUCAAAGUUUUUGAUUUAGCACCGUAUCAAUUAUACUUAUCAUACAAGUCAUCCCAAAGGCUUUACUUGGCACAAACACUAAUUUAAACAUAAAAACACAAUCAUUAUAGAGCAAUAAUCAUGUCAUCACACCAAAGCAGGAAGUAAAAAAGCAAAAAUUAAGAUAACUAUUGGGUUGCCUCCCAACAAAAGCUAUUGUUUUAUGCACCUAGCUAGGCAUAAUGCAUAUGAUCAAGUGUUGUCAUCCUUGACACUCAAUCCAUAAGUAUCCCUCAUGAUAGAUUCAUAAGGUGGUUUUAUUCACUUUCUAGGGAAUUGUUCCAUCCCUUUCUUUAAUGGAAAUUGGAACCUUAUGUUGCCCUCUUUCAUAUAAAUAAUUGCACCUAUAGUUCGCAGGAAAGGUCUUCCAAGUAUUAUUGAACAAGUAGGAUUGCAAUCAAUAUCAAGCACAAUGAAAUAUACAUGCACAUAAUUUUUAUUUGCAAUAAUGAGAACAUCAUUAGUUCUACCUAAGGGUUUUUUAAUGGUGGAAUCCUCAAGAUGCAAGUUUAGGGAAAACUCUUGGAUAUUAGUGAGACCAAGCACAUCACAUAGAGAUUUAGGUGUUAUUGAAACACUAGCACCAAGGUCAAAAAAGCAUUAAUAUCUAUUUAUCUUUAUUUUGAUAGUAGAUUCCCACUCAUCAUGCAAUUUUCUUGGAAUAGAAACUUCAAGUUCAUGUUUAUCAUCACUUCCACUAUAUGAUUAGUGAAAGCCUUGUUUUCUUCAUUAGCAUUGGGUGAGAUAACAAUGUAUUGCAACAAGGAAAUGAAUUAUAGUAAAGAAAAACUUUCAUAAGUAAAAUCCUUGUAAUCCAAGAUAGUGGGUACAUCACUAGUUAAUGUUUUGACCUCUCCAAACCCACUUUUAUUAGUAUUAGUAGUAGAAUCAUCACCCUCCAAGCAAACGUGAUUCUCACUAGCUAAAGUUGACUCAUGUUCAAUACUUUAUCAUUAAAAUUCACAGACGUAAACAAAUAUUCAAUAGGAGAAGUGCCAAUCAUUUUAAGAUCUUCAUCACGAUUUUGGUAAAAAACGAGUGGGAGGGCUUUUUCUAGGAAUUCCUGCUUAGCCUUCAACUUAGCGGUCCUCUCCCUACAUUCAUUCAUAGAUAUUUAGAUAGAUUUAAUAGUCUGAUUAAAAUGAUGCUUGGGUGGCAAAGCUUUACUUUUAAGAGUUCCUACAUCAAGAUCAAUUAUAUCCAUGUUCUUAGCCAAAGUACCAAGUGUAUGUAUCUUUUUCGUGUACCAUAGUAUUGAACACUUUUUGAGAAUUAAUAAAUUUUUAAUAGUGUUUUCAAUAUCAUAGGAGAAGUUAUUAUUAUUGGUAGAAGAAUUUCCAUAAUACUUGCCAUAAUAAUUGCCAUAACCACUAGGUAUAUGUCCUAGCAUUGAAAUUACCCCUAUAGGCAUUGUUAUUGAAAUUAUUUCGCGAGAUAAAAUUCACAUAAAUGGUAUUGUCGUUUUCCUCAAUCAAAGUGGACAAGGGCAUGUAAUUUGGAUCAACAUGACCAUUUUUUUAGUAACCAAAUUCAUAAGAGCAUGCAGUUUUUUAUUCAAGGUAGUGAUCUCCUCAAUAGAAUUUACCUUCUUACUAGUUGGAGAUCUUUCGGUAUACCAUUGAGAAUAGUGGUCAUGAUGUUGUCCAAAAUACUUGGAAAUAAGAGCAUCUUUACACUUAUCCCAAGUUCCAAUACUAUUACAUGGUAAAGAUGAAAACCAAGCCUUAGCUUUAUCUCUUCGCGAAAAAGGAAACAAUUUUAAUUUCACAACAUCAUUAUCCAUAUCCUUUUUAUUUUUCAUAUCACAAAGUUCAACAAAAGGUAUUAAGAUGAGCAGUGGGAUCCUUAUUAGGACUUCCCGAAAAUUAUUGUUUUAUGACAAGAUUCAGCAAUGCAACAUUAAUAUCAAAGGCAUCCGCACUAGUGGCGGGUGGUAUUGGAGUACUAAUAAAAUCAUUAUCAUAAGUAUUUGAGAAGUCACACAACUUAGUAGUAUCUUGAGACAUGAUGACCAAGCAAGCAAAGUAACACGAAGGACAAGUAAACUAGAGAGCGAAGAUGCAAACUAGUGACAAGCUAAGCAAGCAAAGGUAAAUAUUGUUUAUUUUUAAUUUUUUAAGCAAGCAAGAUAUAAAAACAAAUAAAAAUAAGAACAAGUGAAUGAUAAUUUGUGUGAAGUUACUUGGUAGUUGGUGAUGUUAUUCCCCGACAACGGUGCCAGAAAUCCUUCCUAAUACUUGUGAUUUGUGUUGGGUUUUUUGAAGAGGGACGGGUUCUCACAGAACAAUGCGGAUAAGUAUUUCCCUUGAUUAAGAAACCAAGGUUUAUCCAACCAAUAGGAAUAUCAAUCCCCAAGAAUCUUCAGCGGAUUCACACAAAAGAGCAAACAACUUGCACCCAACGCGGGAAAGAGGGUUGUCAAUCCCCUUGAUCUCGUUAUUUGCAAGGGAAUGAGGUGCUUAGAUAAUUUUAGAUAAGUUGUGACUUGCAAAACAAAAGAAAAACAACUAAUAAUAGUGAGUAAAUUAUAUGGUUUCAGAAUAUAUAAGUGAAUAGAAUUGGGGCCAUAGUGGUCUCUAGUGGCAUCUCUCAUGAAAGCAACAGAUGGUUGGUAAACAAAUUAUUAUUGGGAAAUUGAUGGAACAUCAGAUAGUUAUGCAAUUUUCACGGCAAUGAUCAUGUGUUAAUAGGCAUCACGUCCAUAAGCAAAUAGGUUGACUCUUGCAUACACCUACUACUAUUACUCCACCCAUCGAUCGCUAUCCAGCAUGCAUUUAGAUUAUUAAGUGAACAGAGUAAUGCUUGGGGAACGAUGACAUUAUGUAGACAAAGUAAACUCAACCAAUAUGAAUAAACCCCAUCGUUUUAUCCUUAGUGGAAUCAACACAAAUACACAUCUUGUCCCCUUCUAUCAUUGGGAUAUAGAAAUUCUCCAUGGUGAACCCACUACAAUGCACAUCUACAAGGUCAAACGACUUAGCCAAAGCAAUUCAAUAGAUUGAAUAGAUUUAUGAAGCUAUGAUGAUCAUGCAAAUAAGAAUCAUAGAACUUAGAGAAGAUUCAAAUACUUUUCAUUAAUAAUCAGAAUAUAAAUCCACAAUUCUUUGGAUCCAAACAUACCAUAUAAAAGAAUUACAUCAGAUAUAUCAAAGCAAAGAUGCGAUGACCAUUGUAUUGAAAAUCAAGAGAGAGAGAGAGUUAGCCAUCUAGAUACUAACUACACACCCUUAGAUCCGUGUUGAACUACUCACACAUCAUCACAAGGGCACCAAGGUUGAUGAAGAGGCCAUCCAUGAUCGACCCCCGUCUAGCUGAUAGCAGGAACAAUACUCUAGAUGGGGUUGUCGUGGAACGGAGACUUCCAACAACAUAAAAAGUGUUUCGUGGAUAUAUUUAGAGUUUCUAGAUAAUUUGGGAAUUUAUAGGCUAGGGAACGAGGCAAGAGGGGCCACAGGGACGCGACAAGGCAUCAGGGCAUGGCCACCCCCCUGGCCGCUCCAUGUUGCCUUGUGGGUUCCCUAUGUGCUUUCAGCUCUCCUCCCAAAGCUUCGAGGUCUUCUUUUAUAUUAGAGAAAAUCAUAAAAAAGUUUCGUGGCAAUUGGACUUCGUUUGGUAUUGAAAACCUGAAAAAUAAAAAACAUGCACAAAAUAGCAACUGACAUAGGGCACUGGAUUAACAGGUUAGUGCUCAAAAAUAAUACAAAUCGGUGCAUUAUCACCCAAAAAGUAUCUUAAGAUGAUAAUAUAACAACAUGGAUCAAUAAAAAAUUAUAGAUAUGUUGGAGACGUAUCACCCAUGACCCAAUGUGGGAGCCACAUAUCCCUCCAUAUAUCUAUGCCAACAUUUUUCAUCCUUUGUUCCGUACAGAAUGUUGUCCACAAACUGGUAUAUACUCGAAUAUAGGGCUACUCUUUCGUCUUGUUCUUGAUAUUUGGGGAGGUCUCCGAUUUGGAGGAAUCGGAUGAUCUGCUGCGCCCAUGGUAGAGCCUAGGGCUCAACGACAAGGACCAAAUGCAUUUAUUGUGCCAUGGGAGCACAGUAUUCUACAGGAAGAUUUGUUGGGAUCGCCACAGCGUGUUGCUCAUCGACAGGUGCUCUAUUGUCCUCGGAAACCUUCUUGGCAGCCACUAGUGGCUCUGCUAGGAAAUAGUCACCGCAGAUGAUCUUUCGUUUCUUGGCUCGUUGAUCUGAUGAUGCAGCAGAUUGCUGACUAAGUCGGAGUACAAAAGUGUGUGGUUCUAGAGGCGACGUCUGAGCUGCUCGUUUUGACAGGUCAUCGGCAAUGUCAUUCUCUGCACAGGGGACGUGCUCCAUUUGUAUACCAUAAAAACUCUCCUACAACUUCCUCGCUUCUUCACCAUAUGCUUCCAUCACAGGACUUUCAUAAUCUUUGUUCACUUGGCGCACAACCAGCUGAGAAUCCCCCCGAACUAUCAAAUUCUUGAUACCAAGGUCAGCUGCUAGCCAUAGUCCGGCAAUCAAUCCCUUGUACUCAGCUAUGUUGUUGGUUGACGUCUCUCGCAGAAAGUGCAUCUGAAUCAUGUAAUUGAGGUUCUCUCCGGUAAGUGCGACAUGCAAUACAACGGCACCGGCGCCUUGCAGCGAAAAAACCCCAUUACACUACGUGAUUCAUUUUUCAGGCUCCUCUUUGCUGUGAAGGAUUGUUUCCGAGAUAUCUUCAUCUGGCGUGGGCAUCCAUUCAACAAUGAAUUCCGCCAGGGAUCUCCUCCGUAAGGUUGCUGUGAUCUGAAAACUUUGAUCAAAGCUGGCCAGCUCCAGGGACCACUUAACAAUCCUCUCUAUUGCCUCCGGGUUUCUAAGGAUGCGAUGUAGUGGGAAGCGGGUGACGACAUUUAUGUGGUGUGCUUGGUAGUAGCGGUGCAACUCGGGGCGACCAUGAUGAGGCUAAAGAGUAGUUUUUUGUAUCAUAGAGUACCUUGAUCUAGCCCCCUACAGGAGAGAGCUAACAAAGUACACUGUUUGCUGCACCUUUUCUUCUUUUGCACAACCUGUCGUCCACCCUCUUGCGUUGCAUCCUUGUCGUCAACUUCUUGGCUUGCCGGGGAUGACACUGGUUUGUCGUUUGCCAACUCAGGGGAUGUUGCCUCGUCUUCCUCAGCUACCCUCUCUGCCACUAGUGCAGUGCAAACCACUUGGUUUGUUGCCUCCAUUAGCAGCAAUGGUUCCUCGGGACUGGGUGCGACUAGGGUUGGCGGAGAAUACAAGUACCUUUUCAAGACAUGCAACGCGGCCUCUGCCUCCAAGAUCCAUUUCAUAGGACCUGCCUUUUUCAAGAUCUUGAAAAAUGGGAGGACGUGUUCUGCAGACUUGGAGAUGAACCUGGUGAGGACGGUGAUGCAGCCCGCUAAUCGGUGUACAUCCUUGACACGCUUCGAAGCUUCCAAAUGUUCAAUGGAUUUAAUCAAGGUGGGGUUUGCUUCUAUCCCGCACCAUGACACAAAGAAACCGAGGAGCUUGCCGGAUGGGACUUUGAAUAUGCAGUUCUUUGGGUUGAGCUUCAAGUUGAUCUUGCGCAAAUUGUCAAAGGUUUAUUCAAGGUCAUGAACCAACGUGGCUUCGGCCUUGGUCUUGACCACAAUGUCAUCCAUGUAGGCUUCUACAUUCCUGUGUAGCUAUGGACUGAGACCGAUCUUUACAUCCCUCGUGAAAGUUGAUCAUGCAAUCUUCAGUCCAAAUGGCAUGCGCUUGAAACAUACGUACCACAUGGUGUGAUGAAUGUUGUAUUCUCUUCAUCUUCGUUGUCCAUGAAAAUAUGGUGGUAACCUGAGUAGGCUUCAAGGAAGAAUAGACGAAUGCCGCCAGCGGUCGAGUGCACUAUCUGGUUGAUGCAUGGCAAAGGGAAGGGAUCCUUUAGGCAAGACUUGUUGACAUCGGUGAAGUCAGUGCAAAGCAUCCACUUACCAUUCACCUUGUACACUACCACAGCUUUCGCCAACCAUGUUGGGAGAAGGACGCCUCUGACCAGGCCUACUGCUUCCAGCAUCUUGAUCUAUUCGGCAAUGAACUCCUAUUGGUCGAGUGCUUUCUUUCGGACCUUCUGCUUGAAUGGAUACGCGUGGGGACAAAUGGCAAGGUGGUGAUCGAUAACCUCCCUAGGAACAUCGGGGAUAUCAUAUGGUUCCGACGCAAACAUAUUGAUGUUCACCUGCCGGAAGCAGACAAGCGUGCUUACAUAUUUGUUGUCGUGGGUGGCACUUAUGGUGAAAGUGCCACCCUCAGUGACUUCCCGCGUGUCCACUAGCCUAAUCUUGGGGAUGGUCACUUUGUUCUUAUUUCUCCUUGGGGUGGUAGUCUCAAGAGAAUCCUUGAUGUGCAUACAUCACCGUGGGGUGCGCUCCACAAAGUCCUUGUGAGAGACCUUGCCUGAUUUCUUGCUCUUCCUCUUCCCCCUGGGAGUUUCGCCAACAGUGGUGAGUGCCUUAUUAGUAGACGCUACAACUGACUCCUGGUAUAGUUCUUGACACAGUGUAACACCAUGUGUUUAGCUUUCCUGAAUAAUUAACUUAUUUCCAAAAUUAGGACCAAUUAAUUUUUUGUGAAUGCUUGUGAUGCUUGAAGUGACUAUUGCUUGCUUGCUUGUAUGCCUGUGUUUGAUUCUCAAUGACUCCUUCUACUCUUGAGAGUCACCACCUUGACCCAAACCCUUGCGUUAUUAUCAUGCCAUGUGUUUAUGACCAGAAACUAUUUUUACCAAAUAUUAUUUUCACCAAAAAUCAUUUCUUUGAAUUAAGCUUUCAAAACCUGUGAGAUGGGAUUUAUACUACAAGUCCUCAAAUUAGGGAAUUUAUUUUGCACCAAUUAUUUUAUUUAAAACCCAUUAUAAAAAUGGCUACCCGAAACCACAAUAUUGUUAUUCUAAAAGUUAUUUUACUAUUUUAUUUAAAUGCCUUCCUGUGAGGCUAGAAAUGGUCUCUUAUGACGGAAAGUUUUCUUUAUUGCUUUCAAAAUAUUUAAGANUUAAGAAAAUUUAGGGAAACUCAGUGGACAUAUAUAUUACAUAUAUAUGAGUAUCAACCCAUGGUCAUGUUCAAAAUAUUGGGCAACCCCCUCCAAAACCCUUCCUGCCUAUUUCAAGCUUUUCGAAUAUUUCUAUAAUAAAAUAUUCUCAAUAAAAUCCUGUAAAUUCUAGCAUAUCACAUAUGAUAUACGUGAUGAACUUGCCAAGUUUCAUCUCAAUUCAAGUUGAAUUGACUCCCCUAAUUAUUCUAAACCCCUAUCUGUCCAAAUCCAAAUUUGAGCAACUCUACAUUGUCAAGUGUCUCCAAUUGUACUCAAAUUUGGUAGACAUGUUCCGAUACUCCAAUAAUGCAGCCACACCAAGUGGUGCAUCCAGGAGAAUAGAAGAAAUUGUCCCAGUCCCCUCAAAACCCUGUGUGUGGAUUUCUAACUUUGGGAAACUUUACAUUAUAAAGUUUCUCCAAUUGACCCCAAACUUUUUGGGCAGGCUUUAAUGCUCAAAUAAUGCCCCACACCAAAUAUUGGAUUUGUGGGAAUUGACUUGAAUAGUUUUGUAAGCAGAAAGCCAUGUCUGCCCAUUUCAUGGGUUUUCCAAGUCUACAUAGGGAACCUUCUCCACCCAAUCCAAAAUUUGGUUUCCAAGCUGAUUUUCAUCUAUUAUUUGAUCAUGUCAAGUUUCAUAUCCAUUGAGGUUCAUCUCGUUGCCCUGACAAUCAUCAAACCCUUGAGCUCAACUUUCUACCACAACCUCCCCUAGUUACCUUUUUACUCCAGUAGCAUUUCCAUGGCUACUGAUCAAUUAUCGAGAGAGGCUCCAUGUAACUACUUCUCAUUUUUACCCUUGGAUCACCAUUUUUACGUCUCUUGUCCCACUUCUGCUUAAGCCAAAGCCCCCACCUCUUUCCAGAGGGUCCCUAGCAUCCCAAGGCAUCAUUAGAAACCAAGUUAUGGUAUGCUCAUCUGCAAGUUGAAUUGUGGCUGAAAUGUAGCUUUGUACAGCAAGUACUAGCUACCCUCCCUUUCUUGAGUUGAAACUUUGCAGUGGUGUAGACAUAGUUUCACCCCAAGUUUCCCCCUCUGAAAUCCACCUUUGCCAGCCCCAAGUUUCCAGCUGGAAUCUUAACCACAGCCAAAACAAAUUCCAACCAGCCCCAAGUGCAACCAUACUCCAGAGUCUCCUUCCUGCAUGUGUUCCCUACGUGUUGGACAUGUUUGACUGGUCACAGCAGCCCUGUGGACACGAGUGGCCAUGGUGACCUACCUGGCAGCAUGCAACAACGGUGCUCUGCAUCCUUUACUUUUGCUACAACUCGGGUCCAUCGAUGGUCGCGUGUCCCAGCGCGCCAGGGCACUCCCCUUGACCGGUCCAAGCCCUCCCCAACCCCAGCUCGCCUCCAAAGUUCCCAAAGACGCGUGUAUGCUCCGUGCCCUGAGAGCACCGAGAGCUCCCGGGCUCUGCUCUUAUCUCCUCACCCCAAGGUCUCUCGGGCUCUCCCUCACUCCCUCCUUUCUCCUGCAACCUCCUGGACCUCCCAUCCUUUUCCUUCGAGCCCUGAGCUCUCCUCUUCCUCUAAUGGCCAAAGCCACCAGUGGCCCCUUCUUCAACUCGGGCUCCCCCGAGCUCUUCCCUCCCUGAGGAUGCGUCGAGAGGCCUCCCUCCUCUCCGCAGCUCCCCCUCCUUCCUCUUCCCUUCUGGUGGCCGGAACACCGCUCCCCACGUCCACCAUCGCCGCCCUCACUGCAGCCAAUUCGGCUAAAGCCGUUCCGGCCCUCCGCCGCGCUCGCCAGGCACUGAGAUGGGCGCAACGCAGCCCUUGGCUCAUCAGGACCACCGGCCAUCGCCGGGGGCUGCCAGAGCCACCGGCGCAUGCAGCAGUUGUUGCCCUGCCCUGCCUCCCUGCCUGCUCUCAGAUCGAGUAGGUGGAGGAAGAUAGGUCCGAUGUCCGGGGCCCGCGUGUCGGUGAGACAGAGGCCCGGGGCCACUCGUUCAAGUUGAGGCGUCACACUCAAGCCCGCCUCCCCGAGGCUAAGGUGCAUUGGGUGGAUUCCACCUUAUGCGUGGCCACCAACCGCCCAGGCCGAAGCUGCUAAGCCGGCACACUUCCCUCUCCGGCGCCUGAGCGCCGGAUAGCCAUGUGGCUGAGCUUUUAUCAAAUUUUUUUGCAGAAAACUUCAAAAAUUCAUUAUAAAAUCAUUUGAGCUCCAAAUUUAAUGAUUCAAAUUUCUGCAGGUCCAUAAAAUCAAGAUCUAUCAAGAAGUGUGCUUUGCACAUUUUUACAAACCACUUGUAUACUAUAUUUCUAUUUAAAUAAAGAAUUGAGUGCUUCUAGCCCCCUUUCAAAAAUCCUAGAGGAUUCAAAUCCACUCCAAAUGGAGUGAUUCCAAAUUCGAGAGCCUUCUAAUAUCAUGCUCUAUUUUUAGAGCCUUGGUCAACAUUUUUGUAUGGCAUAUUUCUGUUGCAAUAAAUAUAUAGCUCCCUUUUGCUAUUUAUCCCAUAUUAGAAAAUCCAUAGAAUAUUCAUACCAACUCCAAAUCCAGUGAAACAACUUCCUAAAUAUUUCUAAAAUUAUGCUCUAUUAAAUGAGUGCCUCCACUCUUUUUUAUCAUGAUACUUUCUGUAGACUCCCAUUAAGAUCACAUAUUCCUCUUUUUGUUCACUCAAAAUUUUCUGAUGAUCCCGGUCUCCUAUGGCAAGAUUCAGGUAUUUUUCAUAUGACUAGAGAGGUCCAAGAAAAACAUAACUCCUAUUUAUGUAGAACUUCUAUUUCUGCUUGUUGCGUGUCUUACUGUGUUGUUUUCGACGUAAGUUGAUGGACUAAACAGAGUACUCGAAGUUGAACCAGAAGACCUCGAAGACCCCGAGGACUUGUGAGCAAAGGCAAGCAGCCCUUUGACCAAGUCUGAGAAAAUACUAUAUUGCAUGCUAGUAGAGAAAUUAUUCCCGUUGCAUACGAUCAUAAGUAUUCGGUAAAUCAUCGAACUGAUGUUACCGAUGGCUCCUCCGGAGCACUUGCAUUUUGAGCAAGAUCCUACCACCUAUCAGGGUCACGCUAAUACCUGUUGACAAGUAGGGCUAAGCAUAGUAGAAGCAUGAGCAUGCUGAUGGUAAAUAUCAAAGAUUUAUGAAAACCCCGUCGGGUGCCACUAAUGCAUGAGGGUGAUGAUGAGAUUGGUGGCCUCUUUUGGAGAAGUGGUGCACCAGGUGUAUUUUGGUGUGAGUGGUUUUGGAAAUGGGAUUGGAUUUAUGGUGUGUCGACCGUCCCAACCUUACAUGUGCGACCACGUUACCCCUUUAUGGGACGGGGCUUUGUUGAUUACUCUGGUCGGUGCUAGCAAAGAGCCACAUUACUAUUGACGGGAGUGAUGUGUGGUCACUCUCGUGAUGGGGUCGUGCCAGGUAGAGCGACUAGGCCGUUUUUACGUGUUCCGGGCACACUGUUGGUCCCCGCAUGGAUGAUACUGUCCAGAGUGAGUGCUCGUAAGACGUGCAUCAUGUGGGCUGGGUACCAAUCGAGUGGACCUAUUUGUCUAGUAUCGUCAGUGGAAAGGCAUUGAUCGGGUACUUAACUCGGGUAUGUUAUAUACCGUGAGUCGUGGAUGACAUGGAAGUUUCCCGAAUCUCGUGGGUAUAGCGUACAACCUCUGCACAGUGUCAAACUAUUCGAAUAGCCAUGUGCACGGUCUAGGAAAGUUGGGUGGUGCUGCUUAAACUACGUCUAGUCGUUUCCGCAUAAGGGGGGGGGGGGGUUUAAUAGUGUUAAUAUGAAAGAAUUGAUAUGACCAAGUUUGGUGACUUGGCAUAUUGGGUGAACCCGGAGCGUUCAGCCCUUGGCAGAUAUAUUGAUAUCUGUAACCCGUUCUUCUAAACAGCAUCUAGCUUAUGUUGCACAUCCAUCUAUGAUCAUGUUAUUUACAGUCAAGCCGCUAUCCACCAAUACUGCAUAUUACUUGUUACCGUACCAACUGCAUUAUCAUAUCAUGGGCUGUUUGCGAGUACAAUCAAGCUACUCAUUGGCUUGCCACUGGUUAUUUCAUUCACCAGGUCUGAGAGAACAGGAUAUGGUGAAGAGUAACUCGGUGACGUUCUUCCGAGCUAGGAGGCUUCCGAGUGAGAAUGCCUGUAGGUUAAGGCUGAUGGCAUGGGUUCACACUUUCGACCAAUAUUUCUGCUAUUUGUCCAGUUUGGUGUGUUGGCCCUCAAGGCCCUAUAUAUGUAAGACUUGACCACAAUGGACAUUUAUUGUAUCAAACGGUAUGUAUGGAUGUAAGACUCUUGUGAUUCAGUUUCUGUGUGUUCUGUGAGCAUUGAUCUCUGGGAUCACUGAGCACGUUCGUUCGACGAUCUCGACUCGUAAGUCGGGGUCCCCACAGAGCUGGUAUCACAGCCAUCCUGACUAUAGGAAGCCCUUAGUUAGCACGGAUGUUAGUUAGGAUAAAACUGCUUUCGAGACCCUUCAAAACUACUUGCAAAACGUGUAUCUUCUCAUCUCUCCUAAAUUUUCAAAGGAAUCAAGGGUUUUUUCUUAGCACUCCCACUCUUAUUUUUUGACACUCCUCGUCUGCUUCUUCAAAACCUGCAAAUAGCCGCUAGCACCUGAUACGUCCAUUUUGCGUUAUGCUUUCAUGUUGAUAUUUAUCGCUUUAUGGGCUGUUAUUACACUUCACGGUACACUACUUAUGUCUUUUCUCUCUUAUUUUACAAGGUUUACAUGAAGAGGGAGAAUGCCAGCAGCUGGAAUUCUGGCCUAAAAAAGGAGCAAGUUUGAGAUGCCUAUUCUGCGCAACUCCAAAAGCAGUGAAAAUCAACGAGGAAUUAUUUUGGAAUUUAUAAAAAAAUACUGGGCGGAAGAAGUACCACAGGGGAGCCACCAGGAGGCCACAAGCCUGCUAGGCGCGGCCUACCCCCCAGGCCGCGCCUAGGGGGCUCGUGGGCUCCCUGUUGGCGCUCUAGAUCCCCUCUUUUGCUAUAAGGAGGGUUUCAUUCCAUAAAAAAUCAAGAGGAGGCUUUCGGGAGGAGUUGCCGCCGUCACGAGGCGAAUCUUGAGCAGAACCAAUCUACAGCUCUGGCAGGGCCGUCCUGCCGGGGAAACUUCCUUCCCAGAGUGGGAAAUCAUCGCCAUCGUCAUCACCAACACUCCUCUCAUCGGAGAGGACUCAUCACCAUCAACAUCUUCAUCAGCACCAUCUCAAUGAUUCUUGCAAUGGGAGAAGUGCUUGGUUUUGGGUUCUACCAUGUGGUGACCUUUCCGAGUGACGGUAGGGGCAGCAAGGCACACAUCAAGUAGUUGCCAUCAAGGGUAAAAAGAUGGGUUUUUGUAUCAUUUGUUUGAGAUUAUCCAUCUACAUCAUGUCAUCUUGCUUAAGGCGUUACUCUGUUCUUAUCGGCUUAAUACACUAUAUGCAUGCUGGAUAGCGGUCGACGUGUGGAGUAAUAGUAGUAGAUGCAGAAAGUAUCGGUCUGCUUGUUUUGGACAUGAUGCCUAUAGAUAUAAUCAUUGCAUAGAUAUUAUCACGACUUUGCGCGGUUCUAUGAAUUGCUCGACAGUAAUUUAUUCACCCACCGUCUACUUGCUUUCAUGAGAGAAGCCACUAGUAAACACUACGGCCCCCGGGUCUAUUCACAUCCAUCGUUUACACCUCCGCUUUUCCUUUGCUUUGUUACUUUGUUGCUUUCAGUUCUCACUUGGCAAACAAUCUAUAAGGGAUUGAUAACCCCUUCAUAGCGUUGGGAGCAAGCUUUUGUGUUUGUGCAGGAUCUUGUGAUACUCCUCCACCGGAUUGAAACCUUGGUUCUCAAACUAAGGGAAAUACUUACCGUCGUUGUGCUACAUCACCCUUUCCGGUUCAAGGGAACACCAACGCAAGGGUCCAAGGCCACAGGGGAAAUCCUUUGCAUACUUGCCUAGGAAGUCCCUUAAGGCGUAGACGCAACUGAAGGAUUCCUAGUGCCAUCGACACACCUGUUUCUGGCACCAUUGGAAGGACUUUUGUGCAUUAGCUUAGCUGACAUCAAAAGCAUUUCUGGUGCCGUUGCCGGGGAGGAGAAAUCAAGAUCUAUCCAAGUAGGUCUCACAAACUCUUCUCUUGCAUUUACUUUUGUUGCCAGUUGCCUCUCGUUUUCCUCUCCCCCACUUCACAUUUGCCGUUUUCAUUCGCCUUUCGCCUUCGCCGUUUUCUUUUUCCUUUGCUNNNNNNNUCUCUUGCUUUCUUGUGUGCUUGUUUGUUUGUUGAAGACAUCAUGUCUGAAAACACCAAACUUUGCGACUUCUCGAGCACUAAUAAUAAUGAUUUUAUUAGUACUCCGAUUGCUCCCGCCACUAGUGUGGAAUCGUAUGAAAUCAACGCAGCUUUGCUGAAUCUUGUUAUGAAAGAGCAAUUCUCUGGCCUUCCUAGUGAAGAUGACACAUCCCAUCUCAAUACCUUCAUUGAGCUUUGUGAUAUGCAAAAGAAAAGAGAUGUGGAUAAUGACAUGAUUAAGUUGAAACUUUUUCCUUUCUUGUUGCGAGAUCGCGCAAAAACUUGGUUUUCUUCUUUGCCUAAAAAUAGUAUCGAUUCUUGGGAUAAGUGCAAAGAUGCUUACAUAUCCAAGUAUUUUCAUCUCCUUACGUAACGAUAUCAUGAAUUUCAAGCAACUUGAUCAUGAACACGUUGCACAAUCUUGAGAGAGGAUGAAGCUUAUGAUUAGAAAUUGUCCCGCUCAUGGCUUCAGUUUGUGGAUGAUUAUACAAAUCUUUCACGUUGGCUUGAAUUUCACUUCUCGCAAUAUCUUGGACUCCGCCUCAGGUGGAACGUUCAUGGAAAUCACGUUAGGAGACGCUACAAAACUCCUAGACAAUAUCAUGACCAACUACUCUAAGUGGCACACUGAAAGGUCGCCUGCUAGCAAAAAGGUGCACGCUAUAGAAGAAAUUAACUCGCUUAGUGCUAAGAUGGACGAGUUGAUGAAUUUGGUUGCUAGUAUAAACGCUACCGUAGAUCCUAAUGACAUGCCACUAUCUUCUUUGAUUGAGAGUAGCAACGCUAUUUUGGACGUGAAUUUUGUUGGUAGGAACAAUUUUGGCAACAACAAUGCUUUUAGAGGAAACUAUGUUCCUAGGCCUUUUCCUAGUAACUCUAACAAUUAUGGCAAUUCCUACGGCAACACUUAUGGAAAUCACAACAAAUAACCCUGUGAUCUAGAGAGUAAUAUCAAAGAGUUCAUCAACUCUCAAAAGAUUUUCAAUGCGUCCAUAGAGGAAAAACUACUCAAAAUAGACGAUUUGGCUAAGAGCGUUGAUGGAAUGUCUUGUGAUAUUGAUGCUUUGAAAGUUAGAUGCGCUCCUCCCAAGGUCAACUUGGAUGAAACUUUGAAAGCUAUGUGUAUCUCCAUGAAUGAGAGCAAAGAAAGAACCACCCAAAUUCGCGCUAGACAUGAAUGGUUUAAAAGGGUGCGUUCUAGUGAUGAAAAUCACGAUCUUAAAGUGCUUGGUGUGUCUCCUCUUGAAUCUUUGUUUUCUCGUGUCAAAUGUACUUAUGGAGGGGCUGGAUAUGAAUCCACUUUGGUUGAAAAAUGCCCCAAUGAUUCGGAGUCCACCUAUCUUGAUGAUAAAGGUGUCGAGAGUGGAGUAGAAGAAGUCAAAAUUUUGGGUAGUAAUGAAACUCCCACUUUGGAUUUCAAGGAAUUCAAUUAUGAUAGUUUCUCCUUGUUUGAAUGCAUUUCUUUGAUGCAAUCCAUUGCAAACUCUCCACAUGCUUAUAACCAAAGCAAAGCCUUUACCGCGCAUAUCGUAGAUGCUAUGAUGAAAUCUCUUGAAGAGAAGCUCGAACUAGAAGUCUCUAUACCUAGAAAACUUCAUGAUGAGUGGCAACCUACUAUCAAAAUCAAGAUCAAAAACUAUGAGUGCAAUGCUUUGUGUGAUUUGGGUGCUAGUGUUUCCGCGAUUCCAAAGUCUUUAUGUGAUAUUCUUGGUUUUCAUGAGAUUGAAGAGUGUUCUCUUAAUUUGCAUCUUGCGGAAACUACUGUCAAGAAAACCACGGGGAGGAUCGAUGAUGUUCUUAUUAUUGCAAAUAAGAACUAUCUACCCGUGGAUUUCAUUGUACUUGACAUAGAUUGCAAUCCUUCAUGUCCCAUUAUUCUUGGUAGACCUUUCCUAAGGACUAUUGGUACUAUCAUCGAUAUGAAGGAAGGGAAUAUUAGAUUUCAAUUUCCUUUAAAGAAGGGCAUGGAGAACUUUCCUAGAAAUAAAAUAAGUUUGCCUUAUGUAUCCAUGAUGAGGGCUACCUAUGGUUUGAGCACCAAAGAUGACUAUACAUGAUUUCAUCACCUUUCGCCUAGCUAAGGGCAUUAAACAAAAGCGCUUGUUGGGAGGCAACACAAAGAAUCUAUCCUUUUUCUUUCUAUUUUGUGUUUUCCACACUUUCAUAAUUCUGUUAUGAUUGUGUUUUUGUGUUUCUUUUUUGCGUUUGUGCCAAGCAAAACCGUUAUGAUUAGUCUUGGGGAUGAUCGUUUGGUCAUGCUGGAAAAGACAGAAACUUUCUGCUCACGAAAAGAAUUUUCAGUUUUUUUCUGUAAGAGCUUUUGAGUUUAUUCUUUUUUCUACUGAUUGUUACGCAAAUUCUUCAGACCAUAGUAAUCUUUCAGAAUUUGUGAAGUACUAGAGGUAUAUGAAAUAUACAGAUUGCUACAGACUGGUCUGCUGUUAACAGAUUCUGUUUUUGUUGUGUUGGUUGCUUAUUUUGAUGAAACAAUGGAUUGUAUCGGGGGGUAUUAGCCAUAGAAAAUUGAAAUUACAGUAACCCAACAUCAGCACAAGUAGAAUUUAAGUUUGCUACAAUACCUGAGGAAGUGGUGGUUUGCUUUCUUGUACUAAUGUUAUCACGAGUUUCUGUUUAAGUUUCGUGUUGUGAAGUUUUCAAGUUUUGGGUGAAGUUCUUAUGGACAAAGAGAUAAAGAGUGGCAAGAGCUCAAGCUUGGGGAUGCCCAAGGCACCCCAAGAGAUUACAGGAUGCCAUAAAAGCCUAAGCUUGGGGAUGCCCCGAGAAGGCAUCCCCUCUCUUGUCUUCAAUCCUUCGGUAACGUUACUUGGGGCUAUAUUUUUAUUCACCACAUGUUAUGUGUUUUUGCUUGGGGCGUCUUUUAUCGUAGGAGUCUUUUAUUUUUGUUGUGUUACAAUCAUCCUUGCUUCACACCUAGAGAGAGAGACAUGCACACACCGUGAUUUUGUCGAGCUUCACUUAUAUCUUUUGGUAGACAAUUCAGCUCACAUGUGCUUCACUUAUAUCUUUUGUGCUAGAUACUUUUGCUCUAUGUACUUCACUUAUAUCUUUUAGAGCACAGCGGUGCGUGGCUUGGUAGUUGAUCUAUGCUUUGAAGGUAGUCUCAAAAGGGGUAGUUAUCCAAAGGGAUACGAAAACUUCCACCUUCAUGUGCAUUGAAUAGUUAGAGAAGUUUGAUUCAUCUCAAUUAGUUUUGAGUUGUGGCUAUGGUAAUAUUGAAGUCAUGCUACUAAGGUGUUGUGGAUCUAGAAACACUUGAGUUGAAGUUAGUGAUUCCCGUAGCAUGCACGUAUGGUGAACCACUAUGUGAUGAAAUCUGAGCAUGAUUAGUAUAUUGAUUGUCAUCCUUUGCGUGGCGGUCGGGAUCGCGCGAUGGUUUAUACCUACCAACCCUUCCCCUAGGAGUAUACGUUGAAUGCUUUGUUUCGAUUACUAAUAAAACUUCUGCAACAAGUAUAUGAGUUCUUCAUGACUAAUGUUUGAGUCCAUGGUUUGGGGGGGGGGGGGGGGGGUCCACCAUCAUUAUCUUCUUAGUACCGUGCAACUUUCGCCUCCCUCAAAACCCACCAUUAGCCUCCCUCAAAACAGCCACCAUACCUACAUACUAUGGCUUUUUCAAAGUCAUUCCGAGAUAUAUUAUCAUGCAACUACCACCAUGACAUGUGCCACCACGUCUACAUUGCCAUUGCAUGAUCAUAAGAUAGCUAGCAUGAUGUUUCCAUUGAUGUCUAUGCCAUGCUAGAUCAUUGCCACGGUAUACUACCGAAGGCAUUUCAGAUAGAGUCAUCAUUGCUCUAAGUUUUGAGUUGAAAGUGUGAUGAUCAUCAUUAAUGGAGCAUUGUCCCAUGUGAGGAAAUAAAAGAGGCCAAAGAAGCCCACAAAAAAAGAAGGCCAAAGAGGGGGGGGGGGGGGGGGGGAAAAGAGAGAAGGGACAAUAUUACCACUUUUUCCACACUUGUGCAUAUUGAGCACCAUGAUCUUCAAGAUUGAGAGUCUCUCCUUUUGUCACCACCAUAUAGCUAGUGGGAAAAUCUUCAUUAUAUAACUUGGCUUGUAUAUUCCAAUGAUAGGCUUCCUCAAAAUUGCCUUAGGUCUUGGUGAGCAAGCAAGUUAGAUGCACACCCACUAGUUUUCUUUAAGAGCUUUCACAUACUCGCAGCUCUAGUGCAUCAUUUGUAUGGCAAUACCUACUCAUUCACAUUGAUAUCUAUUCGUGAGCAUCUCCACAGCUCAUUGAUAUGCCUAGUUAAUGUGACUAUCUUCUCCUUUUUUUUCUUGCAACCUCCACCACAUUCCACACCAUCUAUAGUGCUAUAACCAUGGCUCACGCUCAUGUAUUGCGUGAGAGUUGAAAAGGUUUGAGAAAGUAAAGGUGUGAAACAAUUAGUUGGCCAAUACCGGGGUUGUGCAUGAUUUAAAUUCGUUGGGCAAUGAUAAUAGAGCAUAGCCAGACUAUAAGCUUUUGUAGGGAUAACUUUCUUUUGGCCUUGUUAUUUUGAAAGUUCAUGAUUACUUUGCUAGUUUGCUUGAAUUAUUAUUGUUUCCAUGUCAAUAGCAAACUAUUGUUUUGAAUCUAAUGGAUCUGAACAUUCACGUCAUAUAAGAGGAAUUACAAAGGACACCUAUGCUAGGUAGCAUGAAAGCAUCAAAAAUUCAUUCUUAUCACUUCCCUACUCGAGGACGAGCAGGAGUUAAGCUUGGGGAUUCUUGAUACGUCUCAAAUGUAUCUAUAAUUUUUGAUGGUUUCACGCUGUUAUCUUGUCUUCUUUGGUUGUUUUAUGUACCUUUUAUAUCUUUUUUGGGAAUAACUUAUUAAUUAAGUGCCAAGUGCCAAGUGCCAGUUCGUGUUUUUUGUGUGUUUUUGACUCUUUUCAGAUCUGAUUUUGGAACGGAGUCCAAACAGAAGAAAAACCCCGAAAUGAUUUUUUCCCGAACGUAAGAAGACCAGGGGGCUUUUGGGCCAAGCCAGGUGGGCUCCAGGGAGCCCACAAGCCCCCACUCCACCACCAGGGGGGAGGCGGUGGUGGGCAGGAUUGUGGCCUCCCUAGCCGCCCCCUGACCUAGGUCUUUGGCCUAUAAAUUCCCAAAUAUUCCGCAAAAAAUCAGGGGAGCCUCGAAAAUACUUUUCUGCCGCCGCAAGCUUCCGUUUCCGCGAGAUCUCAUCUAGAGACCCUUCCCGGCGACCUGUCGGAGGGGACAUUGGAGUUGGAGGGCUUCUUCAUCAUCAUCAUCGCACCUCCAAUGACUCGUGAGUAGUUCACUUCACACCUACGGGUCCGUAGUAAGUAUCUAGAUGGUUUCUUCUCUCUCUUGGAUCUUCAAUAAAAAGUUCUGCAUGAUCUUCAUGGAGAUCUAUCCGAUGUAAUCUUCUUUGGCGAUGUGUUUGUCGAGAUCCGAUGAAUUGUGGAUUUGUGAUCAGAUUAUCUAUUAUAUAUAUUUGAGUCUUUGUUGAUUUCUUGUAUGCAUGAUUUGAUAUCCUUGUAAGUCUCUCCGAGUCUUGGGUUUUGUUUGGCCAACUAGAUCUAUGAUUCUUGCAAUGGGAGAAGUGCUUGGUUUUGGGUUCUACCAUGUGGUGAUCUUUCCCAGUGAUAGUAGGGGCAGCAAGGCACACAUCAAGUAGUUGCCAUCAAGGGUAAAAAGAUGGGGUUUUUAUCAUUGGUUUGAGAUUAUCCCUCUACAUCAUGUCAUCUUCCUUAAGGCAUUACUCUGUUCUUAUGGACUUAAUACACUAGAUGCAUGCUGGAUAGCGGUCGACGUGUGGAGUAAUAGUAGUAGAUGCAGAAAGUAUCGGUCUACUUGUUUUGGACAUGAUGCCUAUAGAUAUAAUCAUUGCAUAGAUAUCGUCACGACUUUGCGCGGUUCUAUCAAUUGCUCGACAGUAAUUUUUUCACCCACCGUCUACUUGCUUUCAUGAGAGAAGCCACUAGUAACACUACGGCCCCCAGGCCUAUUCACAUCCAUCGUUUACACCUCCGCUUUUACUUUGCUUUGUUACUUUGUUGCUUUCAGUUCUCACUUGGCAAACAACCUAUAAGGGAUUGACAACCCCUUCAUAGCGUUGGGAGCAAGCUUUUGUGUUUGUGCAGGAUCCUGUGAUACUCCUCCACCGGAUUGAUACCUUGGUUCUCAAACUGAGAGAAAUACUUACCGUCGCUGUGCUACAUCACCCUUUCCGCUUCAAGGGAACACCAACGCAAGGCUCCAAGGCCACGGGGGAAAUCCUUUGCAUACUUCCCUAGGAAGUCCCUUAAGGCGUAGCCGCAGCUGAAGGAUUCCUGGUGUCGUCGACACACCUGUUUCUGGCGCCAUUGGAAGGACUUUUGUGCAUUAGCUCAGCUGACAUCACCGGGGAGUGAAGCGCCUUUUGUAAGUGGAAUUUGGUAAGGAAACAUUUAUAUAGUGUGCUGAAAUUUAUUGUCACUUGUCACUAUGGAAACUAAUCAUUUGACGAGCCUGUUCGGGGUAUCUUCACCUCGAACGGAAGCACAAGCAGUUGCUCCUCAACAUGAUGCACCUACUGAAAAUACUUGUUAUGAAAUUCCUUCGGGUAUGCUAGAGAAACGGUUGGCUAAUCCUUCUACAGCAGAUGGAACAUCACAUCACAACUUGCAUCCAAUCUAUGUAGGUGAAGUUUGUGGUUUAUUUAAGCUUGCAGGUUUGCCCGAGGAUGAGGUCAAGAAGAAGGUCUUUCCCUUAUCUUUGGGGGAUAAAGCAUUGACAUGGUAUAGGCUAUGUGAUGAUACUGGAUCAUGGAACUACAACCGGUUGAAGUUAGAAUUUCAUCAAAAGUUUUAUCCUAUGCAUGUGGUACAUAGUGAUCGGAAUUAUAUCUAUAAUUUUUGGCCUCGUGAUAGAGAAAGUAUCGCUCAAGCUUGGGGGAGGCUUAAAUCAAUGUUAUAUUCAUGGCUCAACCAUGAGCUUUCGAGAGAAAUAAUCAUUCAGAACUUCUAUGCUCGGCUUUCUCAUGAUAAUCACACCAUGCUUGACUCUUCUUGUACCGGUUCUUUUACGAAGAGAGAUAUUGACUUCAAAUGGAAUUUAUUGGAGAGAAUUAAACGCAACUCUGAAGAUUGGGAGUUUGAUGAAGGUAAGGAGCCAGGUAUGAAUCUUAAGUUUGAUUGCGUUAAAUCCUUUGUUGAAACAAAUACUUUCUGUGAUUUUAGCGCUAAAUAUGGACUUGACUCUGAGAUAGUAGCUUCAUUGUGUGAAUCAUUUGCUGCUCAUAUUGAUCUCUCUAAAGAGAAGUGCACUACUAGAAUUCACUUAUUUGCCGUCAGCCUCUUCUUUGUCGUCUGCUGGCUGAUGGCAAAGACCCUAUUUGUCGUCGGUCACCCGAAAACUAACGGCAAAGAGCAGAGUGAUGGCAAACAUACUCGUUGCCAUGAGUAUUGUCUUUGUCGUCUGCUGGCGCACGGCAAAGAGCAGGAGGGAAGACGGCAAAGAGCAUGGGGCGGCGCACCACACACCCCUCCCACCCCAUAAUGGGCGCUCCCUUUGUCGUCUGCCCUCCUGCUCUUUGCCGUNNNNNNNNNNNNNNNNNNNNNNNNNNNNNNNNNNNNNNNNNNNNNNNNNNNNNNNNNNNNNNNNNNNNNNNNNNNNNNNNNNNNNNNNNNNNNNNNNNNNNNNNNNNNNNNNNNNNNNNNNNNNNNNNNNNNNNNNNNNNNNNNNNNNNNNNNNNNNNNNNNNNNNNNNNNNNNNNNNNNNNNNNNNNNNNNNNNNNNNNNNNNNNNNNNNNNNNNNNNNNNNNNNNNNNNNNNNNNNNNNNNNNNNNNNNNNNNNNNNNNNNNNNNNNNNNNNNNNNNNNNNNNNNNNNNNNNNNNNNNNNNNNNNNNNNNNNNNNNNNNNNNNNNNNNNNNNNNNNNNNNNNNNNNNNNNNNNNNNNNNNNNNNNNNNNNNNNNNNNNNNNNNNNNNNNNNNNNNNNNNNNNNNNNNNNNNNNNNNNNNNNNNNNNNNNNNNNNNNNNNNNNNNNNNNNNNNNNNNNNNNNNNNNNNNNNNNNNNNNNNNNNNNNNNNNNNNNNNNNNNNNNNNNNNNNNNNNNNNNNNNNNNNNNNNNNNNNNNNNNNNNNNNNNNNNNNNNNNNNNNNNNNNNNNNNNNNNNNNNNNNNNNNNNNNNNNNNNNNNNNNNNNNNNNNNNNNNNNNNNNNNNNNNNNNNNNNNNNNNNNNNNNNNNNNNNNNNNNNNNNNNNNNNNNNNNNNNNNNNNNNNNNNNNNNNNNNNNNNNNNNNNNNNNNNNNNNNNNNNNNNNNNNNNNNNNNNNNNNNNNNNNNNNNNNNNNNNNNNNNNNNNNNNNNNNNNNNNNNNNNNNNNNNNNNNNNNNNNNNNNNNNNNNNNNNNNNNAAAAAAGAUGAAGAAGAAGAAAAUGACACCGUGACACCCCGACACCCCGACACGAUGCCCGAAACCCCGACACGACAUCCUAACGACACCCUAGCAGAAAACUCCGCACAACUGUUAAUACGCCGCCCCCGACGCCACUGACCCCCCAACCCCCGACCUCCGACACCUCUUCUUCCUCUUGUUGACCCAAAAUUCCCCCGACCACCGACCCCUGAUGCCACUGACAUUGGACCCCCGAGGACACUGACCCCCGACAACCGACGCCACUAACCCCCGAACCCCGACGCCACUGACACCCGACACCACCGACCCACAACGGCACUGACUCCCGACGCCACUAACCCCCGACCUCGCCAAUUCUUCUGCCUCCGGUUGAACGAGAAGGUGCUUUUCGGCCUUCCACAAACCGACGGGGUCAUAGUUUUGUAAAUUAUGAGUUAGGUCACAUAUUUUCCGAUUAUGUUAUAAAAACAUCAUAUUUGUGUUGAUCGUGUGAAUUUCAAUGUGUAGUUGUUCGACGACCUCCAUGUGCGUUGGACGAGCUACGCCCCUGCGUUUGUUGGUGAUCGCAAAUUACUUCUCCUACGCCCUUAAUUUGCUCUGUUCCGGUCUUCGUGCCGAUGAAACUUGCUAGAUAUAGGUUUCUUCAAUCAUGAGUAUGCGUGACCAGUAUGCGUCUCCCGUUCAAAAGGGCGACAUCUAUAAAUAUGCAUGUAUUUGCAUAUUUAUAACCGCCAUCCUUUUGAAUUGUCUAAUGUUAUCCAUGGACAGCCUGAGUAUGUGUAGAUUGGGUUCGUUUUCCCGUAUGCUAUGCUCCGGAUCCGAUGCAGAAUUUCGUAAGUGCCUCCCUGUUGUUCUCCAGGUAAACAUCCUCUCUGCUUAUUGCCGAGACGUGUAUCAGGAGAACAGCGUGGAGGUGCUGCCGAAAUUCUGCGUCGCAUCUAGAGCAUAGCAUGGGAAAACAAACCCAAUCUACACAUACUCGGGUGGGAUUAGGAACUAUCUUUACCUAUUAGUGUGUAGGUUGCAUGGACGUAAUAAAACUGACAAACUUGAUUAGCGGAUGAAUAUAGAUGAUUAAUUAUAUAUUUAUUUCUUGUGCGCCCAUAGGUAGCUAGGCAACAUGAGUGAUCAUGCUUGGAUGUACACUGGUCACCCUAGUCAGAAAGACAUGACCAAUGAAUGAUUCACAAAAACCAGGGGGUUUGUGAGACAGCAUUUGCAAAUGGCCAGCAAAAAACAUGGUGCCCCUGUCCCAACUGCGACAACUGGAAAAAGCAAACAGAGUUUGAAAUGGGUAAACACCUGCAGAAGUGGGGUUUUACGCCUAAUUAUAUGGUGUGGACUUUUCAUGGUGACUCUGACCAACGUGCCAGAGCUGAGGUGAUUCGUCGUCGCACCGACGAGCAUGGUACCGUGAUCGAAGACAUGGUGCAAGACUUUGAUGAUGCUCGGGAUUCAGACGAUGAGAUGGAGGAAUCUGCAAAGGCCUUCUAUGAAAUUUUGGAGUCUUCAAAACGUCCUCUCCACUAGCAGACCGAGCUUUGUCAGCUGGAUGCCAUCGCGAAAGUAAUGGAUCUGAAGGCUCAAUUCAACCUAGGCAGAGAAUGCUACGACGCGAUGAUGACGAUGUUUGGAUGCUUUCUACCCAAAGGCCAUGUACUGCCUGCAAAAAUGUACCAGUCGGAGAAAAUCCUCCGUGUACUUAAGAUGCCCUAUGAGAAGAUACAUGCCUGUGAGAAUGGAUGUGCCUUAUAUAGGCUUGAGUAUGCGGCCUUGAACUAUUGCCCCAUUUGCAAUUCUUCCAGGUAUAUUGUGGUAGACAACGGUAUGGGUGAGAAGAAUCAGACCAAAAUCCCCAUUAGUGUUCUUCGGUAUCUGCCAAUCGUACCAAGACUUCAACGUCUUUUCAUGGUCGAAGAGACGUCCAGACAGAUGAUAUGGCACAAAUUGGGCAAAAGAACAGAACUAGAUGCGGAUGGGAACAAGAUGCUGGUACACACUUCAGAUGGUUUUGCAUGGAGGCACUUCGAUGCAUUACAUAAGGAUAAAUCGGAAGAUCCAAGGCAUCCUAGAGUUGCCAUCGGCACAGAUGGGUUCAAUGUGUAUGGUAUGACGGCAACACAAUACAGUUGUUGGCCUGUAUUUGUCAUUCCACUCAAUUUCCCACCCGGAGAGAUUACGAAAAGAAAGAACAUUUUCCUCACGUUGAUAAUUCCAGGGCCCAACUAUCCGGGGAAGAAUAUAAAUGUGUACAUGAAGCCGCUUAAGGAUGAGUUGCAAGAAGCCUGGGAUAAUCGGAUGAAGACCUACGACGCGGCUACCAAAACAAAUUUCAAAAUGCAUGUGUGGUACAUGUACUCGACGCAUGAUUAUCCGGCGUUUGUGCUAUUCGCUGGCUGGUGUGUGCAUGGAAGGUUCCCGUGCACCACAUGCAAGGCAGCUCUUCAGUUCCGUUGGCUGCAGGCUGGUCGCAAGUUUUCUUGCUUCGACAUGCAAAGACAAUUCCUGGAUCCUGACCAUAAGUUCAGAAAAGACAAGAAGAAUUUCAUCAAAGGUAGAGUUGUAAAAAACACUGCACCAGCUGCGUUGAUAGGCCAACAGACCCUCGAUCAGUUAAACGCUCUCGAGCCUGAUCCUUUGCAUCUAGGAUACUUCAAAGUGUAUAAUACGGAACACGCCUGGACUCACAAGUCAUGCUUAUGGGAUCUGCCUUACUUGAAAGACCUCCUUUGCCCACACAACAUCGACGUGAUGCACACUGAAAAGAAUAUUGUGGAGGCCAUUUUUGGUACAUUGUUCGGCAUAGAGGUUAAGUCAAAAGAUAAUCCUAAGGCUAGAAUCGACCUCGGGGCUCUAUGUGAUAGACCGUUGCAAAACUUGCGACAACGGAAAGGAAAGCAAAGCAUAGCGAAGCCAAAGGCAUGGUUCAAUCUUGAAAAGCCAGCUAUGAGGGAAAUGCUAUUGUGGGUGAAAAUGCGGUUGAUGUUCCCCGAUGGGUAUGGUGCGAAUCUAAAAAGGGGAUCGAGUCUUGAGAAAUUGAAAAUAUUUGGUCUCAAGAGUCAUGAUUGGCACAUAUGGAUUGAGCGGGUAAUGUCGGUGAUGUUGUGUGGCUUUAUCCCUGAGGAUGAAUGGCUAGUACUGGUAGAGAUGAGCUAUUUCUUCCAUUCUCUUUGUGCGAAAGAACUAUCGCCUGGCGUGCUAGAUUAAAUAGAAGAGUUGGCGGCGGAGUUGAUCUGCAAAUUUGAAAAGAUCUUUCCACCGGGCUUCUUUAAUCCAAUGCAGCAUUUGAUUUUGCAUCUCCCGACCGAGGCAAGAAUUGGGGGGCCCGUUCAAAAUCGAUGGUGCUACUCAACUGAGAGGAUGCAGAAGACGCUUUGAGCUAAGUGUAAAAAUAAUCGUAGAAUUGAAGCAUCGAUGGCCGAGGCAUUCAUUACUGAGGAGGCGGCAAACUUCAUGACAGCACACUACGAAGCCAAAAAUCAUCAUUUGCAUAACGCUUAGCCUCGGUACAAUGAUGGCGAUCCAAAAAAAGUUCGAUCCAACCUCAGCCUAUUCAAAGGUAAGCUCGCACCAUCUGGUGCUUCGAAAGGUAAAUCGUUGGAUGUCGAAGAAUGGAAGACCAUUUCAUUGUAUAUCUUCACGAACCUAACAAAAGUGCGGCCAUACAUCGAGUAAGUUCUCGGUAAAUUAUUGUUCCGCAACUUCUAAUUUCUUUGAACUACUCUUAUUCCCGGAUAUUUGAUAUAGUCGAUACGUCCCCAAAUUCUCAGAUGGAGCGGUCAUCGAAAAGGAUUCCGUCAAAGAGUAUGAGAUUCUCGCAAAGCAUGGAGGUGACUAUCCCGGUUUCAUCUCUUGGUUCAAACAAAGGGUAAUUAAUUACCAUUAAGGGCCCAUUUGAUUUCUUGGUCUAAUUUGCAGCUAAUGCAUCCAUUCUUUCGUAUUAAACUUGUAGGCUAAUGCAGGGUCUAUGGACGCCGAGUUGAGACAACUUGCUAAUGGUUUUGACUAUAAGGUCCGUUCAUUUGACAAAUACAACAUCAACGGGUAUCACUUUCGUACCUUUGGCAAAGAGCUAUCUAUGCCCGACCCAAAGACUACAAAUUGUUCUGUCUCUGCUAUCGGCGAAGGAGGCACCGAGUAUUAUGGAAGAGUUGAAGCAAUUUAUGAACUUCUAUUCUAUGGUGAAAACCCACCGACCGUCGUAGUCUUCAAAUGCUAUUGGUUUGAGCCGAGGGAGACUAGAAGGACUCAUGAACAUAUAGGACUAGUCGAAAUCAACCAAAACACCCACUUAGAUGUUCCUCACGUCUAUAUUACGGCUCAACAGGCGACACAAGUUUUCUAUCUACCGUGGGCCUGCCAAACUGAUCCAAAUCUCAAAGGUUCGGAUGUCGUUUAUGAAGUGCCACCACAUUUUAGACAACCUACCCUCAAUGAAGAGGAUUACGAACCUCACAUUAACCCAGACACAUAUGAAAGGGAAUUCUUCGAAGAAACACGUAUGUCCGAGAAACGUUUCAAGAACCGUUCUACUUCACCCCAGAACAUUGGAGUAGACAGCGACACUGAAUCCGUCUUAACCCCUAAGCCCGAAUAGGAAGAGCUGGAAGAAGAAGAGGUUACUGCUGUGAAUGACCUGUCACUUCUUGACCGAUUACAUAAUGGUGGCCUUCCACAUGUUCUUCCUGAUAGUGAUGAUGAUGAUGCAUUUAUUGAUGAUAGUGAUGAUCAUGAUGCAUUUAUUGACCCCGAAGCAUAUAUAGACGAGCAUGAUUGUUAUUAGUUCAUGUGAGGUAUUCAACUAUUACUAUAUAUAAAUUUUGAGUUCAUGUUAGGUAUUCAAUUUUUAUUAGUCAUGUUGGUAUUUAUGACGAUGAUAUACUUAAAUUAUAUACAUUUUAUUACUGAUGUUGGUAUUUAUGUUGUACUAAUUUCAUUUACUCUUUGUCAUGACAGGUGUUGAAAGAUGGUGGGAAAGGGUCGAAAAGACUCCGCGGCUCCUUCUUCGUCGGCGGGUGGUGGGAUGGGUACUUCCAUUCCUGCCUCGCCUCUUCGGAGAGCGUUGCUCUCUACUCUGCAAGGAGCGCCCCCGUGAGAGGAGGUCGACCCCCCCCCCCUGCGAAGCCGAGAGGUACUAAAGGUACACAUUGUAUUCAUGUUGGUAUUUAUGUUGUACUCAUGUUGUAUGCAUGUUGGUAUUUAUAUACAUUUUAUUACUCAUGUUGGUAUUUAUGUUGUACUAAAGGUACACGUGGCUACGGGAGAGGUAGGGCGGUGGCUGCCACGCCUUCUGAGGUGGAGGCUACACGAUCUCCGCCACAACCCCAAGAUGAUUCACCUGAGCACAUGACUUCUAGGGUGGAUUCGUCUAAGGUGGAGGCUACACGGUCUCCGGUUCACGAGCCUCGGGACGACGAGCCUCAGGUCGACGAGCCUUCGACCCACGAGACUCGUGUCCCAGAGGCUUCGUUCCAGGCGAUUCCGGAGCAAAUCACGGAUGAGGGUACAUCCCCAGAGACCCAGUGGGGUACCUGGGCUGAGCCAAGUGGCCAUGCUGAUAGCGACGAGGAGCUGGGUGAGGGCGCUACCGUCUACCAGCAUGGUAGUUCGGGGCUCCCGCUCGUGCCGGCGACCCGUGAGCAGAGGUCAUCGAUUAAGUAAAAAUGGGGACAAGUAAGUUAAUUUACUCUUAUUUAACCUUUUGCCUUCAUGUUUUCUCAAAUAUCUAAUGUUUUGGCUUUAAUUUGUCAUACCGCACGCGUUGGAUUGUUGCCAAGGGUGUCCGCAAACCCAGCAGCGUCCUUGGUGUGCUUUGCCGUCAAAACUUCUGAGGGUUUGUUAUGUUGCCCGGUCGGGAGCGAAAGGUAGGAAUGACCUGCGAGCACUACUUGGGUGCCCCGGCCCCGCCAGAGGUGGAGAUCGACGGUGUUUUGUGCCACACGAGGGCCGACAUGGUGAUCUGACAGUUCUGGGUAAUUUCUCCUUCACACAAUUAUAAAUCAACCAUAGCUAGUUAUUGUACUAAUCGGUGUUGUCUCGUUUGCAGACCUAAUACAGGUGUGAGGAGGGAUACGAGGAGGACGCGACAAAAGUUAUCGAAACCGAAUGUCGCCGCCUACUUCAAAACUUUCGGCACGAGGCUCGGGUGCAUGUUGUUCGAGACUACUAUGUGACGCGGUGUAUUAGGAAGGACAAGGCGAAGUGUCGUGAUUCUAAGAUGGAGAAGGAGCAUUACAUGAAGGUAAUUACAUAUUAUUAAGGCUUUGUAGUUAGUUUCCUUGAUUUGGUUCUUACGCGCUCAAAUUUCUCUUUAUUAACUUAGGUGCCCCCGAGAUGGUGUGUGGAUAAGAUGGAUUGUUGGGAGGCCUUGGUGGAUCAGUGGUGCUCUGAAACAUGGGAGGCCAGCCACAACAACGCCAAGGAGAGGCGUGGCAAAUUGGUUGGUGUCCCACACCAUCAAGGGAUCGUCAACUUAAUCCAAUUUGGCGAGAACUGGGUAUGUGGUUUGCUUCAUGCCUCAUUCAAUUCAUUCUGAAUGCUAGCUUGAGCCCUUUACUAAUACAAUUUUCCUCUCUCUCUCUUUUAGGCGCGUCACAAUAAGACGGAGGUGCCACAGAUGCGAUGGCCCAUACUGCCUCGUACAAGAAGGUCAAGGCAUUCUCUGAGUCUUACCUCGAGCAUCCAGAAAACUUCACCAACAUCUCCUCCCACCACAAUCUCGUGAAGUACAGAGAUCACGGGAAGGCGAGGAAAGGGGAGGACUUUAACCCGAGCGAGGGGCUUAUUGAUCCAGAGCUGGUGAUGAUAGCUGGCAAUGGGAGGCCCCAUGGCUCGAUCACAAUUGUAGACGACCUUAUACGUUGUCCUAGCACUCUCCGGCAGAUUAAGGCACACCAAACGAGCCCCUGUCCUGAGAUAACACCUCCUCCACGGCCAGUCGAGCUCGCCAUCGAAGUUAGUUUAAUAGACUCAACUAUCUUUCCGCAUUAUGUUGUGCGUUGGAACCAAUAUGAUUACAAUGCUAACAAUCAGUUGUGUUGCAGGCUGCUAUUCUGAAAGAGAGAGAGGCAAUGCAGGCGGUUAUGGCGGAGAAGGAUAAGGAGAUGAGGGAGCUGGAGGAGAGGACGACUGCAUUGGUGGAGGCGGAGAGGGCACGGAAUGAUGCGUCUAAUUGGGCCAUAUACGAGCUCUUCGUGGUAAGUUUCUUCUUCAUAUUAUUUCAAAUCUUGCAUUUUAAUAUCCAUUUCAUUAAUAACUAAAAAGUUUGACUUGUCGAAACCAAAUGUAUAGUCUAUGUGCGAGAAGACCGGCCAAGCCCCUCCGGCGAUGCCAGUCAUUAACAUGGCGGGGACGGUGAGUUUCAUUUCAGUGAAGUGAUCUUAAGAGUGCCCUCAUGCUAACGACACAUUGCAAACAGUGUUUGGUGCAGAAUAUCUCCCGAAACGCAUCGCACGACCCUUCUACAAUGGAGCCUUCUCGAGGGCAACCUUCUCCAGGUGAAACAAGCUAGAGCCACCAUGCUUCACCGCCGUGAUGACGAUAAUUGUAUGUUAUUUCUAGUGUUUUGCUGAACAACCGCAUAAUGGUCCAAUAUGGCUUAAUAAGCACAGUUAGCUACAAAAUGACAUAUUUAACCCAAGUUAGCUCCAAAACGACAUAUUGCUAGCUUGGCUUCCACCUAAAUGACAUAAUUACCUUUGUUAGCUCCGAAAUGACAUAUUUACGAAAAAAUGACCUAUAGUUAGCUAAGUUCUCUCCUAAAUGACAUAAUAAGGCUUACGUAGCUCUAAGAUGACCUAUUCCCCCUAACUUAGGUAUUAAAUGGCCUAUAAUUAGCUUAGCUAGAUCCAAAAUGGCUUAAUAACCAUAGUUUGCUCCGGAAUGACCUAUUUUACCCAAGUUAGCUCCGAAAUGACCUAUAGUUAGCUAGGCUUCCACCUAAAUGACAUAAUUAGCUUAGUUAGCUCUAAAAUGGUCUAUUUAAUAAAAAUGACAUAUACUUAGCUAAUUAUCCUCCAAAAUGACAUAAUUAGCUCCAAAAAGGCAUAAUUAGAUAAUUUAGCCCGAAGAAGGGGACAAGAGGAGAAGAAAGAGGAAAAAUGAAAAGUAGGAAGAAGAAGAACAAGAGAAGGAGAAGAGAACAAGAAGGAGAAUGAGAAGGAGGAAGAANNNNNNNNNNNNNNNNNNNNNNNNNNNNNNNNNNNNNNNNNNNNNNNNNNNNNNNNNNNNNNNNNNNNNNNNNNNNNNNNNNNNNNNNNNNNNNNNNNNNNNNNNNNNNNNNNNNUCCUCCUACUUCUUCUUCUUUUACUUCUCCUUCUUCUUGUCUUCUUGCUUCUUCUCUCUCUCUUCUUCUACGUAGCUUAGACUCAUCCAACAAAGACUAAAUUGGCUAAUUAUCCUACAAAAUGACAUAAUUAGCUUAGUUAGGUGAAAACAUCAUAAGAACCUUGGUUAGCUCAUUAAAAUGACCAAUUUAGCUCAAAAAUGAAAUAAUAAGCUCAAAAUGGCAUAAGAACCUUGGUUAGCUCAUGAAUAUUAUAUACUUAGCUUGGCUUCCACCUAAAUGAUAUAAUUAGCCAAUUUAGCUCCAAUAUGGCUUAAUACGCAUAGUUAGGUCCAAAAUGACAUAUUUAACCCAAGUUAGCUCCAAAACGACAUAUAGUUAGCUUGGCUUCCACCUAAAUGACAUAAUUAGCUUAGUUAGCUCCAAAAUGACCUAUUUAAUAAAAAAUGACCAAUACUUAGCUAAGUUCUCUCCUAAAUGACAUAAUAAGGCUAACUUAGCUACAAGAUGACCUAUUCCCCAUAACUUAGGUAUUAAAUGGCCUAUAAUUAGCUUAGCUAGAUCCAAAAUGGCUUAAUAAGCAUAGUUUGCUCCAGAAUGACAUAUUUUACCCAGGUUAGCUUCGAAAUGACCUAUAGUUAGCUAGGCUUCCACCUAAAUGACAUAAUUAGCUUAGUUAGGUCCAAAAUGGUCUGUUUAAUAAAACAUGACCUAUACUCAGAUAAUUAUCCUCAAAAUGACAUAAGUAGCUCCAAAACGGCAUAAUUAGCUAAUUUAGCCCGAAGAAGGGGACAAGAGGAGAAGAAAGAGGAAAAAUGAAAAGUAGGAAGAAGAAGAACAANNNNNNNNNNNNNNNNNNNNNNNNNNNNNNNNNNNNNNNNNNNNNNNNNNNNNNNNNNNNNNNNNNNNNNNNNNNNNNNNNNNNNNNNNNNNNNNNNNNNNNNNNNNNNNNNNNNNGCCGUCGUCGGCAGCGUCAGAUGUGUAUAAGAGACAGCUCUUCUUCUCUUUCUUCUUCUACGUAGCUUAUUUUCCCCAACAUAGACAUACUUAGCUAAUUAUCCUCCAAAAUGACAUAAUUAGCUUAGUUAGGUAAAAACAUCAUAAGAACCUUGGUUACCUCAUUUAAAUGACUAAUUUAGCUCCAAAAUGACAUAAUAAGCUCAUAAUGGCAUAAGUACCUUGGUUAGCUCAUGAAUAUUAUUUAUUUAGCUUGUUUUCCUCUAAAAUGACAUAAUUAUCCCAUUUAGCUCCAAAAAGACAUACUUAGCUAAUUUAGCUCCAAGAAGAGGAGAAGAGGAGAAAUGAAAAGAAGGAAGAAUAAGAAUAAGAGAAGAAGAAGAGAAGANCCUCUUCUCCUCUUCUUGGAGCUAAAUUAGCUAAGUAUGUCUUUUUGGAGCUAAAUGGAUAUGAAACUUACUUAUUUCUUCUCCUCUUCAUCUAGUCUUCUUCUUCUAACUUACUUAUUUCCCAUUUUGAAGAUUACAUUCAAUUCUCGGAAGCUUGGAUUAUAUUGAUGGAGUGCUUCAAUAUGGUUUCUUCUAAAAUGGCUUCACCGAAGCUUGGAUUGAAACUAUUGUAGUAAAUGGAUAAGAAAUUUUGUAUGUAUGGAUGAAACUAGUGUAACAUAUGGUUUGGUACGGAUGAAAUUUGCAUAAUAUGUAUGGAUUAUGGAUGAAACUUAUUUUAUUAUGGUUAUGAGUAUGGGUAGUUGUGUGAAAUAUAUUAUGUCAUUUGGAGCCUUUGUGCGAAAUAUAUUAUGUCAUUUGGGGCAGUUUGUGUGAAAUAUAUCCCUGAUUUGUGUGAAAAUUGUUGGAUAUUAUUAAAAAUAAAAUAAACAGUGGGAGUUUGGAACCUUUGUCGUGUUCCCACCGACGACAAAGGAGCUACAGCAGACGGCAAAGGGCCCAAACUGGACUGUUGAAUCAAAUUGGGUGCCCCCUUUUGCUGUAUGCCGAGCUGGUGGGCAGACGGCAAAGGGGCAAGUGAGAGGCGCUUUGGUGGUACCUUUCCAUCAACCCACCAGCACGGCAGACGACAAAGGUUAAAAGGGCAGACGACAAAGGGUCAAAGGGCAGAUGGCAAAGGGGAAAAUGAGAGGGGAUUUGGCGGUACCUUUGCCGUCAGCCCACUAGCAUGGCAGACGACAAAGGGGCAAAGCGCAGACGGCAAACUAUAUGUGGGCCUAGCACGCCUCCGUUAGCACUUGACGGAGGUACCCGCAGAUGUGUCGUCCCAUAUUCUUUGCCGUCAGCCCCCUCACGACAGAGAUCCUUUGCCGUCAACUGUCCCAAUGCAGACGACAAAGAGGCCCUUCACCGGAUUUUUGUUUGUCGUCCAGUUUGUCGUCUGCUGACGGACGGCAAAGGCCUUUGCUAUCCGGGGUGGCCCCCUUUAUCGUCCGCCAUGGCAGACGGCAAAGUCUCAGAUUCUUGUAGUGGUGGUUUAAAUAUCAUCCUCCCUUAGAAGUCAAUGUAGUUAAACCCAAUCCAGUUUAAGAGAAAUUCAUUGCCUAUAAUGAUCCUAUUGUUCCUAGUGCUUGCAUUAGGAGACCACCUCUCCCUGUUAGAAUAAAGGAUCAUUCUAAAGCUUCAACUGUGAUACAUAGGGUCUACAUUAGAACAUCUACACCCCCUGAGCAAAUUAGAGUUGAACCUAGCAUUGCUAUUAUCAAAGAUCUCCUGUCCGACAAUGUUGAUGGCCAUGAUAUUCACUUCCGUGAAGAUGCUGUUAGAAUUGCUAAACCUCAUGCUAGAGACAAACAUAGGCAUGUUGUUGGCACGCUUGUAAUUUCUGUUAAGAUAGGAGAGCAUUGUUAUCAUGGUUUAUGUGAGGUGGGUGCUAGUGUUAGUGCAAUACCUCAAUGUUUGUAUGAUGAAAUUAAAGACGAGAUUGCACCUCUCGAGAUGGAACCUAUUGAUGUCACAAUUCAGCUCGCCAAUAGAGAUACUAUCUGCCCUUUGGGAAUUGUUAGAGAUGUUGAAGUCUUGUGUGGUAAAACUAAGUAUCCUGGCAAUUUUCUCGUUCUUGCUACCACAUAAGAUAGCUUUUGUCCCAUCAUAUUUGGCAGACCUUUUCUCAAUACUGUCAAUGUUCAUAUUGACUGUGAGAAGCAAACUAUCACUGUUGGCUUUGAAGGUGUGUCACAUGAGUUCAAUUUCUCCAAGUUCGGUAGACAACUUCAUGAAAAAGAGUUGCCUAGUAAAGAUGAAAUUAUUGCUCUAGCUUCUAUUGUUGUGCCUCCUACUGAUCCUUUAGAGCAAUACUUGCUUGAGCAUGAAAACGAUAUGCAUAUGGAUGAAAGGAAUGAGAUAAAGUUAUCUUUGAACAACAUCAUAUCCUUAAGAAUAAUUUUCAUGUUGAACUGCUUGGAGAUCCACCCCCACCAAAGGGUGAUCCUGUGUUCGAGCUUAAACAGUUGCCUGCACUCUUAAGUAUACUUAUCUUGAUGAAAAAGAGAUAUAUCCUAUUAUUAUUAGUGCUAGCCUUUCGGAGCAUGAAGAAGAGAAAUUAUUGAAAACUCUGAGGAAGCACCGUCUUGCUAUUGGAUAUACUCUUGAUGAUCUUAAGGGCAUUAGUCCCACUAUAUGCCAGCACAAACUUAAAAAUGAUCCUGAUUCCAAACCAGUUGUUGAUCAUCAACGGAGAUUAAAUCCUAAGAUGAAAGAGGUAGUAAGAAAAGAAAUACUAAAGCUCCUGGAAGCAGGUAUUAUCUAUCCUGUUGCUCAUAGUGAUUGGGUAAGUCCGGUGCAUUGCGUCCCUAAGAAGGGAGGUAUUACCGUUGUCCCUAAUGAUAAGGAUGAAUUGAUCCCAUAGAGGAUUGUUACUGGCUAUAGGAUGGUGAUUGAUUUUAGGAAAUUGAAUAAAGCCACCAGGAAAGAUCAUUACCCCUUGCCUUUUAUUGACCAAAUGCUAGAAAGACUGUCUAGACACACACACUUCUGCUUCCUAAUUGGUUAUUCCGGUUUCUCCCAAAUAGCAGUUGCACAAUCUGAUCAGGAGAAAACCACUUUUACUUCCCCUUUCGGUACCUUUGCUUACAGACGUAUGCCUUUUGGCUUAUGUAAUGCACAUUCUACCUUUCAAAGAUGCAUGAUGGCUAUAUUCUCUGACUUUUGUGAAAAGAUUGCUGAGGUUUUCAUGGAUGACUUCUCCGUUUACGGGUCUUCGUUUAAUGAUUUCCUCAGCAACCUUGAUCGAGUUUUGCAGAGAUGUAAAGACACCAACCUUGUCCUGAAUUGGGAGAAGUGCCACUUUAUGGUUAAUGAAGGCAUCGUCUUAGGACAUAAAAUUUCUGAAAGAGGUAUUGAAGUCGAUAAGGCUAAAGUCGAUGCGAUCGAGAAAAUGCCAUGCCCUACAGAUAUCCAAGGUAUAAGAAGUUUCCUUGGUCAUGCUGGUUUCUAUAGAAGGUUCAUUAAGGAUUUUUCUAAGAUUUCUAGGCCUCUUACCAAUCUCUUGCAAAAGGAUAUUCCUUUUGUUUUUGACGAUGAUUGUGAGGAAGCCUUCGAAAUACUUAAGAAGGCCUUGAUAACUGCACCUAUUGUUCAACCAGCUGAUUGGAACUUACCUUUUGAAAUUAUGUGCGAUGCUAGUGAUUAUGUUGUGGGUGCUCUCCUUUGAUAAAGAUUUGAUAAGAAGUUGAAUGUUAUUCACUAUGCUAAUAAAACUAUAGACAGUGCCCAACGGAAAAGGAAUUUUUAGCAGUCAUGUUUGCAUGUGAAAAGUUCAGAUCUUACAUUGUUGAUUCGAAGGUUACUAUUCACACUGAUCAUGCUGCUAUUAAGUACCUCAUGGAAAAGAAAGAUGCUAAACCUAGACUCAUCAGAUGGGUUCUCUUGCUACAAGAAUUUGAUUUGCAUGUUGUUAAUAGGAAGGGUGCUGAGAACCCCAUAGCAGAUAACUUGUCUAGGUUGGAGAAUGUUCUUGAUGACCCACAACCUAUUGAUGAUAGCUUUCCUGAUGAGCAACUGAAUGUCAUCAAUGCUUCACGUAGUACACCGUGGUAUGUUGAUUAUGCAAAUUAUAUCAUUGCCAAAUAUAUACCACCUAGUUUCACAUACCAGCAAAAGAAGAAAUUCUCCUUUGAUUUGAGAUAUUACUUUUGGGAUGAUCGUCACCUUUAUAAGGAAGGAGUAGAUGGUGUUAUUAGGCGUUGUGUACCUGAGCAUGAAUAGGGACAGAUCGUACAGAAGUGUCACUCUAAGGCUUAUGGAGGACACCAUGCGGGAGAUAGAACUACAUACAAGGUAUUACAAUCAGGUUUCUAUUGGCCCACUCUCUUCAUGGAUGCCCGUAAGUUUGUCUUGUCUUGUGACGAAUGUCAAAGAAUAGGUAAUAUCAGUAAACGUCAGGAAAUGCCUAUGAAUUAUUCACUUGUCAUUGAACCAUUUGAUGUUUGGGGUUUUGAUUAUAUGGGACCUUUUCCAAAGUCCAACGGGUAUACUCAUAUCCUAGUUGAUGUUCAUUACAUUACUAAGUGGGUAGAAGCUAUCCCAACUAGUAGUGUUGAUCACAACACCUCUAUUAGGAUGCUUAAAGAAGUUAUUUUCCCUAGAUUUGGAGUCCCUAGAUAUCUAAUGACUAAUGGUGGUUCACAUUUCAUUCAUGGUGCUUUCCGUAAAGCGCUUACUAAGUACAAUGUCAAUCAUAGAAUUGCAUCUCCCUAUCAUCCUUAGUCCAGUGGUCAGGUAGAGCUAAGCAAUAGAGAGAUUAAGCUAAUUCUGCAAAAGACUGUCAAUAGGUCUAGAAAGAAUUGGUCUAAGAUGCUUGAUGAUGCACUGUGGGCUUAUAGAACUUCUUAUAAGAAUCCCAUGGGCAUGUCUCCGUACAAAAUCUUCUACGGUACAACAUGUCAUUUACCUCUUGAGCUAGAACAUAAGGCUUAUUGCGCAAUCAAAGAGCUCAACUUUGAUUUCAAACUUGCUCGUGAGAAGAGGUUAUUUGAUAUUAUCUCACUUGAUGAAUGGAGAACUCAGGCAUAUGAGAAUGCCAAGUUGUUCAAAGAAAAAGUUAAGAGGUGGCAUGAUAAAAGGAUACAAAAACGUGUGUUCAAUGUAGGUGAUUAUGUCUUGCUAUACAAUUCUCAUUUAAGAUUUUUUGCAGGCAAGCUUCUCUCCAAGUGGAAAGGUCCUUACAUUGUUGAGGAAGUAUAUCGUUCCGGUGCCAUCAAGAUCAACAACACGAAAGGUAAUUUUCUGAGAGUGGUAAAUGGGCAAAGAAUCAAGCUUUAUAUCUCAGGUACUCCCAUAAAUGUUGAAAGCAAUAUUAUCAAUACCAUAACUCUGGAGGAGUACAAAAGGGAUAUUUAUCAGCCUGUUUCAGACUCCGAAAACAAAGAGGUAUGUGAUUCGGUAAGUAAACCGACUCCAAAACUUUUCCAGUAGGAAUUUUUCUCCGUUUUGGAAUUUUUAGAAAAAUAGAAAAAGUUAAAGUAGUCCGAAAAGCGCACGAGGAGGCGACAAGCCUGCUAGGCACGGCCUACCCCCCUGGCCGCGCCUAGGGGGCUUGUGGGCACCUCGUGUGCCUCCCGGACUCUGUUUUCUUGCGGAGUACUCCUUUUGGUCAGGAAAAAUUCAUUAUAUAUUCUCCCGAAAGGUCUGACCCUCGUAUCACGCAAAUUUCCUCUGUUUUCGUUGCGAGCUGCUGUGCAGACAGAUCUAGAUCACUAUGGCGUCCGCAAAAGCUCUGAAGGACAAGUUCUUCGAGAAGGUCAUCAAUCCCUACCUCGCGGGAGUGCUGCAACACCCUCAAUCUAUCGAGAUGCAUGAGGGGGUGCUGCAGAUCCGUGAUGUUGAGGGGCCCGAGAGGACCGAAAGCAUGGAGGCGAGGCUCGAAGCAAUGGAGCAGCAAGUCUUCAAGUGCCAAGGGAUGGUGGAACCCGGACUCAACACCAACCACAUGAUGAUCACGGAGUUCACCAACAAGCACAAGAUCGAUGCCAAUGACAUUGGGAAGCACCUCUCCAGACUCUAUGACAGAAUUGAUCACCUCCAAGCCAAGAUCUACGACCUGUAGAACCAAAACUGUGAGUAUGAGUAUAGAUUUAAGUCAAUACGGUUGGAUGCAGAUUUGAGGAUUCCGGAGACUCGAUCAUCUUUUCAUGACGGAGCACCUAUGCCUUGGAAGACGGAGGAUCAAACCCAGGUUGCAACAACUCCACCACCAUCACCUCGGAAGGAAGACAACUAAGCACGGGUAUGGGCAAUCCCCUUGGCUUGUGGCAAGCUUGGGGGAGUUGCCCCGGUAUCGUAUCACCAUCACAUCUUUUGCCUUUACCUUUUCUUAGUUCGUUCCUUUUUGGUUUUAUCUUCCUGUAGUAGAAUAAACUGCUUAGUGUUCUAGGCUUGAGUUUUGCUUUUUGUCACCCCCAAUGUAUUCGAGCUCGUGAGUCAUAUAAUAAAGAGUGUUUUAGUUGAGGGCCUUGCCUCAUGCCAUGAUCGGAAGAACAAAAGCAUGAAAUAUCAUGUAAUGAUAUUAUGGGAAGUGAUGGCUUCACAUAUAAAAAGAAUGUUGACUGAAACUUGUUGUGGGUGGACAAAAGUAGACCUUGGUCAUUGUUGCAAUUAAUAGGAAGUGAUAAAGAAAGAGAGGUUCACAUAUAAAUAUAUCAUCUUGGGCACCAUCUAUGAUUGUGAACACUCAUUAAACUAUUACAUGCUUAGAAGUAGAUGUUGGACAAGGAAGACAACAUAAUGAAUUAUGUUUGCUUGGUUCCGAACAACGUUAUAUGACUAGAGAUCCCUUAGCAUAUGACGAUUGCUUCCACCUCGUAUCAGCCAAAACUCCCGCACUAAGUAGAGAUACUACUUGUGCAUCCAUAAAACUUCAACCUAGUUUUGCCAUGAGAGUCCACCAUACCUGCCUAUGGAUUGAAUAAGAUCCCUCAAGUAAGUUGUCAUUGGUGCAAGAAAUAAAAAUUGCUCCCUAAAUAUGUAUGAUCUAUUAGUGUGUGGAAAAUAAGCUUUGUACGAACCUGUGAUGAGGAAGACAUAAAAGCGACAGACUGCAUAAUAAAGUUCUUUAUCACAGGAGUCAAUAUAAAGUGACGUUCCUUCACACUAAGAGGUCGCACAUCCAAACCUCAAAAGCGCAUGACAACCUCUGCUUCCCUCUGCGAAGGGCCUAUCUUGUACCUUUAAUUUUUGUCCUUAAAAGAGUCAUGGUGAUCGACACCAAUCCCUUAUUUCGCCUUUAUCUUGGCUAACGUCAUAUGCUAGGGAAAGAUCUAUAUUCAUAUGUCAACUUGGAAGUAAGUAUCCAUGAAUUAUUAUUGUUGACAUUACCCUUGAGGUAAGUAGUUGGGACGCGAAACUAUAAGUCCCUAUAUUUCUCUGUGUCCAACUGAAACUUUGAUCUCAUGAGUACCACGUGAGUUUUUGCAAUUGUAGAAGACGAACGAUGAUUGAGUAUGUGGAUUUGCUUUGCAAGCUCUUAUUUGACUCCUUCCGACGUUAUGAUAAAUUGCAAUUGCUUCAGUGACUAAAGGCUAUUGGUUCUUGAUCCAUACUUUAAUUUGUGAAGGAAUUAUCACUUUAUCUUAAGAGAUUAUAUGAUAAUAUUGUUGUUCUGAUUAUGAUCAUGAUGCCUGCUUGUCCGUAUCUUGUUUUGUCGACACCUCUAUCUCGUAACAUGUGGACAUAUUUAUUGAUCUCGACUUUCGCUUGAGGAAAAGCGAGGUCUAAGCUUGGGGGAGUUGAUACGUCCAUUUUGCAUCAUGCUUUCAUGUUGAUAUUUAUCGCUUUAUGGGAUGUUAUUACACUUCACGGUACAAUACUUAUGCCUUUUCUCUCUUAUUUUACAAGGUUUACAUGAAGAGGGAGAAUGCCGGCAGUUGGAACUCUGGCCUGAAAAAGGAGCAAGUUUGAGAUACCUAUUCUGCGCAACUCAAAAAGCCGUGAAAAUAAACGAGGAAUUAUUCUGGAAUUUAUAAAAAAUACUGGGCGGAAGAAGUACCAGAGGGGAGCCUCUAGGAGGCCACAAGCCUGCUAGGCGCGCCCUACCCCCUGUCCGCGCCUAGGGGGCUUGUGGGCUCCCUGUUGGCCCUCUGGCUCCCCUCUUUUUCUAUAAGGAGGGUUUCGUUCGAGAAAAAAUCAAGAGGAGGCUUUCGGGAGGAGUCGCCGUCGCCACGAGGCGGAACUUGAGCAGAACCAAUCUAGAGCUCCGGCAGGGCCAUCCUGCCGGGGAAGCUUCCCUCCAAGAGUGGGAAAUCGUCACCAUCGUCAUCACCAACACUCCUCUGAUUGGAGGGGACUCGUCACCAUCAACAUCUUCAUCAGCACCAUCUCAUCUCCAAACCCUAGUUCAUCACUUGUAACAAAUCUCCGUCUCGCGACUCCGAUUUGUACUUGUAAGGUUGCUAGUAGUGUUGAUUACUCUUUGUAGUUGAUGCAAGUUGGAUUACUUGGUGGAAGAGUUUAUGUUUAGAUCCUUGAUGCUACUCAUUACCUCUUUGGUCAUGAAUAUGAUUAUGCUUUGUGAGUAGUUACUUUGGUUCCUGAGGACAUGGGAUAAGUCAUGCUAAUAGUAAUCAUGUGAAUUUGGUAUUUGUUCGAUAUUUUGAUGUGUUGUAUGUUGUUUUUCCUCUAGUGGUGUUAUGUGAACGUCGACUACAUAACAUUUCACCAUUAUUUGGGCCUAGAGGAAGGCAUUGGGAAGUAGUAAGUAGAUGAUGGGUUGCUAGAGUGACAGAAGCUUAAACCCUAGUUUAUGCGUUGCUUCGUAAGGGGCUGAUUUGGAUCCACUAGUUUAAUGCUAUGGUUAGACUUUGUCUUAAUUCUUCUUUAGUAGUUGUGGAUGCUUGCGAGAGGGGUUAAUCAUAAGUGGGAGGUUUGUCCAAGUAAGGGCAGCACCCAAGCACCGGUCCACCCACAUACCAAACUAUCAAAGUAGCGAACGCGAAUCAUAUGAACAUGAUGAAAACUAGCUUGAAAGAAAUUCCCAUGUGUCCUCGGGAGCGCUUUACUUCCUAUAAGAGUUUGUCCAGGCUUGUCCCUUCCUACAGAAGGGAUUGGGCCAUAUUUCUACACCUUUGUUACUUUCUACUUGCUAUGAAUCAUCUUAUCACAAAGCUAUCGGUUACCGAUUAUUUCAGUGCUUACAGAAAAUACCUUGUUGAAAACCACUUGUCAGAUCCUUCUGCUCCUCGUUGGGUUCAACACUCUUACUUAUCGAAAGGACUACAAUAGAUCCCCUAUACUUGUGGGUCAUCAUCAUCCUUAUGCCUGGCCACGGGAUUACUUAAAAUUCUCUUGGCCAACUUGGAAGAAAGCAAUCUUUCCAAGCAACCACCCAUGUACUGAAGGACAAGGAUGACAAACUACGAGCAGACAACACCAAGAGAAGUAUCUCCUUGAGGAACGAGGAUAUCAAUACCUAGAAGAUGGCGACACCCUGGACACUGUUCCGGAGUGAUGCACCCUUCACCUGUGAUGAUCGGUACAUAAUAUGUGCAAGACCAUGAUCUGCAUCGCUAAUAGAGCGACCCUAUCAAAAUCAAGAUUGUGGCGACCACCACAGGUGGAUGAGAACCUCGCCAUUUGGUCCGCCUCACCUUAGUGACCAGGAAAACGGUUCUCUUCAUCCCCCGCUCUAGGUGUCGAUAUUAUGACAAAGUGACUGACAGGUCAGAACUCUAUCAUGGCUUGCUGACAUCAUUGCAUAAAGGUUGUCCACGUCGAACUCUCGACACCCCGGAAAACAAGAAGACAAUGGCAGGAUUAUGAAGGCAACAGAAGACCCUGUCAACGACAGCCAUGAAGGACCACCCUCGUUGGCAGCUCACCAGAAGAGAAGUCAUCAAGAAUUAUUUCAACUCAACCCAAGUCGUUUCGGCGAGCAACAACAAGAGAUGUGGAAACACCAUGAGAAGUCCAGAAGACUUAGCGGACUCCUCUCCGAGGCACGAAGCAAACAUGACUGUCGACUCCGAGAACCCUAGGAUAGGAUGAGUCGUAAAUCCCCUAUACGAAGUCGAGUCCGUGGAAUGGUUUGAAUGGAACCAUGUUGUGUGUUGCUUGUUUUUGUUGUUUGUGCUUUGAUAUAAGUCGCACUUUUGCUCUAGGAAACCAGCAUGCUGUUAUAUCACUUGCCUCAUCUUGAUGCUUGAAUUGACUUCCUAACACUUGAUUGACUACACCUGCACUGUAGCACCCCUUAGGCACUCUCCUUUGUGCUGCUACUCUCUCUCUCGCUCACCCCUCUCGACAACGGAAGACCAGCAAGACAAGAUGCACCGGGAAUCCACUUCGACGGACAACUGGCGCUGAAGACACUGACUAUACCAUGCUUAACCACACACUACCCAUAGGAAUUAUGCUUUCCCUCAAAAUCGGAAACUCUCUUUAGACCAGACUAACCUCCACAAGCCUUUCCGGCUCAAUUUUCUGGUCACAUGUCUAAUGAAUGGACUUGUGAGAACACCCGUCGAUCCCCGAUAAACCCCGCUUAGCACCGGGUUACUCAUGGAAUGAGUGAUCAUAGUGAACAAGUAUCCUUCAAUAUUAAGCUAGCACCAUAACCCUGAUGCCAUAAGAAGGACCGUUCUCGGAUAUAAGAGUAUUAGACUAAGGUUGUUGUGGUGAUGAUAGUUGUCUUGAGGAUAUAGCUAGACUACCUUGGUGGAGCGUAAGACCCUUAAAAAGGUAGGUGAACUUGGUGGAACAAGUCGACAAAGUAGCAUAACCUACAUAUUCAUCGAGUAAGUUUGGAUUCAGUAAGACAAUUAUGAUCACGAGCAAUAAUUCUUGGUGGUAUAGUUGACUUUAUCAGGUAGAUGACAUGAUUUGAUGAUUUUACCAUAGUGACUUGGAGUAGCAAGUAAAAUUUCUUAUUGGACUUGAGUUUUGGAUUUAAAUAGGUAAUCCCAAUAGGGUAUUAAUGAUGUAUGAGGCCACAUGGUUCGGAAUAAAUUGGAUUUAGCCCGAUGAUCUCGAUCAUGGUACCAUGUUUCUCGGUGGAUAACAAGUAGAAGUAAUUGGAGUUGUCGGAUUGAUUUACGAACCUAUGUGAAUUGGCCUUGGAGAUGAGAUGGACAUGAUAUUGGAAGUUUGUGGGUAUACUAUGAUGUAAUCCUUGCGGUAAUAUAUGAAUUAUGAGGGCUCUAAGUGAUCCUAUAGAACCCCAUCAAUAUUGGAUUAGUAGGAGUGAUGGGUCCAGUGAUGAUCAACCGGAUUGAUGGGCCACUCGAUCGGAUUCGUAGAAAGGAAACAAGAUCUUAGAUUGGUAUACUAUGUGUUUCCUUAAUAUAGAAAUGCAGUACCCUGUCCAUUGAAUGAUCUAGCUGGACAUUCGGAUUUGUAGCAUCCCAGUUCAAGCUUUGGAGCUUGUAUGUCUUUCCGAGGUUCUUGCAUAGGAAUGCAUGUGCAUCGUAGCUACACCAUACUUGUAGUGUUUGGUUUUAGUCCUUCCCUCAACCCCGAAGUUGACUAGCAUGAGUGGUGUGGAGUUGAAUUAUGUGAGAUAGUAUCUUCGAUGAAAUAGGGUGAUUUUGUCCAGAGGGAGAGAUCCGACUACUGGCAUCUAAGGAAUGUGCUUAGAGAUAAGAUGUUGAAUGUUCACCCACAUCCUAAGUUCCUUGAGACCCUAAAGCUUCACCAAGCCAUAAGGUGAUCGGAUUACGACCAUAGAAAACGACUCUAAGUCGUUGGAAUAUGUCCAGUACUCCGCCCAACCGCCACCCAUCGUGCCUAUGACAAACAUGGACAUCGGGUACCAGCUCAUGUUGGACCACGAACCUCUCGGCUAGUGACCACCCGUAUCAAGUCCCCGUUCUCCUCACCUGUCUCAUGAGCACUGUGUUUAUGUCAUGCUUGAGGAAAAUGUGUUGUUAUCCUCACGGAUGACAUACCUAUCCACCCGAUAAGAGGAAGAACACCUUAGUCAUGUUUGGACGAGCCCUAGGAACACCGAUUGCUAUGCCUCUCGAGGGUACAGUGUUAUCUCAAGAGGAUCGGCUUCUCGACGCAACCUCAAGACAGCAAAAGUCUACCCUACCCAAGACAAGACAAAGAACCGCCAUGGUUGGGAAACCACGCCAAUGACAAGGAAGCAGAAGACGUCAACCACCGACCCUGCGCCGACUACAUAAACAAUACCAAGAAGCCUUGACGAUUCAAGCCGAUGAAGCCCUUGGACCAUGAGAGAAAUCAGAGAGCCUCUUCUUGGUCCAAACCAAGGACGAGGGUCCUAAUUGGGUCGUGGUGAAAAUCUGCUAAAGGUGAUUCACCUGCUUGCCGAGCCACAGACCUUGGGAGUGGAUAACUGGUCUAUACUCUUGGGUAGGCAGCUCAUCGAGAACCCCUCGCGAACCCUCCGAGAUGGUCGGACCUGUUCUGGACUCUGAGUCUCCGAGCUUAGAUUCAUGGGUGAGACCCAACCUAGACCCUUUCGCGAGAAGCCUUCAAAGACCACUUCAACACCCUCGUGGAUGAAGACCACCUAUGACCAUAGCAUGCAUGCCUUUAGGGAGUCAAAGACUUUCCUGUCAGCAUGGAGCUAUGCGAAGAUUUUGACAGUACGUUCUAAAUGUCACUAACCGGCAUGAGCAGCCCACGAGCACAACCGAGGCACAUUAUCUUGCCCCAUAUUCCUACCUUGGAAUGCACUUGCAAGAACCUUGCACGAACUUAGUUCACACAGCCCUUGACCCUCGGUCAAGCCUAACUUAUUGCCAAACCCGCUCAGGCAAGGACGUGUGGCGCAUUUGAAACUGUAUCAUCAAGCACCUCAAGACACACAACAACAACACGGGGACAUGAAGACUACCACCGACUCAAGAAUUAGUAUCUCUCCAACCCCUAGCCUAGAAACCUCGGGGACGAAAUUUUCUUAAAGGGGUAAGGUCUAUAACACCCUGUGUUUAGCUUUCCUGACUAAUUAACUUAUUUCAAAAAUUAGGACCAAUUAAAAUUUUUGUGAAUGCUUGUGAUGCUUGAAGUGACUAUUGAUUGCUUGCUUGUAUGCCCGUGUUUGAUUCUCAAUGACUCCUGCUGCUGUGCAGACUCACCUCCUUGACCCAAACCCUUGCCUAAUGAUCAUGCCAUAUGUUUAGGAACAAAAACUAAUUUUACCAAAUCUUAUUUUCACCAAAAAGCAAUUCUUUAAAUUAAGCUUUCAAAACCCCUAAGAUGGGAUUUUUACUACAAGUCCUCAAAUCAGGGAAUUUAUUUUGCACCAAUUAUUUUAUUUAAAACCCAUUAUCAAAAUGACUCCCCAAAACCACAGUAUUAUUAUUUUAAAAGUUAUUUUGCUAUUUUAUUUAAAUGCCUUCCUGUGAGGCUAGAAAUGGUCUCUUAUGAAGGAAAGUUAUCUUUAUUGCUUUCAAAAUAUUAAGAAAAUUUAGGGAAACUCAGUGGACAUAUAUAUUACAUAUAUAUGAGUUUCAACACAUGGUCAUGUUCAAAAUAUUUGGCAAACCCCUCCAAAAUUCUUCCUGCCUAUUUCAAGCUUUUGAAAUAUUUCUAUAAUAAAGUAUUCUUAGUAAAUUCCUAUAAAAUUCUAGCAUAUCACAUAUGAUAUAUGUGAUGAACUUGCCAAGUUUCAUGUCAAUCCAAGUUGAAAUGACUCCCCAAAUUAUUCUGAAACCCUAUCUGUCCAGAUCAAAAUUUAAGCAACUCUACAUUGUCAUAUGUCUCCAAUUGUGCUCAAAUUUGGUAGACAUGUUCUGAUACUCCAAUAAUGCAGCCACACCAAGUGGUGCAUCAAGGAGAAUAGAAGAACUUGUCCCAAUCCUCCCAAAACCCUCUCUUUUGAUUUCUAACUUUCAGAAUAUUUAGAUUAUAAAGUUCCUCCAAUUGACCCCAAACUUUUUGGGCUUGAUUUAGUGCUCAAAUAAUGCCCACACACAAAAUAUUGGAUUUGUGAGAAUUGAUUUGAAUAGUUUUGUAAGCAGAAAGCCAUUUCUGCCCAUUUCAUGAGUUUUCCAAGUCUACAUUGGAAACCUUCUCCACCAAAUCCCAAAUUUUGUUUCCAAGCUUAUUUUCAUCUAUUAUUUGAUCCUCUUAUGUUUCAUAUCCAUUGAAGUUCAUCUGGUUGCCCUGACACUCAUCAAACACCUUUUGUGCACUCACUUUAAUGUCUACUUUGGCACCUUCCACUUUAACCCUUGAGCUCAACUUUCUACCACAGCCUCCCCUAGUUGCCUUUUUACUCGAGUAGCAUUUCCAUGGCCACUGGUCAAUUAUUAGAGAGAUCCUCCAUGUAACUACUUCUCAUUUUUACCCUUGGAUCACCAUUUUUAUCUCUCUUGUCCCACUUCUGCUUAAGCCAAAGCCCCCACCUCUUUCUAGAGGCUCCCUAGCAUCCCAAGGCAUCAUUUCAAACCAAGUUAUGGCAUGCUCAUCUGCAAGUUGAAUUGUGGCUGAAAUGUAGCUUUGUACAACAAGUACUAGCUACCCUCCCUUUCUUGAGCUAAAACUAUGAAGUGGUGUAGUCCUUCCAUACCAGAUGCUGCUAGACAUGGUUUCACCCCAAGUUUCCCCCUCUGAAAACUACCUUUGCCAGCCCCAAGUUUCCUACUUGAAUCUUAACCAUUGCCAAAACCAAUUCAAACCAGCCCCACUUGCAACCAAACUCCAGAGUCUCCUUCCUGCAUGUGUUCCCUACAUGUUGGACAUGUUUGACUGGUCAUAGCAGCUCUGUGGACAUGAGUGGCCAUGGGGACCACCCUGGCAGCAUGCAACAAUGGUGCUCUGCAUCCUUUUAUUUUGCUACAGCUUGGGUCCAUGGAUGGUUGUGUGUCCCAGCGUGCCAGGGCACUCCCCUUGACCGGUCCAAGCCCUCCCCGACACCAGCUCGCCUCCAAAGUGCUCCAGGGACGCGUGUAUGCCACGUGCCCAGACAGCACCGAAAUCUCCCGAGCUCUCUCNCUCCUCACCCCAAGCUCUCUCGGGCUCUCCCUCACUCCCUCCUUUCUCCUUCAACCUCCUAGACCUCCCCUCCUUUCCCUUCGAUCCCUGAGCUCUUCUCCUCCUCUAAUGGACAAAGCCACCGGCGGCCCCUUCUUCAACUUGGGCUCCCACGACCUUCUCCCUCCCUGAGGAUGCGUCGAGAGGCCUCCCUCCUCUUCGCAGCUCCACCCCUUCUUCCUCUUCCCUUCUGGUGGCCGGAGCACCGCUCCCCACGGCCACCAUCGAAGCCCUUGCCACAGCCAGUUCGGCCAGAGACGUUCCGGCCCUCCCCCGCGCUCUCCAGCCAUUGGAAUGGGUGCGGCGCAGUCCCUGACCCAUCAGGACCGUCGGCCAUCGCCGGGGGUAGCCGGAGCCACCGGGGCACGCAGUAGUUGCUGCCUUGCCUUGCCUCCCCUGCCUGCUCUCAGAUCAAGCGGGAGGAGGAAGACAGGUCCGACGGCCUGGGCCCGCGUGUCGGUGAGAUAGAGGCCCGGGGCCCCUCGUUCAAGUGGAUCCGCCACGCUGAAGCACGCCUCUCUGAGGCUAAGGCGCACCGGGUGGAUUCCGCCUUCAACGUGGCCACCAGCCGCCCAGGACGAAGCUGCUGGGCUGGCCCACUUCCCUCUCCAGCGCCUGAGCGCAGGAUAGCCAUGUGGCUCAGCUUUUAUCAUUUUCUUUUUGCGGAAAACGUCAAAAAUCCAUGAUAAAAUCAUUUGAGCUCCAAAUUUCAUAAUUCAAAUUUCUGCAGGUCCCUAAAAUCAAGAUCUAUCCAGAGAUGUGCUUUGCACAUUUUUACAAACCACUUGUAUAUUGUAUUUAUAUUAUAAUACAGAAAUGAGUGUUUCUAGCCCCCUUUCAAAAAAUACUAGAGGAUUCAAAUCCACUCCAAAUGGAGUCAUUCCAAAUUCGAGAGCCUUCUAAUAUCAUGCCCUAUUUUUAGAGCCUUGGUCAACAUUUUUGUAUGGCAUAUUUUUGUUGCAAUAAAUAUAUAGCUCCAUUUUGCUAUUUAUCCCAUAUUAGAAAAUCCAUAUAAUAUUCAUACCAACUCCAAAUCCUGUGAAACAACUUCCUAAAUAUUUCUAAAAUUAUGCUCUAUUAAAUGAGUGCCUCCACUCAUUUUUAUCAUGAUACUUUCUGUAGACUCCUUUUAAGAUCACCUAUUCCUCCUUUUGUCCAUUGAAAAUUCUCUGAUGAUCCAAAUCUCCUAUGGGAAGCUUCACGUAUUUUUUUCUUAUGACCAGAGAGGUCCGAGAAAAAUAUAACUCCUAUUUAUGUAGCACUUUUAUUUCUGCUUGUUGUGUGGCUUACUGUGUUGUUUCCGAAGUUAGUUGACGGAGUAGACGGAGUACUCCGAGUUGGCCCGAAGACCUCGAAGACCUCGAAGACCCCGAGGACUUGUGAGGAAAGGCAAGCAGCCCUUUGACCAUGUCUGAGCAAAUCCUAUAUUGCAUGCUAGUAGAGAAAUUAUUCCCGUUGCAUAUGAUCAUAAGUAUUCGGUAAAUCAUCGAAGUGAUGUUACCGAUGGCUCCUCCGGAGCACUUGCAUUUUGAGCAUGAUCCUACCACCUAUGAGGGUCACGCUAUUACCAUGUUGGGAAGUAGAGCUAAGAAUAGUAGAAGCAUGAGCAUGAUGGUGGUAAAUAUCAAAGGUUUAUGAAAACCCCGCCGGGUGCCACUAGUGUCCGAGGGUGAUGAUGAGAUAGGUGGGCACUUUUGGAUAAGUGGUGCACUAGGUGUAUUUUGGUGUGAGUGGUUUUGGAAAUGGGAUUAGAUUUAUGAUGUGUCUACCAUCCCAACCUUACAUGUGUGACCACGUUACCCCUUUAUGGGACGGGGCUUUGUUGAUUACUCUUGUCGGUGCUAGCAAAGAGCCACAUUACUAGUGGCGGGAGUGAUGUGUGGUCACUGUCGUGACGGGGUCAUGCCAGGUAGGGCGACUAUGUCGUUUUUACGUGUUCCGGGCACACCGUUGGUCCCCCGCAUGGAUGAUAUUGUCCAGAGUCGAUGCUCGUAAGACGUACAUCAUGUGGGCUGGGUACCAAUCGAGUGCACUUCUUUGUCUAGUAUCGUCAGGGGGAAGGCAUUAAUCAGGUACUUACCUCGGGUAUGUUAUAUACCGUGAGUCGUGGAUGACACAGAAGUUUCCCGGAUCUCAUGGGUACAGCGUACAACCUGUGCAGAGUGUCAAACAAUUCGAAUAACCAUGUCCACUGUCAAGGACAGUUGGGUGUUGUUGCUUAAACUACGACCAGUCGUUUCCGCAUAAACCAAGUGUGUGUGUGUUUAAUGGUGUUAAUAUGAAAGAAUUGAUAUGACCAAGUUUGGUGACUUGGCAUAUCGGGUGAACCCGGAGCGUUCAACCCUUGGCAGAUAUAUUGAUAUCUGUAACCUGUUCUUCUAAACCGCAUCUAGCUUAUGUUGCACAUCCAUUUAUGAUCAUGUUAUUUACAGUCAAGCUACUAUCCACCAAUACUGGGUAUUACUUGUUACCGUACCAACUACAUUAUCAUAUCAUGGGCGGUUUGCGAGUACAAUGAAAGUACUCAUUGGCUCAUCACUGGUUAUUUCAUUGACCAGGUAUGAGAGGAGAGGAUAUGGUGGAGAGUAACUCGUUGACGUUCUUGCGAGCUAGGACGCUUCCCAGUCAGAAUUCAUGUAGGUUUAGGCUGAUGGCAUGGGUUCACGCUUUCGACCAACAUUUCCACUAUUGGUCCAGUUUGGUGUGUUGGUCCUCAAGGCCCUAUAUAUGUAAGACUUGACCACAAUGGUCAUUUAUUGUAUCAAACGGUAUGUAUGGAUGUAAGACUCUUGUUAUUCAGUUUUUGUGUGUUCGGUGAGCAUUGAUCUCUGGGAUCACUGAGCACGUUCAUUCGGCGAUCUUGACGGUAUCACCAUCUCGCUGAGGAAUCAGGUGCAAAUCACUGGGCUGCCUUGGGAUCUUGUUACCCCUGUGGUAUGCACUAACAAAUUGGUUGCAUAGAUCCGCCUAGAAGGAAAUAGACCCCUCUAGCAAGUUCAUCAACCAACUCCUCACAUUGGGUUUGAGCGCCAACGGGAAGUAGUUGGCGAGCACUUUCUUGUCGCAUCCCCCGGUAGCAUGCACCGCUAUCAUGUAGUUGCCAAGGAAGUCUGACGGGCUGAUCUUGACGUUGCUCCUGUUUGAAGGCUCUGCAAGAAGGCGAGCGGACUUGUCGCAGCUCGCAGGUGAAUGCCGGGCAACCAACCUUGUAAGGUAGGCUGUCGGGUGCUCCUGGCGGUGGCUCGUCAACGACUGGAUCGACGUGAUCGUCUUAUUGGUGAGAUGUUUCCCAUCGCCUCCUGAUAGUGGUGCGCGCGUCCUCCUUUCUCUUGUCCUUCAAGACCUUGCAUUGAUCUUUCUUCUGUCGCGGGCCCGUUGAGGUGUGAGAUAUAUCGUCCUACACAUCGGUCUUGCGGGUAGGUUGUUGCUAUUGUGGGGGCAACUACAAUGUAGGCUCUCAGUCUACACUGUGUCUGAUGGUAGGCCUCAUCGGGGCCGCCUCACGCGUGUGUGAAGCUUCCGCUGCAUCAGGCUGGUCGCAGUUCGCGAAGCUCAGCUGACUCUAGAUGGUCGCCCUUCAUUCUUGCAUGUUUUUUGGUGUGGGCGGGAAGUUCAGCAGCAGGUGGCCCUGCGCCAGGGCUUCGUCCUAGUUUUGGGCAUCGAGCCAUGCAAGGAGUGAGUGGUUCUCUAACUCCUAGCAAUGCUAGAAGGCGCUCAUCACUGUGCCAUCGCCCACUAUCCACUCUUACCAGGGGGUUGUUGACGAUGUUGGCCCUGUGCACCCUGAGGUUGGUGCAUAGUGGUAUUAUCCGCAUGUCGGUCAGGGUCGCCUCCCUCGAGGCGUUGGUUGCGAUGGUCUUGUGAAGCACACGGUGGAGGCGUUGUCUUACAUGCCGCAACGUUAGGGGUGGCAUUACCCAUGACAUUCAUCAUCGAUGUUGCUGCACUGCCACCUUCGGAACCCACUUGUGUGUCCUCAAAUGUCACGACAGCUGGGUCUGGGUCCUGGCUCGUGGAGCUCCGCGCGGUGUUGUGGCUGCACUCUCCUCUAUGGAGUGCGCAACGCCAGUCCCCAUCUCCGUUGCUCGUAGCAGCUGGCGUGGGCAGCUUGGAGAUAAAGAUGGAACGAUUACUAAUGUUCCGUGGCCUUCUUAGGUGCCAGAGGAGCUUGAUGAAGAUGUUGGAGAAUACACGCAGUGUAGGAGAAGAUUCAUGCACCAAAUCCCCCUACCUGGUGCGCCAAACAUGUAGGGGUACGACGAUCUAUGGGACCGUCAAGGUCCCUUUUGCUAUGGUUCUAUAGGGACUACGGGCACACAAAGAGCAUCAGCGAAACCUGCAUGUGUAGGGUUUAGACAGGUUCGGCCGCUCGGAAGCUUAAAACCGUACAUCAUGUGUUUUGGUGGAUUAUGUUGAUUAUCACAGUACAGAUGCGCUCGUCCGGUAAGGAUGCUCGAUGGCAGCAGCUACAUCUGUGGAAUGAACAGAGUGUUGACCUUUCUAAAGGUAGCCAUGGACCUCCUUUUGUAGUCCAAAAGGUUACCAAAGUGGCUAAAUCAGUCUUUUUUGUGGGAGAAUAGUCCACAAGCUAACUGCCAAAGCUAAUGAGAGAAGCAACAGUGGGAAAUACCUAAAUCUAAUGGGCAGAGACAAACGCAUUAAAUGCACAAUGAGGUGGUGCGUUGGCAACGUCCCCUGAAAAGAAUUGCCUCUCCUUCUGUGUCGUUUUCCCAACGACCUUCUAUUUGCUGGACAUGCCGCGGGACGGGUGUCAUUAAAGUGGAUGCAUGCCCCUGACUAGACCUAGCUAACCGCGUGCCCGCUCUACACCUCACUAACUCUGACAAUCAGCCUCAUGAGGUGGAGCGGCGAAUAUCUGGAGGGGUCAUGUCGGCCAUGGUUGCUGUUAGGUUCUCCUCCUCCUUGUCGGGGCCUUGUUUAUGGUUUUGGCUCGUUGUUGAUCGAAGGUUGGCAUUGGUCGACAGUGUCUUGCAUGCCCGAUUGCACAUUUUAAUACACCAACAAUUGGCUUCUCAGCAACACGACGUUCAUGCAAUCGUACGUCAAACAAGAAGUGCUUCAGCUAAUAAGAGGAAACCAGGCACGGUUGCACACAUGACUAUGGUGCCCCAAAAAUCGUGAAGGGAUAGGACCAAUAGCCUCCUACUACAAAGACUCCUGGACCAUAAUCAAACUAACAACAUGUUUUCCCAUGGGAUGGGUAAUCCCGGUUCUAACGAGAUCCGCAAAGAAGAAGUUGAAAAGCUACUUUCUAGUAAGAAGACAAACCCAUUUGAAGCGCGCAAGUACAAGCAUGGACAACCCUUUCUUGUUGUCAAAUACUUUGAUGAGUGCAGUUCCAGUUGUCGCAAGUUACAUAAAUAUUGCAUGAAAAGAAUGUUAGAAGGAGAAGAUCAUACCAUUAUGUAACUUCACUACCAUAGUAGGCAUUUCUCGCUCCUUGGACGUACCAUUAGUGUGGAAUUCAAGGACUUUCAUCUCUUCUUCAACUUUGAUGAUCUUGCUACCACUCUUGUCAAAUUCUUGAUGUUGUAAGUACUUCACAAACUGUGAUAAACUUCUCCAGACAUCUAUAAAUGAAAAAGAAGCUAAUUGUAUUGUAUUCCUCUCAAAGGAUUGAUGGCGUGCAGAUCAUUAAGGGUGCAUGCGUAUUUCAUAGAUCUUGAUUUAUCAAACGACUUUUUAUUAGAUAAUAAUCUUACAUGCAAGGCUUCCAUUGAUCACGUCACCAAUAUCUGGUGGAAUAUAUAGGAAGGAUAAUUCUUCAUGUGGCCAUAUCACGAACGGUAAGUUAAAUAUACAACCACGCAUACAUUGGUCGUCUUUCAGUUUUCAACAUAGUUUGUAAGUUCAAGAUUUUCUUAAACUGCAACCAUCACUGGAUCUUGGUGGUCAUUGUUCAAGAACGCAACAUAGUUUACUACCUUGAUUCUAUCACAGAGUCAAAUAAGCCUUGGGAUGUGAAUCAACUUUAGGAUUUCAUGGUAGGUAUUGAAUUCUGUGAUGUUAAUAUGUUGUUUUCAUAUCUGGUUCAUGAAUUGAUUAUGUGAAAAUUCAUCUUCAUUUGCAGUGUAUUGUCAAACAACAUAACUUUAGGAGGGUCAUGGUUCAAACGCCAACUACCUCUACAACACAUGAUCGUUUCUCCGUGAAAUCUGAUAUUUUUAGAAAAUGCUAGUCAGAUAUUCCAGUUUCUAAGUAAACCUCUUUCUAUUUCUNNNNNNNNNNNNNNNACUUACACCAGUUAGGUUGUUUCUAACAGGGUAAAUACAUGACUAAUAUUGUACAAGAAAUUUAUGUUUCCUCAACAACAUCAAGGGACCAACCAAAGUGGAUACUACAUUUGCGCUCACAUGAUGAACCAAUGCGGACAUGUUGAAUAUGGUGUUGAUGCUGACAAAAUAGCACAAGCAAGUCUGUUUCUUAAUUACUAUCUUCGACUCCACAUGUAUGAGACAUUCUGAUCUAAAAAUCUUGGAGUUAAUCUUCAGACCGAUGACCUCUGAACCGCUUGCCGCAGAUGAGUUGUUGUCUAUUAGGUAAUUUAUCAGCACCUUCUUUGUGAAGCACUAUAUCAAGCCCAGUAAAGAUGUCAAAGGUUUGAGCAUUCAUAUCCCAUAAUAAUUAGUAUGCAUUCAUAUAGUGUUAUGAACUAAAUAUAUACACAUGGAUAUAUGGAUGCGUUGUUUUCCAUGUGAUCAUGUCUUUGUAUUUCAUACACUUUGAUUAUGUAUUGCAUAUAUCCAUAUAUGUGUGGAAUUUAGCGGACAUUUUCUCAAUUGCAUAUUGUGGUCCUAUGGACUCUAUUUGUUCAAUUGCAUAUUAUGGCGAAAUAUGAUGAAUGUUCCUCAUGUGGACACUAGUUGUUCGAUUGCAUAUUGUGGCGAAUUUUCUAUUCGCGGGGUGAUUAUACGGGGUGCAUAGGAUCUCCUCAAUCGUCUGCGAUAGCACUUUAUCUCACUCGUGAGCCAACAAGAAACUGUGCCCGAUGCAAGGACGAUCCCAUCCAUAAAUUUUUCAGGAAACAUGUUUGAUGAUAUCAUGCAUGGCAGACGCUUGCCAAAGAAAACUCAUGUGCGAUGAUGCAGAUAUCACACACAGUUUCUAUGGUGGUCCAUGUGGAUUAGGUAACAUUUCACAAAUAGUUAAAUGCAGAACACUGUUUGUUUUUCAUGAUCAAUUAGACGUCUUUGAUUCUUGAUGAACAUGUGUGAUUGAUCCCUAAUCCCACACGUAAGCUAAAAAUAUAGUGUGUUCGAUAUGUUCGUGCAUCACACACGAUUAUGUUUUGCAGAGCAUCUGCACCAUUAGUCACCAUCGCCGACAUGUUUUUCGUGUCGCGUGGGAUGCUCCCUAUUGCCCACAUAUGCAAGGCGACGGUUUAAAACCACAUUCCAGAAAGGGAUUAAAAACCAUUUAUAUAGCAUGUCACUUUACCAGUGCUUGUUUGAGUCAUAUGUCCCUCAAAGCUUUUAUAUAUUAUAUUGAAAAUCCUUAUUUGAAGCUUUGAUGUAUGUUGUCAUCAAUUACCAAAAAAGGGGACAUUCAAAGCACACUUGCUCCCUAGGUGAUUUUGGCAAUUCAUGCCAACAUGCAUAUUGUUAGACUAAUGCUUUACUCAAGUGUAUUGUAGAAAAGGUUCAACCUAGGCAAUAAAUUGGGUGGAGACAUGGACCCCUCAGGUGUAGUGGCCGGUUUUCCACAAUAUAAAUUCCUAAAAAACAGGCCCUUGUGUUAACCAACCCUAGGAUUAUUAUUAGUUGGUGGACACUCACUUGAUACAUAAAUUCCAAGCAAAUACAAAAUAUGCAAUCUGGCCAAGACAAUAGCCAGGGACAAGCCAGAGAGUACUUUGAAUGUACUCGCAACAUCAUGAAAACAUAUAACUUAAAGCAGGUGAGAUGCAUGCACAAAAAAAUUAUAACACCUCAGAUGCCAUAAGAUUUAAUUCACAGACGCAGUCAUGCAGAUAAAUUAUUCCUACUCAUGAUGUAUAAGCAGACAAGGUAGAGAGUAAUAAUCAAUUUAAUGUGUCGAUCAGGUGUCUGAGGCGACACCUCGAAAGGGCAAGCAAUAUAAGCCACAGUCGGGUGUCUAAGCGGCACCACAUAAAGGGACUUAUAUCAGCAUAACAAAAGUAAUUCCACAGUCGGGCGUGUGGGGAGACACCGCAAAAAUGGAUUAUAAUUAAAUAUUGAUAUGUGUACCGCAGUUGGGCGUCUGGAGCGAAACCACAAAAAGGGCUUAUAAUAAUAUAAUAAUGAUGAAUAAGUAAUAACAUGCGUGCCAUAGUCAGGCAUCUCAACGACACCACAUAAAGGGCAUAUAUGAAAGUAAUAACACUUGCCACAGUCGGGCGUCUCAACGACACCACAAAAUGGCUUAUAUUAAAGUAGUAAUAGUUGCCACAGUUGGGCGUCUAAGUGACACCACAUAAAGGGCUUAUAUGAUAAAAAUAAUAGUUGCCACAGUCAGGCGUCUAAGCGACACCACAUAAAGGACUUAUAUGAUAAUAAUAACAUAGAUUAUCUAGGAGGUAGAACCGUCCGAAGGAUACUCAAAAAUUCAUAUACCAGAAAUGAUUAGUCCACAUCAAAAUUCAUAAUAAUUAUGGUUAUCAUACUCGUUCAUGAUCAUCAUCAUGUUUCAAUUAAUUCCUCCGAAGACUGACACUUCGACAGAAUUUGACCCAUCCCAAAAUGUAGUCCUUACCCGCGGACAUGGCUAUUCGAAUAGAUAUUUAACUCUGAAGAGGGUGUACUCUUUACCCAUGAGUAACGGAUUUCUUUAGUCAACAAGAGAUGUCAACUAAUUCUGAUUACGGUCUUUGAGUUGAAAACACACCUGACCUGCACACACUAGUUUAACUUCCCGAUGCGUGGGAUCACCCACGACACUCGUUAAGUAAGACUUUGAGUGGGAAGAUCACAAUCUCCACUUAGAAGGGGAUCACAUUUAUACCACGUGCUACUAAGGGGUGCCCCCUCUAAUCCCCAGGCCGGAAACACCCAUGCCGCCGGACCAAGUGGCAUGCCUACCAGUUGCAACUGGUAUCUUCCACUAUGGCCUCUCUGUAUGGUGUGUGCAAGGAAAGGGGUCGACAACUUACUCAACCACACCCUACCUGUCGUACAGACAAGUAGUAGCACAAAUCAAGUAUGAAGGUUACUGGCACAAGACCCAAUCUACGUUCUACUCGGGGGAUUAAGUUUGCAUGCAAGGGUUAGCACCACAAAAUUCCUGAAUGUUAUUCAAUUGGGUUACCACCGUCACACCUUGAUAUGCCCUCACAGAUCAUUAUCGUUGCCACGAGAUAUCGGUUUCACAGUCACAUGUUUACCAUGACAAACCUUCCUACGAUAUUGUCCAGACCCACAUGAGAUACAUGACAUCAGGUAGUACCCACUCAUCACUAGUAUUAUAUGCUCAACAGCAAAUAAGUACCCAUCACAUGCUUUGGCGCAAAAUAUGUUGCUAUGGAGAGUUUUUAUCUAAGUAGCAUAACCAUGCAUCCAUUCACCACAACAAGCCAUCACACACUUAAGACAAAUUUGGGUUCAAGAUGCUUGCCUUUGGUCUGAAGAAGGGUGGUGUGCACCCCAAAAAUCUUGAAAAAUUCUUCCCUCCAAUUUUUUCUAUUUUUGAAAUUAUCGGAAUCAACACACAUUUCCAAAAUAGUGUAUAAAAGUUGUUUCAAAGUUUUUGAAAUAAAUAUGACAAUAAAUUAGGUGAAAUUUGAGACACAACAGAAAAAGAACCAACUCGUUUGCAGUUGUAGUUUAAAAGUUAUAAGCAGUCAAAGUUUCGUCAAAAUUUUGUUUUUCAAUAAAACAGAGAAGAAAACAUUUUCGAAAACAAAUAUGUUUUCGGGAAAGGGAAAAUACACUCCAGAGCACACGCAUCUCUUAAGAGAAAAUGCACCACGGGAUCUGCUCCAUCGGUGUCGAGGCUGGCUCGCCGACAGGGGAACCCACCUAUCGGGUUCGUCUUCUUCCCCUCGCGCACAUGGGUAGAGGGGAGGGAUGAUGCCGACGGCGAUUGCUGGUGCUAGGAAGUACAAUUCCCGGAGCAGGGCACACCAACAUGCUCAUGGGGAAGGGCCUCAUCGUAUAGGGGGAUUAGGAGUCGCAGAGAGCUCGAGAGUGAGCACACCACAGACCAUGGCGGAAGGGAGGCUCCGACGCACUGGCUUCUGCCAACGGUUCGUUACCAAUGCGAUUUAGCAUGGGGUGGAUACUAGGGGCCGUGGUUGAGCUAAUGGUGGCUAAGGUGGAGCAGGAGGGGCUCGGGUUGCUGCAAUUGACCGGAAAGUUGACGGCGGCGGUGCAAUCGGAGGCGAGCAGGGCGGGCGGCCUCGGUCGAGUUGGGGCGUUGGGGAGCUAGCUGAGGGUCCAUGGAAGAGGAUGGAGUGCUCAUAGAACUCGAGGGCGUCCUUAGAUAGGCGCCCGACUUCGGUCCCGUCGGAGCCCGAGGAUAAGAUCGACGAUAACAUCCUCUAGCGAUUAGCAGGGAACCGAAUUAGCUGACGGGGCUGCAAGGGCUUGCACACGAAUUGUGCGCUCCUCUAGAGGUGAGCUGGCGAGCGGGGAGAGUUUGUGUGGCGCUGUUCAUGGCAAAGGCGGACGCAGACACCGGCUAGCCGCCAAGGUUGCCAUGGCGGUUUCUGUGAGCGGCACAGGACAGCGAAGAAAUUCUAUCAGGGCCCGUCUCGAUGCGCGAGGCUCUUUGGCUAGCACAGGGGCAAGGGUCAAGGGGUUUAGUGGAAGCGGCGGCUCGGCGGAGCGGCGUGCAAACCGUGCGCUCUGGCCGCGCCCAGAGCACGCACGCCAUGUGCUCGACAAAUUGUUGGGCACUCCUAAAUUUCUCCAAUUCACUUCAAACCUACCAGGGUUAGGUUAAGGGUUAAAACAAGCCUCCUAGACAUGUUGGUUAGGCCACGGGAUCAACUUUGUAAUGCAAAAAAAACCAUGCCAAAUCUUGCCAUGCACUCUAGGACAUUGAUGAAAUGCCAGAGGUAUCUAAAAGAUUUUUGUGGUAUUCAAACUUUCCACGUUAAUGUCUCUCUCGACACAAAGAAAGAUGGUGGGGUUAGAUUUGAAAAAGUAAAAACUUGUCCAUGCAACUUUUGGACAAAAACAGUUCUUGUCAGUAAAUGUAGGCUAUUAAAUCAUGCACUUAACAAUCUCAAUGGGGAUAAACUCUUGGACUUAAGGGUUUGGUAGGAUGGGCUUCAAGAAGGGAAAAAAUCAUGGCCAAAAGGGCAAGUUAAAUAGGAUUGUAGUUCAAAUUGCAAAACUAGACCAGAAUAAAAAAAGGGCUGCUUUUCUCAAAUUUUCCAAAGAACACACAUAAGUUUUUGCGUAAAAGUGAAUCACAUGCAUCCCUUGACACCUCCAAUUGUUUUUGGAAUUUCUAAAUGACUUUAAAAAAUGGUUGCAAUGCAACACAUGCUCUUAAAAGGAUGAAAAAUCCUUUAAAACAUUUUAAAUUCACAUUUUUUGAUAAAAAUAAUUCCACACUGAAUUUCUAAGAACGAAAUAAAUUAAUUUAUACCAAUACUCAAAUCGAUAAUGCUUUUCAAAAGUCUACUUGGAGGGAAAAGUUUUAGAAAAGAUGGUCUCAAAUAAGCAAAGAUGUUGCAUAGUUACAAUUUGGUGUUUUCAAUAAGACAUGAGUGAUGGGGCUCGGAGGAAAUAUCCCCGGUUAGGGGGACGUACUCUCCUCCACCUUGGAGGAGUUCAGAGAAUGUGCCCUCACUUGCCUGGCAACAAUGGUCUACCAGGGAAAAUCCAAGGAUUCUCAAAAGCAAGGGUGUGGAGUUAAUCCACCAUUUGCUGGCUCAAACGCUCCUAGCGAUGAUAUAUGGGACAAGGGUGGUCACACGCGGGCUGCUCUACAAUGGGAUGCAAGAAAACACAUGUUUCUAUUGUAUCCAGGAUUCCUAGAUCAAACCCAAUAACAAUCAUGGGGAAAGCGGGCUGUGGGGAAGUGCACCUGGUGAGGAGUGCUCGCGAUGGUCCUCGGCGUGGCCUCAUACAGAGUGUGUGGUUGAGGGCACACAUUUUAGCACUUGUGUGGCCUACGUUGUCGGGUCUGGGGUCUCGGAUAUCACUUCCAAAGUGACACAUCACUCGGGUAGCUAGUUAGGUGGGUUAGGUGGUCAUCCUCAAAAAUUCAUUCUAAGGUCAUACGUCAACUAGCUAAUUCUAGUUAUGCCAAUUACCAAUAAAAAUAACGGCAUGCACGCAUCCUGCAAUUUUAUUUAAAAUGAACUUACUACAACUUCAGUAAAUACAAGAAUGCAGAAUUACGGGGCCACACGGCCACUAGGGUUUGACAGCUAUUCUCAACGACUCGCUCCGCCUUCGUUGGCCUCUGAGCUGAGGUGCUCAGCAGCCAGUGAGGUUUCUCCGUGUGCCAUACUUCCAUAGAUGACUGGGCCAUGGAAUGGGGUUGUAGGGUUGCAGGGGCGACGACGUCUCAAAUGAUGCGCCCUAGGCACUGAUACGUGUCCAUCGUAUCUACUUUUCCAAACACUUUUGCCCUUAUUUUGGACUCUAAUUUGCAUGAUUUGAAUGGAACUAACCUGGACUAACGCUGUUUUCAGCAGAAUUGCCUUGGUGUUGUUUUUUGUGCAGAAAUCAAAGUUCUCAGAAAGUCCUAAAAAUUUACAGAGUUUAUUUUCGGCAAAUAUGAAAAAUACCUGCGCAAAGAUCCACCUAAGGGGGUGGGCCAGUGGGCCACAAGCCCUGUAGCAGCCACCCCCUGGUGGCGGUGGGCAAGCUUGUGGGGCCCACGUGGCUCUACCGCCCCCAAUCUCAGCUCUAUAAGUUCACUUCCGUCCCAGAAAAAAAAAAGAAGAUUUCGUCGCGUUUGCGAUACGGAGGCGCCGCCAUAUCCUGUUCUUCAUCUGGAGGGCAAUCUGGAGUCUGUUUUGGGCUCCGAAGAGGGGAAAUCAUCGCCGUCGUCAUCAUCAACCUUCUUCCCUCUCCAAUUCCAUGAAGCUCUUCGUCGUUCGUGAGUAAUCUAUUCGUAGGCUCGCUGGGCGGUGAUGAGUAGGAUGAGAUCUAUCAUGUAAUCGAGUUAGUUUUGAUGGGGAUUGAUCCCUAGUAUCCACUAUCUUCUGAGAUUGAUGUUGCUACUACUUUGCCAUGCUUAAUGCUUGUCACUAGGGCCCGAGUGCCAUGAUAUCAGAUCUGAAAUUAUUAUGUUGUCACCAAUAUAUGUGUGUUUUAGAUCCGAUCUUGCAAGUUGUAGUUACCUACUAUGUGUUAUGAUCCGGCAACCCCGGAGUGACAAUAAGCGGAACCACUCCCAGUGAUGAUCAUAGUUUGAGGACUUCAUGUGUUCACCAAGUGCUAAUGCGUUGGUCCGGUUCUUUAUUAAAAGGAGAAGCUUAAUAUCCCGUAGUUGCCUUUUGGACCCCGCUGCCACGGGAGGGAUGGACAAUAGAUGUCAUGCAAGUUCUUUUUGCUAAGCACGUAUAACGACACACGGAAUGCAUGCCUACAUCACAUUGACGAACGGGAGCUAGCCACAUAUCUCUCCGUGUUAUAACUGUUGCAUGAUGAAUAUCAUCCAAACAAAUCACCGACCAAUUGCCUACGAGUUUGUCCUACUACUAUUGUUACUUGUCUUGCUCUACUGUUGUUCCUUGUGACUACUAUUACUCGUUACACUGCUGCUACCUGCUACAAUACUUUUUCUCGCGCCGUUGACGGGAAAGAAUAUUUUUCGUCCACGGGCAACUUCUGGCGCCUUUGAUACAAUUGUUAGGAAUAGUCUGCCGUCAACAGAUCGUUUCUGACACCGUUGUUAUCAUACUCCUUUGAUGUUACUACUUUGCUUGCAGAUACUAAUCUUUCAGGUGUGGUUGAAUCUGACACAUUCAGCUGCUAAUACUUGAGAGUAUCCUCUCACCUCCAGCCUGGCGAUCAACAAAUUUGGGUCGAAUACUCUACCCUCGAAAACUGCCGCGAUCCCACGCGCUGGUGGGCCGUCAACAACAUUCUUCUAGUUUCGAUUGCCGGAGAGUGCUAGCAGCAUUCUUCUGGUGCCGUUGCAGGGGAAGGUCUCCUGUCACGGAGUCAGCAUUUUUCUGGUGCCGUUGCCGGGGAGGUAUUUCUAUAUUCUCUGAGUUACUUGGGAUUUAUAUCUGCUGAUCACUAUGAAGAAUGUGAAGGAUCCAAAAACCAAAGUCUUGCCCUCAACUACGAGGGGAGGUAAGGAAUUGCCAUCUAGCUUUGCACUUGACUCACCUUCAGUUAUGAGUAAGUUUGCGACAUCACCUCCUGCUAGAAAUCUUGAUAUGUCGCAUGUGCUUGAUGAUGCUUAUGAUGCUACUGCUAGAGAUGCUAUGCUUGAUACUAUGCCUGAUGAUGCUAUGCUUGAUACCGCUAGAGAUGCUAUGCCUGAUACUGCUUUCCCUGAUACUGCUAGAGAUGCUAUGCUUGAUAUUAUGCCUGAUGAUGCUACGCUUGAUACCGCUAGAGAUGCUAUGCCUGAUACUGCUUUGCCUGAUGAUGCUAGAGAUGCUAUUAUGCCUGAUGAUGCUAUGCUUGAUAUUGCUAGAGACACUACUUUGCCCGAUGUUCCACUAGGGGUGUUCCUUGAUGCUCAUAUUGCUAUAGUUACUACCAAUGCUCGUGAUGCUUCUGAAAUUGCCGAUACUAUUGAGAUAGAACCUCCUUUUGCUCCUGCUAGAUCUAGCUCUCCUAGAUAUGAAUUGCCUAAUAUACCUGAGGGUUACGUUAUGGAGCGAGAGAUAGCUGAGGAUUUUCUUGCGUGUAAGGAUUCCUAUGACGCUGAGGAAUUACUUCUCAAGUGGAAGGAAAAAUCUCUGAAAGCUAGGAUGAAAUACGACCCGAAGUUUGCCACUUCACCUAUCUUUAUCACCGAUAAGGAUUAUGAAUUCUCUGUUGACCCUGAGAUAAUCUCUCUAGUCGAAUCUGAUCCUUUCCACGGUUAUGAGUCUGAGAAGGUCGUAGCCCAUCUUACCAAACUACACGAUAUAGCCACCCUUUUCACUAGUGAGGAGAAGAUCCGCCACUACUAUAUCCUUAAACUAUUUCCUUUCUCUCUAAAGGAUGACGCUAAAGCCUGGUUCACCUCUCUUUCUCCUGGAUGUGUGAGUAGUCCCCAGGAUAUGAUCUAUUACUUCUGUGAGAAAUAUUUCCCUGCCCAUAAGAAGCAAGCUGCCUUGCAGGAAAUAUACAACUUUGCUCAACUCCAAGAAGAGAGUAUCCCACAAGCUUGGGGAGGCUCAUCCAGCUACAGAAUGCUUUGCCUGAUCACCUUCUUAAGAAGAACGAGAUACUUGAUAUCUUUUAUAAUGGACUUCCGAUGUCUCUAGAGACCACCUAGAUAGUUGUGUCAGUUGUGUUUUUAGGGAACGAACUGUAGAACAAGCUGAGCCCCUACUGAAUAACAUCUUGAUCAAUGAUAAUGCUUGGACUAUUCCCAAACCACCUCCUAAGCCAACUCCAAAGAAAAGAGGUAUUCUAUUCCUCAGUCCCGAAGAUAUGCAAGAAGCCAAGAAAUCUAUGCAAGAGAAAGGCAUUAGAUCUGAAGAUGUCAAAAAUCUACCACCUAUCGAAGAGAUCCAUGGUCUCGAUAACCCGAUACAAGUAGUAGAAGUGAAUUCUCUGCGUAGGUUUGAUGAGAGUGAUAUUCCUUUUGACAAAACUGCUAGCCUAUGCUUUGAUGAAUUUGACAACUUUGUUGCCAAACAACAGAGUUUCAAUGAUUACGUUAGCAGACAUUUGGAACAAAGUACUCGUAUGCUUAGCCAUCCAAGUGCUUGAUUAGACAGAAAUUUCAAUGAUCUGAAGCUUCUGAGUAAACAUGCCUCUAUGAUUACUACUGAGGUAGAACAAGUAUUUAAAGCUCAGAAUGACCUGCUCAAUGAAUUAAAUGACAACUCUGUCAGAGUCAUUACUAGAGGAGGCAAAAUGACUCAGGAACCUUUGUAUCCUUAAGGUCAUCCUAAGAGAAUUGAUCAAGAUUCUCAAGGAAUUAAUGCUGAUACACCCAGUCAUCCUAAGGAGAAGAACAAGGAUGAUAGAAACCUACAUGCCAGUUCACCAAUUACUGUCACACCUGAAGAACCUAAUGAUAUUUCUGCGUCUCAUGCAAAAACACAAUCUGGUGAUGAACAUGAACCUGGUGACAAUAUGGACAGUGAUGUUCAUAAUAAUGCUCAACCUAGCAAUAAUGAGGAUGUCGAGAUUGAACCUACGGUUAAUCCUGAUAACCCACAACCUAAGAGAUACGACAAGAAUGACUUUACUGCUAGGAAGCAUGGUAAAGAAAGGGAGCCAUGGGUUAAGAGAUCUAUACCCUUUCCUCCUAAGCCAUCCAAGAAAAAGGAUGAUGAGGAUUUUGAGCGCUUUGUUGAGAUGAUAAGACCCAUCUUUUUGCAGAUGCGGUUAACUGAUAUACUCAAGAUAUGUCCGUAUGCCAAGUACAUGAAAGAUAUCGUGACUAAUAAACGGAAGAUACCAGAUCCUGAGAUCUCUACCAUGCUCGCCAAUUACACUUUCAAAGGUGGAACUCCUAAGAAACUUGGUGAUCCCGGAGUGCCCACUAUACGUUGCUCCAUUAAAGCAAACUAUGUAAGAACUGCCUUAUGUGAGCUUGGAGCCGGUGUUAGUGUUAUGCCGCUCUCUCUUUAUCAUAGACUUGAAUUGGAUAAGUUGACACCCACUGAAAUUUCUCUGCAAAUGGCUGACAAAUCAAUUGCUUUCCCUAUCGGCAUUUGCGAGGAUGUGCGUGUUGUGGUUGCUAACACCACUAUCUUAACAGACUUUGUUAUCUUGGAUAUUCCCGAGGACGAUGCCAUGGCUAUCAUCCUCGGAAGACCCUUUUUAAACACUGCAGGGGCUGUUAUAGAUUGCAACAAAGGCAAUGUCACUUUCCAUGGCAACGGUAAUGAGCACACAGUGCACUUUCCGAAGAAACGAUAUCAAGUACAUUGCAUCAAUGCUAUCGAAAAUACUUCAUCGAUUCUUAUUGGGAGCUUUGAAUGCCCUAUUCCUCGUGUCAAGAUGAAGUAUGAUUUUCUUGUUGGGGAGAUACAUAUCCCCAUUGAGGUGACUUAGUGGCUAUUCGAAAAUUCUCCGUUCUCUCUUGCGAUUCGAGAAGGUUUUGUCAUGAGGACUUGAUCAACCCCAUUGACGGAUUUAUUUCGAUGACCAUGAAAUGGAUGAAUAAAAGAGUCACAUACCUCUGUUUUGAGCUUUCAUUUUCUGUUGCUUAGAAGAAAAAUGAUAGAUUUAGUUUAGUUUUCAUGUUUUCUGUUUUAGCGUCCCGGAGGAAAAUACCCCGAAAAUAAAAGUUCUCCGAUGGUCCUGAAAAUUUAGUAUGAUUUUUUCUGGAAUAUUUGAAAAUUACUGGGCCCGAGAGCUGGCCUGGUGGCCUGACCACUGGGCCACAUGCCCUGACACCGCCACCCCUCUGGUGGCGGCUAGCAAGCUUGUGGGGCCCACAGGGACCCCCUCCAUUCCUUCCAGCUCCCAUCCUCUUCUUCCACCUCUAGAAAAAAUUGUUUCGCAGCUAAAACCCGUGUUCUUGCUCAUUUGGCUGUGAUUUUUGAUCUCCUUGCUCAAAGCACCAUUCUCCGAACCAAUUUGGGGAAAUUACUCCUUGGUAAGUGACUCCUCCAUUGGUCCAAUUAGUUUUUGCUCUAGUGCUUUAUCCUUCGCGUAUUCUUGCUACCUUGGUGACCCUGUUCUUGAGCUAGAAAUGUUGAUUUUAGCUGGUCCCAAGUAGUUUUAGCGCGUGAUAGGGACUCUAGGCACUAGUAGGAGUAGUUGCUACAAGUUGGGUUAAUCUUUAUUCACUUUUCUUUCGAAGUCUCUAAAAAUUUCAGAAUUUUUUAGAACUAGAAAAAGGAAAAGAUGAGGACGUUCUUGAGAGGCUCCUCAAGCCGUAACCCCAAGGAGGAUGAGAAGAACCACCCCAAGUACGUAGUCCCUCGAGUCACGGAAGUUCGAGCGUGUGAAUGGCCAAGUGAUGAAUUUUUGCACGCCGCUGGGCUUUAUGAAGAAUUUUAUUACUUGGUGGAGAACGCAGAUCUUACUGCGUUCGUUGCAGAUAAGUGCUCACAAUACCUCCUCCUCACCAAUACUUUCGUUCAAAGCUUCAACUUUUAUCUGAGGAAGAAUCCUCCCAUGGUUGAGUUCAUGAUAUACAAUGUUUCCCAGUGCAUGACACUACAGGAUUUUUGCAAUGUAUGCAAAUUACCUUAUGUUGGGGAUAUCUGUGACCCUCGUCCACGGGACUUGGAGGAUUUCAUUGGUACUAUUGCUGUUGGAGAGGAGAGAGGAGUGAAUCGCGCUAGAAUUGCUAGCAUACAUUUUCUGUGCUUCGGUACUUCUCACUAUUUGUGGGAAAAUGUUUGAUUGGCCGUGGGGAGGCUGGAUCACUUAGUUCUCCAGACCUUGCGGUUUUGCGCGAAGGCCUUUAUAACGAUAAGACUUAUAGCCUAGGUGCUAUAGUGGCCCAGCGGUUGAACACCCACCGUUCCAAGGGUGUCUUCUAUGGAGGUAUCUAUGCUACCCAUCUUGCCACACACUUUGAGAUACCCAUUAGACUGUGAGAGGAAGGAGAGAUGCUUCUUUCUAAGAAAUAUCUGGAUUAUGACAGCAUGGUCUGCCAUGAUUUUCUGGAUAGAGAUGCUAGUAGACGGAUGAUUUAUAACCUGGUAUUUAGUCAGGGUACUCGAGAGACUAUUACUUUGCCUGCUCCUUCUUUGUUCGAUCUUCAUGUAGGCAGGUACACUAUUAUGCCAUCGGGCAUCUACACAUAUUGGGGCUUGGCCCAACCACAGGCGCCCGUGCCCGAGCCGCCAGUCGAGUACCAGACGCCAGUUUAUCAGUGGGAGCCAGAGGAGCUCACACAGCAGUGGCAUCCACAGUCUGCUCCGGAGUAUCCUAGAGUUGGUUAUUUCCCACCUUGGGAGUAGACCAAGCUAGGCCAAAAGCCUAAGCUUGGGGGAGUAUGUGUUCUCACCGACUUUACAUUCAUGCUUAUGUUUUCACUUUGUUAGCCAGUGUUCACACUUUGCCACUGUAUUAUCCAUGCUAGUUUAUUUUCAUUUUCUUGUUUUCUUGUUUUGUGUCCUUUUGAGAAAACACAAAAAUAUUUUCCUUUCUUCUUUUGCUUGUUGGGAGCUUUCCUGUGUAAAUAGUUUUCUUUUUCUUUGGGUCAAGGUAGAAGAUAUUGGUUACAAUGUUUAGUUUUCAAAGAGCCAUAUUACUUUGUCUUCUCCUUUGUGUUUGCCUGCAGAUUCAACUUAGUCCAUUGCACGAGAACUCUUAUUAUUGUUCACAUCGUUCGAUCGUGCAAAUGAAAGGCAAUAAUGAUGAUAUAUGAUGAAGUGACUGAGACUGAAAAGCUGGUAUGAACUCUAUCUAUUUUGUUUUUGUAAAUAUGACUAUCUUGUCAUCCCAGAUUCAGCUUUGUUGUGAGAGAACCAUAUUUGCAAUGAAAACUUAGAGAUCAUAGUUUCUGAUGCCAUGCUUAUUUAGCUAGGAGCUUAUAAUGGUUUGUCUUGAAUGCCAGCAUAGAUUUUUAAAUGACUAUGAUGUAGUAUGAUAGGAUGGUAUUCUCCUUUGAAUGAUUCAAGUGGCUUGACUUGGCGCAUGUUCAUGCAGGUAGUUGAAACAAAAUCAACAUAGCCUCUAUGAUGUUCGUGUUCAUGGUGAUUUAUAUCCUGUUCAUGCUUGCAUUCAAUGUUAGUCAAACUCAUUGCAUCUUGAUGACUGUUGUCGCUCUCUAGUUGGUCACUUCCCAGUCUUUUGCUAGCCUUCACUUGUACUAAGCGGAAUACUCCUUAUGCAUCCACUUCCAUAAACCCAAAAGUUUUUCCAUGAGAGUCCACCAUACCUACCUAUUUGCGGUAUCUACCCGUCGUUCCAAGUAAACUUGCAUGUGCCACUCUCUAAACCUUCAAGAAAUAAUCUGUUUUGCAUGCCCGAACCGCUCAUGUGGUGACAGGGGGCUAGUGGUAUCUUCCAUGCUAGGAGUUUUAUCCUCGACAUGUGUCCUUUCACUGUCAUUCACGAGAGAGGGGUCGGUAAUUGGAAUGCCCAGUUCCACGCUUAAAUCGAAAACAUAACUGUAAAACAAGACUCCCCCCGGACUGAUGUUAGUAUGGACGGUACCCGAGGAUUCGGCUAGCCGUGGAGUAUGAUUGAUUGGUGGUGGGGGAGUUAAAACUUUACUUUUCUGUUUGGGAACCUCCUAUAGCAUGAGUAGCAUGGAAGAUAUUGAGAACUCUUGGUCAUUGCGUUGACAAUGAAAGCAUGCCACCCAAAAUUAUUAUCUCUGUUUUCAAAGCUUGAGCUCUGGCACCUCUGCAAAUCAAUGCUUCCCUCUGCGAAGGGCCUAUCUAUUUAUUUUCCUGUCGAGUCAUCCUCUUCUUAUAUAAGUGCCAAUUAGAGAGCACCUCUGUCAUUUUGGUGCUUUGCUUUUGAUUGAUUUUGAGUAUGACUAUGACUGGAUCUUCGUUGCUAUGAAUUACAAUGUUUAAUCAGCCCUUGAUCUUUGAAAGUGCUCUGCAUUUAUGUUUUGCGGUCUCAGAAAGAGCUAGCGAGAUACCACCUAUUCAUAUUGCUUCAUGCUUGUUUUGAUUGAAGUGUUGGUAUUUGAAACUCAUUAUUAUUUGGUCGUUAGCUGAUUAUGCCAUUGAUAUUAGUUUACCGUGAGACCUUUGUGUUACUUGCUUAUGUGGUUAACUUGUGAUCUUGCUGAAAUUCUGGUUAUGAGUUAGACAUAGUUGCAACAACAAGAUCAAACAGAGUUUGUCAAAGUUUUUCUUUCUCUCUCAGUUUGUGAACUGAGUUGCUUGAGGACAAGCAAGGUUUUAAGCUUGGGGGAGUUGAUACGUCUCCAUCGUAUCUACUUUUCCAAACUCUUUUGCCCUUGUUUUGGACUCUAAUUUGCAUGAUUUGAACGGAACUAACCUGGACUGACGUUGUUUUCAGCAAAAUUGCCUUGGUGUUGUUUUUUGUGCAGAAAUCAAAGUUCUCAGAACGUCCUGAAAAUUUACGGAGUUUAUUUUUGGAAAAUAUGAAAAAUACCUGCGCUUUGGCCGCGCCCAGAGCACGCACGCCAUGUGCUCGACAAAUUGUUGGGCACUCCUAAAUGUCUCCAAUUCACUUCAAACCUACCAGGGUUAGGUUAAGGGUUAAAACAAGCCUCCUAGACAUGUUUAUUAGGCCACGGGAUCAACUUCGUAAUGCAAAACAAAAACCAUGCCAAAUCUUGCCAUGCACUCUAGGACAUUGAUGAAAUGCCAGAGGUAUCUAAAAGAUUUUUCUGGUAUUCAAACUUUCCACGUUAAUGUCUCUCUCGACACUAAGAAAGAUGGUGGGGUUAGAUUUGAAAAAGGAAAAACUUGUCCAUGCAACUUUUUGAGAAAAACAGUUAUUGUCAGAAAUUUUAGGCUAUUAAAUCAUGCACUUAACAAUCUCAAUGGGGAUAAACUUAUGGACUUAACGGUUUGGUAGGAUGGGCUUCAAGCAGGAAAAAAAUCAUUGCCAAAAGGGCAAGUUAAAUAGGGUUGUAUUUCAAAUUGCAAAACUAGGCCAGAAUAAAAAAGGGUUGCUUUGCUCCAAUUUUCCAAAGAACACAAAUAAGUUUUUGCGUAAAAGUGAAUCACAUGCAUCCCUUGACACCUCCUAUUGUUUUUGGAAUUUCUAAAUGACUUUAAAAAAUGGUUGCGAUGCAACACAUGCUCUUAAAAGNNNNNNNNNNNNNNNNNNNNNNNNNNNNNNNNNNNNNNNNNNNNNNNNNNNNNNNNNNNNNNNNNNNNNNNNNNNNNNNNNNNNNNNNNNNNNNNNNNNNGGUCAUCGAAAUAAAUCCGUCAAUGGGGUUGAUCAAGUCCUCAUGACAAAACCUUCUCGAAUCGCAAGAGAGAACGGAGAAUUUUCGAAUAGCCACUAAGUCACCUCAAUGGGGAUAUGUAUCUCCCCAACAAGCAAAUCAUACUUCAUCUUGACACGAGGAAUAGGGCAUUCAAAGCUCCCAAUAAGAAUCGAUGAAGUCUUUUCGAUAGCAUUGAUGCAAUGUACUUGAUAUCGUUUCUUCGGAAAGUGCACUGUGUGCUCAUUACCGUUGCCAUGGAAAGUGACAUUGCCUUUUGUUGCAAUCUAUAACAGCCCCUGCAGUGUUUAAAAAGGGUCUUCCGAGGAUGAGAGCCAUGGCAUCGUCCUCGGGAAUAUCCAAGAUAACAAAGUCUGUUAAGAUAGUGGUGUUAGCAACCACAACACGCACAUCCUCGCAAAUGCCGAUAGGGAAAGCAAUUGAUUUGUCAGCCAUUUGCAGAGAAAUUUCAGUGGGUGUCAACUUAUCCAAUUCAAGUCUAUGAUAAAGAGAGAGCGGCAUAACACUAACACCGGCUCCAAGCUCACAUAAGGCAGUUCUUACAUAGUUUGCUUUAAUGGAGCAACGUAUAGUGGGCACUCCGGGAUCACCAAGUUUCUUAGGAGUUCCACCUUUGAAAGUGUAAUUGGCGAGCAUUGUAGAGAUCUCAUGAUCUGGUAUCUUCCGUUUAUUAGUCACGAUAUCUUUCAUGUACUUGGCAUACGGACAUAUCUUGAGUAUAUCAGUUAACCGCAUCUGCAAAAAGAUGGGUCUUAUCAUCUCAACAAAGCGCUCAAAAUCCUCAUCAUCCUUUUUCUUGGAUGGCUUAGGAGGAAAGGGUAUAGAUCUCUUAACCCAUGGCUNNNNNNNNNNNNNNNNNNNNNNNNNNNNNNNNNNNNNNNNNNNNNNNNNNNNNNNNNNNNNNNNNNNNNNNNNNNNNNNNNNNNNNNNNNNNNNNNNNNNGCAAGCAUCUUGAACCCAAAUUUGUCUUAAGUGUGUGAUGGCUUGUUGUGGUGAAUGGAUGCAUGGUUAUGCUACUUAGAUAAAAACUCUCCAUAGCAACAUAUUUUGCGCCAAAGCAUGUGAUGGGUACUUAUUUGCUGUUGAGCAUAUAAUACUAGUGAUGAGUGCGUACUACCUGAUGACAUGUAUCUCAUGUGGGUAUGGACAAAAUCGUAGGAAGGUUUGUCAUGGUAAACAUGUGACUGUGAAACCGAUAUCUCGUGGCAACGAUAAUGAUCUGUGAGUGCAUAUCAAGGUGUGAUGGUGGUAACCCAAUUGAAUAACAUUCAGGAAUUUUGUGGUGCUAACACUUGCAUGCAAACUUAAUCCCCCGAGUAGAACGUAGAUCGGGUCUUGUGCCACUAACCUUCAUAUUGAUUUGUGCUACUACUUGUCCGUACGACAGGUAGGGUGUGGUUGAGUAAUUUGUCGACCCCUUUCCUUGCACACACCAUACAGACAGGCCAUAGUGGAAGAUACCAGUUGCAACUGGUAGGCAUGCCACUUGGUCCGGCGGCAUGGGUGUUUC